UUUUUUUGCAUAGGCUACACUCAUCUCUACCUUAUUAUUAGAAGGUAACCUGGUUAUCAUUGAGCAUGUGAAAGGUAAAUAAUGUAUUUAAUAUAAAAAUCAAGAUCUCUCUAAUUUUUCUUCGACGUGAUAUUCUUUAACCCUAGUUAGUGGGGUACGCUAAGAAAAUGUAGUAUAAAUACACAAAACCACGACCACCAAAGCUCACAAAACAAAACCCCCAUUCCUCCUGAACCUCCUUCUCCAAAGAAAAAAGAAUGGCGUUCCGUUCAGUGAACAAUCUUCAAUUCUGGAAGGAUGACAUGAGGAGAGCUUACAGAGAGAAAGUUGGGAGUUCAAGAAGAAGGCGUAUCAAAAUCCGCGACAUCAUCGACGUCUUAGAAAUCGUCGGACCCAUCAUCCCUCAUUUCUUCGGUAGUAACUCUCUCAGUGCCGGUCCCGACAACUACAGUAAUUAUGGUAAUAACCACAUGAAUGGUAGUUAUGGUCGUCGUGACGAUGACAUGCAUUCUUUCCACUGUGGCGGCGGCGGUGGUGGCCGGUUCGGUCUUGACAUGGGUUCUGGUGAUUAUGGGAAUGAAAGCAGGCACUACGGUGGACGUGGAAAUGGUAACAGUCAGUACGGGAUGAGGAUGGCUCUUGCUGAAGACUAUUAUGAUCGUGAAAUCACCGAGGAAGAGUUUGAGAGGCUUCUUGACUUUGCUGAGCAGAGUCAUAACAAUAAUUCCAGAAUGUACUGAUCAAAAUAUAAUAUAAAAAUUAUAUGUGUGGGACAAAAUAUAAUAAUAUCAACCCCUUCCUUCUUGUAAUCUACACCACUUCUACUCUAUUAUCCUUCUAAUAAAAUUUAAAAAAGUAAUAAUGGACUGCCUUGCUACUCCUUUUUCUUUCUUUUUCAUAAUAAAAAAAAAGUUACUUGAGGUUUUUCUUUCGAUAAAAAUGUUAGAAAUUAAAAAUUUGCAAGUGUUAAGUAAUAUAGGAUUUAUAAUGGCAGUGAAUAUUAUUAGAUAAUAUGAUUAUAUGAAAUUGGUUUUAAGUUUAUCUUAAAUUUAAUUUAGCAUUGUAUUAACUUCAACUAAUUUAGAUUUAUUGAACUUAAUUAAAUUUGAAAGACUAAUUUAAAUUUAAAAACCGUUAGCAAAUAUAAUAAUUAAAUUUAAAGCAAUAGAAUUUAUCACACUUGCCUAUAUUUACAAUUUACCAUUAUUUACCAUUUCUUUUUAAUUAUUAUUUCUAAAAUAUUUUUAUAAUAGUUAUCCUAAAAUUUAUAUAAUAGAUGUCAUUGAAAAUUCAUCUAAAAAAAUUUAUACACCCAGAAGAGUUCGGCCCAUUGAUUGAAGCAGCCUUCUUCCGAUCAUGUUUAAUUUUAUCACUCUUUUCGCCUAAUUAUAUAAGCAUUUCGUAUGAGGAUGAGGGAAAGACAUUAUUCAUUAAAAGCACCUGCAUCAUAUUAGGGAGAGAGUAAAGUUAUUUUUCGUUUUUAAAGAAAUAAAAGUCUUUUUUUUUUCUGUUGAGGUGUCAAUUAGAGAUUUCAUAUCACUUGUAGAAUACGAUGAGGAUGCUAAAAAUGUAUUAAUGUAGUUGAGAGAUGAUUUGGAUGCUUCUGGUGAUUCUAUCAUUUAGUGUCUUUGUUGAAAAAUAUAUGAGGAUUUUAACUUCUUAACGUUAAACUAGAAAAAUAUCCUUAAAUACUAUGGACUAAGAGAGAGGGUCAAUGGGCUUUUACAUGCCAAAUAUACAAACAUGAGAGAACUAAAUAACAUAAAAAGAAAAAGGAAACCGAGGAUAUAUAUAUAUAUAUAUAUAUACGUGAGGACUAUGAACACCGAUGAACAACCUUUGAUUUUCCAGCCACGGUGUAUACUGUAUAACUUGUUUUGUUGUUAUGUAUUAGACUUAUUUAUUUUUCAAAAUAUUUAUGUAUAAUUGCUUUUAAGAGAAAUGUAGUUGAGAAAUGUAUAAUUAUUUUUGAAAAUAUAUAUAUUCAAACAAGUGAUUUGAUAUAUAUAACAGACGAUGCUUUUAGGAAACUUUAGCAAAGUUUAUUGCAUAAAAGAAAAUAGAGUAUUUUUAUAGCAUCUCUAUCACUUCAGAAUAAAAUAUGACAGCAUGAUCUUCCGCGUGGUUUAAUUUACAAUUUGGAUCAACAUUGAAACUUCAAGUUUCGUAAGAUUGUAGGCAAGGGGUUACGACUUGAUCAUAUUUUAAUUUAACAGUAUUGGUGGAUCUCAUGAAGUUUUGAAAAUGUCAACACACGCUGUAUUAUUUCCUUAAUUAAAUGCAUUUAAUUAACACAUUUCAUUAAGUUUUGAAAAUGUCAAACAAUAUUCUUUCAAUUCAUAUUAGCUCAAAAACUUCACAAUCACACUUAGUGAGUUUUCUAAAAUAGCUUGAAUUCGUUAAUUAAAUAAAGGGAAAUUAUCAAACCAGAUUAAACUUUUUUAUGUCAACAGAGUGAUUUAAGAUAGAGCAUGUAGUUUAGGGCUGUUUAAAAAUAUAUAUUUAUUAACUUCUUUGGUACUUAAAAUUUAAAAACAAUUAUUUAACUCAAACGGGUUGUUUUAUUUAAUGUUUUAUUAUACUUCACAUUUUUUUUUUUUAUUUGCCAAUUCAGUUGAUUUUUUUUAUUCUAAUUAAGUGGCAGGGCCUCUUUAUAAACCUUAUUAAAAGGACUGAUACUAGAAUUUACUUUUUGAAAAAAAUACGUUGGAUCAGUAGGUGCACUCGGACAUUUCUAUAGAUAGACACCCGCUUAGCAUCCAGACACUCCACUAUGUGCAUCUAGACAAAAUACUAAGACCAAAAUUAGACAUAUAUCAAAGUGGAAUCAAGAAAUAAACCAUUAUAUUCUUGGAUUAUUAUAGUUUGAUUAAAAUAAUUUAUUUUUGUGGUGUAGAUUAUUUUAGUUUGAGAUAUAAUAGUAUGUGUUCAAUAUAGACUAUUUUAGUUUGAUAAGAAGUAAAUAGUAAACAGUAAAAAAAAAUGAUAAAUAGUAAAAUAGUAAAAAAUGUAGUAAUUAAACAAAAAAAUAUUUUAACAAAUUGAAAAUUUGAAAUAACGUUUACCAUAACUAAUUGAAAACUCUUAAAUACUAUUUAGUGGAAGAAAAAAGGUAGCAUGUUUGGUGCAUUCAAACAAACUCAAACCAAAUAUCUCUCCAAUCAAUUUUCGUACAAUUCUCUCUCCUUUUCUCUUACUCUUCUCUACCUCGUAGAAUCAAGAGAAAUUGUAUUAGAUGACAAGAAUAUUUAAAAAAAGACAAUAACUGACACUUUUUUUCUUUUGUAUAUUAUGAAUAUGACAAAUAUGAUUGGUAAUUAGUGAUACUAGAUAAUUAUCAAUUUUCAAAAUUUAUUAUUCUAAUUUAGAAAAUAUAGUGAAACGAAUUCUAUAAUUAUAAUUAUAUAUAUAUAUAUAUAUAUUUUGUUAUUUUUUUUGGAAGGAUUCCUAAAAUUAAAUAUAAUAUUCUCUCUCCAAUAUUCUCUCCCUUUAUUAAAUACUAACAUGUGUCCUGCAUGUUAAUUUUUUUAAUUACAAUUAUUUCCCAUCUAAGUAAACAUAUAUUAUUUAUAUUUUAUUGGCUUUUUUAAAAAAAAUUAAUUAUUCUUAAAAUAUAAAUAAAAAGGAGACAUCACCAACACUUAUUUUUACAUUGACAUAAAAUAAAUAAUUUUUAAUUAAACAUAAUAAAAAUAAAAUGUAAAAUUACACCUAUUUAAAAAAACAUUUUACUUUAUCCAUCAUUUCUCCGAUAUUUAAAGUCACGAUGUCAUAAAACAUAUUAUAUCAAACUAUUUCUAUCAAUUAGACAUAUCAAAGUUUAAGGAAAAUUCUCCUAAAAAUUGGCAAAGUAUUACAAUUUCUCCUAUCCGUGGUAGGAUAUCCUUUGAUAAAAUAUUGCUUUUUUUUAAAAAAAAAAGAUUAUUUUCAAAUCUAUUUAGAGAGUUUCACAUGGUAAAGAUAACAUUUUGUCUCUAAUAGAAAUUCUAGCCAUUGAAGUUGGUGAGUAAGGAGACUUUGGAGGUUUUACUUAGCUACUACAAGAAAUUAAGUUUUCACUCACGUAGAAAAAACGUUAUUAAAAUAUAAAAGAACAUUGUUAAAAAUAUUAAGAACAUCAUACCAUUCGUUGCUAAGAUUGUUGUAAUAUUCUGUAGCUAAAAAUUUCAGCUACACAACAAAUGCACACGCCGCAAAAUGUCUGCUUUUAGUGAUAUUUGUGCAUUACUAAAUACUUUUAGUAACAUAUAUGUUUUGAUACUAUUUAUCUUUUAUAGUGACCUAAAUUAAGUUAAUUUUUUAAGAAAAUUUAAUUUUCAAUCUUUCUUUACAUAGUUUUUACCUCUCUUAAAUAUAAUCUUAGAAGGUAUUUGGAAUGCAAAAAGUGAGUUAUAUAUUAUAUAAUUUUAGGUUAUUAUAAUUUGCUUAGAAUAGUUUAUUUUUUAGACGUAAAUUAUUUUAAAUUGAGUUAUAAUAUUAUGUGUUGAUGUGUAUGCUAUUUUAGUUUUAUAAAAAUGUAGCAAACAAUAAAAAGAUGAACGAAUGUAAAAUAGUAAAAAAUGUAACAAGUAAUUGUUACAUUAACGAAUUGAGAAUUUUCAAAUAAUAUUUAUCAUUCAAUUUUCAAUAGUAUUGUGUGGAGCAAUAAAUAGUUAUUAUAAAGUUUGAUAAUGUUUGCCCCAUAACCACAUUUUUAUGUAUUAAAAAAAACUGAAAUCAAAUAUCUCUCACCUCUUAUCUUCCGAUCUGUUCCAUAAAAUCAAAUAUAAUAUUUUCUCAUUCCUCACUUUCUUUCUCUCUGCAUUCUCUUUUCGUUUAUUAAAUAUUAACAUGUGUCGGGCAUGUUUAAUUUUUUAUUUUUAUUUUUAAUACACCAUAUGAUAGAUAUCGGUUUUUUAAUACACUAUAAAAUAAACUAAUAAACUUGUGGAAUUUUUUACUAAUUAAUUAAUUAUGACUAUUAAUUUUAAUUAACUAUUGAACAUUAUUAAGGGUACAAAGAAAUUAUUAUCAUCAAUUACCAACUCUAUAUAAAGACUCCUUCCACAAAGAAAAACUCAGGCACAAAUAAAUUGUUAUCAUAGAUAUCAGAGGUUGGCCAUUUGGCAAAGUACGCCCGCUCUCGAAUAUAUCAUUGAAAUGGCAACGUCGAGGUCUCAAUUGAAGUUGACUAGGGACGAGGUUAGGGAGAUCUUAGAAGAACAUGAUGUGGACGGUGAUGGUCGCCUGACUAAGCAAGAGGUGAUGCAAGCCCUGAACUCCAUGGGUGUUAUGAUGUCGUUUCAGAAAGCUCACUAUGGUGUUGCUUUUGCUGACAAAGAUGGAGAUGGUGCAGUCGAUCUAGAAGGUGGUGAGAUUGAUUCGCUUGUUGACUAUGUCAUGAGGUUUCAGGCCUCAAAGGACGUCCCUAAAGAUGCCAGCCCAGAAGCCUUGCCAUGAUGGUGAAUCGAAUUGUGUAAUAAUCUUAGCUUAUUUCUAUUUUUUAUGUGUUCAUCUUCGUCGUCGUACCUGUUUUUCAGCCCAUAUUGUUUAUGUUACAAAUUGAGCUAUGGUUAUGCUCAAAUUGACAAUUAUCCACGCAUGUUUGUUGUCUACAAUAUUAUUGUGUCAUCGGUGAUAAAAAUGUCUUUCUUCUUGAAUCUACGGAUUAUUAUAUAAUAAACAUCCCUAAACUAAUAUUAAAAUUGUCAAAUUUUUCUGUUUCAUUAUUUCAUUUCAUGCAAACGUGUGAAUUAUUGUUUUAACUUUACACCGUAUAAAUAUAACUAUUAAUUAAAUAAAAUCUAACAUAAAGUUUACAAACAUUUACAAUCAGAUAAAGUUUAGUACAUAGAAGAAUAUUUUGAAUAUGUUAUUUAGUAUUCCGAACACCCAAAACUUAAGUGGUAUUCGAAUACUUAUUUUAUUUAUGAUUUUAACCAUAAAAUUAAGAGAAUUGUAAUAUAUAAACUCAUAAUUCUAAAGAGUGCUUCUUAAUUUAUAGUUUGAUAAUUUUUCUUUUUUAAAAAAACUUGCUAUCUCCCUGAAUUCAUGGAUCCGUGUACAACUAACACAUCAUUAAUCAACUAUAUAAUUGUAUCAAUUAUCUAUUGUUUACUUUUUUUUUUUUUUUGUUAAUUUUUUGUUGCCCAUUUCUUAACAUUGCAGGUAUAAAAUUGUAUUUGAUAACUGGCAAAAUUACAUGUUCAAAAUAUAAUAGAAAUGUUCUAAAUAAAUUAACGCCAUAAUGAACCAAUUAAAACAAGAAGUAACCAAAUAAAUGUGUUAAGACUUAAGAGUAUACAAACGGUAAAACACACCAUAUUAACAUUCUCAUGUAAGAAUACAAAUGUGUAUACAAAUCAAGGUCUUCACUGUUUGCAUAGCAUAAGCAACACCUCUUUGGAUUCAGACACAUGGUCUUACACUUUUUUUGCAUGACUUCUAUUGUAUUUAUUUUCCUAUGAAAAACUGUUCAGAGAAAGAUUUUUCAUUUCUUUGGAAUUGCUGAAGUCCAAAUUAUUUCGAAGAUUUUUUGGUGCUCGUUCCUUAGAUGAUGUCGUUGGGGGUCUUGUAAUGCCUUUUCUGCCGAGUCUGUGGAGAAAUCUCUGUUUCCAUUUUUUAUUAGAUUGGUGAGUUGGUGCCUUGCAGUGAGUUGUGUAUUGGAAGAAAGGAUUUUACAUUAUCCCAUAAAAUGAUCUCUCUAUCGUUUAAAAGCCUUCUAGGCUUUAUGUUCCAAUCAUUUGAGUUAGGAAGCCAGACUUCAUUUACUGCUUCAGUUUUUGAAUUGUGCAAAGCAUAAAGCCUUGGGUAGGAAAUGGCUAGGGGACUUUUAUCAUUCCAUCUACCAUACCAAAAGGAUAUGUUUUCUCCAUUGUUAAUUUCCCAUUUGAGGUUGCUUUCAAACCAUAAUUUGUUUUUGAUUAUGGACAUCCAAGGGGCCCUUGCACUACAAAACUUUCCAUGUGGUGGUAGAUCUCCAAUGUAGUUAGUCGAGUACUUAGCGCUGACGAUCUUCCUCCAUAAGGCAUUUGGUUAUGAUAAAUAGCGCCAUAGCCAUUUACAUAGGAGAGCAUUAUUUGUGUGAUUCAGCUUGGUGAUCCCCCAGACCUCCGUUUUCUUUUGGACUGGUGACAAUAUCUCAGUUGAUAAGAUGAGAUUGUGAGGACUUAGAGUUGUCAGAAUUUGAACCCCAAAGGAAGUUUCUCCAGAUUUUUCAAUCUUUUUUUAGACCAUUGAAGGAGCUUUGAAGACUGAAAGUUGAUAGGUUGGGAGGCUACAGAGGCUGGCUUGAAGAAGAGUGUACCUUCCACCUUUAGAGAGUUGAAAAUAUUUCCAACCGUUGAGCUUUUUUUGGAUUUUUAAGAUUAUAUUGUCCCAGAAACUCAACGAGUUUGGUUUACCACCUAAAGGGAUGCCGAGAUACAUUAUAGGGAGAUUUUCAGAAUUUAUUUUAUGCUCGUUUUUCACCACAAUGCAACGAGAAAUUGAGACAUUGAUCGGACUUAUUGUUGAUUUAUUUUUAUUGAUGGAUAGACGGGAAGCCUUUUCAAAGAGAUUUAGAGCACACCUUAAAUUUGUAAUGGCCUUAUCAUUGUCUUCAACAAAGAUCAGAAUAUCGUCUACAUGAAGAAUAUGGUUUAGGUUGCUGUCAUUUUUGAAAACCACACCUUGAAUGGCUUUGGAGGAAUUUAAAUGAUUCAAAAUUGCACUGAGGUAAUCUAGAGCCUAAGACAAACAUGAAAGGAGAAAGAGGGUCUCCUUGUCUUAGACCUCUUCUAGGCAGAAUUUUGCCUUUUUGUUGGCCAUUCAAUAUGAUUGAGUAAUGAGCUCUUGUGAUUCACGCUUUAAUCCAAUUUCUCCAAUGAAGCCGAAAGUUUUUCUUGAUUAGCAUGAAAUCGAUAGAUUUCCAGUUAAUUGUAUCAAAAGCUUUUUUCAGAUCAAUAUUGAUCACAAAACCUGUUUUUUUGUGCUAGUUUUCCAGUAGUCUAACCACUUCAUUGGCCAAAAGAAUAGCAUCUGUGAUUUGUUUGUGGUUCACGAAAGCAAAUUGAUUUUCCGCAAUUAUGCUUGAAAGCGUCUUUUUUAGCCUCUUAGCUAACACUUUAGCAACAAUAGCUAAGUAGUAAGAUUUAUGGGCCUAAAGUCAGCAUGAGAGGUGUAGGCCUUUCUUUAGCAAUAAGGGAAAUAAAUGUGUUGUUGAUGUUUUUGUUUAUUACUCCUUUUGUAUGGAAAUCAUUGAAAAACUCCAUGAUAUCAUUCUUUAGUAAGUACCCGAACUUUUAAAGAAUUUCAUUGAAAACCGUCUAGUUUGGUCUCGAUGAUUGUUGUUCAUAAAAUCUUACAUUAUCAAUUUAAUCCAAAAACUUAAAUAAUAGAUAAAAGUAAAUAUAAUAUAUAUAGAAAUAGUUAUAAAAUAUACAAUUAAAGUUAAAAUAAUUAAAUAUACCACCAAAUUUUUUUAAAAUUAUAAAUAUAUAUAGAUGUUGCCGAUCUAUAAUUAUAAAGUAAUUAAAUGGAUAGAAACAAUUAGACAACACUACGUACAACGUAUUUUUCAAUUGCAUUUAUUUUCCAGCCUUCACCCAAUAGUCUUACAUUAACUAUAAAAUAAUUUUCUAACUAAAUUUUAUAUUUGUUUUGUUCAACCAUCUUAAUUAUUAUUUAUUAUUUUUUUUAUCAAGAAAACAGUCUAAAUUUAUUAUUCCUUCUAGAGACGAAGGUGUUAAAGAUAUAUAACUUCUACGUGUGAUAUACCAAUAUUCCUUGAUCUCCUAGACUCAUCAUAAAGUUUGAAAAAAUUAUUUCUUAAAUUUAAAUUAAUAUAAUCUCUUUAUAUUUACCAAUUCAACUAGUUACGACUUAGACUUUUUGACUAAUAAAUGGAAGGUUGAAAAAUUUUAACUUUAAAAAAAUUUGAAAUUGAGAAAACCCAAGAAUAAUUAACAGAAGAAAAAACCAUAGACCAAAAAUAAAUUUAAUUAGUAUUUAAGCUUAUGUUAUUAAUUGUAAUUAAUUUUUUUUAAAGGAACCCUAACCAUGUUUCUCAAUCUUUCUCUUCAUAGUCUUUGUCUCUUUCAAACGUUAGAAGGUGUUUAGGGACAAAAAUUGAUUUAUUAUAGGUUAAGGGUGUGUUUGGUUUAGAUUAUAAAGUGUUUAAUUUUGUCAAAAAAGAACUAUUAUGAAAAAAAUGGUAGUGUUUGGAAAAUUAAAAUAAAUGCAUUUUAUAAAAAUUCAUUUAUAAAAUAAUCUAUUUUGGAGAAGUCUUUAAAAACCAAAUUCACACGCAGAAAAGUCUAUAAUCAAACAUCAAGUGUUUAAAUUUUAAACUCAUUUUAAAAAAGUGUUUAAAAAAAAUGUAUCAUUGAAAAAUAUUUUUUUUAAUUCAAUCCAAAUAAAUACUAAAAUUAUUAUAGUUUGUGUGUGAGGCGUACAUUAUUUUAGCUUUAAUUAUAAGCUAGGCAAUUGAAGAGCAAUAAAUAACUCAUGUUUGCCCCCAAAACCUAUCACAUGUUAUUAUCAAGAUAACAUUAAAACCAAUAAGAUAAGACAGGUUUUCUAAUACCCUAUAAAAUAAACUAAUAAACUUGUGGGAUUUUUUACUAAUUAGUAAAUAAGUAUUAAUUAAUCAUGACUAUUAAUUUUAAUUAACUAUUGAACAUAAAUAUAUUAUUCAAACGUACAAAGAUCAAUUAUUAUCAACUCUCUAUAUAAAGACUUUCUGCAAAGAAAAACUAUCAUCAAUUACCAACUCUAUAUAGACUCUUUACGCAAAGAAAAACUCUAAGAAGACAAAGAAAUUAUUAUCAUCAAUUACCAACUCUAUAUAAAGACUUCUUCCACAAAGCAAAACUCUAAAGGCACAAAGAAAUUAUUAUCACAGACAUCAGAGGUUGGCUUUUUGACAAAGUACCCCGCUCUCGAUCGUAUCAUUCAAUGUCGGUGUCUAGAUCUCAAUUGAAUUUGUCGAGGGAUGAGAUGAUUAAGAAGAUUUUCGAAGAGUAUGACGUGGACGGAGAUGGAACCCUCACCAAGCAAGAAGUGAUGCAAGCCAUGGACGCCAUGGGUUUUAAGAUACUGUUCCAGAUGACUCAAUUUGGUAUUUCUUUUGCUGACAGAGAUGAUGAUGGUAAGGUUGAUCAAGAUGAGUUGGAGAAACUGAUCGACUGUGUCAUCAGGUUUCAAACCCGCAAGAGAGUCUGCAGGCGGCCGGUUAAUUCGACAGAAAAAACAAGAUGAUGAAUCGAGACCAUGUAAAUCUAUUUUCAAUUUAGGUGUUUGUUUGUUUUCAGUCAAUAAAUGGUUUAUGCUACCAUAAUUGAGCGCGUUAUGCUCAAAUUUAUGUGUUUGUUUGUUUGUUUUGUUAUACUUUUGUUGUCUGUAUGCAGAAUAUUGAUGUCUCUCCCUCUCUAAUUUAUGAAUAUAUAUGUUUCAACUUUACAUUAUCUAUAGAUACACACACUUCCGUAAUUUUGUUAAAUAAAUAGUUCAAAUUUGUAAACAAUGAAACAAUCGUGGCCAAAAUCACAGCAUCAAUCGCACAACCAGUCGUGUCAAAUUGUAGCUAUUAAUGUAAAUUCUGUAAAUUAGGCUAAUUACAUUACAUUAGGCUAAUUAUAUUACAUUCCUUAUUUAAUUUGGGUAAUUUAGCUAUUUAUGUAACAUUUGAUACUCUUGUAAAAUACAGAAAAUUCAUCAAUAAAAUACAAAAAGAAUAUUCCUUUCACAUGGUAUCAGAGCCAAAAACCCUAGAUCUACUUUAAUCGUCGUCGUCGCCGCCGACCGCCCGUGAACCGCCGCGUCUUCGUUAACUCCAAGAAGCGCUGCGCGCCAAAAAGUAGAUCUCUGUCCCGUGUGUUCAUCGCUCAGCACGUCGUUCCGUCACAGCCUCGGUGUCGCGCCAUUCCGUCAAGUCGUAGCCUUGGCGUCACGGCGUUCAAAUCAUCGCGUCGUCCUGUCCGUUCUGAAGCGCCAGUCGUCACCGCUGAGUUACAACCCCCUCUGCCGUUCCAAGCCGCACGCGACUCCUCUGUCUUCCCAAGCCGCACGCGACUCCUCUUCCAGUCGUGAGUGCAAGACGACGCCAUCCACCAGAUCUGACGAAUCUUCCAGGUGACUGUCUUCAUUCGUUUGUCUCUGCUCACAGCCGUGAACCUCUGUCCGUAAGCCGUGACCCUCUGUCCGUAUCCUGUCCAUUGUUGCAACCCAGCCGUGAAGACAAAUCCUGACCGCGAAUCCAGUCGUGUCCUUGCCGUCGCAACUCAGCCGCGACCCAGACAAGAAGACGCUCACCUGUCACGAAUCCCAGCCUUGCGAAUCCCAAUCGCAAAAUCCAGAAUCUGACGAAUCCAGUCACGAAUUAAUCGAAACUCAGCCGGAAAUUCUCAUUGUUAACCUCAACUGCGAAUCCAAAUGGAGAGAGACCAUGUCUUGAGACCCAUUGGUACAAUUCUUGAUGGUACAAAUUAUAUCACAUGCAUGGGCAAAUCAAAUGAAAAGUUUUCUUAUUGGAAGAAAACUAUGACGCAUUGUAACUGGUGACAUAACCAAACCAAUUGCACAAAACAAGGACAAGGAAGGAGAUAACAAAUUCAUUGAACACCUCGAAGAUUGGGACAGUAAUUAAAAAUCAUCAAAUUAUCACCUGGCUUGGUAACACCUCUAUUCCCGCUAUACAUGCACAGUUUGAUGCCUUUGAUGAUGCUAAAAAAUUAUGGGAUUUUUUGUCUACACGCUUCAAGUCUAUUGGUUUAGCCCAUUAUUAUCAACUGCACAAUACACUUGUAAAUCUAAAUUAGGAUAUUGGUCAGUCUGUCAAUGAAUAUUUGGCAGUUCUUCAACCCAUUUAGACUCAGCUUGACCAAGCAAGCAUCAGCAAAGAUCGUCUUCGCCUUAUUAAAGUCCUUAUGGGAAUACGCCCAGAAUAUGAAUCUGUUAGAGCUGCUUUACUACAUCGGAAUCCCUUACCCUCAUUAGAUGCAGCUAUUCAAGAAAUUAUGUUUGAAGAAAAGCGCCUUGGCAUCAAUUCUACUAAACAAUCUAAUGUUGUCCUUGCCAGCACAUACACUCCCAACAGAGCCUCAAAUAUGUUUUGGAAGAAUUGUAAGCUCUCUCGUCACAAAUUUAUUAACUGUCCUAAAAUAGAGUGCAGGUACUGCCAUAAACAUGGUCACAUUCUGGAUAACUGCCCUACCAGACCACCCCGACCUCCUGUCACUUCCACAAAAGAGAAAAAUUUUACUAAACCUGGUUCCUCAUCUGUUGUUGCUGCAACCUCGGAUGAUUCAUCCCUCAUUCAGAUAAGUGAUCUUCAGAGCUUAUUGAAUCAACUAAUUUCAUCAUCCUCUGCUCUUGCUGUCUCAUCAGGUAAUCGAUGGCUUCUUGAUUCUGCCUGUUGUAAUCAUAUGACCUCUGACUUUUCUCUUAUGUCUACUUCUAGCCCUACAAAAUCUUUACCUCCUAUUUAUGCUGCUGAUGGUAAUUGUAUGAACAUCUCUCAUACUGAUACCAUUGAUACUCCCAGUUUACAUCUUCCCCAUACUUACUGUGUUCCUAACCUGACCUUUAAUCUAGUGUCUGUUGGUCAAUUAUGUGAUCUUGGCUUAAAUGUUUCAUUUUCUCCCAAUGGUUGUCAGGUUCAGGAUCCGCAGACGGGACGGACGAUUGGAACGGGUCGCAAAGUGGGAAGAUUGUUUGAGCUCACAUCACUUCAGGUUUCAUCUCCUUCUUCCAUCUCUUCUUCAGUCACUUAUUCUGACACAUAUCAGUGGCAUCUUCGUCUUGGUCAUGCUUCUUCUGAAAAACUUCGUCAUUUAAUUUCUGUUAACAAUUUGAAUAAUCUUACUAAGUUUGUUCCUUUUAAUUGUUUGAAUUGCAAACUUGCUAAACAACCUGCCUUAUCUUUUUCUCAAUCCAUCUCUAAUUGUGAUAAACCUUUUGAUUUAGUGCAUUCUGAUAUUUGGGGUCCUGCCCCAAUUACUACUGUUCAUGGUUAUCGCUAUUAUGUUUUAUUCAUUGAUGACUACUCUCGAUUUACAUGGAUUUACUUUCUAAAACAUCGUUCUGAAUUAUCUCGCACAUAUAUUGAGUUUGCUAACAUGAUUCGCACUCAAUUUUCCUCUCCCAUCAAAAUUCUUCGCACUGAUAAUGCUUUGGAAUAUAAAGAUUCCAUCCUUCUUUCUUUUCUUUCCCAACAGGGCACUAUUGUUCAGCGCUCUUGCCCUCAUACCUCUCAACAAAAUGGACGUGCUGAGCGCAAACAUCGUCACAUUCUUGACUCAGUACGUGCCCUCCUUCUUUCUGCCUCUUGUCCAGAAAAAUUCUGGGGUGAAGCUGCCCUUACAUCAGUAUAUACAAUCAAUCGUCUUCCCUUCUCUGUUCUUCAAAACACCUCUCCGUUCGAAAGACUAAAUGGUAUUUCUCCCGACUAUUGUAAACUCAAAGUUUUUGGUAGUGCCUGCUUCGUUCUUUUACAUCCUCAUGAACACAAUAAGCUUGAACCACGUGCCCGUCUCUGUUGUUUCCUUGGCUAUGGCACCGAACACAAAGGAUUUCGUUGUUGGGACCCUCUUUCCAACCGACUCCGGAUAUCUCGGCAUGUUACCUUCUGGGAACACACUAUGUUCUCUCGUUUGUCCUCCUUCCACACCUCUUUCUCUAGUCCUCAAUCUUUCUUUACAAAUACAUCUGUCGACAUUUUUCCUCUCUCUGAACCCACCUUGGAUACUGAGCUUACACAAUCGCCACCUGCUACUCCUCUUCGUCGCUCUACCCGGGUAAGAGAACCUCCCACUCAUCUCAUUGAUUACCAUUGUUUUUCCACCAUUGUUUCCCUUGUUGAACCCACCUCUUAUCAAGAGGUCAGUACUAACCCAGUAUGGCAGAAAGCAAUGGAUGAAGAAUUACAGGCUCUUGAAAAGACGCACACUUGGGACUAUGUUGACUUACCUCCCGGUAAAAGACCCAUUGGUUGCAAAUGGAUUUACAAAAUCAAAACUCACUCUAAUGGAACUAUUGAACGUUAUAAAGCUCGGCUUGUUGCAAAAGGAUACUCACAAGAAUAUGGGAUUGACUAUGAAGAAACAUUUGCCCUUGUUGCCCGGAUGACAUCUGUUCGCAGCUUGUUAGUUGUUGCUGCUGCCAAACAGUGGCCUCUUCUUCAGAUGGAUGUCAAAAAUGCCUUUCUUAACAGAAACCUCUAUGAAGAAGUGUAUAUGAAGCCACCUCAGGGCACUUCUCCUCCUCCCAACAAGGUGUGUCUCAUUUGUCGCGCUCUAUACGAUCUAAAACAGGCUCCACGAGCUUGGUUUGCCACGUUUAGCUCCACCAUUACUCAACUUGGAUUUACCUCCAGCUCUCACGACAAUGCCCUUUUUACACGACAGACAACUCAUGGUAUUGUUCUUCUCCUUCUUUAUGUUGAUGAUAUGAUUAUUACUGGUAAUGAUCCACAGGCCAUAUUCGACCUACAACAAUAUCUUGGUCAACAUUUUGAGAUGAAAGACCUUGGACCUCUCAAUUACUUUCUUGGUCUUGAAGUCUCUCACCGUUCAGAUGGUUAUCUGUUAUCUCAAGCGAAAUAUGCAUUUGAUCUGAUAGCACGCUCAGGAAUUACAGACUCCACCACAUCUUCAACAUCGUUAGAUCCUCAUGUCCAUCUAACUCCGUUUGAUGGCGUUUCUCUUGACGAUGCAAGCUUGUAUCGGCAACUUGUUGGCAAUCUUAUAUACCUAACAGUGACUCGCCCAGAUAUUGCAUAUGCUGUUCAUAUUGUCAGUCAAUUUAUGGCUGCUCCUCGAACAAUUCAUUUCAUUGUUGUUCUACGCAUACUUCGCUAUGUCAAAGGCACCUUGGGACAUGGUCUCCAGUUCUCCUCUCAGUCUUCCCUUGUGUUGUCGGGAUAUUCUGAGGCUGAUUGGGCGGGGGAUCCUACUGAUCGACGAUCCACCACAGGAUACUGUUUUUACUUAGGUGAUUCUCUCAUCUCAUGGCGUAGUAAGAAACAAAGUGUUAUAUCUCGUUCAAGUACGGAAUCUGAAUAUCGUGCUCUGGCUGAUGCUACAGCUGAACUUAUAUGGCUUCGGUGGCUCCUUGCUGAUAUGUGUGUCCCUCAACAGGGUCCUACCCUCCUCCAUUGUGACAAUCGUAGUGCCAUUUAGAUUGCUCACAAUGAUUUGUUUCAUGAACGUACAAAACACAUUGAAAAUGACUGUCACUUUGUUCGUCACCACCUCUUAAGCAACACCCUCCUCUUACGUUCUGUUUCUACUCUUGAACAACCUGCGGAUAUCUUCACCAAAGCCUUGCCAUCUAAUCGAUUCUGUCAAUUACUUACCAAACUCAAGUUGAUCGCCACUCUACCACCUUGAGUUUGAGGGAGGGUAUUAAUGUAAAUUCUGUAAAUUAGGCUAAUUACAUUCCAUUAAGCUAAUUAUAUUACAUUCCUUAUUUAAUUUGGGUAAUUUAGCUAUUUAUGUAACAUUUGAUACUCUUGUAAAAUACAGAAAAUUCAUCAAUAAAAUACAGAAAGAUUAUUCCUUUCACAGUAGCAAAUCAACGUACCAUUUGACAGCAAAAAUCAAGCCUCAACAUCAUCAAUAUCAGCUAGCCCGAUACAUAAUUUGCUAUUACACCCAAUUCUCACAGCCCAUAUUCUGUCUAUAUAAUUAUUUCUCACAUAUUGAUUCUAAAAAGCAGUUGGAUUAUCAUACCUUUUGUAGCACACCUUUAUGGUCACGUUAUUCUUGGAAGUAUUUAACUUCAAGAAUAAUAGGAUCACUUUUUUCCUAAAAAAAAUACAUUUCAAGUUCAUUGUUGAUUGGUAUAAGAUUUAGAUCUCUUGUACUUUGUAGUCAUUUCUCUCUCUGAAAACAAAUGGUUUAUUAAGGUUCUUCAUUUCAAUCUUUUGUUUUUGUUUUUUAACUUCUCUUUUUAAAAUUUUAAUUUAUGUUUGACAACUGGUUUUAGUUUAUUCAUGUUUCUUGUAUUUACCUCCGUUAAUUUUGAAGCAGGAUUGAAGUGGUUGCUUUGGAUCGUCUUCCUAGUGAAAAUUUUCUCUUGCAUCUACUCUCCUAACGUAUCUUAUAGUUGCAAUUAAAUUUUAAAAAAUGUAUAGCAACAUUUAUAAAAAAAAUAUAAAAUUACAAAUAUAUAUAAAGUAAUUAAAUCCAUAUAAACAAUUGGAGAGCAGGAGAGGAUAACUUAUUUUUCAAUUGCAUUUCUUUUUUGGCGAUUCAAACUCUCUAUGAGACUCUUUCUUCCCAUGAACUUUCCUUUUCCAGCCUUCACCAAAUAAUCCUACAUUAAUUAUAAAAAUAUUUUUCUACCUAAAUUUUAUAUAUAUUUUGUUGAACAGUCCUAAUUACUAUUUUUUGGGAUGAAGAAAACAGUCUAAAUUUAUUAUUCCUUCUAGAGACAAGGGUGUUAAAGGACAUAUCAACUUAUUUGAGAGAUAAUAAUACACUCCCUCUAAUCUCCUAGAGACUCGGUAUAAAGUUUUAAAAAAAUAUUUCUUGAAUUUAAAUUAAUAUAAUCUCAAUAUAUAUACCAAUUCAACUGGUUAAGCUCACUUAUACUAAGACUAAUAAAUUGGAAGUUGAAAACCUUUAACUUUAAAAAGUUUGAAAUUGAGAACACCCAAUAAUUAAAAGAAGAAAACUUCGAAUAGACCAAAAAUAAAUUUUGUUAGGUAAAAUAUUAUUACAAUCACAAAUAAAAAAUUUCUGGUAGACCUCAAUCACCAAGAUAAAACACUCUCGAAACAUUAUAUUAAUUGCAGAAACUAAGUAUACCAGACCUCAAUCACAAAAGACAAACUUAUUUUAAUAUUUUGUACUCAAACUUUAGUUUACAUGUUCAAAGUUGUUUUGAAAAUUAUUCAGCUGAUAUAUAUUGUGAACUUUAAAUUGGAUUAUUGUUUCUUUUCUGCAGGUAUGUUCCUCACUUGCGCAACAAAAAAGAAAAAAGAAAUCAAACCAUUUUCCAUAAAAAAAAGAGAACAUAUUGUAUAAAAAUUAAGUUUUGGAUUUUUAAAUGUUAAAUGUUUAAUUGAACAUCUUUACCUCUAUCAUACUCAGAGAAAGAGGAAGAAAAAAGAAAGACCUUGAGUAGAAUAUGGGGUUCCAUAAUUUAGUUGUACACAAUUUCCUACAUAAUUUAAUCCCAGUUGUUUUGACUUUGAUAUUAUAUUAUACUACUGCUAAAAUAACAUUUUAUAUAUCAAAGUGAUGUUCUUCCACUCUUCUUCCCUCUCCUCCCCCAAAGUCAAAACGAGUUCAUAACUUUGAGCAAUUCAGCCUAAAGCUUAUUAUUAUAACAAUAAAAGAGAAUAUCUUAAUAAGUAAACCUAUUAAUUACUACUAAAAUGUGAUUCAUGGGAUUUUGAAUGAGAGCUAUAUAUAACUAUAUAUGAUGGUGAUUAUAUUAGAGCCUUAAUUAUACAUAUAUGUUAAGGAAAAUGAAGAUAUAAUUAGUAAGGGGAUAUGGGUGGAAGAAAGCAUUGGGUUUCCAGUUUUGUGGGGUUUGUAUUUCUGUUGGUUUUACUGAAUCAGCUGGUAGAAGCCAGUGCAAUAAGUUCAUCAUGUAGGCAUAUUGCUAUUGGCGUUGUUACUGAUCAAAGUUCAAGGAUGGGAAGGCAACAGAAGAUUGCCAUUGAAAUGGCUUUUCAAACCUUCCAUUUCUCAACUUCCUUUCCAAAAUUGGAGCUAUUCAAUAAUGAUUCAAAUGGCAACUCGGCUCGAGCGAUAACUUCUGGUAAUUCAAACUUUUUUUUUAGAAUGAUAUGAACAAGUAUAUUAGAUCAACAGGCCGUGUAUCGAAAAAUCUCAAUAAAAUUGACAAAUUCACCACUUUUAUCCUAUUCCAACACUGAUUCCAUUAAUGCUUGUGUUUUUAACCUAAUCAUCCAUUUCACUCAUGUAAUUUAUUUUUGAAGGUUUAUGUUAUAUAUUUUUAGACACUGGAUUUUGCUAGAUUACCAUAUUAUUAUUUUCAUUUAGCUUUUUUCUUCUUCUUCUUCUUCUUUUUUUUGUUGGUUUGUGGAUAUAUGUAAUUUGUCUUUUAGUGUAUUUUUACAAGGGUGUUGACUCGAACCAAUUUGAAACAAAAAAAAAUGUUUUCUAAACUAUAUAUUUUUUAUUUUUAAAAUUUAAUUGUAAAUUAAAUAUUUGAUAAUCGUUUUCGUUUCUCAAUUUUAAAUUUGAAGAAACAUUCCUAAAGAAAAGAAAAUAUCUCUUAUCCAUUUAUGACUCCCUAAACAUAACUGAUUGUGUUAAGUCGUUUUGAUGGUUGAGAGACCCGUCCAAUUCAAUUACGUAUCACCCAACCUCAUUUUUAUGUAUUGUUUUUCUUUUUCAAAAUUAAUUCUUCUUUUUAUAUUUUAUAUAUUAUUUAAGUUUUGAAUUUUAGAUUUUUCAAUAGAUUGAUUUAUAUAUUAUUUAAUUUAAAAUUUUAAAAUUUUCAUAUAAAUAUGUAUAUAUUAUUGUCCUUGUGAAUUUUAAAAUUAUAUAUAUAUAUUCUUUCCAUAUAUAUUUUCUGUUUUGAAUUUUAGAUUUCACAAUUAUUUUCUGCUUAGAACAUUUUAGAUGUUUGCAAUGUAUAAAUGAUAUUUUGUUCAUUUAGCUUUAUUUAUAUAUAUAUAUAACCUUAUAUCUAUUAGUAAGAUGAUAGUAGCCUGACAAUUUAUUAGACACUAACACUUCUUUUUUAUAUAUGUAUUCGAAUAUUUAUUUGAAAGAUUUUUGGAAGUGGAGUAUGAUGAAAGUGUUAAUUAAAGAAUAUGCGAGCACUAGUUGUGAUAUUUUUUAAUCCACUCUCUAUCAUAUCUUUCUCUUAAAAAUAUCACUUCUUUUUUUAUGGAUAUAGGAAUUUUAAAUUCUCUAUCGCCAUGUAACAUUUUGAAAUUAGACUUUUCAUUUAACCCAUAAUGUUAUUUGAAUAUUUAUAUUUUCCAUUACAGCUUUGGAUCUGAUUGGCAACAAAGAAGUGAGCACAAUUCUUGGGGCAUUUACUUUGCAAGAAAUGCAAUUAAUGUCCGAAAUUAACAAAAACUUCAUUGAUAUUUCCAUAAUAUCCCUACCAAUUGCUGCUUCUCUUCCUCCUCAUAAUAAUAAUAAUCCACUCCCACUUCCUUCCUUUAUUCGAAUGGCUCACAACAUCACAUUUCACAUCCAAUGCACAGCCGCCAUUGUCGCCCAUUUCCAAUGGCAUAAAGUUACUCUCAUCUAUGACAAUACAGACGACAUGUCCUUCAACAUGGAAGCUUUGACUCUCCUCUCCAACCAACUUGGAGAUUUCAAUAUAGAGAUUGACCAAAUCUCAUCCUUCUCUUCUUCAUAUUCAGAAUCUAUGAUUGAGGAAAAGCUCAAAAGCCUUGUGGGCCGUGAGAGGAACCAGGUUUUCAUUUUGGUGCAAUUUUCUAUCGAAUUGGCCAAACUCCUUUUUCACAAAGCAAAUAAAAUGAAUAUGAUGGAAAAUGGAUUUGUUUGGAUCGUUGGAGAUGAGAUAUCAAGUCAUCUUGAUUCUUUGGAUUCAUCAACUUUUAAUGACAUGCAAGGUGUCAUUGGUUUUAGAACUUAUUUUGAUCAUAACAAAAAUUCUUUCAAGAAAUUUAGAAGCAAAUUCCAUAGAAAGUAUGUUUUGGAAUAUCAUGAAAAUGAAGAGGAGGAGAUGAAAAAUACGGAGCCCACCAUCUUUGCUCUUAGAGCUUACGAUGCAGGAUGGGCUGUGGCACUUGCGAUGCAUAAAUUGCAAGCAAAUUUUAGCAACAAACAAUUGUUGAAGGAAAUUUUAAGGAGUAAAUUUGAAGGGCUUAGUGGGAAAAUAGGAUUCAAGAAUGGUGUCUUAAUGGAACCACCCACUUUUGAAAUUAUUUAUGUGGUGGGUAAGAGUUACAAAGAGAUAGGAUUUUGGAGAGAAAAGGUUGGAUUUUUCAUCAAUUUGAAUGAAAAUAAUGAUCAAGAAAUCAGUAGUAGCAUUAUUAUUGAUGAAGGAAGAAGUAGAAGUGAUAAUAAUAAUAAUAAUAAUAAUAAUAAUAAUAAUAAUAAUGUUGUUUUGAAAUUACCAAGAUUUGUUUUGUGGGAAGUAAAUUAUGCAGAAACAGGAGUAGUGAAAGGAAGGACGAUUAAUAUUGAUAAUUCAAAUUCCGGAGGAAUGGGAAGGACAUUAAGAAUUGGUAUUCCGGCCAACAAUACAUUCCGAGAAUUUGUUAAAGUUUCUUACGACCACAUAAAUGCAAUAUACAUUUCUGGAUUUUCCAUUAGUGUAUUUGAAGCUGUCGUAAAGAAUCUGCCUUAUUCAUUGCCGUAUCAGUUGAUCCCAAUCAAUGGUUCUUAUGAUGGAUUGGUAAAGCAAGUCUACACAAGGGUAAGUACGAUAUAGAUAAUAUAUAUAUAUAUAUAUUGGAUUAUUGCAUGUGAUUCUUGCAUCUAUUCAUUGUAUCCUUCUUUGUAUAUAUAACAAAAAAGGUGAUGUAUUUAUAUGAACAAAUUAUAUAUAUGGUGGUUUUUAUUAGGGUCUGGAUGCCGCGGUGGGAGAUAUCGGAAUAUUUGCGGACCGAUUUAAAUAUGUUGAUUUCACAGAGCCAUAUAUGAUGGGUGGGCUUGUGAUGAUAGUGAAAGAGAAGACAAGAAAUUGGAAAGAAAUAUGGAUAUUCAUGAAAACAUUUACAACACUAAUGUGGAUCAUUUUGCCAAUCUUCCAUCUUGUUAUAAUGUCUGUUGUUUGGAUUGUUAAGGAUCCAAAGGAUGGAGAAUUAUCAGGAGUUUCAGAAAUGAUAUGGUUUGCCGUAACUGUCAUCUUUUUUGCUCACAGUAAGAAUUUUAAAGUCAUGUUUGAUAAUCAUUUUAGUGUCUUUUCACUUCUCAUUUUAGAAAACAAAUUUUUAUGAGUGGAUGCAGGAAAAGAAGUGAAAGGUAAUUUAGCAAGGUUGGUGUUGGGGACAUGGUUGUUUGUAAUUCUUGUGGUAACUUCAAGUUUUACUGCAAGUCUUACAUCUAUGAUGACGGUUUCAAGAUUUGCACCAUCCGUUGUUGAUGUUGAAACAUUAAGGCAAAUGAAUGCAACAGUGGGGUGCAACUAUCAUUCUUUCAUUCCGAGAUAUUUGAAUGAUACAUUGAAAAUUCCACGUAUAAAUAUUAAGAACUUUGUUGGGAUUGACGAUUAUCCAAAGGCAUUUGACAAUGGAGAAAUUGAAGCAGCUUUCUUCAUCACUCCACAUGCUAAGGUCUUUCUUGCUAGGUACUGCAAAGGCUACAUCACUGCAGCUACUUUCAAUCUCGGUGGCAUUGGUUUUGUAAGUUCUCAACUAAUAAUCUACUUCCAGAUGUUUUGCAGUUUUUAGAUUUAAGUUUUGUUUCGAUUUGUUUUACAAGAUUUCAAGAUUUAUACUUUUAAUAAGUUUGAUUUUCUCACUGAAAUACUCCUGGUAUGAAUUAAACCCAAAACUUUAAAAAUCAGAAGGAUUUAAAAAAAAAUAGUUAAAGGUGCUAUCUGAGCUGCAUAUAUUUUUUGUGCGAGCAGCUUAACCAGUUAUAAUAUGUCAUGUAGCCAAAAAAAUCUUUUAAAAAAAUUUAAUUGACUUUUUUUUUCGUUUGUUGGGAUAAAAUAUGAGCUACAAGCUGCACUUAACCAUUGUUUUCUUUUCUUUUAUGAUGUGGAUAGAAAGACACGGUAGUCUAGCACUACACUUGGUAUUUGGUAAUAAUAGGAAAUUUUGUUAUAUGUUGCAGGCUUUUCGGAAAGGGUCAAGUCUAGCAGUGGAUGUAUCGACAUCCAUCGUGGAACUUAUAGAGAGAAGAGAGAUGCCACAGUUAGAAACAAUGUUGUUGUCAACCUUCAAUUGUUCUUCAGGGAGCCAAGUUGAUGGGUCUACAAGUUUGGGGCCUUGGCCUUUCGCAGGUUUAUUCAUCAUUUCAGCAAGUGUUGCUGCUGGAUCACUUCUAUAUUUUUGUAUAUGCGGACCAAAUCACGAUAACAAAGACAAUAAUGCAGCAGCUGGAGAAGUCCACAAUGGCAAUAACAAUGCAGCUGGACAGGAACCCAUGGCCAAUGGCAAUAACAAUGCAGCUGGACAAUUCCAACCCAGGGCCAAUCGCAAUGAUUAAGAAUUAUCAUUUUUGUAUUUUAUUUUGUUUUGAAUAAUUCUUUUUCUCUUAUUUCGUAUCGGUAUAUCGUUGUAAUUUUUAAACUUCAAUCAUAUAAGUUUAUAUACUAUGUAGUCUCUAACUUUGGAUAUAAAACCUCUAUACUCUGCCAUCUCGAAAUCUUCAUUGAUUUACUAAACAAACAUCGAUCUCUCCACAAUGAGAAUACAUUUUUUUGUUUUACUUGACCAACAUAUAUUUACAUGCAGGAUAGAAUAUUGGUAUAAAACUAGUUCAUAAAUCUUUUCCAGAUUUGACAUUCUUUCGAGAUUGUUAUUUAAUAUUUGGAAAGACGACUUUUCAUGUAACAUCCUUUUUACUUAUUUUUCAUGGUAGGUGUACAACAAAAACCUUAAAAAUUGAAAAGCUAAACACACCAAACCAAAUAGAUUUAUUGGAAAAACAAUUAAGAUAUAUUAGUGCACCUCCUGAUCUUGUUCUCCUGCUUGUUACUUAACCUAUCAGUGCACCAAGACUAAUCUCUCAUAUAUUCAAAAAAAAAAAAAAAAGAACAGAACAAUGAGGUUGGGAAAAAGGCUCAAAAUCAAGAACCAAACCAACAAUAAACCCAACUUAAUAACAAUUUGAUCCAUUUUUUUCACUUGCUGGACAUCGGUUUUGGUUCCUUUUCUACAUAAAACCAAUUUGUUUUGUUUUGUUUUUUGGUUGGACUCAAAAUCCAGAAAAUCGAACCUACCUGAUAUUGCUUACUGAGUAUAGUUAGUUGUAGACUCAUUUAAUACUCCAAAGAUUUUGGGUUCUCCCAACUAUCUUUCUAAUAUAAUGUAUAUAUAUCCAUCAAGAUGGAAGUGUGUCUCUUUCAAUUCAUCUCAUUCUUGAAUUAGAGUUUUUUAUUGAACAAGUGAAUAUUAUGUUUAGAUUUCUUAAACUUUGAUAUCAAAUUUAUCUAAGUACGAAUUAGUUCGAUCAAAGACAAACAUCUUUAUUAAUUCGUCAUGUAAAUAUUUAUGAAUAUGGAAAGAUUUAUAUUAGAAGACGAUAACAUGACAAAUACACACAACAAUAAACCAAAGAGAGGAGCAAUAUAUAUAUAUAUAUAGUAAGAGUUGAUCAUGCGUCCUCCAAGAACAAACUCUUUAUUCUAGUUUUUCUUAAUGAGUACGUACUAGAUAUAUAAUAUGAUGAUAACAUAGAAAAGUACAUAAAUUUUACAACUUCUUCAUUUCUUGGUCUUGUUGAUUACUCUGUCAGCAUACUCAAGAACUUUAUCAAGUUCAUCCAAACAAAUAAAGCCAUCUCCAUUAGCAUCAGCCAAAUUCAAAGCAUAGUUAGCUUUGCUAAAUGAAUUGAAGGAACCACACAUGUUAAAAGCUUUUACUAGCUCACUUCUAGUGAGAUAACCAUCACCAUCAAUAUCAUGCUCUAAGAAAAUCUCCCUCAUUUCAUCUUUACUAAGCCUCAUCUUGUACGGCCCACAGGACGCCUUCUCAUCAGGAAUAUUAACCUUAGGUUCAACUUUUUGAGGCUUAAUUUGUUGGUGAUGGUGAGAAGCAGCUUGCUCAAUGAUCAAAGCAGUUAGCUCAUCUUUGGUCAGGAUUGAAUCACCAUUCUUGUCAUACUUUUUUAUCAAAUUACUUGCUUCUUGUUCACUCAUGUAAUUACCUUGGGCUGGGACAGGCUGAUCCUUAAGAGGAUUUGUAGACAUUGUUGAAAACUAUGUGGGUUGUGUUUUGGGAUUUGAUGUGGAGUUUGGAGGUGAUAGAAUUAAAUUAAUGUCUUGAAAGGAUUAACACACUUUAUAUAUACUAACUUUAGAAGCAUAAGUAUUUUUUUUUUCAUGUACAAAUUGGAAUCUUAUUCCUAAUUUCCUCUACUCCAAAAACAAAAGAUUAAAAAAAAAAGAACUUAUUCCUUACCUAAUAAAUCUCUUUAUUCAUUAAGAUAUAUAUAAAGUUCCUUUUUUUAAAAAAAAAAUUAUGGUUAGCAAAGGAAAAUUAUGGUUUAUAUAUAUAUUUUGCAUGUGGAAUGAAAUAAGAUUCUAAAAAGGAAGAUAUUCACAGCUAAUUAGCAAAAUAAACAAAAUAAGAAUAAAAUAUAGAAUCUCUUUGUCACGGUCAAAUAAGAUUUUUUUAGUACAACAGUAGUUAUUAAAUGGUAAUUAAACCUUCAAUAUCUUUGACUUUAACAAAGAUACUACAACAAGUUUUUAGGGCAAUUUUUAGAAAAAGAUACGUUGGAUUAGUAGUGCACCUGGAACAUCUACACUAGGUGGAUACCCCUUAGCACCCUCAUCAUUCCCGCUUCAUUAAAUAAUCGUCAGAUCAGAACAAGAGGCAGAAAAGUAACAAGGGCUAGAGAAAAACCCAGUAGUUAUUAUACAAAAGCAUUCAAGUUUAAAGCAAUAGUGCUAGUGCUAUAAUUUUUAUAGAAAUAAGAUCUACUAGUCUAUAAAUGUGUGAGAUCUUUGACAUUUUUCCAAAUCUCCCGAGUAGUUCUAUCUUUGUUCUGGAAGAUCCUGUUGUUUCUCUCUCCAACUAGAUGAUACAUAACGCAGCAGCAAUCAAAUUGAAAAUGAUGAUGCCUUUUUUGCUUUUUUUCAUUUGUGUUGCAUAUGUUUUGAAAGCAAUAGUCCCGAGUAGUUUCGAUGGCAAUUUAGAACUGCUAUCAAAGUUCGUUUUGUCAUCUUACUCUAUAUUGACAUGCAAUUUCAAUUUACAGUACGUGUCAUCACAAAUAUAUGAUGUUAGUACAAAACUGAUAUAUAAAUCUAAAAUUGUUGUACUAAGACAAUGCCAUUUUUUUCAAUACCAUAAUUAUGGAAACAUGAAUCGAACCUUCCGUCUCUAAAAUAGAAAGUAGUUUUGAUUACCAUUGAAUUAAUUAAGUUCAUGUUGACUCAUGUUAAUUACUCUUAAAACAAAUUUUAAAAAUAAUUGAAAGAAGGUUAAGGAAAUAGGAAAUAAAAAACGCCAACCUUAUUUUGGUUUCUUGUUUCUCAUAACUUCUGUUUCUAUUUUUGUUUCUAUUGUUACCAUUUUGCAUUUGGCAAUUUUAUUUUCAUGUUUUUUUCUUUUUCAUAAAAAAAAAAAUUAAUGAAACAAUUGUUUUAUAUCAAAUUUGUUUCUUAGUUCUCUAAAAAAUUUGUUUAGAAAAAGUAAGAGUUAACUUUUAAAAUUAAAUAACUUUAUUAUUGUUAUAUUUGUUUAUUUGUAAUACUUGUAUUUAUUUCAUAAAAGAGCAUCCUAUUUCCUGAAGAGAGUUAACUUUACUACCAACCUAACUUUUGAUAUUUCAGAAUUUCUCCAAUUUAUUAAUCAUCAUUAUCUUUUGAGUGAAAUGAUAUGAUGUACCUCUUGGAAGAUCAAGAUGGAGAGUAAAAUUAUAAGACUAAAAAAUAUUAUUUUCUAAAAACAAUAAAUUACCAUAUGGUGAUUAGUUUUAAUUGAUACGUAUAGUAGAUGGAUAAAGCGUUGCACAUAAAUGUUUUCAAAUUAUAAUAUUACAUACUUAGGGUAAUAAAUCUCAAAACAACCAUAUAUUUAAUUUAAUUUUUCUUUUCAUUUUUGACAAUUUCCUAUUUAUUUUAAAAUAACAAAAAAUAAUAUUCGUAAAACAAAGGCUGCACUUGUACUUGGCUGAUGUAGAAUAAUUGUCUUCUAAAUCUGAAAGCAAUGAUGAAAGCAAAUAAUUCUCUCUAAAGAUUCUUGAGUUCGUUUUAAAAAUUAAAUGUAUCUAGAAAUUCCAACUUUAACUAAUAAUCCUACUCUUUAUUACUAUUAUUAUUUACAACUUUAAGGCUAAUGUUAAGGACAGAUCUUUUAACCCCCCUGAUGCCAAGCUAAUUUUUAGAAACUAAUAGGAGAAAAAAAAAAUGAUAUGCAAACAUUGGAACAUGCAGGACAUGAACUUUUACUUGAUAUAUCUGUUAAAUAAUUAAAGAAUCAACCCAAAUGUUUAAGUUAAUGAACUAUGGUACAUUUUAAUUAUCUCAUUUAUAACAAAAAAAAAAUUACUUGUAUAUGUGUCUAUAUCACUAGACUAAUAGAUGAUAUAAAGUGGGGAAAUUAUGUAAAAAUAUUUGAAUAAGAAAUAUUUCUAUAUUUCCAAAUGCAUAACGUUAUUUCCCUCUAUUUUAGCAAUUAAUUGGAGUUGUUUUGUAAUAAAUACAAGCUAUGUAAUAUGAAGGUAAGAUCUUGCUAACUAUCGAGUUUGGAAGAUUAAUUUUAGUGUAACAUGACAACAAAGAUCAAAAAGGUAAUUCAAAUAAAAAGAUAAAGAGGAAUAUAUAAAAUAUGAUAUAGACUUGGUUAGAAUAAGAUUCUCUCUGUCUUACUCAUUUUAGUAAAAUGGAUGUAGAAUACGGUUCUUUUAUUAUAUUGUUAUUAUAUUGUUGAAAAUUAGAAUUAGAUUCUUUUUAUCUUAUAAUAAUAAUAAUGAAAUAUUACAAACUUUGUUAUUUUUAACUCCGAAGCAACUUUUCUUUUUACCUCACAAAAUAAUACCCAUAUCUUUUAGGUUCCAUACAAAUAUUAUCUACACAAUACAUCAUCUGAAUUUAUUUAUUUAUGAUGUAAUGUAUGUGCGUUACUUUUUGGUCUAGAAAAAUGAUGAAGAUGUUAAAGUUACAUAAAUAGCAAAUUAAAAUGUUGAAAUUAUAUUUAGCAAAAUUCAUCUAACUUUCUCUAAUUCAUUUAAAAUUUUUGUUAUGAUUUAUAAAUAGUUUCAUUUCUUGAUGCUAUUCCUAACAAUUUUUCCUUUAUAUAAUAUAUAAAAUUAUGCAUUAUAUUGUAAUUUUGGGGUAAGGUAUUUUGUUUAUUUUAACAAAAACAUUGCUGUUGCAGGGGUCGUACUUGGGCAAGGGUUUUGAAAACGAUGAUAGGUUGAAUUUUGAGAUUUAUGCCUAAUUUUUAUAAUUUUCUGUAAAAAGCAAUGUUAAAUAUAUAUAUAUAUAUAUAUAUUAUCAUAACUCUCCCAUAAAAUAUUUAGCUUAAAAUUUAUUUAGAGGACAUACAAUUAAAAUAAUUUUAUAGGUUAAUUACUCAUUUAAAACCAUAAAUUAAAUAAACCAUCCAUGGGCGGAUAUAUGUGUACAAUAACUUUCAAAUACAAGAUUAAUUGUUUUGAUCAUGUUCAUUGAUUGGAUUUCUAUUUUGUGUGAUUUGUGAAUUUAUGCUAUUGUCAAUUCAAAGUAUUUGUAGUGUGUGAGUGGAUAGCUUUUAUCCACAUUACACAGAUUCUAGAUUUUUCGACUGAAUUUAUGCUACUCUAUAUAUAUAUAGUCACAAAAACAGAAAGAAGAAAGAAACGUCACUUUUUUAAAAAAAGAGAUUUGUCACGUACGUGACUGUUGGACACUUGGGUAAUUGCAUAAACAUAUCUCUACAAAGCUAAUAUUGCAACGCAGAGCAAUCAACAUCCUCUUUUGAAAGCUUUCUCAAAAUAAAAGAGUUUUAGAAUUACAUAAAUUAUUAUAUUGAAGACGUGAUUCGUUACCUAAUUUAAAAGACAAGUACUGAUCUACAUUUCAUGCUUUAUAUGUAAUCUGAGAAUGUUGAUAUUUUAGAAAUUUUUUGUUAAUUUUUAGAACAGACUCUCUUGUCAGUAUGAUCUAUUUUUUUAUAAAUUUAACAAGGAAUUAAGAAACCCUCUUUGAUUAACAAAACCACAACACUAAAGGAGAAGAAAUUAGAAAGAUCUUACAAUAAGUGGCAAACAAAAUCUUAUUGUAGAUAGCUCUUUCCAUCAUCUUGUUGAUUGAAGACCCUUGGUGUCAAGAAUAAAAAAUUUCAGCUCUAACAAACCAGAAUGGAUGCUCAAACGGCAUCGCUAGACAGAAGUGGGUUUUCUUUCCAAUUUCUCACUUUGGUGACGUUUGAAUUCUCUUGAUCCGCUGCUGCUGCUGCUGCAAGAUUAUUUACAAAAAUAACCUAAUUGAAACUAUCCAUACAAAACUAAUUGAAACUAAGCCAAUAUAUAUAUCUCGUGAACGAAAUUAAAACUCGAAAUAAAAAGAGAAAAGAAGAGAGAAAUGUACAAAGUUUAAUUGAUUGGAUUUUGGAUACCUUACCCAACACAGAAUAGUGCUUAAACAAAAGGGAAAGAGAGAAGUAAUGAUCAUGUGGAAAAGUUUUUCUUUUUCUUUUUUUGGAGUACUACUCAUUUUAAUAUAUAUGUAAAUUAAAGAGAACAAAAUGACGAGAUUUUCUUUACUUCUAAUAGAAAAAAUAUUGUAUAUUGUGUAGCCUUUGCUGCAUCGGAUUAAAAACUAUCACGUAGCACUUUAUAUUAUUUUUAAAAAAUUAUUAAAAUACUGAUUUUUUUUCUAUGUAGAAAAAAUAUUGAUGGAUAGACUUAAAGUUCAAUCCCUAUAUAAAAUGAUGUUUUAGUGGCGAUAUAUGCUUAAGUAUUGAAAUAUCAUCAUUAUCAAUACAUCUAAACUAAGUACUUUGAAAAAAUCCAUUAUCAUUAAAAUGAUAAAUAAUGAAAAUUGGUAACAACUUAUGCAGAUAAAAAUUGACACAAUACAUGCAUAACAUAUAAUUUACCAAGUAUUCAUGCAUACAAUUAAUGAAAGGAGAAUAUAUAUAUAUAUAUAUAUAUAUAUUAUGUUAACGAUGUUUUUUUAACAAAAUACUGGAGGAAGAAGGAUUUGUGGGUGCACUGUAUCUCUAAUUUGAGUGCUUAUAGAAAAAGUGAUUUGAGUUGAAAACUCUUUUUCCCUUACAAAGAAAUCAACAAUAUAAUAUCAUGUUAAAAGUUUCUACUAGUGUUCUAAUCAACAUGAAACAUAUUAAUUAGUUUAUACCAAUAGUUCAAACUGACCCAUAAUAUGUGCUAACAAUCAAGAAGACUAUAAUUUGAUUCUCCUACCUCUGUUUUACUAAGAAGAAAGUUAAAAGUUUAAUUCAAAAAAUAAAGGAAUGGCAAUAUCUUGGCUUAACUUUUUUUUUUUUUUUUUUUUGAGAAAGAUACUUUGGGAUACCAGUAGAACAUCUCUACUAGGUGGACAUUCCUAAACACUCACGUCAAACUCGCUUCAUUAAAAAUAAAGAGAUGAAUACAAGAAGCAGGAGAUACAAAAAGGGCUAGACGGAAGCCCUAUGAACCCAAACAACUAAAAAACGUUUAAGUUUAAAGCAAUAGAACUGGUCGAGUAAUUUUUGAAAAGAGGAGAACGACUUGUCUAGAGACCAGUUGUAGCUCGAAUGUCCUUCCACACAGAGCCAACUAGUUUUUCUUCCCCCUUGAAAAUCUUUUUGUUUCUUUCAUUCCAUAUAUUUUAAAGGGUGGCAGCCACUAAGUGCAGUUUGAUAGUUUGUUUUUUUUUGUUUUACCCUUUGUUUUGUAGAUUUCUUUGCACAGAUAAGUGGAAUUUGAUGGAGAUAGGAGUCGCCCAAGAUAACUUCAACUUUUUUCCAGAGCUUUGAAGAGAAGGGACAAAGGGAGAACAAAUGGUUUCUGUCUUCCUCGGCAGCUUUGCCAAGAAUUCACCAAGAGGGUUUUAUAUUUCAAGUUGGAGUCUUCUUUUAAGCAUACCCAUGAUAUUAAUACACUCAUAAAGGAGAGUCCAUAAACAAGAAUUUACACCUUUUGGGAUGGAUGAUUUUCAUACAAUUGCUAUAAAUUACCCAAUCAUUAUAGUUAACUUCUGCUUGGUUGUUGAGAGGUCUCUCAAGAUGGCCUAUCUCACUGUAUGAAAAGUUUUGCCCAAAUUGUAAUUUAGCUCGAUUUGAUCAAUAUCUAAUUGUUAAUGUUUAUUAGUAAUUAAUUAAGUAAUAACUUUUAGCUUGCUUUUAAUGUAACGAUUGUUUAAAUAAGAUUAGCCUAAAACCCACAUAUUAACUAAUAAUAGAUAUUAGAAGCCUUUUCCAUUUCGCAACAAGAUUACAUAAACACAAGAAGGACCAACUUGCUCAAGCCCAGCCCUUCCUUCCUUUAUUAGUGAAAGUCAAAAGCUUAGGAAACAAAAACAUAAAAUCAUAGGGUGUUGCCAAUUUUAAUUUCUAUCAACGCCUUCUUUUCUGAAACCUUUCGGCAUAAUCGAUGAGUUUGUCAAGCUCGUCUUCUGAGAUGAGGCCGUCACCAUUCUCAUCACAAUAAGCCAUGCCGUAGUGAGCUUUGUAGAAUGGUAUAGAGUGACCCAAGAACCCCAUGGCUUUGAUGAGCUCACUGAUGCUGAGGUAACCGUCUCCGUCGAUGUCGUGCUCACGGAAGAUUUCCUUCAUCUCUUCCCUUGAGAAAUUGAACUUGCUUACACCAGGAAGAGCCAUUUCUUUUGUGGGAAAAAGGAUAUAGCUUCGUGUUUGUUUAUUGCGUUUGGGGUUGUGAGUUUUGAGUGUGUGUGUUUUGGGGUAUUUAUGGAUGUACAAACAAAGGCUUUAUUCUUAUUAUAUCUUAUGAUAUGAUGGUCCCAUUAUAUUCUUACCUUAUGACAACAGUCACAUAUUCCACCUCAAAAACUUGCAUCUGGUCACCUUUCACUCAUUAUUUAAUUUUAUGGUUAACUAAUAAUCUUUUAUCUAGAUAUUAACAAGAGGGGAAUCAAGAAAUGCAUCCAAACAUCUCUAUUGGGUUAAUCAAGAAAUGCGUCUAAACAUCUCUAUUCGGUUAAUGUACCUAUUUUAGUUUUCAGGCUUAAAAUAACUUGUUACCUAAAAUGUCAAUAAAUGUACAAAAUAAUUUGUAUUUGUAUUGUUAGUAUUACUUGAUUGUAACACUUAACUUAUUGUUAUUUUUCUGAAAAACAAAAGUAGGUCAAAAUUUUGUUGACACGUUGAAUUCUGUGUAUGCUUUUUCAUGAAAACUCUAUUGAAAGCUUCUUUUUAAAAAAGAAAAAAGAAAAUCUAAGAUUUAUCCAUUUAGACAUUUAAAAGUAUAUAAUCUUAUAAUAAAUUAAAAGAAAAACUAAAAUAAUAUUUUAACAAAAUUUAUAUAUUUUUAAAAAAAACACGUACAAGUGAUACAUCGUCCAAAUAUCUUCACUAAGUAGACAUCUUCUUAGCAUCUUCAUUUGAUAUGUAUAAAAAAAAGUAAAACGACGACAAAAUAUGAGUUAGAGAUAAGUGCAUUAAAUAAAGAAAAUCAAUAACUAGUGAUGUUAAAAUUAAGUUUAUUUAGUUAAAAUAAUGUAACAUUUUUAUUUAUAGGCAUUUGAAGAACUUUCCUAUAUUUCUUUUACUCCCUGCUCUUGAAAAGAAAGAAUUCAAACUUUAAAUAAAAACCAUAUCAUUUUCCAUCAUUAACUUCCUAUUUUUUAAUUAUUAUUUUUAAAUAGAGCAAAAUAAAAAUUAUAAUAAAAUGUAUCUAUACGUGUCCUUAUCACCAACAAAUGGUAAAAUUUUAUUGUAUUUGUAAUUAUUUUCAACAAUUAUAUUAUUUAAAAUCAUUAUUCUUUUUGAAUUGAAAACUAAAGUAUUGAUUAAAUUUAUUGUAAUAUAUCAGCAACUUUUGAGGUCAUUGUUUCAUCUUUGAUCUCUCUCUAUGGAAGACCUAAAUUUGGUUCAAUUCAAAAUGAUUCUAUCAUUGAUCAUCUGUUCUUCUUUUUCUUCUAAAAAAGGCAUACAACAGUGUGUGAUGACGAAGGACCAAAAUUUAUGCAUACAAUACAGUGUAUAUAUACAUAUAUAGUAUGGGGUUAUUCUAGAAGAAAAAGAGAAUAUAAGUCUUUUUGUUGUGGCAGAAAUUUGGAAUCUGCAUGGGAUGAAAAAGGGCAUCUGCUUCUAUUUAUAUUAUAUAAUAUUCUUUGAAAUGACAAUAAUGGAGGGAAGCAUAAAUUUACAAUACCUCUCAUAAACAUCAAAUAAUUUAUAAUGGGACUCCCAUCUAAUACUUAGGGAAAGGGAAAAUAUUUCUUUACAAAUUAAAAAGCAUUCAUGCAGUUUUGAAAAAUGCAGAUCAAACGGAGGAAGUGCACUUUCUCAAUCUUUCUCUAUUUGCUAUAUUUGAAAAUAUGUUUUUAAAAAAAUUCAUUUAAAACAAUUACUCUAGAAAAAGGUUAUUGUUAGACUGAUGCUUUUGUAUCGAUAGAUUAUCUGUUAGAGUAUUUAAUAAAUAAUAUUGAUAUAAUUACAUUUUGGUAUUAGGUUAAUUAGUGUUAGUUUAAUUUAGGUAAUAUAGCCUAUCCGAGAUCUUAGUUUAUCUAAGCUUAUAUCAUUGUUGUAAUUGUUAUUUUAGAAACCCUAAUGAAGUUUUUCUAUCUCUCGCUCACUAUACUGUCUUUGUCCCUCUAAAAUUCUAGAGUUUUCAUGGCAUCAGAGUCCAAAAUUUUCUAAAACUCAAAACUCUCCCUUUUUUUCUUUGAAGUCGUCAUAGGCUGCAUGUAACAAGAAACUUAAAACUUAAAACCCUCCCUCUACCCAAACUCUCAAAUCACAUCACAGUAGUCUAUCUUCGGAUCUUUCUUCCACCCUUUUUGAAGAAUUGUUAUUUUUAACCUAACAAAGCUUUUACCUUAUCAGGCUAACUUCAUUUUUUAAAACUAAUUUUUUUCAGAAAAAGGAGUUUUUUCAAAAAUAGAAAAAUUUGUAUAUACACUCUAUAAAACAAAACUGCUAAAAGACACACACAAAAAAAAAAAAAUGUAUACUCAAAGUUCUAUAUUUUAUAAUUUCACUUUGAAAAUAUCAAUUUGUCCCUGUUAUAUUGUAAGUAAUUUCUAUUUCACAUUUUUCUAUUACCACUUUCCAAACCCAAUUUCAAAUUUGAAACUUACUAAUUUUUCUUUUGUUGGGCUUUCUUGUAAGGAUAGAAAAAUUAAUGGUAAAAAAAAGUUCUUACGUGGAAUUUCCCUUAAGAUUUGAAAAUUUUGGGAAAAUUUCAUAAAUUCCAACGCUAAACUAUGAACAGUAAAUUUAAAAAAUUGAAAACUUAAAAGAAAACUAUCCUCUUUAAAAAUAAAAAAUAAAAGCCUUAAAUUUAAGUUUAAAACAAUCACUAACUUAAUCUUACUGAGAAAAAUUGAAAUAAAAUUAAAAUAAAGCUUAUGAAAUUGGAAAUUGUUAUUUUAAAAAAAAUGGUAGAAUUAUUAUUUUUUAAGAAAACAUAAAUUUGCAAAUCAAGUGGACAGAUUUGGAAAAGAUACACUGUAGAAUCUACAGCUCGCUAUGUAACGUUAUUGUUCUUGAUCAUAAACAACACAACAAUUCUCGAUCGUCUUCGCUCAAGUUUUGCUUAUAAUAAAAUUAGUCAACCACGCUGUAGUAGCAAAUUUGUUGAUAUCAUAUAUCACUUUACAGUUGAUUUUGUUGUGAUUGGAUAAAAUUUCAUUGCAAGUACAUGUAAAAAUGGCGUAGCAGCAUAGGUUCAGUAAUACUACUCCUUUUUUAUUAUAUAUAAAAUUGAAUGACCCCAUUUUAUAUCUACGUUUGCAUAUUCUUACAUAAGAUCGAAUCCCUAAUGAUCUUCAAAUUUCAAUCCAGAAACCAUCCUUUGUAUUAUGUGAUAAUCAAGAAGCAGCUGUUCAUAUAGCCUCCAACUCAAUCUUCCAUCAAAACUUUGUAAAUUUUAAUAUAUGGGAGAUUAUUUAUAGAUUUCAGGAAAUAUGUAUAAUAUAAAUAAGUUUACGAGUGGAAUUUGUUAACAGAAAAGGGAAAAACAGUAUUGAGGAAAUUUUAAAAACAUUUUUUUCAUUUUUCUUGCAAAGUUUGAGGAGAAACUUCUAUACAUUGUUUCUUUUGUAUUAUUGAUGUUUGGUGCAUGUGAAACAUAUUUUUACCAAUAUAAAGUAUGUGAGGUUCUAAUUUUGUAAAUAUAUACUAAGAAUGUUAACAAUUUUACAAUAAGAGAGUUAUGUUCCAUUAACAUGUGAAAAAGAAAUGAGGUUAAAAAGUCAAACCAAAGUUCCUUUUUGAGCUACUAUAAAAUACUUGAACCAUGUUACGUUUUGUUUCAUCUUCAAACAAUCCAAUCAAACAAACAUAUAUAUAAUUUUAGUUUAAGAAUGUCUGUCUCUCAUCUUCAAGCUUGGGCUAAGAAUGAAGCAAAUGAGUUGAUAAAGAAGUAUGAUAGAAAUGGUGAUGGUGUUCUCACUAAAGAAGAGCUACAAUCUUUCCUUCGUGAUGCUCGUGGUUCAACUCAACUCAAUAAUAUAAGGAAUGUAUCGUCUAGCACAGUCCCAAAAACUAACGAAAAUCUUGCACAGAAGGUUAGCUCAAAUACUUGCAUAACACCAAAAAAGCAGUUGUUGGAUAAAGCUCAAGGUUCGUCGAAACAAUCUAAUGUACCUUUGAGUCGAGAGCAGAUAAAAGAGAUUUUUAAAUAUCAUGACAGCAACAAAGAUGGUUUUCUCAGCAUACGGGAGUUAACAAAAGCUUUCAGCUCUAUGGGAUCAAUUGUCCCAUUUUGCAAAGCUCGAUAUGCUAUGGCUUAUGCUGAUGUCGAUGAAGACGGUCUUGUCAGUGAGGCCGAGCUUGACAAACUCAUUGAUUAUGCCCAUAAAAUCAUCAAGAAGAAAUGAGCUUUCAAGGAUAAUUCUGUGUGUUCUACAUAGAGAAUUAUGUAACUAGAAGUAAAAUAUUAAAAAUAUUAAAAAUAAUUAAAAUAAUUAUUUAAAAUUAAAAUAUCAUAUGUUGGAAUUUUAUUUUUGUUGCAAAAAGCAUUGUAAUUAAAGCUUCUCAUUAUUAAUAAAAUAAAAGAGAUGUAUGUUGGAAUUAAAAAUCUUAAUCUGUUAUCGUUAAGUGUUAAUAUUAAUCUCUCUCUCUUUGUUAAUGAUUAACAAACACAUUAUGAUAAAUAUGGCCUUAAUCUAUGAACAUAAGCUCAAAAUAUUGAACCAAAAUUUAAAAUUUGAUAACUCUUCCCAAUUGAAUUCAUAGUUUAUUUUUUAUUAUAUGUAGAAUGCACUCACAAUAUGAUAUAUUACAUAUUUUUGGAUUUAGGCUGCCCUGUUUUUAAGUUUUAAUUUUUUAGAGUUAGAGGCUGGUUGAGUGGAUGUAAUUUACCUUGUUGUAAUUACUUCUUUUUUUUUCAAUGAAGAUUUGAUUCUCUUUCAACUUGUCUACAACACUAAAUAGGAAAUAGGAUAUAGAAAGGAUUUCAAACUUAUACAUGCAUGAAGCAGAACCUUUUAACAUUUAAAACAUGAUACUUUCCAAAUACUACGUGUAUAUUUCAUAUAAAAUCAUAACUACGUAUAACCAUUAUUCCAAUAUAAAACUGUAAAAAAUUGACCCUUUAAUCUCAAGAAAAGAAAUAGUCAAUUAAUGUUAAAUAGUAUUUAUUUUGACACAAUAUCUCUUUUCUACUUUAAUUGAAAUGACAAAUAUAUUCUAACAAACGUAAAUAAUGACUUCUAAUUUGUUCAAGUAUAUACAGACGUGUGUAUACAUGUGUAAAUAUGUGUGGGUGGGUGUAUAGAAAGAAAGAAGAAAAUCUCCAUCAAAUGUAUACAUUUAAAUAAUAAUAAUAAAAGAAAUAAACUUAAUUAUUGAGGAAUUCAGCCAUGUUCGUGGUGUAAGGAAAUUCCUUCAGAAAGGUAUUAAGGCAAAUGUACCAGCAUUUAAUUUGUACAUAACAAGGGAACAGAAGAUGGGAAUUUAUUCACAUUUCAAGGAAUUUUCCUCACUUUCUUCCUCAAGGGAAAUAAAUACAUAUCUUAUAGAACUUAGUUAUUGACCUAUGAAUUUAAACUACAUAUAUACUUACAGAACCUAAACUCUUGGUGGAUGAAAACACCAGACUGUACAAUAAUAUACUAUGUCCAGUAUGUAACAAAAAUUUCAACUUAGCAGAUAGCAGCAUGAAAUAUGAACUGAUUCUGCCGAUGAAUUUUGAUGGGAAUUAAUGUGGGCAAUCAGCAAUUGAUCCAGGAGUUUAAUAAUCUCUAUCAAUGAAUUUAGCAAGAAAAUCCACCUGGAUCGGAGCAAGUUACACCAACAAGAUUGUUGGAGAAUAUCAGAGAAAUGCUAAAAUUUCAGCAGAUGACAUAACAUAGGAAUUUGUAAAUCAGAAUCUACUAACCGAGCACAUUUAAUCCCCAGAUUCAAGGAUCACCAAUAAUGUAACGAGAAUCUUUUAGGCAGACAACUUUAAAAAUCUACCAAGGGAGGUGGCAGUUUCCAGUAAUUCCAUGAAUUGAAAUCCUCCUGUGAAAACAACCGAAGAAUUGGUUCAAUAAAAGUAAUUCAAGAAUUAGUCCAAGUUCAGUUUGGAGAUUAAGAACCUGCUCGGAUGAGGUCAUGGGAGGAAACAUCCCAUUGACAAGAGUGUGAAGAGAAGUAUAAGAUUUCGUGUCGACACGGCGGUUUACAACAACCUCCCCCUACAAGCAUGAAUUUUUUUAUGAAUUCUGAUGCUACCAAGUAAUAUAAGAUUAUUCUGUUUUUCAACUCAUAUUCAUGAAUCCCCCCCCCUAAAUACCUUGGGAUUAAUAAUGAAAAUUUUUCCUUUUGGAAUUCCAACUUUAAGGUAGCUAAAUUCAUCCGUGUCCCUGUUUCCAAACCCAGCAUAAAAUGGAUUGCAAUCUGGAGGAAAUAGUUCUCGAAUUCUCUAAAAGUUACAAAAAGCAGACUAUGAGCCAUCUUAUUCAGAAGUCAGAUCACAUGUAAACAUAUGAUAUUCAAAAUUUCUAAUUUGAGGGAUUGUAUCCAGAAAAUUGCUUAAUUCCAAGUAAAAAUACAUUUUUAACAGUCAUGCAUCGAAACUGCAGCUCAUCAAAGUAUACUUAUGAAAAUGAAGAAUGUAAAAUUUGUAUAAGUUUCAAUAUCAAAGAAAAAUAUCAACAAAGAUAGAAGAAACUAACCUCCAAGCAAGCAAUCUUGAACUCAUGAGGAGCCCGCCUAAUAACUGUGAAGGAGGAAAUGAGCUCAAAGGUAUUUAUUCACAAAUCCAAGCAUGCCUAGCCUAUUUAUAUGUUUUUCAAUUAUUGCAUUGUUAAGAACUUUUCUCUUCAAAUUAUGCUUACAACCCAUUCUCCACAAUUAGCCAGGAAAACUUCACGCACCCCAAAGCUAGAAUUAGGAGAUAGGUUUUUUUACCAGAAAGCUUAAUUUUAAGUUUUUUUCCAAGGAAAGCAUCCCCUGCUCUAUACCCUCCCUCUACCCCGGGCAUAUGCUUUCAAUAAACCAGGCAUUUAGAAUCACAAGAUGGAUGCAAAUGCCGGAGACUCUUAAAAGGCCAAAGGAUUUGAAGGACUCUGCUAAAGUAUGUGUAUUUCAAGGGAAAAACAUACUGCAUCAAACUACUAAAUAGUUGCAAUUUCCUAGUUUAAAUAUAAACAAUAAAUCUAAGAAUACAUUCAAUAACCAAAACUUUCUCCAGAACAUCUAGCAAUUUACUAAAAUCUAGACUUAGAAGAGAGAAGUGUUGAAUAGUAAUUCUCAAAAGCAUAAAUAGGAGGGAAAAGCUAUAAUAUGUUUCACGUAAUUUCUAACUAAGAGAAGGGAUAAAAGGCAGUAACCUUCACGAUAUAGUGAAGGGAAAAGCCCAUCAGGGGAGAUAACAACAGGCCCCUCUGGUAAAGCCUUCCCAUCCUGCAUUGAUACAAACCAGGUAAAGAUCAAUCGUGGAGUAGUCAAGAAUUUAAGCUCUAAAUAGUGAAUACAUUACUUGUUUAAGGUUGAAAAGAAAUUGACGGGUGUGAUACGCCUGAGAAAUUGAUCGUGCACUGAGAAAAAGCAAUUGGUACCCAUUUUCCUGAAAAGAUAUAAAAAUAAAUUAAAUUGGGAGAGUUCAUUGCAUCAUAAUUCAUCACAUACGAUCGUCCAACUAAUGAGGAUGGGAUAAAAGCUUACCUUAAUAGCAGAAAAUAAAUUUGUGACACCUGUUUGUGACCAAUCCAUUCCAACAAAGGGCAUGAAUUGACCCAGAACAUCCGACCUAAGAAAGUGACAGAAGAGGAAAAAGUAAAGAGAGUGAGCACAAGAGAGGAAAAAAAAGAAGAAAAAAGGGUAAAUAUUUGUUUAAGUCCCGUUUGAUAACUUCUUUUUUAGAAAUUGACUAAGAAUUCAAGUGUUUCUGUAAGGAAGUUGAAAGUCGUAGCUUGGAACUUGAGAGGAAACAAGCAUGAAUUUCAAAUUCAGAAAACUAAAAAUUAAAUCAUCGUCAAAUGAGGUUUGAGCUGUUUAUUGUGCAAGAACAUUUGGCAAAACAAGAAAGAACUCCAUUGACUGAAAAGCUAACGGUACAAAUAAGCCAGACUUGAACAAAUGAUAGAAAAGCAAGGAAAAUUUACUGUGGAAAAUUUCUGUUUUCAUUUUCUUUCUUUAAUGGCAAAAAAAAACAGUGAUUAAUUAAUAAUAGAAUGGAAAGUGAAACAAAUCACCAAUGUAAUAACAAAUAUGGGAAUCCUCCUACACUGCGUACAAACAAAAGAAAUACUAAAAUCAAAAGAUUUGACUUUCUUCAGCUAUAACCAAAAAUGGACUCUAGUUCAAUAGGUUCGACAUCUUCCUAAAAGUCUUCCUUUUCUUUACCACCGGAUGAUCAAAUAACAUGAACAAACUGCUGAACCGUACAUUUCUGAAGAGUACCACUCUUCUUUGACGUCAUUCCACCAAAAAUAAAGUUCAACAGCCACCAAACCAGCCAAGUAGUAAUUCAGGCUUCUCAUCUCUCAGUUACAUACUAUUUUGCAGCCCUAUUUAUACAAUGAACAGAAAGUUCAUCAUCAAAACUCUAUUCUGAAAAGUUUACCCAACCACCAUUGUAUUCUCUGAACAGCCAACAGGCGAAAAGCAUUUAUCUGAUUUCUUAUGAUCUGAAUUUCAAGGAGUCAGUGAUGGUUAAAUUCCUGCAUUGGCAAUACAGUUGGCUUGUGUUUCCCAAGCUUGCAUGAAAACUUCCUACUAACAUAGAAAUUAGGAAGUGUUCAAGAACUACCUAUUCAUGUUUAGUUCACAAAGGUUUCGUUUCUGCAGCUGGAGAAUUUAACCCUAAUAUAAUUUUCCCACAACUGAAUCGCUAAGUGAAUAAUGAAGAAAACUCGUGUACAAGAAACUUGAUUCCAGGGCUUUUUUUCUUCCGAUAAGAAACAAACGUCCAAUAUCAAAGAGAAUGUUAAUUUGAUGGCAGAAGAUUCUAAUGACUCAACCAAGUGCCCUGUUUUCAUUCUGGAAAGGUAUAUAAAGGAGCCAACAACUGGAGCAAAUAAUACCAAACAAGAGUUACUCUGCAUAAAUAAAACUAUGCUCAAAAUCAGUAUAUCACAUCCAAAAUCAUCAGGAUAAAAGAACAUACUUUGUUAUUGUCCCAUCCACAUCUGAUAUCACUACACGAGUAUUCCAUUUCCAUAAAUAAAUCCGGGCAUCAACCUAUUCAGAAACAUAAUCAUAAACAAAUGCAAAUAUGAAGGGAAAUAAAUAAAGAAAUAGGACAGGGGUGGCUGAAUUCUUCUUAUUAUUAUUAUUUAAAAAAAAAAAAACCUUGACCUGCUGCUUUCCAAGCACUGCAGUGUAAAAUGUGAAAGUUAUCGUGUUCCCCCCUUCCUUGAGAUUUAAGGAUGCCAGCUGCUCUGAUGUCGGUGAGAGGGAUUUAACCAUCUGUUUCUCUACCUUGUGCUUAACAAUGCUUGCUUCUCCAUCCAGUCCAUUAUUUCUAUCUGAAUCCUUCUUAAUAUCAAAAUCUAUGCAUCCAUCAACAGCUGAUUGAGUUCCUUUACUAGAAUUAGAUCUUUUAAAAGAGAAAGGCCAAAGUUUCCAAUUUCCAACUGGGUCAACAGUUGCUUCUGCUGGACUACCUGCACAAGUUUUCUCAAUGGGAUCAAGAGCUAUAAUGCGUUUCAUUACGAACAUACAUUCAUGUUUUCACUAAUAAUGAUCCUCAACUAAAUAGAGCACCUCACUCCAUAAAGAAUAACUGCCAAAUUUUAAUCAUAAAGAAAGGAAGCAAUAUAAUUCUUAAAAAACACAAAGGAUCAUUUACAUAAUCUAGAGCCUAAACAGUUACAAAAUUGAUGAAACAGUAAAGGUACUCAAAGAUAAAUUUUUACAAUAAGAUAUCUAAAUUAUCUUACCUGCUCCAGAGUUACGAAUAAUAUUUUUUCGUUCUUCUGAAACCCAUGGUUCUUCAGAUUUUGACCGAUCCUCUGCCACUUUCUCUUCUCCAUCACCACCAGUCUUGGAGCUUGCAUUAUCCUUACAAAAUUCCAUCCAGUUCAAUGGUUUUGAAUUUGAGUCCACAGAAUGGCUUAGAGGAUGAUUGAGCUUACAGACAAUUGAAUUAUCAAUCCUAGCCUGCAUAUUGGGUAGUGAAGCUGCCAGACGCUCAACUUCUUUACUAGAAAUUGGAUGACUUGGAGGAAUUGUGAUGGGACUUGUAAUCCUCUGAUUGAAGAUCUCUUGACUGUCUACAGAACUGCUUGUCACAUAACUUCUAUUUGCAAACCUAUCCUCUUCAUCAAUGCUACUUGGAUAUACUAAUGGAUAAUCUUCUUUAUCAUCGAAAUGUUGACUUUCUGACUCUAUACUCCCAUUAACCUCAGUUUUUGGAACAUCAAUAUCACUGAAAAGGAAUUGUUCAUCAUCUGAAUUUGUUGCCGGCAGUAUAUGACUUUCUUUUGUUGCAACUCUGUUAUCAAUAGAACUCAAAGAAUUUUGGAACUUGCUGGUCACACUUCCAUCUACACUUUUGUCAUCUUGAAAAUCUGAGCAGAAACUUGAACCUGUGCUAUCAAACUUCAAUUCUUUAACGGAACCAGGCAUUUCUUCUGUGGACACAAUUUGAGAAUAGGAAGCUUCAAGUGUUGGUGUUUUUUCUUGAUCCAUUGUGUUGCCUUCAUGAACAGAACUAAUACAAUGAUCCACUUGUUGAGAAGAGUUCACAAGGACUUCAACUUUUUCAGUCUCUAUUUCAAAAUCUCCUGCUACCACACUAGAUUCUGUAUCCUGAUCAAAAAAUUUGGAUAUAUCAGUGCUAAUAAAAAAGAGUCGCAUUAAUGGGAAAAAAAAUUCAGUAGACCUUCUAACCUUAAAGGUCAUAGCAACUUCUUUUUAUCAACUCUUUAUAUCGGUAAGAAUGCUAGAACUAGACUUUGAAUUUAACAAUCCUAUGAGUGUGUGACUGUUUUGUUCACGUCAGAAUAAAGCUUACCUCAAGAUGAACUUUAGUUGUCAAGUGCAAUCCCUCAGUUUGAAUAUCAAUGAUCCCAGAUCCUCCAUUGGUCAGAUGGGAGACUUCAUGAGUCAGUACCCUUGAAUCAUCCAUUGUCAACAUUGAUUGCUUGGAAGUUUCAUAGAACAUUAAAGAUUGCACUGCAUCGGAUUCACUCUUGUCUUCAGACAUGUUGAAUACAUGAGAAGCAAUAUUUGUUUCAUCAGAUAAGUGCUCCAUUAGCAACGAAAUUUGGGACUUGGAAUCUACAUUUUCAGCGAAGGUUCCCAUCGCCUGCACAGUCUCUUUUUCACUCUGUUGGAUAUCUAUUGGUGCAUAUUUCACUUCAUAUGUCCUGUCAAAAACCUUUUCCCCUAUAAUAGAAGUUUCAACCAUUUGAUCCUUGAUGUUUAAACUUGACAUUUCUCUAGUCACCUCAAUAGAAAGCUCUAGCUUUUCUGAUUCUAAUUGAGAGCCAUUUGUCACGGGCUUGUUGCAGGUGUUGUUAUCGAAGAUUUUAUCAAUACUAUUUCCCAUGUUAGCUUUUACAGUUGAUGUCACGUGGCUUUUCUCAUCAUCUCUCCUCAAAUUUUCCUCAUCCUUGCCAUCUGAAGUGUCAAUGGAAGAAAACUUAGAAGAAUCCGUUUUCUCAAGCUUUUGGGCGCGAAGAUUGGUAGACCACCUAACCUCUAAAAGAUCAGCUGCAAUUUCAGCACGCUCCAGAGAAUCUACCCUUGCAACAGAUGUACCCGCAUGAAGAUCUUCUUUCAUUGAUUUACGACCCCAUACAAAUCCAAGUAUCUGUCGCCGGGAGGUAGUUUUUGUCACUAUCUUCCCAUUAUUAUUACUCUGCUCGAUCCCAUCUAUUGAACUCUUAGUGUUAUAGUAGCAACUUUGUGAACUAAGGAUCCUCCUACCAUCCAGUUCCUGCAGUAUCUCAUCACCUGAAGAAGAAGGAUAUAAUCCAGGUUCUCCUUCAACAUCAACUUCCCUCAAAAAAUAAGCUUCUCCUUUAUGAUCUAAAUACAUCUGAAAAUUAGCUUCAACCCCAUUUACAACUAUGCUGACCACCUUCUCCUUCGUCUUCAAAACACCUUGAAAUUUUCCAAACUUUACAUACCAAGGUGAUGAUUUAAAACUACCAUCCUGCUGUUGGACUACAACAAUAUCCACAGCUCCACCAAACGGAUGAAAUGGCCCAGAAACGGUAUAAACACCCUUUGAAAUGUAGCUCCCUAGUAACCCCACAGCGUUCAUUGUCCAAAGUUGUGAUUUCUCAAAUCACCCGAUUUACAAAUCUCAAAUUCUGGCCAUCAUAUAAUAACCUGUACAAGUUCCCCAAUAAAACCGUGCGCCCAAUGUUUCAGCUCAAUAUCCCCAAUCAUAUACCUCCAAAACUCUUAAAACUAAAAGAGAAAACUAAACUACAAGUACAACUAGCCCAGAUCACAAAUUUCCAAUACAACGAUCUCAAUAACAAGCAGAAUCAAUCAAUUUAACCAAUCAAUCAAUUUUAUCUCCAGUUCCCCACUUACAACAAUUAUUAGAAGGAACCCAGAUGAUAAAACCACGGAGUUAACCAAUUUUGAAACAGUCAAACAAUUCAAAUCAAAGAAAGAACCGAACGACAGUAUUGAUGGGGCAAUAACCAAUAACCUGAAGACGCCAUUAAUCAGAGAGAGAGGGAGUCACCAUAAUUGUAAGGCUGAUUGAUAGGCAACUGCAACAGGUAUAAGAAAGAACCGCGAAGAAAAUACGCCGUUGGUAUGAUCAGAGCAUAUUCGCUUUUAAUUAUUCGAAUGUUCCUCCGCCAUUAUCCAAUUUUGCAGAACAAGAACAGCACGUGAUGUGCGAAACGUCGAAACCUUUGCACAAUUAAGGAUCCAAAUUUGGUGAAAUUAAAAAUAUAUAUAUAAAAUGAUAAAUACUGUCUUUUUGCUUUUAUUUUUUUUAGAACAAUAACGUCUUUUGGUUCAUCUUUACUUUUAUUAUUUAUUUUUUUACGAUCAAAAAUUACAAAACGGAAAAACUACCUAAAUUAUUGAUUUGUAUUCUUUUAUUAUUCCGGAAGAAACCAUUUUUUAAGUUAUGGUUAUAUGAAAUGUAAUAAAAUAUGUUUAACAUAUUUACAAUUAUAACAAAAUCUACUUUCUAUAGCGACAUGGUGAUAAAGUCAAAUAAAUAUCUAUUAUAAGAUGAUAUAUUGAUACAUUUUUAUUUGAAUUAAUAUUUCUAUCAUCCAUAGAAAGAGUUUAUGGAUGAAUCAAUAUCUUGUCCCAUUAAGAAGAUUCUAAGAAGUAAUAGGAAGGUUAAAAGGAACUAAAACCUACUACUUGUAUUAACAAGGUGUAUCUUUUUUCGAUGUCUCAUCAUAAGACUUUCAAAGUUAAAGCGUGUUUCGGGUAGAGAAUUUUCGAAUCUAUGUUAGUUUGUGGGGACAAGCAUUCGAAAACUUGUAAUGUCUGUCAUUUAAAUAAAUUUUCUAUUUUGGACAUAAGGGAGUUAAAUUAUUUUUAAAAAAAACGUCAAUAGAAAUGUAGCUAGAUAAAGAACUCCAUUUGGAUUGAGUUAUUAUGAUCCAAAUUGUAAUAUGGUUUGGUUGAAUUUUCAAACAUGAUUGAAUGAAUAUUAAACAUUUUUUUUUGUGAGACAAGCUUACGUUUGUAGCUGGAUCAGCUGAUGUAUCGAUCUGUUCAGUAUCAAUCAUCUCAAGAUAUUGGGCUAACAGAAAGUAGGAUUUGGAAAUUCUACAAUAGGCCAGUUAUAAGGUGUACGGCCCCAAAUUGACUCUUUGUACUAGGAAUUCGUUGGGGGCAGACCAGCGAAGGGUCAUGGCUUCGUGUUGCUUAUCUGGGCGACAAAUGACAAAAAGUCAUGAUCCCAUAAAGAAAUUUGAAAAAUAAAAAGAUAUGGGUAGAGUGAAUCUGAAGUCAAAUACCAUAAUUUUAGUGGCCAGUUUGCUCUCGUAGUCAGUGGAUCAAGAAACUAAUGUUAUACAUUCAUCAACUCAUCCUUGUUUUGGUCUAAUUAUGAUUGUUUCUGGUAUUGUUCAGAAUUUGGUAUCUGUUUUAAUCUCUUCUUUAAAUUUUUCAUGUUGUCUUUUGCCCAUUGGGGUUCGGUUAAACCAUUUUAGAUCAUUGAGUCUUCUUACGUGUUUAGGAAAACAGUUAGACGGAAACAAAAUAAGGGUGAGUAAAUUGAGCUUCGAUUCAUGUGGAAGAAGUUUAUUGAAAGCAAGUUUAAGAAUCUGUGCGCUGUUUUUGAUGGGUUAUGCAUGUUAAGUGUUUGAUUAAAGUUCUCUUAUAGAGCCUUGUGUUAUUUUUGCUUUAUAUCAAUUGAUUAACCAUUUGAUAAGCUAAAUGUGGUCGCCAGAAGCUCAAAUUCUGAGAAUAUAUAAUAUUAUCUCUUUUUGAGCCCCAACAGCCAUCACCUUUUUCUGUGGGGGCUUCCUUGAUGGAUGGCAGAGCAAGGAUCAGCCAGUUGUCUCUUUCAUUGAUCCUAGAAAAAUGGCAUUUCAUUCAUCUUUUAGCUAUGAAAUUCAAUGACCAUAUUGGAUUUUCUUAUUAAGAUGUGCACAGGCACCUUAUUCACACAGCACAUAUUCACACGACUGACUAAUAAAAGCAUUGCGGUUGUUCACUUGUUCACUGCUUUCUUUGUUUGUAGGCUUAGGGUGAUUUUGAAAAGACUGAAAGCACUUCUUUUAGAGCGAGGGGGAUUCAUCAGGUGGGUUUGAUAUAUGACAAUGCAAUAAUAAUCAUUAUCAUAAAAAAGGAUGGUCCUCCUCCUACUCACAUGAAAAAGGUAGCUUUUCUGUCAGUUGCCCACAUCUUUACAUUUUAUAUCAUUCGUUCUUAUAUUUUUUUAAUUUUAAGGAGGAAUAUUUUUUAAAUAGUAAAAUAUUAAAACUAUUUACAAAUAAAAUCUAACCAAUUUUCUUUAGUUUAUUUAAUCUUUUUAAUAUAGUUUUUUUUUUCUAUCCGUGACCAUUCCUCUUUUAAAAAAUCAUUUCAACUGCUGUGGAAGGCAUUGAUACUUUUUUUAAAUAUAUAUUUUAAAAUUUAUUAAGUGUUGGGUAAUUGGGUUAGGAUUAUCAAUAUUUAUACGAAGUCUUAGGUAUUAUUUCACUUGACCCCACACCCUUUUGAGCCCCAUAAUCUCUCUUUUCAGAGCUUUCACUUGUUUCGAUAUAUUUAGAAAUGGUUCAUCACUUUUCAACUUGUCUAUUUAUUUUAGGGACUUUGCCCCCUGAUAUCUUAAGCAAUGUUCUUGGGCAAUUACUCCCACACCUUUAUACUUUCUCAAUAUCAUUUUGAUCCUUUUAGGAAGUUUUAUAUAUAAUGAGGUAAUGUCGAUUGGAAAAUUAUUUACUGUCUCAUAACCAUAAGGGAGAUAUAAAAAACUUCAAAACAAUAAAUGGGCGUGGUAGAGAAAAAAAAAAUCUUCAGUAGAUUAAGACAAUUAUUGAAUUUGCUCACUUUUUCAAACUUACGUGAGAGCUAUGGUCCCAACGUUUUAUGUGGUUUUUGUCUGGCUUAUAAAUGAUUCAAAAAGACGAAAAAGAGAGUAGAGCUGGCAGAAGAGGAGUAUUUGUCUAUCCAAUCUUGGAUGGUUGUUUGAUUUAACCUAUGCUCAUGACCACUCGAUUCGUAAAGAGAUCACCAGGUCGAUGAUAGAUUCGUCACAUUUUCCUUUCUUUUGAAGGUUAGUAGAUCAAUCAACUUUUCUUGUGUCAUUUUCUAUAUUCUUAUCUGCUGAAUUCCUUGCCCCAGUUGUAAAAUCCAAAAUGUUAAUAAACUCUCUUCAAAUCAGAGCUUGUUUUUCCACAUUAUUAGCUUUUGUUCAAGGGUAAAUGAGAUUCAAUAACCAUUGUUUUGUACAAACGUACAUCUAAAUCUAAUAUUGCACAGUUGUGACUAUCCACCUGUUCAAAUGAAAUAAAUCUAAGUCAUCCGAAAAAUUGAAGAACCUGUCAAUUAAAACAUCUAAAAAUACUAAAGUGCAUUUUAAGCUACAAUCAUCUUUAUAUGUCAUGUAUUAAACUCUUCUUCCUUUUCCCUUUUCGGAUAAGAGUGAAAUGCACAAAAGCGGUGCAUCUAAGUAUUAUUCUUAAAACAACUCUUUUAAGUUACAUGAUCAAAAAAUCAUUGAAAGGGCCGGUGCACACUCAUUAUAUAUAUCAAACCGGACCUUCUGGACUGAUUUGCUAUCUCUUUUUGUCUAUAUACACGUACAUACCACGCACAUAAAUGCAGAAAAAGCAAAGAGGCUGAAUAAUUUUCAAUAAAGAAAUAGAAUAUGAUUUAUGAACAAAAUGUAUCCGCUGUAUAUGCUCUUUAACACUUGAGCCUUUCCUCUUUCAAUAUUGAAUUCUUGCAAUGAGCGAUUGCUGCUUGAAUUGCUGCCUGCAGCUCCUCCAUUGUGCUAUCACUAUUAGUGGAAGGAGGAAGCGUUGUAGUUGUAAGGAGAACACCACUAUUGGUUGGAGAUGUUCUCAUGGAAACUGGCGCUGAGAAGAACUCGCCUCUUCUUCCUCUCGAUUCUCGCUUCUUUCUCAACCUUAAAUUACCUGAAAAUGAAUAAGACUGUCUGUGUAGUUGCAUAUCAUCUCUUCUCCCUCUCAGGGGUAGAAAUGGCCUCACCAUUCUUGCAUAUCUCUUCAGUACAUUGCUCAAAUUGAAUCCCAACUUCCUUUUCUCCUGUUCCACUUUAUUUUCUUGCUCUUCAACGUCAGACCUCUUUCUCCACCUUAAACCGAGCAAGGAGAAAGAUUUGGACUUAGGUUUUUCUCUUGUAUCAUUUGUGUUGUUUUGGCAGUGUUCAUUGCUCUUGCAAUUGAUGAAGCUGCUACUUUCUUUCUUGGGCUCCUUUUCACUUAUUAGGUCUCUAAUGGGAAGGGUAUAGCUUUCCAUGGAGUUGGUUGAGCAGCGAGGAGGAACUGGAAGAUGAGAGAGGAGGUGAAGAGGAAGCAAAUGGCCAUGGAAGAAGAUGUCAUCUGCUGGUGAUAAAUCAAUAGUGAAGGAAGGUGAGGUUUUGGCUUUGUCUGUGGAGGAAGUUUGAAGAGAAACUGAGAAGGAAAAUUCAUGAGAAGGAGAUGAAGAUGCUGAAUGAGGAGAAGAGGAAUUAGCGGGCAAUUGUUGCUUCUCCAAUUGCCUUUCUUUGUCUUCUAGAUGCUGAUGAAUGUCCAUAACCCAAACCAGAAAGGUUUUGCUGACAGACAAUUGAUUCUGAAUCUCAAAAUGCCACUUCAAGACUUCAGUUUUAAGGACAUUACCAUAGCUUUAUGAAGGGAUAAGAAGAUUAGAGGGUAGAAAAGGAGAUGAUGGGGGGGGUCUGGCCUUUUUGCCUCUCAGCACUUGCUUAAAUUAAAUUCUUAUUCUUCUUUUUUUUCCUUUUCUUUUUUGGGAGCAGCACGUGUCAAGGAUUGGUGGGUCCUUGUCAAAUCUUACAGCUAUUGAGAGUACAGAUUUGGGAAAGAAAAAUCCAACAAACACCCAAGAAAAUUUCCCACAAAAGCCCAAUAACCUUUACAAGGGGGUACUGUUUUUUGGUAUUUGUUGCAUCAUGGAUCUUACCUAGGAAAGUAUAUGACAUUAGUCAUUAAUUAAACCCCCUUUCUCAAGAGGAAACUUCGAAGAACUCAUCAUAUUCCAUUGCUUCUCUGUAGAUCCUUUUUCUUUUGUAUUCUAUAAGAUGCAUUGAAUGAGACUACCCAUAUAUCUAUAAUUGAUCAGUAUUUUGAAGCAAUUAGGGUCCCAACUUUGCAUGGAAACAAAAUACUUACAAUCUCUUAUCGAAUCAUGAUGACUGUAUGAUUUACAAAAAUUAGGUAAGGUUUUGACUUUUUAUUAACGCAAGUUAUUAAAUAAUUGAUUUGUGUGUUGAUGAUAUUAUGAUGUACUAAUUUAUAAUAUGUCUUUUUAAAUAGGAGAAAUUCAUAUGCCUUUGAUAAGUACCUCACUGAAAUCUCAAAAUGGUGUACUGUCAGACGCCAGUGACUUAAAAUUUAAAAAUAAUUGGACCGAAAGACUUAUUACACUUGUUUCACGCCUCACUUUUCAUCCAAAGUUUUAACGUAUUCUAUUUUAAUAGUAGUUCUGUUGCUUGGUAGGAGAAGAUUGGCAUGGAGGAAUGAGCUGGCUGGUUAGAGAUUUCAGAGGUAGUACAUUGCGAGAGGUUGCAGUUUUAUUUACUACAGAUACCCAGUAAAAGUACCGCUUGAAGCCAAAGUCGUCCUGGAAGGUUCAAGAGAGUUGGAGGCUCUUUUGGAAGGGUAGAAAUCUCCGAUCCUGGUGAUUUUGGUUGGAAUCAUUUACUCUUGAAGUUAAUCUUUUCAACAGUUUAGAUUCGGAACUUUCAAUAGUCUCUUUUUUCGUUGAAGAGUCACACACUCUCUUGCUUACUUGUGAAUUAUAUUAUUAUGGCUUUUGUCAAAAUUUCAAGAGAGGGAAACAAAGGUGUUAAUGAUCACAGCUUUGACUUUUUUUUCUUCAAUUGUUUCUUUGGUGUGGCUUCACUCUUGACUCUCGUUCAAUGAAAGGUCCUUUUAGCUGUCAUAGUUAAUGAGAAAUAAAAUCACUUUAGGUGUCAUCUAUACCCCAAACGAAAAAACAAGUUUGAUAUUUUUUAAAAAAAGAAAUUGAUCAUAUCCUUUUAUUUAUAGUUUAAAAGAACAGAAUGUAUAAUUAAUCUAAAAGUAUUUAGCAAAAUUAUUUUAACUUAAUUACUCAUUUAAGAACAGAACUGCGGGUGCUUCUAUAAUUACUUCAGCAAAGCAAUACCAGUGAAGAAGUUUUAUUAAAUAAAGCACUCCAGUCUUAUUUUCUUAAUGAAAAUAUUAGUUUAAAGAUAGGUUUUUUUUAAAAAAAAUUAACCAUCAUCUUUUAAAGACAUUUCAUAAAUGUUUCAUGAGAGACUAACUAGCAUAAUUUGACAGUAACUUGGAAUAUGAAUUAAGAUCAUCACAUCGUUGUAUUACAAGUUUUGAAAGAAUAAUGAUACUCUUAAACAAGCGAUGAAGAUGUUAUUUAAGUUACCUUUACAAAGAUAGAUUUCAUACAAAGUAGUUUGGGUUCCUUUUUCAAAUUCGUGUUAAAAAAAAUGGAGAGAUCGUAUUGAUAGAGGAAUUUAAUUAGAUGGUAGACCCAAACACACGUGUAGACCAUGAAUGUAUAGCAUGGAAUAGAGAGGAAGAAUUGUCUAUAUCUCAAUCAUAGAGGCAUUAUUUUUGGGUGGACUCACUUAUCCCAUCUUUCAAACACCAUAUUCUUUAUUUUCAAUGAGAGAUAGAUAAAGAAAGAUGCAACAAAUUUGGCAAAAAAAACAAAGAUUUCGUACUCAAAAACCCACAGUGAGAGUGAUGGGUCAUGUGGAGAAACCUUUUCCCCUUUUUCUGCUUUUCGCAUUAACCCCUCACCUCAAUUUCUAACCUUUUUCUUUUAAUCUAUUUCUUCAAUCGUAAGCCAAUUCCAUUCUCCAUGGCUAUACAAUAGCCAAUUCCAUUCUCCAUGGCUAUAAAAACAACAAAUUUUAAAAGUUUUUUUUUUUUUUAAUUAAAGGCAAUGAUAUAUAAAUGAUCCAGAAAGUUUGAUACAUGUAAUCACAACUUUUUCAGCAUACUCAUAUCUCCAAUCACAACUUUUAUUAAGAAAAUAGUAAUUAAAAAAGCGAUUUACAUCUAAGUAUUUUCAUUCGUUUUUCUUAGUUGUUUAUUCUUGUAAAUUUUUAUAUGUUUUGGGUUUUUCUUAUAUUUUCAUAAAAUUCAAUUGGGAAUAAAUGUGGGAGCCUAAUUGAAUAGUAGUAUUACAUCUUAAAACCUUUCUUUCAAGAUUAUUGUGCUGGAGCCUAAUUCAAUCGUAUUUGACAUAUAUUUAUAAUUUUUUUUUCAAAGAAAGAGGCUGUUUGUGAGAUAAUUAUGCUAAUAAGCAAUUAAAAUCCAUCACAUAAGAGGGAAAGUGGUGACUCUGAUUGAUAAUUUUAGUUCAUAAGCUUACCUCAUUCACUACAACAGACAAUCACUAUUACAAUGUGCUUUCAUUUUCUUCUUAGACACAGAUUGUACAAGACAGAGAUUGCAUUUUACUCAAAAACCAAGAUGAUAAAAGUAGUUGCAUUAUGUGCACUUCCCAUCAGGCUACCUCUUACCUGAAAUGAAUGACAGCAUUUGAUCAUUUUAGAGUGGCAGGAGAACAUGGUGUUAAACGUGUAUUAAAAGAACAGGAGGACCCCAGCCAAUAAGAGGGAGGCUGGGUCUUAAUAUUAUGUUUAAAAGUUCAUUAAAAUUGAAGCAAUUACAGAGGGGCAUUCAUCAAAAUAGAAGGAAGUGAUUUUGCUUUAACAUUACCUGAGUUGGGGAACAGAAAUGUCAAUCAUUUAGCUACUGUUAGAAUCGCUAUCUUCUCUGGAACUGUUGGUCCUGAGAAUGUGUACCUGAAAAGAAAGAAUGGGAAAAAUAUAUUAUAUCUGUGAAUUAGUCGACCCACGCGCUAAAUAUAUACAGAUCAAACUCGUGAUUAUAAUUUUUUGAAAAAAGACUGAUUUAGCCCAAUGAACAUUUUGAAAAUAUAGACUCAACAUUAACUAAAGUUAAUGAUAUAGGGACUAAAAGGAACCUAUUGAAAAUAUAGGAAUCAAAACGAAUCAAAGCAAAAAGCAAAAUAAACCUUUGAAAAAAAAUGGAAUAAUCAAAGAAACGACUUUUAAAACCAAAACGUGCAUGGAUUUGAUGAGCUUUCUUUGGGACUUAGUAACCAAUCUCCUUUUGUGAUGUAAUCUACCAAAAAAGCUUUUCAAAAUCAAAAAUUUUAAUUUAGGUAAAACAGGAAAAUGAGCUUUAGAAAAUGAGAUAGAUGAAUGGAGAACAACCACAACCUAAUUUUUAAAGAAGUGACAGUGAACAAAAGAACGUGCGUUUAUGCAUAGAAGGUAUGCACAGAUACGGCAGACGAUGAUUCAAAGGAUCAUGAAACCUACCUUGCAUGUUGUAGGUUUAAUGAAUUGAAAAAUUACAGCAUCCCCAUCUGCCAACUUAUGAGCGACUGCAAAACCCUUCCAUCCGCCACUAAGUCCUGUUUUUCGUGCUAAAUAUAUUGUCGGAUACUCAUCACCAUCUUCAUCUAUUAAAGUCAUUACUCCAUCACGAUUUGGAAGGCGAUUCUUGCAGAAAUGAGAAGGAAGACCCUGUGUUUACAAGUAUUUUUUUUUAUUAGAUGUUAUCUAACAGAAGAAGAAUCUUUACAGCCUUUUCAUAUUCAAAUACUCAAGCAAAACUUUAGAAAAUCUACCUUCUUCAUUGAUUUCAUAUCUUAGUAUCACACACUCAGUUCAACAAGAUUAACAGAGAGAGGGAGAGGGAGAAGAAGGUCAUACGCUUAACAAAUAGUCCUCACUAGCUUACCAGCCAGAAUCCACCACUAACAUGAGACUGAAGCAUUGACUUUAUAAAACUGGGAUAAUUCGGCUCCAACCCAGAUUGCAAUUGUUCAGCUCUUUCAAAAGCUUCUUUUCUUGCUUCGUCCGAAGCAUAAACUCGAUUUGAUAAAUCUCUAGCUUUAGAGAUCCUACAAUCCCCAAAAAAUGCACAUCAGUAACAACAAUACUAUUCAUUCAACGAUAUGAAAGUCAUUGAUUUUCAUUUAAAAUUCUUUAGAUACCUUCUAGGAAUCACCACGCGAUUAAUAAUAACCUGCCAGAUUAAUUAAACAGAAAUGAAAACCGAACUAAUGAAAAAUGGAUUUUGAGAACAUAAAUCUCUCUCCAGAGAAAGCAGCAGUAAACUGUAAUCCAUUAUCCAAGUGCGCAAUAUGAGACAAGAAUGACUCACUUCGGCGUAAACAGGAGCUGUCUGUUUAGCUACUCGACUGGAUCUCCUCACCACCACGAGUUCUUUCUGAGUCACGCGAGGCUUGGUGAGCUUACUCUGCGGAUUGGUCAAGUAGCAAAAUAAGCACAAUACAAGAAUCCAUUGAGAAUAAGAUCGUAAUAGGAGACAACGAAACAGAAAAAAACCAAAAAAACAAAGAAACAAUGAAUUACAGGUGAGGACUUGGAAGGGGAAGAAUCGAUGAGAGCUUGAGAAAGCAUGGGUAAAUUUAGGGCUUCCAUUCGCUUCUUGUUUUCUUCGAGUCUCUUGCGACGACAUUCCUCAUACGAGAGGUUUGCGAUCCCCAUAGUCUCUUCUUCCUCCUCCUCGGUUCGUAGGGUUUGGACUAUAUGCGAAAUGGAAACAGUGAGAUGAUGAAUAACAGAAACGACUGAAUUUUGUAUAUUUGGCGAAAUUUAUAUAAAUUAGUUUGAAGGAGUCGACCGUUAACUUCCCACUUUUUUGAAAAAAAAAACGAGCACUGAUUUUAAUUUAGGUUAAAAUUGGGGUCUCUUCGUAAAUAAUAAAAACAUCAGAAGCAUUUACAAAACAUAACGAAAAAACAAAAAAUUUCCCUUAAAAUUGUUAAAUUUUGAAUUUUUUUUUCCAUAUUUUAAGUUAAAGGAUUGCUUUGGUUCAAAUAAUUAAUUUUAGUGUAUGUAACUUUAAUUAUCUAAUUUUAAUUUACUUUUUUUUACUUGUAUCGAAACCGGUUAAAUAAUAAUAAUCAUAAUAAUAUUCAUGAAAUAAAAUAAUAUGUGGUUUUCAAACUUUAUAAUAAAGAUGUUCAUUGAUAAAAAAAUAUAUAUAAAAAACUAAUAAUCAAGUAGGAUGAAGACCUAAAUUUGAGCUUUAUCGAGAAUAUAUAAGGAACUUUUGCAAGAAUAAAAAAGAAAAAUUAUGAUAAUCUAUUUUCUAAAUUUGUAAAAAUAGUAAAUUUGAAAGUGAUCACGGUAUGAUUACCAUAUUAUAGUUUUUCGAUAGUCUUAUGAUUACUAUAUGAUAUAACUAAUUUUAUCAUUUUCGUAAUAUAAAAAAAAUGUUAUCAUGAGCUGCUUUUCUAUAAAUAUUUUUGUCAUUUUAUGCAAUUUCUCACUCUAUAAACUAAACUAAAGAAUUGAACCAACUUAAAAAAUGCCCAUGCAGACAUAAAUAGUAUGGUAGAAAAUCUUUAGAAUUUAGUUUGUUGUUUGUUAAUAUUAUUCCAAAUAAAUGUAGUUUUUAUUAGCAUUUCCUUUAUAAAAUGUGUAUGAAAAUAUACACCUAGUACUUCUUUUCCACUACGAAAAAUGUUAUUAAUAACCUAUUUUAACAAAUAACAACUUAAAAAACCUAAUUUAAGAUUUAUGGAGAGUAUACUAAGUAAAAUUGCUUGAAAGUACGAGUUAAAAUUAGAAUAGAAAUUGAAGUAAUCAAUGCUAUUUUAACCUUUAUUUAUUCAUCUAUUUUAUUGGUGUGUAUAAAAAAAAUAGCUCAAUUUUUUUGGGGCUAAAUUAUACAAAAUAACGAAGUACUGUUCAGAUUCAAAAUAAUAGAGCUAGCAUACUUUUAAAUUGCAAGGUAAAUACAUAGUAUAUAUGAAAUCUGUAAGACACUUUUCUAAAUACCCAAUGUGAAAGUCACAAUUGUAUGGAAUAAAUAAUAUAUGUGCUAAUUUGAUCGUUACAUAUCAAAUUAAAGCAUCAACAAUUACACAUACACACUACCCCAUAUGUCACCCUAAACAUAAUCAGUUCUAGUAAUUUGAAAUUACAAGAUAAUUAACACUCCAUAAAUUUAUGCUAAUUAGAACUAUUGGGACUCACCUAUCCACCGUUCACGUGUUUCAAAUAAAAUUACUUUUAGAAAUCUAUCCAAAUGUGCCCUUCGUUUUGGACUUUCUGGAGAGGAAUACAAAAUAUUACUCAAGAAACCAGUUUAAGAGCUAUUGUAACAAUGGCUUACACGGGGGCCAUCCCACUAGAAACCUUCAAGGCUUUUUCCCAAUGAAAAUCAGCAAAAUCUAUCAGAUAGCAAGUAGUCUACUAAGCUAAAACAAAAAAAAGGGUUUAACAAAAAAGAGAGAAGAAAAAUGUUAGGAACAAGGGAGACUUGAAUGCACACACCGCCCCCAAAUAUAAUUCAGCUGAUACAAGAUUGUACAAGACACAGAUUGCCUUUUACUCAAAAGAAAUUUGCAAAAAAGUAGUUGCAUUAUGUGCACAUCUUCCCCAAGCCUCUUCAAAUUAUCACCUGAAAUGAACUGGAGCAUUUUCAGAAUAACUUUAGAGUAGGAGAUCAUGAUCGUACACUAAGCACAAUCAUGCACCUGGAUAAAAACUGGAAGGUCAAAAGAGCUUCUUAACCAAUUAGAAUUUAAGAGUAUGCCAUAUGAUAUUUAACUAAGUUGUUUUGAAAAUUUAAAAAUAUUCAAAACAUUUUAUAAUGGUAUUCUUCAAGAAAAUUGCUUCACUUAAUUAGAAGCACCAACCCUGAAAUUCCAAACUUGUUUUGUGCAAUUUCAUGCGGGCUGAACGUAUACUGUAAAGAUAGAACUAAUAAUCUCAGAGCAUUUAGAGAAUUUAGAAUUAGUAAAAUUUUAUUUUAAGAUUACCUGACUUGGGAUAAGAAAGUAAAUCAUUUAGCUAUUGUUAGAAUCACUCUCUUCUUUGGAACCAUUCGCUCUAAAGAUGUACACCUGAAAGAAAUAAUAAGGGAAUUAAUAUUAUGUGAGUGAAUUCAUGCGAAAAAACAAAAACAAAACAAUUCCUAAAUAUCUGAAAGAGUAAGGGACCUUUUAUUAGUCUGUUUUCAAUCUUUAAACAUCUUUUUCUACAUGGUUGAUGGUAACACUCUCCUCUCUGUGUUGUAAGCCACAGCCAAAAUUAUCUUUAAAUCUUAAUCUUAGACAAAAUUCCAAAACUAAAAAUAGAUAAUGUUAUAUCUAGUAGCUAUAAGGGAGCAUGCAGAUUCUGCAAUCCAUGUUCAACUUGUUAUUAUGAUGUAGUCACAUUAUAAUAACUUGUCCAUACAUGAACACCAAUAUGUAGUGAUUGUUUCAGAAAACGUAUGCAGACAAGACAAAAGGUCGAAGAAUUUUGAAUCAAGUAAAGAGAUGAAGUGCAAUCACCUUGCAGGCUGUAGGUUUAAUGUGUUGAAAAACCACAGCAUCUCCAUCACUUAACUUAUGAGCAAUUGAAAAACCCUUCCAUCCACCACUAAAACCUGUUUUUCGUGCCAAAUAUAUUAUUGGAUACUCAUCACCAUCUUCAUCUAUUAAAGUCAUUACUCCAUCAUUCUUUGGAAGGUGCGUCUUGCAGAAAUGAGAAGGAAGGCCCUGUGUUCAAAAGCAUUCUUUUUCCAAUGAUUUAUGAUUUAAUGAACUAAUAUCACAUACAGUUCAACAAGUUAAUAGAUAAUCUUAAUAGAUAAUCUUUGCUAGCUUACCAGCCAGAAACAACCACUAACAUGAGACCGAACCAUCGACUUUAUACAGCUGGGAUAAUUCGGCUCCAAUCCAGAUUGUAACUCAAGAGCUCUUUCAAAGGCUUUUUUUCUUGCUUCAUCCGAAGCAUAAAACUGGGCUGAAAAAUCUCUUGCUCUGGAGAUCCUAUAAUCCCGAACAAAAGAAAGCUAGUAACAAUGCUAAACGAUCCAACUGUAUGACGAAUCUUUCAUCUUUUUUCCAAUCAGUUUUCAGUAGAAAUACCUUCUAGGAAUCGCCACACGAUCGACAAGAACCUGCCAGUUUAAUUGAAAAGAAAAGAAAGCAAAACCAAUGUAAAGGGAUUUUGUGGUCUAGAUUAUACGAUUCAAAACAAACAGCAGUAAACCCUAGUUCAUCGAUCUAAGUAGGUUUAGCAUAAUACUGAUGACUUACUUCAGCGUAAACAGGCGUUGGUUGCUUUGCUACGCGACUGGACCUCCUCACCACCACCAGUUGUUUCUGCAUCACGCGAGGCUUUGACCUGCUUACUCUACAAAUCGGUCAAAUAACGAAAUAAGCUCAAUGAUCCAUGGGAAAACAUGAAUGAGAAAAAAAGAAAAAAAGAAAAGGAAAUGGAAUUACAGGGGAGGAUUUGGAAGGGGAAGAAUCGAGGAGAGCUUGAGAAAGUAAGGGCAAAUUUAGGGCUUCCAUUCUCUUCUUGUUUUCUUCAACUCUUUUCUGACGACAUUCCUCGUAUGAGAGGUUUGAGAUUCCCAUGGUCUCUUCUUCUUCUUCUUCCUCGAUUCGUAGGUUUUGGCGAAUAGAAGAAAUGGUAAGAUUCAGUAUACUCGAGAAUUGGGGAAAUUUCAAUUUCGUACGAAAAUUGUCACAGUCGACCGUUAACUUCUCACUGUUUUGGAAAAAUAACUGGAGGGAAGUACUCAGAUUUGAACACCAUCUUUAUUUUAUUUGGUCUCUCAAAUUUCAUCAAUAACAUUUUUAAAAUUCCAUAGAGAUGUGAACCUUCAAAUGUCAUAAUAUUGUUCACUUAUCUACUUGUAGUUUUCCUCCUUUAAUAUAGUUUAAAGUUGUAGGCCUUUAUUGAGAAUGAAGAAAUCAUUCGAUCGUUCAUUGCUUAUAUACAACUUUUCUAAUCCUAUAUUUUUUCCUUGUUCAAUAUAAAAGGUUUCUCAUCCUUCAAUGUUAUUGGUCGAAAAGAAGAGAGAGAGAGUGUCGAGUCUUCUUUCUACACCAUCUAACUUAAAUUUUAUAAAUUUAAUUAUUUUUAAGUUUAUAUUCAUGUUUGAUUUUUCAAUUAAAUUUAUAUUUUAGUUCAAUCACAACAUGUGAAAUAAAUAUUCAAACUUUGAAUCUUUUGAUCAGUGACCUGGUCAUUUGAUAAUUGCUUGAAUUGGACAUGAAUGUUUUCUUAAUUGCUUGAAUUGGACAUGAAUGUUUUCUUUCUUUUAUAAUCUUUUAUAUAUUAAACUAAAUCUUCCAAUAAAUUUCAUUCCAACGAUAAUAAGUUAAUCUGAUAUGAUUUUGCAAUUCACGUGGUUAAAAUUCUUUGGUAAAACUUUUAACUCGAAUUCAAAAGUAAUAUAAGACAUAAUCGGUAAAACUUUUUAACUCAUACUUAAACUUACAACAAUAUAAAUACACAUUCAAACUUUGUUGACGAAUCAAAGAAGUGCAAAAAUUUCAACUCAACUCCGUUAAUAGUUUUUCAAGUGCUUCAGAUGGAAGCGGUAUAUACAAGCAAUCUUGACCAUCAGAAUGCCUUCUGGUCUUCACCAACUCGUGGUCUUUAAAUUCUGUCAAAUGAGAAUUCAGUGUUAUCUGGCUGCUAACUAGGAAGCGCUCCCGACAAAUUGCAUACAGCUUAUCGAUUGGCAUACCUGAAAAAGUUAAAAUGAUACCAUCAACAUUGUUCACACAAGUUACUUCGAUAUUCAAGUGUGUUAGUAACAGGUGAAUACUAUCAGAUUAACUUCAAUUCACCUUCUUCAUCAGGAUGAGAUAGCUGAUGUUCUAUAAGAACUUUGAAUACACUUUGUGCAUUGGGUGUCAAACUCUGUAAAACUAUUGUUGCAGUUUUUGCACUUUGAGCAGUACCACCAUGUGCAAGAAUCAAAGGGAAGAACAUUCCUUCAAUCUUGUAAGGGGCAAAUGUUGGAACAUGAUACCACAACCAGUUAAACUGUGUGUGAACCAUCUUCUUGUCCCACACUGGAGAAAGCAGAAUACAUGAUUCAGUGAGAUCAAAAUCAAUGAAAUAUUGCAAUUUGCUAUGCUUCGUACAACAUAUUCUUGCAGUACUAGAUGACCUCACAACAUUACAUGAAAGAGAUGAAAAUCUAAUUUCUAUAUUGAUAAUUCGCCUUUAUGUAUUUCAUUGCAUUAAACCACCAAUUCAUCCAAAAGCUUAAGCUAGUGGUUGAAGGCAAAUUUAAUUAUAUAUCACCAACACAUUGUCUAGAAGUUAUGAUUACAGUAACAACCCCUGUUUCAUUUCUUUGAAUUCCUGGUAACAUCUUGAGAAUCCAAGCAUAGUAACUUCACUUGCAAGUUGCAACAAAAUUCAAUGCCUUGCUAACUUGAACACAAUUCAACUAAUUUAGGCAUAUACUCUUAAUAUAAGAAGUCAGAGGUUUGAAUACUCCAAUCCCACUGUUGAACUCAAAAUCCAGUGUCUGUAUAUAGAAAGCAAGAUCAUGCCAUUUUCCUAUGUAACAAAAUUGCACUUACACGGAUAGCAUCACGAAAUAGAGACAUAGGUCUGAUGUUUGAAACGCAUAAUUCAUAUAGACAUUGAUAAAUGGAAAAUGCAUAUGCUUACAAAGAGGUGCAUUCACGUGGUCAACGGAGGCAAUAAUUCGAACAUGGGAACAAGCAGCAACUCGUGCAAGAUACUCUUGUGUUUCAGAAUCUCUUAACCCAGGCCCAUCAAUGUUGUGUAUCACAACACAAACAAAACAAUCCUUGUCUUCCUCAUUUGAUCCAUUCAGAAAUACAAACAGAUCAUCCAUGGAUCGCGAACUAAAUGUCUGAUGAACAUUGCUCCCUGAUGCAUUUUUGGGUCGUGAUUUCAACUGAUCCGACAACUCUUCAGCUAUGGCUAUUAUAACCUACACAAAAAAUGACAAUACUUUAGUGACACAAAAAUAAACUCAGUAUGUCUGAUUGUGGAUAGCCAUUAGCUAAACUGUACCUGUUUAAUAUUCACUGAUUGAAGAUAGCCAUUAACAACAAUUACAGAAUAAUCCAUCAAUGCCGUCGAAGCAAAAUCUUCAAUCAAAGACUUCUUAGACCCAAAUCCAUACAUUAGAAGGCCAAAACCACAUCUGAACCACAGGAAAGAGAAACCUUAAGCGAAUUUACAAAAGAAACGGAACAAGUGACCGUAAAAGAAAUUAAAUGAACUUAGAUAGCAAUUUAAAUAAUUUCAAAUCCGGAAGUAAUUUGUAAAAGUUCCAACCAGAUAGCUUCAAUCCAACAACACUACAGUUCAACUAUCAUGGCACACCUGAGCUCAAAUACCCAUUUCGCGUACGAACUCUUGUAGCUGGAUAUCAGGGCCGCAAUUUCUCUCUCGUGCUUUGGUUCAGUAUUCGCUGCCGCCGCCCUCAAUUCCUGAUCAUUAAUUUAUUCUAAAUCAUUUUCAUUAAACUAAAAAAAAAUCAAAGUAUUUUAACUUGGUUACGCACCUGUUCGUCGACAACGUCGAUGUCGGCAAGUUUCCCAGAAGAUUUCUUUUUGGAGCCGCCCAAUUCCUUAGCCAAAAAAUAGUUCCUUGAAAAUGCAAACUCCUCGUCGUCCAGAUCAUCCACCUCCAUGAUAACGAUAAACAGUAACGAAGAAUUGAGACCCAAUCGAUUAUAGUUACUUCAAGAAGCGGAUAAAUGGCUGUAAUGGAGCGAACCCUAGAGAAAGCACUCUUUCUUUUUCCCGCCAUUUUUAGACUUGAACCAACGUGCAUCGAUCGGGCUCAAAGUCCGCCCAAUUGAGCUAUACCCGUUUACCCGAUGGCUCAGUUGACUUAAUGAGCCCAACUACAACCGUAAAGCCCACACAAGUCAUGAGAUUCUUAGGUAAGGUUAAUUAUAAUUGUUAUAAAUUUUUUAAAUAAUAACGGAGUAUAUAUCCAUAUUUUUAAAAAUUACAGAUAUAGUAGAAUUUAUUGAUUAUAUACUUUUAUCUAAUAGAUAUAUUUGCAACACUUAUAAAUUUUUAUGAUUGAUAAAUUUUGACCAAUUUUGUUAUAUUUGUAUAUUGUUUUAAAUAUUGUUAUAUACUUAAUUAUUUUAAGUAUAAUUGUUAUAUUUAAAACUAUCUCAAUUUUAAAUUAAAAAGAAAAAGGAAAAGAGAAAUAAAGAUAAAAUUCUAAUCUACUUUAUUACCUAAGUAGUGGAAAAACAAAAGGUUUGUUUUGUUUGUGAGAGAAUUUGAAAACAAGAAUUGAAAAUAAGGAACUAAAUCAAAAUUAUAUCUCAUGUUAUGAGAGACGUGUUUGGUAGUAGAAUACAAAACUAGCUCAAUUUUAUUAAAACGGUUGUAAAUUAGUUGUAGUUUCUAUUGAAUAUUAAUUGAUGAUAAAUUAAUCUAUUAUUUUAAUUUUAAUUCAUUGGAUGGAAAUAAUAUUAUGCUAAAUUGUUGAAAACAAACUAAAAACAUACAAAUCAUUAUCAAACCAGAUGUGCAUUCUCAAAUUAUAUAUCAAAUAAUGGAGCUUUAAAUGAUUUAUUCGGGACAAUAUUUCGUAAUAUUCAUAACAAACUCGUUAAUUUAGAAGGAAACGGUAUAAAGUAUGUCAAACAAAACAAAAUACAAAAGUUAGAUCUCAUUGAAUGCGUUUUUAUUUUAUUAUUAGUUUCAUUUUUUAUUUUUCAAUUAAUAGAGUAACUCUUGAUACAACGUUUGAACUUUUUUUUUUUUGUUGCUUAAUUUGGUUUUUAUAACACUUUGGAUAAUAAAACAAAUAAUUUCAAGUUAGAAUGACGAUAGGAUAUAUACAACACUUUUAAAUUUGUAAAAAUGACAAAAUUUAAGUCGAAACUCACAUUUGAAAAAUGCAAAAUGACAAACUUACCCUGUAUGUUUUAUACCAUUGAUGUACUAUUGGUACACUUUCUAUAUCUGCUGAUACAUUUGAUUGAUUAAAUACACUUGACGUAAUCGAGGUUCUGCUAAUACACUUAAUAUACUUAAUUGGUACACUUUGAUAAAUAUUACAUGUUUGAUACACUAAGUUAUGCAAUCCAUAUACUUAAUAAUAUUACAACAAAUUGCAUAAAAUUUUUAAAAAAUGAAAAUCAUGUAACAUAUAUAUCAACCAAUUAAUACAUAUAAUAUAAGUACAUCAGAACACUGUUAUACAAAACUACAGGAUGGAAGAAGAAAUAUGAAAUGAUUAUAAAAUUAGUUAUUAAAGAGUAAUUUGGAAAUAAUAAUAAAUAAAGGUAUUUUAAAAUGUGAGUAUUUGGUGUUAUUGGAAAGCAACCAUUUGAAAGAAUUUUGAAGAAAAACUGAAAUUCAACAAGAAAAAAGAAAAGAAAACGAUGAUCGAAAAUGUGAAGAAAAAAUAAGAAGGAAAUGAAGAUGCGAAAAACGGAGAUUAAACGGUAGCGUUUUUAAUUUUCAAGAGUAACCUACAAAGACAAACCAACCGGGAAAUGAUGUUUGUGAAACAAACAUUUUUUUAAUUAUUGGAUUAAUUUUCCACGAUGGAUACAAAUAUGAUAUGGAGAUUUAUAAGAGGAAGCAUUAAAGGAAGAUGACCAAUAGAUAGAAGAGUGUGUGGGGCAGUUUGAAAAUAAAAAAGAUCUAAAACAUUAUUUUAGGGAUUGAAAAUUACCAUAUUAAUGCCAUAAUUGUUAAAGUCUAUUGCUACCAUACAAUUUCCGUAUAUAUUAAAUAAAGGUGAAGAAGAGGUCAAGUUUGGUAAUAAGUUAAAAGUGAAAAGCUGAGAGAUAUGGGGUUGGGUUCGUAAUUAAAUAACCACUAAACAAUAAUAACAAAGUGGAUAAUCAUUUUCAAUCAAGUCUUUAAGAAAACGAGAUUAUAAUUUAAUUCAUCUCUCUUUUUCCUUUUUCUUUUUCUUUUUCAUUUUUUUUGUUAAUGCCCAAAAAAGAAACAGCGCCACAGUUGGUUAACCAUUUAACCAUCGAUCGAAGAAAAGCUUUGUUGCUCCGGCGCAUUUUAACGAAUUGUCGGCGACGGACGGCUGAGUGAAAUUUCUCAGAUAACUUACAUAACCUCCGGUUCACGUUAUCUCCUCCUCCGGUGUCGCAAACGUCGUCGGGUUCUUUGUCCGAUUGCAUUGUUUUAAUCGCCAACAGGCGGCAAAGCGGCAGCAAGAAUCGGCGCGCAAUAGCGCGGAAAAUCUUGACCAAAUUCAAUAAUUAUAUUAGUUAGCUGUGUGUUAUCAGGAAAACAAAUAUAAUUUUCAGCACUAUUCCGCUUUUUCGAAAAAGUAAUUUGGGGAUUUGGUGUGAGGAUCCAUCGGAUCGAUCUGCUUCGAGGGUAAGAAAGAUUGGGGAGGAGAGGCGGUGAAAAUUUGCUUCCAUUUCGUUUUUUUUUUUUUUUUUUUUUGUGUGUGUGUUGUAUUGAUAUUCAGAGAGGAGAUAUGGUGGUGGGAUGAAGGUGAAGAAGAAGGGAUAUGGCGAGGGUAGAGUGGGGUUAUCAAGGAAGAGGUAAAUGGACGUGUUCGUACAAGAAAACCACUGUCAUCAUUUGUUCUAUCAACAUUAUCGUUGCUCUCUAUGUUUUUCGAUCUCUAUAUGCCUCCCUCUACCUCUAUUCGGAUAAUGAUUCACCAAGUGGUUAGUGCCUGAGUUAGUUGCAUUUCCUUUUUGUGUUGUUGAUUCGCGUUUGAUAUGCGAAUUAUUGAAAAAUUCUGUUUUAUAUCUUUGCGUCUUUUUUCGACAUUAUGAUUCCUUUCAUUCUUGAUUUGGUCGUAUGCAUUUAUUCUGUUUAUUUUUCUUCUUCUGAGCUAGUUGUAAAGUACACUCCGGAUCAGAUUAGGAAAAUGGAAGAGUUUGUUCGGGUUCGUAGGGCCUCUGAGCCGGUAGAACUCAUUAAAUUGGUAAGACCCAGACUUGCUUUCAGGGAUUUGUUUGUUCAAUGUGCUGUGCGACAGAUCUGUUUGAGGAGAAAGAUUUCUGGUUUAAUCACCGAUUCUAGGCAUUUCGUCUUUAAAUUUGUUUAUUGAAGAUUAUUCUUUUGGUGUAAAGGUCAAGGAGCUUAAAGAAUUCUCCCAAGAACAGACGGUUGAUGAAUUACCUCUUCCAUUGAAACAGAAGAUAACCGAGGAAAUUCUUCUGAAGUUGAGAAGCUUGAACGGUAGCUCAAAUAGUACUCAGCAGAGAGGUCAGUACAAUCUUAUGAUUUCCCUGCUUUAGUUAUCACAUUGUCAUACCUUAUUCCUCAACCAUCAUAAUUAUCGUCUAGUUAACAUCUAACCAUCCUUCUCCCCUGGUUUCUGUUUCCAAGGAUUCUCUUGAUUAGAGAGCAAAGAUAAUGGGUAGGAAUUACUCUAAGCAUCCGUAUAUGUUAAACUUUCACUUGGACUUCAAUGGAUCAUGGAUUAAGUGUUUUUCUAUUUGUCUUUUCACAAAAGGAGCUUGAUUUUGAUAUACUGAUAACCAAGUUUGCAAGUACUGUCACUUUAGGCCAUGCCUGAGGCAUUCUGUAUCAUGGUUAUCAUAUUUCAGGCAUGUGUUUGAAUCUCAUUCUCUUGUACCAGGUUUAGGGCUAGGAGAUGCAAUUUAUUUUACCAGGUGACUUGAGUGUAUGGCAGUUUGACCUUGAGUUGGAACCAAGCUGCAUCACUUCAGAGAGACAUAGAAUUCAUAGUUUAUUUUUUUUAUAACUGUGUAUUGAUAUCUAAAAUUCGUAAAACAAGUUGGCUAGUAACACAUUUGCAGUUCGCUUUGGCAUGAAGUUGCCAUUGUUCUAACACUGUUACUUGUGGAAUUAAAUAUAGAUAUACUAGAUUUAUUAUUAGUUACAAAUUGCAGCACUUCACAUACCAUGUAAAAUGCUACGUAAUAUGAUCAUUGUCUUUGAAGUUCAUAGUGCAUACAACCAACUUCAUUCAGAUCAACCUUAAGUUAUUCAUGUCACGAUUUUGCUAUUCCAUUUCACUUCUUUACUACCUCCAUGAAGGAGUCAUCUUUUCUUGACUAUAUCUUUUAACUCAAACAACACAGUUGAACACCCUGUAUUGGAAAUUCUGUCCAAUUAUGGUUGUGUUUUCUCAACUUGGCGGUUCCUUUUUAGUAAAAUAUCUCUUUAGUUUGUUGAUAACUUAAAAUCCUCUGAAAGAAGCAAAAACCUAUACUUUCAUUGGAUGAACGGAAAUACAAAAGGAGACAGAACUCCUCAAUCUAGCCAGCCUAGGAAUUACUAAAGAGCUCUCCAGUUGGCCCUCGAUCAUAGAUAUCUAAUGACUACAAAAGAACUUUUAGAAAUUCUGAAGUGAGAAAAAAGAAGCAGAGAAAUGAGGUCCCCGUUCUUCAUCAGAAGAAACCUCUUCUCCAUUUAAAGUGCUACUGUUCCUUUUCAACCAGGUUUCACUAUAUAUGGCCGUUAGGAUCAUUUAUCCAUAAAAUCAUGUUCCUCUCUCUAAGAGAGUGACACAAUAAUUGAUAAAUGAAUUCCCCUUUAAAUUUCCAACCUCUGGGAUUUUGAUGACUAAGCAGUUGAAGAAGCCUCCUAAAUAAAAUGCAAACUAAUACUCUGAAAAGAAGCUAUAAAUCUUUUAGAAAACCAGUUUUUUCCCUCUUUUUAUUCUAAUGCUAGAAGUAGUUCAUUAUUCAAAUAGGAAAACUGGAUCAUCAUUCCCUUAUGUAUUCAAUUCUUUCUUUUUUCGCUUUGGGGGGGGGGGGGGGGGGGGGGGGGGUUGGGGCGAAGAGACGGGUGGUUCUGUUAAUUAAAUUUAACUUACAGGUCAUACUGAAUGGCGCCCAUCUAGAAACAUACAAUGACAAUUCCUAUAUUAUAAGCUUAUAACAAUGACAACCAACAACAACAACAAUUCUUUACAAAAAAAAAAAAACAAUAGUAACAAUGAGACAAACAAGAGGGGGAUGGCAUGUUUUAUGCUAAUGGGGUACUGUUAGCAUCUUAUUUAUAUUAAUUACCCUGUUGGUAUCAUCAAUUUAGUCAUUACUGACCGAUAUGUCUAAGAAUGCCUCUGCUAUCUUCAUAUACAUUAAAUUAUGGCUGAAUAGUCUAUACGCUGCUCUUGCAGCAAUAUUUAAUCGUUGGCAUAUUCCUUCGUUGAAGUUUUAGGGUAGCUCAUAUGUGCAAUUUAUUGUAUUGCUUUCGUUAUAAUCUUCCUCUUCUUAUAUGAUCAGAAGCAGUAGAAAUCUGGAGAAAGGAAAAAUUGGAAGAAGCAAAUAAGUUGAUCACAGAGCAAAUGCUUGAAAAUUCAACUCUUUCUUUUGAAGAUGCUGGUAUGGAAUUUUAGAGUGUAUUUUGCUUUUGUUUUCUUGCAGUAUUGUGCUAGAAAAUCAUGCCUAUUAUGCUGUAUCUUAGUUUCCUUUUUUUUCCUCUUCUGGCAGGGACUCUAGUAAAAGCCUUGGAGGCUGAUUGGCAAGUGUUUUCUGAAGCAAUUGGUCUAUGGAUACCUACAGAGGUUGUGCACACGGAACAUGAUGAUAAGCCUGAGGGUGUAGAUGAAUUCGGUAAUUUUUUGCAACUCUUAAGAGUAACAUUCUAUGCACCCGAUGAUUUAAUUUCUUCUAGUGAAAUAUCAGUUUAUAUGACACUAAGGUUUUCGUUCCCCCUCCCUAUGUAGAUGAUGAGAUUUUACCCGGCAGACCAGUUCCUCCUGAAUGUAAUGCUGAGCUCCAUACAGAUUACGAUGGUGCCGCGGUAAGAUGGGGUCUAACUCAUCAUAAAGAAAGCGCAGCUGAUUGCUGCCAGGCUUGCUUGGAUCAUGCAAAACGUGCACAACCAGGUGACAGGAAAUGCAACAUCUGGGUUUACUGUCCAUCUGAGACUGGAUGCCACUCUCCUGAUAUUUACGAACAUAAGCAUAUGGAAUGCUGGCUGAAAUAUGUAAGAACCAAACUGAUUUCGUGGUUGUUAAUCCCUUUCGUAGGCUCACUUGAAUCUAACUUUUCUCAACUUCAAAUCCAAAUGCAGGCAGAAAAUCCCAAACUGAAUUUCAAAACCAACUAUCCACAGUCUUAUAGAAACUCACACCCGACUGCGCCAUUUGUUGUCCCUUGGGUCUCUGGUGUUGUCAGUGCGUAAAUGUACAACAAAUCAGGCAAGGAAUUUCCACUAAAAUGUUGAUUUCUGUUGUCCACAGAGUUGCAUGAAUUAAAAUUUUGAGGGUGUUAGGUGUUUAGGGGACUAGCAUUUGAUUGAAGGUCUGUUUGAAUCAUAACUGUCUUACUCUCAUGUAAGAUGUAAUACGGAUUGGCAAUCCUGGUGUCUAUGACUUCAGAUUGACAAGUCUGGCGCUGAGAUGAGAUAGAGAACUUAGAAGUAACGUGAAAAAGAAGGGCUAUUUUGUUGACUAUUAACUUUGGAAAUUUUAUUCAUUACGCUCAGGAUGUCAGUUUCUGAGCUCUGAGCUUACUCUCUCCCUCCCUCUCUCUCUCUCUUGCCUUCCUAUGAAGAACUUUUGUGAGUUUUUGGAGAUAAAUAACCAACUACUUCAAGUUUACUUUGAAUGAGUACUCCUAUGAGCACAAUACUUUUUAUUUAUUUAUUUAUGUAUUUUGAAAUAGCACAAUAGCUUGUUUAAACAUUUAAAAUGUUAUUUUUACAAUAGUAUUUUAAGGCUCUAAGUUUGUGAAUGAUCAAAGUUUAUAUGGUUGCAUGUUUAUUUGGGAGUACGUAACAUCGAACACACAAGUUAAUAAUGAAUUGUUUUUCCAGAGGGUUAAAAGACACUGAUAUUUUCUCUUCUAUCUAAUAACUUUAGAGCGCUUCAAUCCAAUGAUGAAUAUAAGUAAUUGAAAAAAAGGUAUAAUGUUGCAUACUACUUUCUUUUCUUUAAGAACAUUGCAUGCUUUAUUUAUUUAGAGAUGUUAUUACAAAUUAGAGAAAAUAUUAUAUUUGUACAAACCAAUUUUUACGACUAUAUUAUUAUUUUCAAUAUUAUACUCAUUACAAUGACUUGUUUUUAAAAGAUGCCAUUUAACUUACUAUUUUUAUUUUCAACAUUAUACUCAUUACAAUGACUUGUUUUUAAAAGUUGUCAUUUAAUUUACUAUUUUUAUUUCGUUACUUUUAAUGAUAUAAUUUAUCACUUAUAUUUUGAGAAUUAAAUCUAAAUUUUAUUAUUUCACAGAGUUUUACUAUUUUGCUAUACUUUAAAUAUAAUUGUUAUAUAAAAUUUGAGUAAAAUUUGAGUAAAAUUUGAGAAAAUGGACGAAUGACCAAUUUGAUACUAUCUAAAUUUUAAUAAUGGACACAAAUACUUGUAAUUAUGCUUUUGAAAAAGAAAACUAAUAAUCUAAAAAAAGCUCCAACAAACUUGACAAACCAAAACCUAACAUUAAUUCAAACAAACAAGACUUAUGAAGAGAUGCAAAAUCUUAAAAGAUAUAUACAUAAUUAAAAAUUAAUGUUGAAAAGUAGAAAAAUUAGACUUUAAUUGUGAUCCAAAAAAUAACAUUAAUCAUCAAAUUUAUACCCGAAAUAAGCAAAUAUCUAAUAUAUAUAUAUAUAUAUAUAUAUAUCUUAUAUUUAAAAUAGGUAUCAAAUACCUUCUUCUACCUAUCAAAGUCUAAUUUGAAUCGAAGGAGCCUAAAGUUAUUCAAUAUAACCAAACCCAUCCUUCAUCAGCCCGCCUGCCCAAUCUAACGGCCCAAACGCACUUGAUCUAAAAGAGUAAAUAAAAAGAAGAAAAAAAUAUAUAUAAUCCCCCGCCUUCUGCGUCUCCAUUUUCCGUUGCGUCCUACCAUCCCGCCGCCGCGUUCUCCACCUUGCUCAGCACCGCAAACCUUCUCUGCCGAUCUUCUUCCCUCCGUUGGUAUAAGGUAUUUUCUAUAUUACAUAUAUAUCUUUUGAGUUUCGAUACUUACAAUGGAAGAACGUCUGUAAGCUCAAACGAACGGGAAGAUCGGUUCGAUUUGAGAAUCGAUUUUUCCUAAUCAAGGAGUUCAGAUAUUCCUUUGAUUGUUCAUUCUUAAGAUCAUUAUUUUGAUUAUCAGUUUCGCCAAAAACCAUAGAACCAAGAGACUUUUUAUGUUAUGGAAGAUUUGAGUUGAACAUUAUGCUAGUUUAAAAUUGAACAACUUUGGGUCUUUAGUGUUUCGUAGAGAUUGAAAUUGCUGAUAGCCCAGUAGUCUAAGAAAAGUACGCUACCUAGGAGAACAAAUUAAAAGGUAACUUUCCCACAACACCUUAAUAUCUUAUACCUAUGGAAUUUUACUAACUAUUUCAUUUGCUCAACGAAUUUGAUAUCAUUUUUUUCAUUAAGCUCGAAAUUGGAACUUUCAACAUCUAUACUGUUUACCCCUUUUCAAUAGGCUCUUGCACUGUAAUGAGCUAAUAAUUUCCGUUGCAUAUAUCUCAAGGUUGUUGGAAAUUGAACCCAUAAUACAAUGAAUUCAAUCAGUGGCUCCAUUGGUGAAACUUACUAUGAUGUACUGUCUUUAAGAGAAGAUGCUAGCUUUGACGAAAUUCGAGCCAGCUAUCGGUCGGCUCUCCUUAAUUUCCACCCUGAUAAAUUACAAGCCAUGUGCCAUAAAUCUCAUCCAGACGACAUCAUGGGGGAAAGAUACUUCAAGGUGCAGAAGGCUUGGGAAGUUCUCGGCAGCUCGAAAUCCCGUGCAUCUUAUGACAGAGAGCUCCAAGCUGCCAAAGGGGAUGCAAUUGGUGCAGAGAGCAUAAGCUUAGAGGAUAUGGUUGUGGAAGAUAAAGGUGAAGUUGUAGAACUUCUUUAUCAGUGCCGUUGUGGGGAUUACUUCUUUAUUGAUUCCGGGGAGUUGGAUGAAAUGGGAUAUCCAUUGUUGAGGAAUGGUAGUAAGGUUUCUUUAAGGACUCUAAAUGCUUUGCCUGCUUCUGUUGUUUUACCCUGUGGUUCUUGCUCUUUGAAGGUUCGUUUGCUAAUUGAUUCGAAUUGACUGUUGAAUUUGAAUGAUCGAAAUCACAACGAUUUCUCUUAAUAUCCUUGCCACUUGUUUAAAUUGAGAGAGUUUAUGAGAAUUUUGUGCUCUUCGGUAGAGUUUACGUGGGUUUUCUUUAAUGCAACUUUGUUGAGUGAAGUUCAACAAUUUUCCUAGGCUGUUUGGUUCAACUUUGUACAUGUGGAUUGUGGGGGUUACUAAUCGGCAUCUGAAAGGCAUCAGCUUGAAGACUUCGUCGUGUACUGAAUUGUCAAAAUUUGAGAGAACAACCAGAGUGUACACCAAGAGAUGGGGGGAAAUCCAUGGUAGUUUCCUUCUCUAAAAAUGACUGCUGGGUAAGAUACAUUGUUAUUUCCUUCCUUCCCCUCGCAGGCUCUCUUGUAAAACCAAAGACGCCCGAAAACGAAGUACAACUGGAGGAGGAAUUAAUAAACAAGUCUGGCAAGGGGAAUACUGACUGAACUAUUUUAGAAUAGGUUUAGUUAAUUUUUGAGGUAGCGUAUUUGCUAAAUGAUCAAUUUGUUAAUGACGACCUUUCUAGAAAACUUGUGGCAAACUGCCUAAGAAAAUUCCCAAACUGGUGAUUUGCUCCCUUGGAUUGCUGCUUUUUUUUUUUUUCUGUAAAGGGGAUGAUUCCUUGAUAAUUUUCUACUUCACUGACCCUUUUGCCUUUGGUGGUAAUCUUUCAUGCCCCCCUAGAUGGGUUAAGAAUUGGCUAAAGGAGGCCUUAGGAGGUUGGUGUCUUGAAAGCGAGAUGAAGAUUCCCAUCGGAUGUAAGGGUAGUAAAAUGAUUAUUUUUGUUGAAGUUUGCAGGAUAACGUCUCGUGUUGGUGUUCUAGGCAUACAAAGUUCAUUAGUAAUUGUAAUAUAAUGACCAAUCUUUAAUCUUUCUUCUUAUGAUCUUUUACAAUUGAAAAAUCGUGGUUUUCUUCACUCUCAACUUCUAAGUUAUUACAAAGGGUUUUAAUUUUUUUUUUAUAUGUUGAUAUUUUCAUGUCCGAGGGUCUGAGUUUGACAUCAACACGAGUGAAAACAUUAAUAAUGUAGAUGAAAAAAUGAAAAUUAAACUACAAGCAUUUCAACUAUUCUAAAAGGUUGAAAAAUGUUUAAUAUAUUAAUUUUAAAAAAAUAUCAUCAAUGUCAAAAUUUUAUCAUUAUUUUCAACAUUUUUCGUAAAUUUAAAAUAUCGAUAGUUUUGUAUCAUAAAUUUAAAAUAUCAAUAGUUUUGUGGACAGUGUAGAAAUAGCAGGCACCAACGUAUUGGAAUACUCAAACCCUCAUCAACUUUGUACUCGUUAUAUAUAUAUAAACUAGAUUAUAUUGAUAUCAUUAUUUGACAUAAUGGCAAAAGUCUUCUAGUCCUCUCUAGACCUAAGUUGAAAUUUCACUCUUCACUUUUUUGUUUUUAGAUUAUUUUUAUUGAAUUAUAAAACCUACAUUUAACAAAAAAAAUUUGUAUUCAUCAGUUAGAGUAGGUAUCUACCUACGAAUAAAAUGGACAAGAUAAUGAAAGACCACUAGUAAUGUACUAAUUAAAAAAAUUGCCAUAAAAGCAUAACACCGAACAAAACAAAAUGAGACCAAACAUCAUUUUCUAAAAAAUUAUGAUAUAAUUAACCAGAUCAAAGGCUUUUGUACCCAACUAAACGUGAAAAGGUUAGUGAUAUAUUAAGAAAUACCUAAUAACAUUUGCAACUUACUUAAGAUGAGGUGUCUCAAUCCCGUCUUGUAGGGAUAAAUUUUCGGCAGCAUCAUCAUCAGCUUUGCCUUUAAGCAGCCGGAUGAAGAUGCUUUGCCUCGCAUAACAGGCACGAUCAAGUCAAUUUUGAUGGCUAGCAGUCAAUUUUAUGACACACUGUAACAGCUUAAAAGUCAAAUCAUGACCCUGUAAUUCAUCUUCUAUAGUGGCUUCAUGAUAAGCAUUUAAAUGAAGGGAAAGUGUUGCUAUCCACUUCCUAAGUCUCAAAAUUACAGUGCAAAUGAGCAGCAAGAAGUUUUCUCAAAAAGUGAGUCUCAACUUUAUUGCGCACCAUCUACCACUAACGUUGUUUACAAUCCAAUGAUGGAAAAAACUGCAGAUACAAUUCGGGAAAACAUCUAAUAGUUCGAUUUGGGAAAAAUUAAUGGUUAAUCUCGGUGUGUGUGUGUGUAUUUUUUUCCCCCUCCUCUCUCUUGAUAGUAACAGUCUGGAUAUCAUCAAUUUUCAGUUCGUUUUUCAUCAAUACGAUCAGGUGGAACUGAUUUAAAAGCGAAACGACCCUAAGUACUAAAUAGAGCAUUUAUGAAAAGAAACAGACUAAUUAACUUCUUCAUUUAAAACGAGCGAACUUGGUAUGUGGACAUCAUACCAGAUUGAGACCAAACUUUUGAAGAUCAGCUGUUUGUUUUUCGUACUCUUCUCCUCACAUGAGCUUUAAUAAUGGAAGUGCCACACUGAUCAAGUUGUCAAAAAUAGGAGAUAUUGGUUGGUUAAACGUAUCAAUUCUCUCAAAUCUUGAGCAUCAAGUGAGAAUCCAAGCGCCUAGAAAAGUAGGUGUUAGAUUAGCUUACAGUACGGCAAUCAAUUUUCUAAGUGUGAGCUUUGUGCUGGGAAUCUCUAGUGCAGUUCAACAUCAUUAGUUGGAGUGUCUUGUGCUCUCUUCUAUCUUUGUCUUUACACCUAAGGAUUAAAAAACGUUAUUUUCAUUAAGAUAUGAAGGCACUGUCAAAAAUAGUCAUUCUGAACCCUAGAACAGUAAGGGGCGAUUAAUUCUUUAUAUAGUUUGCUGGCUCAUAAACCAACCAGAAAAUCUUGCUUCUCCAAUAUGGGGGUCUUUUAUCAAGAAGACCCACCAAAUCCUUCCAGGAAAUGCUUUCUAGCAGGUGCUUUGAAGGAUGCAUUCUGCAACUGCCAUACUUUUAGAAAACCACUGCCAAAGUUUAACGAUGAGGACGAUUAUCCUACAAGUGACUUUGAUGAUACAGAGGAAGUACUCACCAACUUAUCCUCGUGUCACAUAUCUACAGAUAUUGUAACCUUUUGUUUCUAUUUCCUAUUAUAUGAAAAUUGUUUCUCAGUUUCGAUCUACUUCUCAACUCUCAGGAAAUUGUAUCAGAAAUCAGAACUCGAGCAAUGGAAAAGUUGAAACGAAAGACUAACCUGUCAGACAGCUUCUCCUGGGUUUUCUCACCUGCAACCAAAGAAUUAUAUAUUACUUCAAUGGAGAUUGAGAAGAUGGAUGAAUCUGGAAAUGAAGAUAACAUGGGAGAUGAGUUCUACUCUGUUCGGAGUUUUCUCACGUGUUGUUCAACUGCAGCAACAAAUGAAGCCUUCUUUUCUGUGGAAGCCAACUUUUCCCGAUGUUCAAGCUUAAAUGGUCUUAAUUUUCUAGAUGAGGAUCUCAAGAGACGCACCAUCUUGCAGGAAGUUUUUCAUUGUGAAGGAUGGCCGUUCGGUCUUUGCAGGAAGGCAGUCUUACUUCCGCCACUGCCCAAGUCGCCAUCUGAAUCUUGGUUAUGGAGUAAAGGCACCAAAAUUGUAAAGACAUAUUGAUGUCCAGAUUUGGAGCUAAACUCUGUUUUUGUACUUUCUUGGUAACAAAACUCAUCAAGUUAUUUGAUCUGAUUAAUUCCAACUACACAAAUUACUUCAUAAACAUUUGUUUUAACCCUCUAAGCUAUUUUACCGGUAAUGCGAGGUUCAGUAGCGAAAAUCAUAGUGAAGGUUGCCCUCUCCGCAGAUGACACGGAACUCUUUAGGAACUCAUAAAUCUAAACACCAGAAACGGAUGAUACAAACUUGCAAAAUUUAAAAGGAACUUCUCAUAAAUAAAUAAAGGCAAAAGGAAUCCAAGAAUUGGCAAACAAGCAAGGAUGUUUAAUUCUGAAAACUCAUUCGUCGAUGUAAGAUCUUAUUCGAUUGCAAUUUAACUCCACAUUAAUUGGUUCUGAGAGUAGACAAUAAAACAUUGAAGAACAUACACCCAAACUAAAGGAAGCUUGCAGUUACAGCCAAACAUUCAAAGGUGCCAAAUUUAUGCUCUUUGCUCAACAUAUGACCCCGAUAGACCAGAGGUUCCCAGCACAGAAACCUGUAGUAAAAUAGCAAAGAUGGCAUGGUUAACAAACAAAUGAUCAAAUUCGUUUAUUAAAUUUUAAAAAAGAAAAGCCAUUUAUUAUAAUUAGAAUAACAAAAGCGUUAACUCUUUCCAAUGCAAGUAUAUGAUUAAAUUAUUAUAGCUGAACAUGUAUUAAUCUGCAGGGUUUAUAAAAGUAAACAAGGAUGAGUCACCAAACUCCUAGCCCAGUGUUCCCAUAUAAGCUUUCUUACCAGUUCAAAAUUAACAUAUUGUGAUCAAAAGACUCCACUCUUUUAUAAUGUAAUGGUGCAAGGAUUCUAAGUUGGCAAUUGUAUUUGCCUAAUGGGCUAUAUUUAAUUCACCAACUUAAAUGUUUAAAAAUAGCAACUUAGAAACUACAAAGCAGAAAGGCUUCUUACCUUUCCCCACUCAGAUCCAAGGCCACUGCAUCUCAUUUUCAAGUAUAUCAUCUUUGUUCCUAACUCUGUUUCCACUUUCUUCCGCAGAUAGUUUUCCUCAGGACCAAAUGAAUCCAAGUAGGCUAUAUAGCGUUCAUGAACCGUAUGUAAUGCCUUCUUAAGCUCAUCGGACAAAGGCUUCACAUUCUGCAGAUUGUCUCAGAAGUUUUUACAUUAUAAACAACUGGCAAAAAAAAAAAUACAAAAUGAUAAAUCUGUAAGUCCAAUACCUCGCCACUAAGACCAAUGCUAUCAUCAAUUUCCAUUUUCAAAUUGAUAAGCAUAUCCCCAAACUCCUCAGCCGCUUCAGCUGCUCGGAAAACAUUUUCCACAAUUUCUUUUCCAGCUUUAUCAUCAGUGCUUCCAGACAACGCGGUCUUUACAUCAUAAAUAACCGCCUCAGGAAGCUUAUCCCAACUUGCAGCCAUUAAAUCCUUGAAAACGUUCUGAAGCUUGGGAUCUUCAAUUGUGGGCAUGCUAACUACAUCAGCACUAAAAUAUCUAGCGUGCCCUACACCAGAUGGAUAGCUACAAUCUGCAGAAAUUUACCAGAGACAGGUAUAUGAUAUAUUUUCAAACAUUAAAAUGCAGAAAUAAGAAUUUAAUUGAGUGUAUCUACAUUGUUCAUACAAUCAGAUCACCAUGGCGACCUGAAAUAAUAAAAUACAAUGGUAAAUGAAUUUUAAUAUUUUACUUGAUAUUCCUUGGCCUCACAUACGAAAUUGGUUUUGUUAAGAUUCUUUGAGACAAAGACAUUGCUUAAAGUUACGAUAAGGAGAAGUUUGGCAUUUCACAGAAAAAGCACACUGCGCGCACUAUAAAGACUCGUCGCACAAUUGACCUGAUGAUAGAUAUUAAUACAGAAAAUAAUGUAGCAAUUUACUAAACGAAUACAGCGAGCAAUACUUUAAAUUGGAAGAACUAAAUCUGUAUGUGUACUUCAUGGAAGAAGAACCAUACAUUUAACUAAUCACGAGUAAUACACAAGCAUAUCGGCAAUCGUGAGAAAAAAGCUCAAUAGCUAGCAUUUAUUAAGUUGAUCAAAGAAUAGCGAACAAGGAAUUCCGCUUCCUUCCAAAUUAAUCAGGAAAGAUUUAAAUCUAUGAAAGAAAAAUAACUAAUUAAGAAGCGUACCAGAAGAAACUCUCUGUGGAGAAUCUGAGAAAGAAGGACGAUGGGACGAGAGAUAGAAGAAGCUUCGUGCAACCUGAUGAUUACUUUGGAGCAAAUUCCGGUGAGUGACUCCGGCGAUGCCGUAAGAUCUGGCGCGAACAGAACGCAAUAGUGAUCUAAGAAUCACAGUUUUCUCCAUGACUUUCCCUCUUUACCUUGAAACUGCAAAAUUAAAAGCUAACUCAGAGAGCGGAGGCUGUUCGAAAUGACCGGAAACAAAAAUAAGAGUAAAUUGUAAGAAGCGCCUCCUUCAAUUUCUCUGUCUUACUUGAUUUUGGGCCGAACGUAUGUCUUAUUGGGUCAUGGCCCAAUCAUAACAUUUUGGACAGUACUUUUAGAGAAAUUAUUGGGCCGUAGGUUUCUCAAUCCGCAAGUGUUGGAUUUAUAAAUGGAUAGUCGCAAAUUUAGCAAUUAAAUUCAAAUUAAUUAAGUAUAUAGCACAAUUUUAAAAAAAUGUAAAUAUAGCAAAAUUUGUUAAAUUCUAUCAAUGAUAUAAGUUUAUCACUGAUAUAUUAUAUGAGGUUUAUCCGUGAUAGUUUUGCUAUAUUUGCAAUUUUUUUAAAAUGUUGCUAUAUCCUUAAUUAUUAUUGCUAAAAUAGUCAUCAAUUACAAUUUUCCUUUAUAAAUGUUCAAACUCACUCUAACAAGUACAAAUCAAUUCAUCAUCUGUUUGAGUGAGUUUUAAGAUUUUUUAAUUUUUGAAAAAUGUUAUAUUUUGAAUUUUCUAAAUCGACCCCGACCAAAUUCUUUCUUAUCACAUAUUGCCCACUUUAUGUUCGUUUUAGUUUAAUUAGUUUGCUCAGUUUUUCAUUGGUUUCAAAAUAUGGCUAUUUCAUAAGAUUAAUGAAAUUUGAUCAAUUUGGUUUGGACAGGGAAAUCUCCCACUAAGUUUGAGUUUUCAAAAUUAUCUUUAAACUUCAAACUUUCCGUUUUUAUUGGACAUGAUCCAUGACCUAUACUAGAUCUUUAAUUUUAGUUUUAGUCUUUUCUUUAACUAGAAAAACUUCAAAUAUGUUUCUGGAUAAUUUGUUUUAGAUUCCUCUAGAUUUCGACAAAAUAACACUUCUUCUUUUAAGCUCUAUCACACAUGAAUAAAAAGUUGAAUCCCUAAUCUUUUACAAGGCCGAUUUAAUUCAUGAUUUGCCUUUAUUUUUAUUUCUUUCACAAUAAAAUGAACUAAAAUAUGUUUUCAAAAUUUAUGUUCAGUUCUUUUUUACUGCAUACCAAUUUAUUUUUGUACGGAAACAUGUACGCAUGUUUUAUUCACUCAAUUAAAUUUCAACGAACAUUAGUGAAAAAUUUUGAGAUGAUAAUACUUAAUGUAGUAGAAGCUUACCAUAAAUAAUGGAGCGAACUAGAUAAAGCAACGAAGCCCACACAUUCUUCAUGUUUCAAUCCAUAAAUCAGAAGAAUAGACCCUCUCAGGAGUUUGGACUCAAUAAGCCAUUUGCUCGGCUCUGUUAUAUCCUUCUUCAAUGGAAUCCGGCGAACCAGAAACAGCCUUCGAGUUACUCCCGCUUAUUCGUAUCUACAAGAAUGGAAGAAUUGAGCGACUUGUCGGAAUUGAUUUCGUCCCAUCGGGAACCGAUCCUCUCACCGGCGUCACAUCUAAAGAUGUAACAUUACUCCCGACAUUUGGCGUCUCAGCGAGACUCUUCCUCCCAAACCUCACUCACUCAACUCAACGCCUUCCAGUAGUAGUCUAUUUUCACGGUGGUUGCUUCUGCACACAAUCACCUUUCACGGCCAAGUACCACAACUAUCUCAACGCCCUUACUGCUGAAGCCAAAGUCGUGGCAGUUUCCGUUAACUACAGGAAGGCGCCAGAGCAUCCCAUUCCCACAGCUUACGAAGACUCGUGGGCUGCCCUUCAAUGGGUCAUUUCACACCGUGAUGGGAAAGGACCUGAGAUGUGGAUGAACAAACAUGUAGAUUUCAAAAGGGUGUUUUUGGCCGGAGCUAGUGCUGGUGCCAACAUUGCUCACAACCUGGCAAUGGUGGCCGGAGAUCCUGAUUGUGGGGUGAACAUCAAUCUCAUUGGAGUUGCUUUGGAGCAUCCAUACUUUUGGGGCAGUGUGAGAAUUGGUAAGGAGGCAGAGAAUCCAGUGAAGGCGAGGUUAUUUGAUCAGCUGUGGGGGUUUAUUUGUCCAGCGAGACCGGAGAAUGACGACCCAUGGGUGAAUCCAGUGGCAGAAGGAGCAGGGAGGCUGGCGGGGCUGGGGAGUGGGAGGGUGCUAGUUUGUGUGGCGGAGAAAGAUGUGCUGAGGGACAGAGGAAGGCUUUACUUUGAGGCGUUGGGGGGCAGUGGGUGGUUCGGGGUGGCGGAGAUUGUGGAAACGGAGGAUGAGGAUCAUAUGUUUCAUUUGAAUGAUUUGGAAGGUCAGAAGGCUAAGGAUCUGAUCCGACGCCUGGGGGAUUUCUUCAACAGGGAUAUGCCCCCUUCUCUGCUGCUCUGAGUCUUUGACUUUGGUCGGGUCUUCAAUUUUUAAGGCUAUUUUGUUAUGGAAUCGAAUUUGUAAUCUUUUUUUAUUUUUAGGGAAGAAAGGGUAAACGAGGCAUAUUUAGAGUGUCCAGAACAUAGAGGUGCACUUUUCUACUUUCUCUGUUUCUAUCAACUAAAAGAAUGAUAUUGGAAUUACAAGAACAGAUCAAAACCAAUAACCAUUGAAGAAUCUGACAUCCCGAUUCCAUCAUAAUGAACAUGUAGCUUUUUAAUGGAUGAUGUGUGUUUAAAUAGAGCACCUUCAGUUGCAGGACAGCAAAUAACAGUGAAACAUUAAACUCAAACAGAGUGAAGCUUUAAAACACUACGGUGUCAAGCAUUGUUACUAAUAGUUUGAAUAAUGUUUGACGAUAUAAGCUUCAAGACAUGUUCUUCAAGGUGCUCCAUUGCAUUUGUCUGCCGAAAUUCGCUAGUGCGAACUUUAGAGGGCAACUCAUCUUCCCUCCUGCACUGCUUUGUCGUACUUGAUAGCUAGGUUUAGCAUUUUCCUCUCCGCAAGGAAGAAGAAAUCACAAAAUAUAUCAAUCAGCACACCAGCAGUCUACUCAAUAACAAACUUUCACGAUCCAAAGGGAUUCGCUCGCUUACUUGAAAGUUGCACGUUCGUUUUUGAAUGGCUGUUAAACCGGCGAAGAGCUAGGCGCCAUCAGUCCUUUUCUUCUUAGGAAUUGAGAAUGCCGGUAAAUAUUUGCUAUAUUAGUAAUUUUUCAAUAAUUAUUUCUAUAAUUCUCACCAAAUCAACUACAUAAAAAUUGGAAACAAUUAAAAAGUUGCACUAAGAAAUUGUAGGGCUUUACCCCGAAGGGAGCCCUUCCAGAAAUUCUCGAAGGCCUGAGCCAAACCCAGGCCUAAGAGGGGGUUUGGAAAUAGUUUUCAACCAGCAAUAGACGCGCCUCGGUUAGAACCUCACUAGCUGCGUCAUUGCCCCAAGCGCAAAGAUAAUUUUGAAGAUUAACUAAGCUUCCUUUUUAUAGCUGACCGUAUCACCUUUACAUGAUACAUUUUUCGAUGUGGGACAGAACAAAUGACGCAAACCCCGUGGAAUUGUGAUUUCUAAAUCUUCUGGUAAUUGAAAAAUAACUUUCACAAAUACAAAUUAAACCAUCACUAAACAAAAAUAAUAUUUAUACUAAUAAAAACUAAAUAAUCUUUGCAGGUAGAUUUUUUUAAUACUACUUUAUUUUGUUUUUAUUUUUACUUAGUAUAUUGUCUAUAUUUUCAAUAAAUCUUUUAAAAAAAAUUAUAUAUAAAAAUUAGCUUUCUAAUUUCUUUUAAUAUUACUUUUCAAAAUCUUCUAAAUGUAUUCUUAUAAUUGUCUAUUUCUAUAUUAAAAAUUUAUUGUUUUUAUCUAACCAAAUUUUAUCAAUUUCCUAAAUUUUUUUAAUGACUAAAUUAUAAUAUUUAUUAAAAUUACAUAAACUAAAGAUAAAUAAUUUCAAGAACAAUAAUAAAAAUAAAAUGAAAAUCGGAACACCAUUACUAAAUGAUAUCUUUAUAAGUUUUUGGAUCUAUUUUUGGUUGGUAAUAAAUUAAAAACCAAAAUUAUUUGAGAACUUCAAUGUUUGGGUUUUUUCUCUAAAUUAUUUGCCUUUGUUUGUAUAGGCAAAAUAAAUAUUUUCUUUACGUUGCCAUUUUUUAGAAUUCUCCAAAAAAAAAUAUAUUUAUUGAUAUAACAAGUGUAGUAUGUUUGGUUGCGUGUAAUCUAUUUUUUUUUUAUAUAUAAAAAUGUGAGUUUUUACAAGAUUAUUCGAUAAAUAAUAUCUCUAUUGGGUGAAUAAUUAAUUACAUUGAAAAUAAUGAAUUUGUUAAGGCAGAAAUGAGAAAUUAUUAUAUAUAAAAUGUAUUACAAAAUGUAGUAAAAUUUUAGAUUUUAUUAACCAUAGACAUUAAUAAAAAAAUUUAUAUAUCGAUAUCUAUCAAUGUCUACCGUUGAAACUUAAACUAACCAUUAAUAGACUUUAAAAUUUUCUAUUUAUAAAAAUAUCCUUUUAUAUCAUGGUUUAAUUUGAUGAAGUAAGUAAAACUUCCAGAAAUAUAUAUAUAUAAUUAUGAAUUUUUCCAUAAUUAUGUAAAAGAACUUGAUUUUUAAAAUAAUAAUAAUAUCACACCAAAUCUUUAUAUAGUUGAAAAACCCCUUUCAGGUCACCAUGCAUAAAUAUAAGUUUCAAAUUUGUUUUAUAUAGUUAAUCAAUAAAUACAAAUAUAGAUUAAAGAAAACAACGCGUAAAUUUCACCAUGAAAAAAGUAAGAGAACUCAAAUUUGAAUAACUCAAACUGUUUUAAUUAUAAAUAAAUGACCUACUAUUUUUAUUGCAAAUAAGAAUACCUAAAUGCAUCCGAAGAUGCAUCAAUUCUAUGUAUUUCACACUCAUCACUCGUUAGAAUGUAAUAAAAAUAAUUUUUGAAAAAUAAAUGAAUGAGGACAAAAAUCUAACACUUUGUCAAUUAUAACUAUACAAUUUGAUAAAAUAUAAAAAAAAAAAAACACUAGAUGCAUCAUACUAUUUUUCAAACGAAAAAAAAUGUAUCGAGAAAGGAGCAUUGAACAGUCAGUAUUUCUUAUGUUAACUAAUUAAUCAACAUUGUAUGAAAUAAUUAGUUUAAACCCCAAGACCAAUUAGACAAACAUUUAGAGGCAACUUUUUUUUUUUUUUUUUGUUAAAAGAAAUGGAACCUUUGAUAUGUCUAGUAACUUUGAAAUAUAUACAAACUUUUUUACAAUAUAUCGAUAUUGAGAUGGAGUGAUUGAACUUAACACUUAAUAAUAUUGAAGAAAAAUCUGAAAUGUAUAUUUUCUAAUAAAAUUCAAAAUUGAUAAAAAAUAUGUAGGUAAAAAAAUAUAUAUACACGUUAGAUUAUUUAAGUUUAGUUCAAUGAUAUUUUAAAAAGUACUUUUCAUUUUUUUUAAUAUUGAAGAUUUGAAUGCCACAUUUAUUAUAUUUAACUUAUGUGACAUGUUCUAAGAACUAAUUUACAUCAUAAAUUUAGUAAUAAUUUAAUAAUUUAAUGAUUUGAUUCGUGUACGAAACAAAUUCCAGCUGCCAAUACUUGGAUUGUGAUACAUGAAGAAAAACUAUUUUCAAGUUUCAUCGCUAGUCGUUGUGUUAGUCCUGAUGAUCAUUUGAGAGAGUAGAAAAGGAUAUUUUCAAUUAAAAAAAUGGACCAGCAAGUUGGGCACUUAGAAAAAUUCAACUUCUAAACUAUCAAUGUUUCAAUUCGACCUUCUGACUUAAUUUAUAGCAUUGAUUCAUCUAUUUUAUCACAAUUUUCAAAUUAAAAGAGAUCAACAUGACACAGAUCUUCAAGAAUGUGGGGAAAGAAAACAUAAUAAUAUAUUUUAUAUAUUUUAAAAUUUUAAAAUUUUUGUUUCUAGUCUAUAUAAAAUACAAGAAGAAUCGUGCUUGGAUUAUCAUUAUUAUUUUUUAUUACUUUAAAUUCGAAACUAUAAGUUGAAAACGCAAAAUAAUAAUAAUAAUAAUAAUAAUAAUGAUGAUGAUAAUAUUGAUUGGAUAAACCCUAUGACCAUUUAUCUACUAUUGUAACUUGUUGCUUUACGCUUCAUUUUAUUGCAUUCCAAUCACACGAAUACCCACAUUUUCCUCAAACCUCUAUUGAUUCAAUUUCAAAGCAAUGUCUAGUCAAUACUACAUAGUGUUUCUAAACUUAUCUAUUUCUUUUAUUAUUUGCUCUUCCAAAUUAACAAAUUGAACUUUAGCCCUACUGCUUGUUGAUUUGGUGUAAGUUUUAAAAUCAGGAAAAAAAUAAUCGACAAAAUUUAUUGUUAGUAAAGAUUUUUUAAUAUUAAUUAACCAGUAUAAGUUUUUUUUGUAAGGUUGGGUAUGUUUUUAAUUCUCACCUACCUACACCUCAAUCAAAGAUGAAAAUAUCCUUGAAAUCGAUAUAUUUGUUAUAACAUCUUUUAUCAAUUCUCGUAAUACAUACAAAUGUUAUUUAUUUAUUAUAAUAUAAACGUGGAUAAAUAUUAAUGGCAAAAUCCAUAACCUAGUUUGGAAGUAAUAAAAAACAAUUUAAUUAUGAAUCUAAUUUUUCUAAUAAAUUUUGUGACUUAAAAAAUAUUGUCAAAAUUGAAAUUUAUCGAUUCUUUUGGUUGAAAUAAUUUAUUGAAUAUUUAUUUGUUAAUUAAAAUUUAUCCUCCAAAACUUUUAUUUUUAUAAUUUUUUUUCUGAAAUAUUGUUCGACGUAAAAAUUUAAUCCAACGUGUAAUUUUUAUACAUUAGGUACAAAUUAUAAUAAACUAUGUAUUGAAUACGCCAUUUUUUAAAAUUAAAUUACAAAUAUACAUGACGGUGACUCAAUUUAAAAGCAAUAUGUAUGAUAAUUUUCAAACUCUUAUUCUUUAUCAAGUAUAAAAGAAUCACACUGAUUUAUUAUUGUAAAUGUCACAAAGUAAAGAUUUAAAACUACAAAAGAAUAAUGGAAACUGAAUAGUUAUUACAUUACAACCCACAAUACAUAAAAGAGAUGUAUAAAUGAAUGAAAUCACAUCAUUCCUUUUUUAUUAAGAAAUAGUCAAUUGAUUUUUCUUGAAACUCGCAGUCGUUUUUCCAUGAGGAGACCGCGCAUGGCGGAGCCGCCUCUCCUCCGACAACAGUUUAGCAAACCUGCAAUUAAGAUCGAGCUUUAUUUUUAAUCACCUUAAUUGAUUAAAUUAUACCAAAAUCAAAUCACAUUUUUAACUUUGGAGUUCUGUAAGAAUUAUAUAUUUCUAAAGUUGCUUGAAUUGAAUUUUUUAGAGGAGGGGCGACCUGAUGAGAGCUUCUUCGUUGGUCUGUGAAUCCGAAGUCUGGAAGAUGCCAGUCUCGAGAUUCACUUUUGAAACUGGUUUUUUCAGAAGCGCUUCUCCCACUUUUACAAGACCUUCUAAAUUCUUCUCUGUUGCCUCAUCCAACGUCGACACUUCAUUGCUUAGGGUAUCAUCCUAAUUUUUUUAUAAACGAUUUAUAUUAAUUAAAUUAUAUAUUAAUUGUACUGAGAAUGGAAAAAUGCAUUAAUUUGGCCGAAAAUUGACCUGAAUUCGGAGGUACUUGUCUUCACAAUGAAGGGCUUGAAAAACCACAGAGAGAUUGAAAUCUACCAUGUCGGAGCUAGCCUGAUAAAAGGCGUCGAUUAUCGGGGUGGAGCCCCCGGCAGUUAGCCAUCCAAAGAGCCCCCAUUGGGCAGCUUGAUCCGCCGUGAAUUUCAUCUCCGCCUUGGGAGCACCGGUGCCGAGAGAGAUGACAAGGAAUCUCCUGUAGUCCAUUGGUUUUAUAGGGAAGAACUCAGGGCUUUGCCUUAUAAUCUCCUUUGUUACUUCACCCACAGCCAGUAAAGUCUGUACAUUAUUUAUCUUUUACUUUUUAGAAACUUACAAACUGAUUAAGUAAAUUAUAUAUAUUAGCCCAUACUUAGGUUCAUGAAAAAAAAAUAUCGAAAACAAAUAUUUAAUUUGUUAAUUUACUUGAUGUGCUUGUGUAAACAAGUUUUUGAGAUCAGAUGUACGAAAAUUGGUUGAGUAAUAGGAAUUUAUCAUUUUCAGAUUUGAAUUUAGGUUAAAAUGAAUUAAAUUUUAAAUUAAAAUCUCAAACAUAAACUAAAUCAUGCUUAGGUAUGUUUCUUUUCUUUCCAUUUUUAUGUUUCAUAUCUAUAUUUUUCCUUUUUAGCUACUUAGAACGUGAGUUUUCUUCGUUUAUUUGAUCACUUUAUUUCCUUGAUUUUGUCAACAACAUAUAAAACUUCAUUGCACGUAUUUUUUCGUUAACAAUUAUUUGUAGGCAGAUAUUUUCUCUAUUUUUUUCUUAUAAUUAUAUUAACCCAUUUAUUCAAAUGUUCUUUUUAAUUAUAAAUGUAAACUUUUAAACUCAGAAAAAGAAAAUCAUUUUUUUUUUGUGGAAAACACAUUCAUUUUCAAAAUUUCACGCACCAAGUGCUGGAAUUGAACUUACUCAUUUUUAUAUUUAUGGAAUUUUAUUUGAACUUAUAUAUCUAAGUUUAUUUGCGCGUAAUACUAAUUAGUAUUAUUAUAAAAUAGCUAUAUAUAUAUGCCCUAAGUUACUUUUCUAUUUUGUUAAAUAAUUUAACUUCUUCUAGAAAAUAUUCAUCCCAUGACCAAUUUUCAUCAAGUGUAACAAUACAAGAAAAAGAGCAGUCAAACAACACCUAAAUAUUAUUUUAAUUAAAAUGUUGAGGACGAUAUUUAAAAGUUAACAAUACUACUACACACCAAUCUAAACCUUUUAUAGACAUAUUAAAACUAUUUUAUUAAGUAGAAAUUUAUUAUAAAAAAAAUUAAUUGGAUGAAAAUUUGAGAACUAAAAUGACAUGUCAUGUGCAGUGACUUGGAAAUAAAAAUUUGGAUAUAAACACAACCAAUUCAUCAGAUUACCAUCAAAAUUGGGCUAUGAACACGAUUAUGUUACUUCCCAUUUUAAUUUUCAUCCAAAAUUCUAAUGGCCUUAUAUUCAUAUUCAUAGAGCACUUUUGAAAGAAAAAAAAAUCAUAUUUUCAAAACAACCGAAGCCUUCAAAGAUUUUUCUAUAAUAAUAGUUAUUAUUUACCGGAUUGUUAGCAGCAACACCACCAUCAACAAGGUUGAACUCUCUCACAGUUCCAGCAGCAACAUCCUCAGUUUUAAAGUAAUAAGCUGGAAGAUAAGUAGGUGCUGCUGAAGUUGAAAUACAUAUAUCCGACAACAAAGCAUCCAAAGAAGAGUUUUUCUUCAUCUGAAAACAUAAAAAGUCAAUAAAAAGUAACUUUACGUAAAUGUGAAUUAAUCAUUAAUUAUGAUUCCUUUAAUUUGUGGUAAUUUAAUUUGGAACAAAAUAAAUUCAAAUUAAUAGUUCAACCUCGUAGCUAGAGAAGACAGUUGGCUGAAGAAGCUUAAUGUCAAACGUUGGAAUUACAACAUUAGUGAGUGUUUGGUUUAGCUUUGUGUUACCCAAUUUCUCCCUAACCAAUCUGUGUAGAUAUUUGCCAUCAUACUUUGGACCCUCUAAGGAUUUCAACACCUUUGCUAAUGACCAUUUCCUGUAACAAAAACAAAAACUAAAAUCAAUAAUAAUAUAAUGUGCAUAAUUUUGGUUAAUUAGAUUUAGGGAAUGGAGUAUAACAUUUUCUGUGGGAAAAUCAAUGAGGAGUGAUCGAGGAAGAAUUGUUUGAUGUCUUUUGCGGAAUAUAGAGGACGGUUGUUUUCGUUUGGCGACGUUAUCAUGGCCGUUAAUAAUCCACCCGUGCUUGUUCCAGCAAUCACGUCAAAAUAGUCGGCGAUUCUUGCAUCCUCACCAUCUAGCUUCUGCACUCGAUUUAUAAAAUUUAGUUUUGUUAUUAAUAUUAUUAUAUAUUAUAUGAUAUGUUUGAGAAAAUAUUGUAAUAUAUAUUUCAAAAUGGGUUUCAUACCUGAAGUUCAGACUCCAAGAAAGUAAGGAUGGUUCCAGGAAUGAUUCCUCUAAUUCCACCUCCAUCUAUGCUCAAAAUGGUAAUAAGGUUUCCAAAGGUUGGAGGCUGCAAUGGAACAUUUGUUGUUUCGUCCAUUGAAUAUACAAAGAAAAAGGGGGUUGGAGAUUUUUUAAGAUUAAGAAAUUAAGAUUAUAAUUAAGUAUUGUUCUUGAUUGUAAUGUGAAGUGAAUUAAUGGUGGCAUUGAGGUAUUUAUAUAAUGAGUUUACUAAAAGCAUAGUCUCAAUUUUUAUUUAAAAAACAAAUCUCCUUGAUAGUGCCUUGAAUGCCUUGCUAGGAAAGGCCAGCAAUCUGAAGAUUUAUGCUUGUAUUUUAUUAUUAAUAGUUGGAAUGUUUUUUUUUUAAUUUGUUUUUGAACCUUCCUUGAAACUACGAGGGAUUUGAAUUCCUUUUACACUCUUGGAAUAGGAAAAAAUCUAAUAUUUUCUGUUUGUGGAAGCAUGGAAUGAUAUAGUCAAGGAUUAAUUAGUUUUAUUUAUUUAUUAACAAGAUAGUAAUAGGAGAGAAGAAUUACUAGGUGCACCCUUGAUCUUUUCUCCUUUAGUAUUUGUUCAAAAGAAAUAAGAAUUCAUUACUGUACUGGACAUCAUAGUUAAUUAAGUUGGAACAUCUAUAACACUAAAAGAGAAAGAGAUACUUUUAUUAUAAAAACAAUUUUACAAGUUUAAUAAAAAAUCAAAGUUAGAUAACUCAAAGGAAAUGUUCGAGAAAAACCUUUCGUAUUCUAGAGAACAAUGUCGAAAAUAUCAUAAUUAUAAAUUUUUUUUUGUUGAUUUAGAACACCAAGAAGCCGCCACAAAGAUGGUCAGCUAUUUAUAAACAUCAUCAAUAUACUUAAUUAAACUUUAAUUUGUAGAAUAUUUUCACUAGAAGAGAUGUGUUCUUUUUAUAAUUAUGUUGAAGGUGGAAUAUGUGUGUAUAUAUAUAAUAUGAGGGGGAAAACAGUUUAAAAGGUUUUGACCAAAUUGGUAGGUCAAUAGUUUGCAUACUCUAUGGAAAUUUCAUCUCCAAGUACUUUGAUCAAUUCUUGCUUAGUUCAAACUUGUCUGGGUAUUUAAUUUCAGUGACCAAUAAUAUUAUGCCUAAUAUUUUCCCCUUGAUAAUAAUAAUAAAAAUAUUGUCUUUUAGAAGUAGUAAUAAUUAUAUUAUAUUGUCUCCAUGAAUUUUCUUCACACACGUUUAGGUUUCCUUGUAGGGAACAUUAAUGUUUGGUCAAUAUUGGUAUACAAAUACAAUAAAUUGAAAUCAGAAUUAAGUUUAAAAUAAAGACACUGAGAUUACUGUAAAAACAAGUAAAUAAAAUAAGGAAGAUUUGCAUUAGAAUUAGAAUGUAUCCUCUCUUUGAGGACUGAGGAAAAAUUAUCGAUCAAACGUUCUGUUAAGAAAUUCUUGAUAUAAUUAGGAAUUUUUUUACCUAAUUAUUUUUUUAUUCUUUCUAUGUUGUAAAUUUAUACUUUGAAAAGUAGAUCACAAUUAUCAAAAUAAUAAUAAUAAAUUAAAAACUAACUUAAGUUUAUUCCUAAACUUUAAUUUUAAAAAAUAUAACCAUUUAGUUAUUGAAUUUGAUUUGGAACCAUUAGUUUUUGUUACAAUUUUUUUUGUAACUUUAUAACAAUUUAGUUAUUACGGUAAGUUCACGUUAAAUGAGAUUAAUAGCAAAAAUUUUCUAUUUAAUUUAGAUGAUUUUUUUACGGUAAAGAUUAAAUUACAAAUGUAUUAAAUUGACCUAACUGAGUACUUUUUCUCUAAGAACAUCCCACGUAAACAAAUCAUACAAAAGAAUGUAAUAUAUUAAUAUCACUGUAUAUGUUUAUUGAAAAAAUCGUAAUAAUAUAACGUGGAUAGCAAUUUUAGGAAUAGUGGAUAGCAAUUUUAGGAAUAAUGAGUGUUACAACAUUUUUAAUAAAAAUUAUAAAUAUAGCAUGAAGUCUAUCUCGAUAUAUUUCUAUUAUCAAAUGACGACUCUUAUUGAGAAAUCAAUAUUUAAAAUAUAGUUGAUGUUAUCGAUAGAUUCGAUAAAUUUGGUUAUAUUUUUAAUUUUUAUUAAUUAAAAAUAUUGUUUGAUGUCUAUAUUUUCCAUCUGAUUAGUAUAUUGGUAAGUGUUCCAAAAUUUAUAAUUGAUGAUACACAGAAUGGAGUCUUCACAUAUUAUUAAUAAUAAAAAUGAUAUGAUACAUAAAAUGAAUUAAAACUAGACCAAGAUGAUAUUAUUUCACCUCUUUACAUGAACAAAUCUCAUUAAACAAACACAACUUAAUCUUUCAUUGUUCUCUAAAAAUAAUCAUUCUAAUUAUCAUCUAAAAAGUUUCAGCCAUAUGAGAUCAGCAUUAUGAAAAGUGGAAAUUUAACUUGAUUUGGUAGCAGAGGCAUUCGCCAACUUCAAUUUGGAAGCUUUUCCCUGAGGUGAUCUUGCAUGGCGGAGCCGCCGCUCGUCAGACAGCAACUUGGCGAAUCUGCAUAAGAUGAACCACUAAUCAUCAGCAAUUAAAUGAUAUAUAUAUUGAGACCUUUUAAUUUCUUUAUUUAAGUGAAAAAAAAUUGCCUUGUAAGGGCUUGAUCAUUUGUUUCUGAAUUUGAAGGACAAUCCUCAAAAACCCCCGUCUGUAAAUUCACCCUUGAAACUGGCUUUUUCAAUAAACUCUCUCCAACCUUCACAAGAUCAUUUAGAUUCUUUUGUGUAGCCACAUCCACGGAAGAUAAGUCGCCGCUCAACGUAUCAUCCUGCAAUAUUAUACAAUGGUAAACAAAAAUAUUUCAUCCAUCUAUGAUUAUCCACUAAUAUUAUUUGUUUAAUCUUAAUUUAUCAAGAGAAAUAGAAAGUCAAUUGUAGCAUAAUUUUUACUAUAUUAUACAAAUAUGUGGAUUGAGUUUGGCUAUGUUUUUAAAAACGUCUCUUAUAUUAUAUAUAUGAUACACUUUCGUUUAAAAUGAUAAUAUAAAAUAAAAAGAAACAAUAAUUAAGAUAACUAAUAUUUUUUUCAAAGGGUAAUAUAAAAUAAAAAGGAACAAUUAAGAUGGCUAAUUAAAAUGGAAUGAUGGUUAAGAUUUACCUAAAAAAAUCUCUCUUGGUUUGUGUAUUUUUUCAAUUGCUUUUUUUUAUAAUUUAAACAAAAAUGAGAGAUCAGAUUCAGACGUCUAACUUUAGUGGAGAGUAUGUAACUAAAUUUAAUCAAUUGAAUUUUAAACUUUUUUAAAGAAAAAUCGAUCACAAUAAUAAAAUAAUCAUAAUUAUAAUAUUGUUAAAUUAGGAGGGAUAAAAUACCACUCCAAAAAUAUUGAAUUUUAUCAUUUGAAUAAAUCUUAAAUUUAGUUUAUUGGAGUUAAUUUUUAUAUUAAAUAAUAAUACUAAAAUUUUCCAAAUGCUAUAAUUGAUCAUUUAAAUAAAAAACUUUCAGAAAAAUCAACAAUAAUAAACUGGAUGUACUGUGAACUAAAUUCUCAAAUUUGUUUUUAUUUAAUCAUGGAAUAUAUAGAAAAAAGAAUAGUAAUUGAACCUGAAUGCGAAGGUAGUUGUCUUCACAAUGAAGGGCUUGAAAAAUGACAGAAAGAUGAAAAUCCACCAUAUCAGAACUUGCUUGUGAAAAGACGUCGAUUAUUGGGGUGGAACCGCCGUUGGUUAACCAGUCCAACAUCCCCCACUCCGCCGCAAGCUCCGCCGUGUAUCUCUUUUCCGCCUUCGGAGCUCCGGUUCCCAAUGAUAUCACCAAAAACCUUCUGUAGUCCAUUGGCUUUAUAGCAAAGAAGUCCGGAUUUUGUUUUAUCACUUCCUUCGUCACUUCUCCAAUUGCCACCAACGUCUGAUUUCAUUUUAAUUAUCAACAAAAUAUCAAGCAAUUGUUAAAUAAAAUUUAAAUGGUUAUUUACCACACAUAGUCUAGAGUAUCUCUACUCCAUCCAAGAGUUGUUCAUAGAUUCAAAGCGAAUCAUAAAAGCAGCUUACAAUUAAACGAAUAUAUUUCUCUUAAUUUACCGGAUUGUUAGCUGCAACGCCACCAUCUAUUAGGUUAAAUUCUCUCGUUGUUUUAGCAGCAGUAUCCUCAGUUUUGAAGGAAUGAGACGGAAGAUAAGUAGGAGCAGCCGAAGUAGAGAUGCAGAUAUCCGACAAGUAUGCAUCCAAUGAUGGAGUGUUCUUCAUCUGAAAUUAAACAUGGACCAAAAUUGUAAAUUUCAACUUUGAUGUCAAGGUUAAUUCCUCCAAAAGGAAGGUACAAAUUUGAAUUAACAAAGAAAUAGUAAUAAUAAUUUAAUGCAUUUAAUUGAAGGGUAAAAAGUAGGAAAUAAAUUACCUCGUAGCUAGAAAAGAUAGUGGGUUGAAGGAGUUUGAUGUCGAACGUGGGAAUCACCACAUUAGUCAAGGUUUGGUGCAACUUUGUGUCGCCUAGUUUUUCCUUCACAAGUUUGCGGAGAUAUUUCCCAUCGUAUUUUGGACCAGAUAAUAAUUUCACUAUUCUUCCUAUUGGCCAUAUUCUGUCACAUUUUCAAAUUAUCAAACAAAAUUAGGAUGAGAGGUUAAUUAAAUUUGAUUUGGUGUCUAAUGUUUUUAAUUUUAUUUUAUUUUAUUUCUACUGUUUCAGCUUUCAAUUCUAAUUUUGUCAUUCUAGUUAAAUUAUAUCUUAUAAAAUUGGAGUUAUUUGUUGAAGUUUAUAUGUUGUGCUUUAAUUAUGUGGGGUAGAUUAAAAUAUAGAUAUACUCUCUAAUAACUAUGAAAAAAGAAAUCUGAGAUACUUAUAUAGAUAUACGGUAAAAUGACUAUAGAUCAUAUUAUGCUGAUUAAUUAUUUAUCUAAUAAUUUUUUUAUUUUUGGUUUCAUACUUUACUUAUAACUCUAAAUUCUAGUUCAACCAACCAUCUAGAAAAAAACCUGUUGAAAAAGUCAUGCCUAGUACAAUAAUGAUUAUUUUAAAGCAUGCAAUAAUGAUAAAGGCAACGUCUUUCGUGACUUUGCUUUCAAAACCAUUCAAAAAGCUUCAUAUAAUUGAAGAGAAUUGUCUAUAUAAUCACUUUUUAAAAAAACUAAUGUAGAACUUUUUUUCGAUUCUAAUAGAUAAUGAUAUCAAUUUGUGAGAUAAUUUGACCAAAUUAAUGGGUUAAACUAAAAUUUCUAAAAACAUUAGUAUCGAACUUAUAGGGCAAAAAAUGGUAAUUUAAUUGGGGGGAAAUGAUGUUGGUGUGUUUAAUUUGUGUUAGAAUUAAAUAGAACCUGUUUUGGGGGAAGAUUUUAGGACAGUGAUCGAGGUAAAAUUGAUUGAUAUCUUUAGCAGAAAACAAAGGACGGUUGUUUUGAUCUGGUGCAGAUAUCAUGGCUGUUACAAGUCCUCCUGUGCUUGUUCCAGCAAUUACAUCAAAGUAAUCUGCAACUCUUACCUCCUUCCCAUCCAAUUUCUAUACAUCAUAUAAGUCAUAACAGUCAAAUAUAUAUUACAAGAAUUAGUUGGACCAACAAAUAAUAAUACUAUUGUGCCAAUCAUAUAUGAAUGAAUGUGUCAUCAAAAGAAAAAAGAAAAUCAUAUCACACUAACCAUAGUUUGAUGAUAAUUGAAUUAAUAUAUUUCUCCUAUUGAAGUCAAAUACUUAGAUCGUCAUUUCUCCCUUGGUUGAAAAUUAGAAUAUACAUAUAUAAAAACUUAUGAUUGCUUAUUCACUAAAAAGACAAACUAUAUUUGUACUUCUGUCAAAUAGAAUUCUUAGAGUUCCUUUUACAAUCAUUUAGUUUCUUUUUGGGGGGAAACUUUUAAUAUUGUUGAAAAUGUACCAAAGUUUUUAAGAUCUAAGGCCAAGCUUUAAAAUUUGGAAAAAAAAAUUGGAAAGUUUUGCUUUUUUAGUUAUUUUCAAACAUUAAAAAAAAAAAAAACACUAAGUCCAACCUUCUUUAAGCAAAAUAAAAAUCAUUAUGCGAUAAUUAGUGCAUUUUUUUUAAUAAAAAGAAAAAAGGUCAAUUAUGUUGUUAUCAGACAUAGCAUUUAAAUUAUUGUAAUUGAGUUUCAACCAUUUUUCAUAAUUUUGAUAAUUAAAGUGGGAAUAUGGAUCAAAAUAUUAAUUAAUUAAAUUCAAGAAACUCUAUUCGAUUAUUGAAUAACAAGAUUUUGAUUUUAUUGAAUAACAAGAUUUUGAUUUUUGACUUUUCACUUUAACUUUGUUUUAUAACAACGAUUAUUCUUUUUAACAAAAGUUAAUGUUAUUUAAACGAAAAACUAGAUGUAGUUCUUAUUAACUUUUUUUAAAAAAUUUAAUUUUCUAUGAUAAUAAGAUACAAUCAUAUUGUUUUUUUUUUUUUUCUUAUUAUAUAUUUUUUUCUCAUUCGACAUUUAUUAUUAAUAACUUUGAGAAUAUAAUUGAAGUGAAAAAUCCUUUAUUCCACGUAUUAAAAAAAGAGAGAAAAUAUAGUUGAUUAGGAAAAAUAUGAUGUAAUGCAAUCCUGGCAUAUCAUAUGCUUUGUGUUUACAAGAACGAUGAAAAAGUUUGUGUGUAGUUUAUUUUUGUUUUAGCUUAACCCUUCAUAAAUUUUUAAUAGUUAUAUUCUCAUCAUAAUUGACUAAAUAAAGCAGUCUAAUUAAUUCAACUUAUGAGCCAAAAGAUUUCAUUAAAAAUUAAUAACCCAAUUUGACAAAUCUGCAAACAAAAGGCCAAAGAAUAGUCACAGCUAGAGAUCAAUAUUAUUCAUUUUAAAACAAAAACAUAUAUGAUGGAUAAAGUUCACUAACAAAUGACCAUGUAUGAUGUACAUUACGAUUGUAUAGUCCUAAAAUAAUAAACAUAUAAUAGGUACCUGAAGUUCAGACUCGAGAAAAUUAAGAAUAGUUCCUGGAAUGAUUCCUCUAAUUCCACCUCCAUCUAUACUCAAAAUUGUAAUAAGAUUACCGUAAGUCGGAGGUUGAAAUGGCACCAUUAUCGCUUCCAUGUCUGAUGGCUAGUUAAUUUAAAGAGAGAAAGUAAAUUUAGCUUUUAGGAACUUCCUAAGGAUGACCAAAAGCUUUUCCAAGCAAAACUAUAUGUGUAUUUGUGUGUAACCUUAAGGUUAGUGGGUUUUGUGUGUGAUUGUUUGAUGAUUUUAUAGGGAUAUUUAUAAACAUUCAUCAUCCCUAUUUUCUUUGAAUCAUUCUUUAGGCUUUGAGGCAUAUGUAAAAUUGUAAACGACCUCUGUUUAUUCGACACGUGGACCAAUUAGGGUUAGUUUGUAGAAAUGUCAAAAGCAUAUCCCAUUUUCAACUUGGUUGUUUCUUGAGGUCAUUCACUUGUGAAAAUGAAUAAGAUGUGUCAAUCCCAUUAUAUCCCAUGUCUAACAGUUUUCAUAUAGCUCCUAUGGGUUCACAUAUCAACAUUUCUAAUUAAAUGUUUUGAAAACUUUUAAUUUUAUUAAUAUUGAUAUUUAUCCAUAUCGGUAUUUCUUUUAUUUUUUAACGAGUUAAGUGCGGAUUGCAUACAAUAUAAUGUUGUAUUAUUAUAAUUAUUACAUCAAUUACAGCAUAGGAUAAUUGAACCUCGGACCUCUAAAAAUAUAUCAUGUUAAUAUAGUGAGUCAAGCUGAUUUUAACAUUAUAAAUUAAUUCUAGUUCAACUAAACUAGAUAAUUAGAUUUAACUAUUUUUUUUGGUUCAUUUAUAGAUUUUCUAAGCAAAAACAUUUUUUUCAAAACUAUUUACUAUUUUUUUAUUAAUUUUUUAAAAUAUACUUGAAAAGAUGUAUUUUGAAGAGUUAACAAAUGCUUUAAUUAUUUUCAAAAUGACUUAUUUUUAAAAUUAAACAAUUGAAAAUAUAUUAUAAACACAUCAUUAGUUCUUUGGUCUAUUUUCUUUUCCAUUUUGGUGUCUUAUCUUUUCAGUUCUUUUCAAUGUUUUUUUUUAAACGUAAUUUUUUUCUUUUCUUUUCAACGUUCUUUUAAAUGUUUUCAUAUCAAUUAUCAAUUAUUUUCCUUGGCACUAAUAAAUUUGGCGUGCAAUUAUGGAUAAUGCAAACCCUCUUGAUUUAAUAAAGGACUUUUUAUUCACUUCCAAUCGUGAACAUUAAUUUUCUCUCGAUUCUCAAAUUUUGAAACAUUAUGUAUUUCUCAUUUUUAUAUGAAACAUGUUGUGCAUAAAUUAUAUAAGUUAAAGAAAUGGCUUUUUUUUUCCAUUUUCUGUUUUUUAAAAAUAAGCAUCUCUUUUCUUUUAUACAACAUAUAAUAAAAAUCAAUAGAAGUAAAUGAAGCAUAGUACUAACGAUCUUCCAAACCCAUUCCUAUUCCAUUUGUAAUAAAAACCAAUAAAAAAAUAUAAAAAAAAUAGAUACUUCUAAUUGUUAUACAAGAAAAUUAACCUUUAUAAUUGACAUGAACUUAUUUCUUAAGUUUGAAGAUGGAAUGUAUCAUGUUUCAACUUGUUAUACUAAAAAAAUUAUUAGAAAAAACACUAUAUUAGAUUUUCAAAUUGUUGUACUAAAAAAAUUAUUAGAAAAAACACUACGUUAGAUUACAUUAGAAAAAUUUAUUUAGAUUUUCUAUUAAAAUUUUAUUUGAAAAGUAUACACACAUUCGUUGUCAAUUUUGUUAAUCCAACCUUUCGAGAACUUUAACACACGUGUAAGAAUUAAAUGCAAAUGACAAAUUUCAAUUUUGUUAAUCCAACCUUUGAAGAACUUUAACACAAUCACAAUUUUCAAAUAUGAUACAUACAAUUAACUAAUGGUAGUUUAAUUUUUUUAAAAAAAAACUAUAUGCUCCACGCGAUAUUACAAAAAAAAAUAAUUAAAAACUAGAAGCAAUUUACUUAAUUUUUAUUGUUAAAAGCUCUAAAGAAACAAAAGUAAUAGAUCUUCGAUUAAAUCUUCAAAACGCACGCGAAUUGACUUCAGAAUUUUUGAGUCAAGAGGAAGUUUCUUUUUUCUGUUAAGAAAACGUAUUCUUCCAUUAUGAAUUACUUUCCUCGAGUUGAUGAAAUGACGUAGGGAGACUUAUCUUUUUUUGUUUAAACGAAAGUUUUCAAUCUAGAAGGAUACAGCUGCCACAUCGCUACUACACAUUACAAAUAAAAUAUUUCAUAAUUAAUCUAUUCAAAGCAUUGUUUUAAAUAUAUCUAAAAUAUAAGUCACUUAUAAAAGAAAAAUAAAAUUUAACUAAAAGUCACACGGCAAAUCUCUCGAAGUCAUCACAUUCCAUUUCUAUAUCUUGCAAGUUUACUAUUAAAAAAAAGUUUGCGUAGCCAUAUCACAAAUAUGAAAUAUAUAAUGACUGCUUAUUGGGAUGAUUGUUGUGUUCAUUAGCCUUUAGAUUUGUUUAUCGGUGGGUUAUUUAGAGAUUAAACCCCCAAAUUUUGAGUAACAAUGACAAAGUGAGGGUAGUUUAGGAGAUAAAACACCUAUUUUAGUAUUUUAGAAGGUGAUAGUUUGAUAGAUAACUGCAAGAUCUUUCAGCUUAUUUAGUAAGCAAUUAAUUUAAAAAGAAAAAUAUUUGAAUGUAUUUGACAGAUUUAAACUCAAUUUUUUUUUGUAAAGUCCACCCAAUUAUCAAUUAAAACUUUUGAUUUAGAGUACAAUUUGAUACUUCCCCAAAAUUACGUGAAAGAAAUACAUUAAAAGGUAUGGAUAAGAAUAAGUUUGUGUCGAUUCGAUUUUCAGUUACAAAAGUAUGCUUUCUGAGAUCUGCCCAUACAUUUUGUUUUGGGUCAUUUGGAAACAUCGUGAUAUAAAAUAUGUAUAUAUAUAUAUAUAUUAUUAUUAGAUAGAAACUAAAAUAUAUUUACUUUCUUUUUCUUUUAUACUGCACUCGUGAGGCCAUAAAAAUAGUGGACUUCAAGAAAGGAAACGGGCAUAAUGAAUCAUAGAUCUAAAGCAAGACAUGAUGACUCCAUACAAAAACUUGUAGCAAACAUAAAAUGGCUUCAUUUUUUUUCCUACCAUUGGAAAUACAACCAUUUGUUAUGGAAUCGCUUUCCGGGGAUCAGUAACACUACAAGGUUAAAUCAAUCACUGUACAGAGCAUAUCAAUUUCUGGCUUUAAAAUUGCUACCCUAAAAUACUUGUAUCAAAUACCACUACAACUAUAGUUAAAACUUAGGUCAGUGAAUUUCUGACCCAUUGACAUCUUCAAAAUUAUCAUUACCUCUUGCUUGUCUAAUAACAAACUGAUCAACAAUUUUAACAGUGUGCACCGGAUCUUGAUGUGGUGCAGCCGCCUUCCACUUGCUCGGAUACGACCUCUGGUGGCUCAUCUUCUGACCACCUUCCAUUUCUCUUGCCUCCCCUUCCCACUUGGAAUCCAACUUCCAUUCUUUUGGAACCUGCAAAGUCAAAGAUGAGAAUCAAGAUAAAGAUAACUUGAAAAUAAGAACGUGAAACAAAUGGGAAACAAGUGGGAGUUAUGUGAGAAGUUUUGUGGAGUAACCAUCAAAAAUUGUUUCUAAGAUCCUAAGGCUCGAGCCAACAUACCAUCAGGAUUAUUUAUCCACGUGAAUUUCAGUUUUGAAAGAUAAAAUCUCUAGACGUGGUCUGAUACUCUUAAUAAAUAAACCAUUGCAUUUCCAUUAGAUAUGAAAAACCACGUUUACCUUGUCAACAGCAAGAGUAAAAACUUCGAGAUCGCCAUCACGGUUGAUGUGAAACCGAGUGAAUGACUUAUAAUUUGCAAUUCUUAGUGAAGAGAAUGCUUCAUCAAAGUGAAUGUGGAGCCAAUUAAUGCAUAUGUAUAAAUAGCUUCCGAAAACAAAGGAGACAACCGGUGUCGAAAAAACCCAGAAAUAAAAGAAGACGGACCCAUAGUAUAUCAUAGCACCUCCCCGAGAAAGUGAAUCCAUUCCAUUCUUGCAAAUAUUACUACGUGAGACAGCCAUGACCUAAACACAAACAGCAUUCUCUCAACCGUUAUUCAAAAAGAAAAAAAGGGGGGAAAAAGGUAUAUUGGAAAUUAGGAAAAAGUUCUCUAACCUCGGGUAUAUCAAAUGCAGACAUAAGAUAUUUUAUACAGGCUGGAUAUAGGCCAUAUGUCCAUUCUUCUAAUCGGGCACGAAGACCAGUCGGAUCAGGAAAGUGCUCGCCUUCCUUUGUACGGUACCAAUCAUACAAAGUGUGAUAGCCUGCAAUGCACAAAAGAAAAAUCACUUUCAACCGCUAAUACUGCAUGAUCAAAAACCCUAAACCCCUCCUUUUUCUAGAUAAUCUCCAACAAAAAAGAACUCAAAUCUCUUCAAAUUCUCAUCAUUUUUCUAUUGCACGCCUAAAAGGCUAAAACAAUACAAUGAAGUAUAACUAUAAUUUUUCCCAUCAUCUCUCAUGGUCAUGAAAAACUGGUAAGGCUGCAUUAAACAGUAACAAACUCACGACAGUACCUGAUGUUGCUAGUAAUUCAUGACGGAUGCAUGUCUCCAAUCCCAGUUCCAAUAGCAACAUAAGAAAAAGUGCUGCAGCAAGAUGUGCAGAAACAUGAAGAAGCCCAAUUAUUACCCGUUUCUUCUUGGAUGCUUUGCUAGGAAUAAAUGUUACUGCUACAAUCAGUAAUACAAUAGCACCAGCUAAAGAUACAUAUGACUCUCCCAGCAUGUACAGAAAAGCAUUCCACACAGUGCCAAAGAAACUCUUCAAGUGACCCGAAAAUGAAUCUUCUUGCAAGAUGUGAUCGAGCUUACACUAGAAGAAAGUUACAAAACUGGUCAUCCACACAUUUAAGUACUGCAUUACUUUACUGAAAAGCCAAGUGCAUUAUACGGCCCAUUGAGUCUAAGAGGAAGUAAAGAAUAAACAGUUCACUAUGAAUCAAUGGGGACCCAAAAUCGUACAAGUCAAAGAUCUCUAGAAGUGAAGGAGGAAACUAAGCUAAAUAUGAACGAAGAGAAGUCAAGUAAAAGACAUGCUAAAGGAAACCCAAAACUAAAACCUGGCGCAGCUCAGAAGCCAACCUGUGGAAACAUAGAAAAGACCAAUAUAAAGUAUAUGAUGCCACCAAUGAAAUCAAAUUGCCAAUUUUUCUUCCGGAACUUCAAAAUAUUUCCUAAAGCAAUCUGCACAACGAAAAAAAAGUGCACUAGAAGUUAAAAAUAAAAUAAAAUAGUAGACCUGAGAUAGCACAAAUUUUUUUAUUUCAAACAUUACCCGGCCAGAAUCUUCAAAGGAAGGAUAGGCAGCCUUGCACUCAUAUGUAGACCCACAAAAUUUUCGAAAACUACUAAAGACAUGGGUUGGGUGUAAAAAAGCCCCACCACAGCCAUUUACAAGAAGAUGGUGCACAUUUACAGACUCAUCUGAUUUAACAGCAGAAUGGCGCAUAUAAUGAUGCAGGUCUCCAGCAAUACGAAGUUUACACCUCCCUUUGAGAUAAUCACAUAUUAGGUGCGAGACAUUCUUCCCAGAAACAUCCUUCCAGUAACAGUCAAGCAACCAAUUUGGUUCAUGAGUCAUGAUGAUCACCGAGUCAUCAGCUCCCAUCUUGAUCAAAUAAAAAGAGGAUUUGUUCAUUAUAAGAUAGUAACCACAAAAAGGAAAAGUGAGAGAUCACCGGAAUAAUAAAAUCAAAAAUCAAAGGAAAGAAGUCUUAACCAUCACAGAUAAAUGGGAAUGAAUCAUUCAAUAAAUUAGAUUGAUAUGUGCUACAAAUGAAACUCCACAAUAGAAAUGGCUGGCUAAGUAAAUGAGGUGGAAAAGAAGGAUAGGCAAGAAGAGCCUUGGGCCAAGUGACAAUUGACACAUUAGAGACUAACUAUUUCAGCACCUCUUGAAUAAAUUUCAAGUUAACAAAAACCUUACGGAGAAGAUACCUUUUCCUGCACAAGUUCUGAAAAGAAUUUGAAUUGGUAGACAUCAAUAUCACCAUGGAGUGCUAGAUCCAGACCAAAUACCCACCAUCUUUUAGGAAGUUUCAGGGCAAAAUAGCUCUUCUUCUGAGGCAUAAACCAACCACCCAACCAGCUCUUAUGACAUAUGUAUCUCAUAUAGGUAUGAAGUCCAUCGAACCAAUCUAUAAAACCAAAAAAAAUGCAUUAGCUCAUUGAGAUGAUGGGUAAUCAGUUCCAAAUAUUCUCUAUACAUAGUACUAUGACAUUAGAAUUGAAACAGCUCAGAUUGAGUAAGGCCACAACCAUGAUUUCCAGGAAUUACAUAACACUGAGGUCCAUCAUAUUGCUUCAGUUCAGACAUCCAAUGAGGUAACUCAGGCUUCUUCACUGCUAUAUGGUCUGAUUUAUACCAAGGCGGAGGUUGAAGAGCAUAUUCAAAAGGACAAAAGAGACGUCUUUCAUAUGUGAAUGCUGAUGGAUUAGGAUACCUGUAGUAAUUUCGCAUAUGCUUUUAGCAAGUAAAAGGUUAUUCUAAAAAAUCUAUCCAAACUACACAUGAUGUUUUAUAGAUGGAGAGAGAAAAAUCAUUAAUGAAAUACAGUUAUAAACUUAAGAUUUCUAACAGCUUACGCGAGAUCCCCCCCUAUGAGUAACAUGUCUCCACGUGGUAAGUUGUAAAUUGAAUCAUCUUCAACUAUACGGAUGGAAGGUUGAGCAAGCAGACGUGCAACACUAUAAGAUGAAUUCCCACCAUCCCCAGUAUCAGCCAUGAAAUCAAACCAUAAGUCAUCCCUUUCACUAUAGUGAUCAUAUAAUAGACCAUCCUGUCGAGCUCCAUCUUCAAGCUUGCGCAUUGCUGCCUAACAUUGGGAAAAAAGGUCAAGAAGUGGAAAACGUUAUAAUUUACAAUUAGAAUUCAUAAGAGAACAAUUUCUUUUAAUUUUCAACAUAGGAAACUAGAAUUCAUGUUAGAUAUCAAAUUAAACUAAAAGGGGAGCAAAGCACAGCCCCAAACCAAGGAAUAAUACAAAAAAUUCUCGGUUGGGGAAGAGAUUGCAUGAACUGUUACCAUCAAAGAAAUAAUAUAAUUCACACCAAGAAAGACAAACAAAAGUAACAUGGUCACGAAAAGUAUCUAUGGCUAUGGCUCUUCUUUUUGUUACUAGAAUCAAUUUCGUUGAUGAAUGAAAUUUACAAGAGAAAAAGAUAGCCCCAAUACAAAGUAAAAGUAAACCUGAAUAAUAAUAAUAAAUAAUAAUAAUAAUAAUAGUUCUUAAAGUUUAUAAAUAAUAAUAAUAAUAACCCACAAUUUUUAGUAGAUAACAUUUAUUCACACAGAGAAUGGAUCAAUAUCAAAAGUCUGCCUUUGAAUAUGUAAAAUCUAGAAACAUCUUUGGCAAAAAGGAACCUUAUGAAGCAUUAAGUGAAAAUUCAAAAUGAAAUUCUAAUUUUCAGUACUCUAUGAAAGCAGAAGUGUGCAUAAAGUUGAGGUUAUUACUACAGCUUCAUCCCUCUGAAAUUGCAAUGUGUCACUGACAGGUAUUUACAAGAAGACAUUAUUUCCUCUAUGCACUCGUAAUGUUUGGGACUCGACAUAUCAGAUAUUGCCACUAAAGACAGUCUUAAGACAUGAACAACAGGGUAGACCACAGUGCCUAAAAUAAGCUACUUAACACAAUUGGUGGAUGCGAUUAUGGAUCCAUUCCGAACUAAACAGGGUAGGUAAAAUGCAAAAAUGUGGAUCAUAGAACUAAACCUGCAUCAUGCGCAUGUCAAAUCGACCAACAAAGACAGUCACUGAAACAAGUAGGUCAAAAACAGUCUUGAAUAAAUCAGCAGAAGUUCUGCAAAAAACCAUCAAAAUAAUACUUCAAAUGUCUAUAACUAUGCACACCCAAAUUAAAGGAAGAAAUUGAGGCCAGGAAUCUUAGUCAACAUAAUACCCUGAAUACCAAGGAACCAUGUCAAGGAAAUCAGGCUUCAUUUGCUUUCUCUUCAGCUUUUCAUAUUCUUUAACAGAUAAAGGAUGCGAAAGAGCCCACCUGUUAAUCAUGCAAAAUUGCAAAUUGAUUAAGAAACUAAAUAAAAAUUAUGUUCCACACGCAACUUCAGAAUCCACCGAUAAAUUAUUUAAGCUCAUUAUAUGGUAGAAACCAAGUGAAAACUAUUAUAAAACUAACUUCAGCCAAUUAACUUCAGAAAGGGAAAACAAUAUCCUAGAUCCAUGUGUCAGUUCGGAAAAAAAGUGCUGAAAGUAAAAGCCAACCAAAAUGAAUAACAGAUAAAAACAAAAGGGAUAAAAGUUAUUGCUGAACAAAACUAACUAUGAGAAACAAAAAGCAACCGGGACCUAAGAUAGUAUGAUUCCAACAUUCUCAAGUCCAACCUUGAUAAUUUUCUUCAUUAAAACAGUUUAAUUAUAUUCAACCAACAACUCCAAAUAGACUGAACAACUAAAAGACCCCAAGCAAUAAAAUAGCUAGCAGACUUAAAAGUAAAUUCCAAUAAGGAACAGAGAGACACAAAAGCACAAAAUAUCAGAACUAUUGCAAGCUUAGCCUAAUCAAUAUAACAUCAGCUCCUAGCUUCCUACUAAAAUUUAAAUAAAAUGAUAGUUAACCAAUAGCUUACCCUGUUGACCGUUCCACCACAUAGUUUGCAAUGUAAAGGCCAAUGAAUGUAGCCCAGAGUGAGUAUAUGGGUGAAAUCCCAUCAGAUGGACCAGUACAUGAGCCAUUGCAAGCUAACUAAAGCAACGAAAGUAGAUGACAUGAGAAAAAAAAUAUAUAUGCAAAGAAUUAACACAGACACAUACAAUAAACUCACGCAUUAAACAAAGAUGAAGGCAAUAUACACCUCGCUAUAAAUUACCCACUUAGACAAAAGUGGGUAAUCACUUGCGGACCCAACAGGGGCAAACCAAGACGAGCACACCUGAUCCUUCAAUUCAUUUACACGAAGAAAUUUUGCGAGCCAAGUGUUUCGUUCUUCUUUCUUCCAGAAAGAAAACCAAUUGGAGGUUUUCCGCUGAAGUGUUCUGUCUUUCAAAACACCAUGAUUUCCACAGUGACUGUAAAACACACAGCAGGCUAUACUUAUGACCUACACCAUGAAUGAGAACAAUAAUUAAUAUGGCAACAGGAAAAGAAACGAUAAAUGUUGAGCCAUCCACAGAACUUACAGCACAAUUCUGAAAAAUUGCCAAAAUCUCAGGCCUCUUUCCAGCAACACGUGAGACCAGACCAACGUACCAGAGGCCAAUAAAGAGAAUGUGAAAUACUGUAAGAAACAGAAUGGAAGAGAUAUAUAUGGUUAUGAACAUUGAAAGGUUCAUCCUUAUAUCCACUCCCAUUGACUGAAAACUUGGAAGAUGAUACACAGCUGCCACUAAAAUCCAGGCUAUGUACCUGAAAACAUCAAUUACUCAAAUUUCCAACAGCACAUUUAGACGGCCAUAAAAUGUCACUAUGAAACAAACGCAAUAAAAUUGAGACGGAGAAACUCACCACCGACUGAAAUUUGAAUAACUGGGCUUAAUGGUCUUCCCAAUAAAUGGUGACGAAAAGAAAUAAAAGAAACCAAGCAAACAUGAGUAUAUAGACCACCAUUUGAUAUUCUGAUCCAAUUUUUCGAUGAGAGUGUGCAUGUUGUCAGAAGAUAUAAAAAAUAAGCAACCAACCACCACCGCAAUAAUAGCAUGCCGUGAAUGUUCAUGAGGAUAAGGAUAUGUGUGAGUGAAGAUGGUUCGAACCCUCUUCAUUUUGAAGGUAUCUAAUAAACCAGCAGAAAUGUUUUCAGAAACCAUAGAGUCCUGCACACACAGAGAAUACCACUUCGUUUAGAUUAAAAAAAAAAUUCAUAAACAAAUCCUUUCCAACAUUUUAUACGCUGAAAAAAACGUCUAAUACGGCAGGAAUCCACGUUUCAUCAAAUAAUACUCAACGGAAAUUAUAAUUCAGGAUUUGACGCAUAUUACCCAUUGAUUUCAUUUUGAAUGCUUAACUCGCAAGUAGACAUUUCUCUAUCCUAAAAUCCCCCGUCCUCAUCAAUCUCGAAGAAAUCAGAAAAGAAAACCCUAGUUUCUUCCACACUAGACUCAGCAAUCAGACACGACACUAGGCUCUAGACACUAGAAGUUCCACCGGUUAACAUGCUCGAGAUAACCAAAACAUAAAAAAGAGCCAGAAAUUCAAUUCCACGAAUGAAUAAACCCGAAAUCAUAGAGCAUGCAAAAUUGAGCAUCAUAAGAAGUCGUAUUUACAAGAAUCAAACAGGAGAAAUAAAUUUUUAAAAAAACAGAGAGAAAGAAAAUGCAUACCAGAAAGAAGAACCGGGAAAAAAGAAAGAAGAAGAGAAAGAGGAAGGACUAGCAGUGAAGGAAGCAAUAUAUAGAAGAAGAAAGCGUAUCAAAGGGUGUAUGCAUCUGAGAAUGUCUGCAUUAAAGAACAUAACAAUGGCAUAUUCCUUUGGAACCAAGAAGACGAUGACGAGGCUGUCACAGAGAGACUCGACGACACGGGGACUCGCACGUAAAGGAAUUGAGAGUUCGAGUGGGAAUACAUUGACUCGGAGAUUUGCGUGCCUUUCACGGUUCUUUUCUUUCUUCUCAGAACGGCUUUGGUUUUUUUUUUUUUUCCCUCGUUUUUCUUUUUCUUCCUAAUUCUUUUUCAGCGAUCCACAUUUAAUGGUCCUUAAGCCUUGGCCUUUUGGGAAUGAACAUCCAAAGGGGGGCCUCGUGAGCAAUACGGCGCCGUCUCAAUUAACUCGAUCCACUCGCGUUGGACGGAAAAGUUACGUAAUUAAUUUCUUUAGGCAUUAUUAUUGUUUGUAAACUUGAUAUUGAUAUCUAUUAAUUCUUUUGAAAAAAUAUAUAUAUGAUUUUGGAGAGUACGUUUAAAUUUUGAGGUCAUCCGAAAUAAAACUACUUUUAUAAAAUGUUACGACUAUAACCUAAUUGUAUCACGAUAAAAUUUUGUUAUAUUUAUACAAAAAUUUAAAAAAUUUGCUAUGAAAACAACUAAACUACAUAUCUAGAAAGUUUCUUGAUAUAUUUUAAAGAAAGAUGUUAGAAUUGAGUUCUCGUAGUUAUGAUAAUAAAAAAUUAUCUUUUUAAUGUUCAAGUUUUGAAAAUUAAGUAUGUUUGAUUUUUAAGUUAUCAAAAUAUGUCGUGUGUAUUUUAGACAGAAUAUAUUUAGUUUAUGAAUUUUCAAAUUAUAUACAUUUGAUCAUUGAUAGUUUAAAAAGGCCUUUUAGGAUAACUUUAAAAUUGGUUUUAUAUUAUAAUAAAAGAAAUGUAUUUUCUCUCUAAAGCUUCUUUUAACAUAUCGUUGCAUUGUAAAAUAUCUCGUGAUCAUAUAGAUAGAAAAGUGAUAAAAAAAUAUUUGGAAGACUUUUAAACAUAUUCUUAGAAUUUUAGAGGAUUGAAAAAAUUAAUUUUGAAAACUUACGAAUCAAAUCCAUUUAUUCUAAAAAAAUCUAUGACUUAAAGCAUAAGUUUUGCAAAUUCAAACACCAAAUAAAUUUAUUCUUCAAAACUUGAUGACUAGAAAUAUGAUUUAUCCUUUUACAAGUUAUAAUUUCACCAUUACAGAUCAAUACCUUAAAAAUAGUCUUUGUAAUAAUAAAACUUAAAUGAAAUACAAACUAUCUAGUAUGAGCUUUAUCGAGCUAUGUGAAUUAAAAUUGUAGGGCUUUCUAAAUCAAGCCAAAUGUGUAAUUUAAUCGUGGUCAUUGCAAUUUGUAGACAAAUCUCGAAAUCUAAAGUUCUUUAUUCUUAAUUUGAUUUUUUUUCUUAUAGAAAUCAACGUAUUUAAUUAAUGCAUGUCAUCGAUAACUUUUCUUUACUGUCAACGAGUUAGCUAUCAUAGUUGAUAUUUGCAAUAUUUAAAUUUGUAAUUCAAUUUAUAAAAUUUUUAAAUAGUUUUUUUUUAAUUAUUUUAAAAUAGUUUUUUUUUCAUAUUAAUUAUUUUGCCAUUAAUUAUUGCUUUCAUUUUCUUAUAUUCAUUAUUCUAUGUUUUUAAGGUAACACGUUGGAAUGCAUACCAAAAUUAAUGAGAAUUGAAAUGGUAGUCCUUUUGUCUUCUUCUUUUAAGUUUCAUAUUUAAAACACACAUUUUAUAAAUUUAAAACUAAAAUAAAAACAAAUAUAAUGUCACUUAUAGAAAUAUACUAAUGGGUUAUUGAUAUAAUAUGAAAUUUUAAUACAAAUGAUAAAUAUUUUAUCUAGUUUGCUAUUUUGUAUAAUUUUUCAUUUUAUUUUAUAACUACUCCUAAACUAGUUUAAUGCAAUAAUUGCAUAAAAAUCAAGUUGCAUUUUUUUUUUCAAGUUUGUAAGAACAGUUCCACCCAUAUUUUAAGUUUUUUAAAUGUAUAUUCUUACUAUUUAAUUAAAAAGGUAACUUCUUUAAAAUAUGUAUAUUUUGUUAAGUGACUUUCAUUUUUGUAAUCUUUGGGAGUUAUUAUAUUUUUUCAAUCCAAAUCAAAUGUUCAAGUAGGGUAAAUGAGUUGAAUCACGUUAUAGGAAGAUUUUUUAGACCAACUCUAAUUUUUUCGUUGGUCAAUUUGUCAAUCCAAAUCCAACCAUCAACAUUUGAGUUAGGUUCGGGUUAUUUACUUAUUUUCUUAAUUAUGUUUGUUAUUAACUUAAAAUAUAUGGAUUUAUCUACAACACAUAUCAAUAAGGUUAAAUAUCAAAACCCAACAUAUCUAUUAUUACGAAUUAUAAUAUUUAUUUAUAAGUUAUAGUAUAUGUAUACUAAAAAUAAAAUUAGAAAAUCAAGUAGGUUGGAUCUAGUCUACUCGAGUUUUAAAAAAAGUAACCAAAACUCAAUCAAACUCUUACAAUUUAGACUAGAUUGUCCGAAAUUAUGAUUUAUCAGACAUUUGAAUAAUGCCCCUACUUUCAAUUACAUUACUUGAAGUUCAAUCAAUUGCUAUUGUAUAUAAAUACUCACACGGAAAGAUAUUUCUACAAGCAUUUCUAAACAUUUAAUUUAAAACAUUUAACUAUAUAAUUAUAUAUAUUUUUCGUACAAAUAUGUAAUUAGCUUAAUUUUUGUUUAUUUUUUGAAAGGUUACUCAAACUUAGUUGUUGUCAAUUAUACGUUAGCAGUAUUUUAUAUAAUGAAACCAUAAAAGAAUGUCUUGUGGAGAACUUGCAUUUAUGCGAAUGCGAUAAUGUGACUGAGUCGGUGUAUAUAUCACAUGGGUGUUGAGAGAUAAUAAUGUUUAGUCGGUCAACAAUUUGCUCUACUUUUCUUAAUAUUGAAAUAAGAAAACUAUGUUCAAAAUAAUUGGUUGCUUAACUACUUAAUAUUUUUUUCGUGCAAGAAAAAAUAUACUUUGAUGAUCAUAUAUUAUAUUCCACCUAUAUGCAUACUCUUUCAUUUAAUUAUUCAAUUACAAAAUGUAAUUUAUCUAAAUUUAUUUUUUAAAUAUUAUAUUAUUUUGUAACAUUAAUGUUCAAUCGUAAUCGUCCGUAAAUUUUUAUUCAUUUACAAUAUUUAUAAAAUCAUGUCAAUGUUUUCACCUAUAAAGUUGUUAAAAAUAGACUAUGUAACAAUUAUAAAUAGGUUGAUUAGUACACGAUCAUGUUGUUCAUGUUUUCAACCGUCGAACCUUAAUAUUUAUAUUUUUUAAAUUUAGUUUCUAAAACAUUUUUAGUAUUACAAAAUUUGAUUAAAGGAUGACAAUUUUUUACGUAAGAGAAACAUGAUUGUAUGUAAGUAUUAUAUAUAUAUAUAUAUAUUUAAUUUUAAGGUUAGUAAAUGAUUAUCAAUUUUAUUUCUUAAAAAACAAGAAAUAUAGAGAAAAAACAAAAAACAUUAAAUGAAAAAAACCCUAAAUCAAUCCAGGUAUAUUACUCUACUACAUAAAUAUUAAUUUUGUUUAUUUGAUUGAUUAUAGAGUAUUUAUGGUCCCAAUGUUAGUCAUAUGAUUAUAUUUUAAGAAAAAAAUCCUAAUUCUUCUUUCAUCUUCGUUGAAGAUAAUUACUUACUGUAUAUAUAAAAAUGAGAAACUAUUGAGAUAAAAUGUAUAACGAGAGAAAAAAUAUCUAUCCAAAAUUUAAAAUAUAUCAUUAUCAAUUAUUUUAUUUUUGGCUUAUGUAGUGGAUUCAUCAUUUGGGUAUGCUUUUAAUUUUGAACUUUCAUGCUUCAUUCUCUCGAGUUCAGCGUGGGAAAAAUAAAAUUGACUGAUAGAACUUUCUAACUUUUCAUUUAGUUAUGCCAUAUAAUUUACAUUUGACGUUUAGGAAUAGGAUAAUUACAAGUGAGUGAUGGAUUGACAUUUAAUUUGAUAAACCUGUUUGAUUUAAACUUUAAAAAAGUUAUAUUAUCUUUUUAUUACUACGAUAAAAAUGAAAUGAUUCGAACCACAGACUUUUAAAAUAUUUUUUGGUAAUUUUAUUAUUUAAAAUAAAAAAUCUUAUCUCACGUGAAGUUGUAUUUAUUUAAAAUGUGUGUGUUUUCAAAGAAAAAAUGCAUAAUGUAAUAGACAACUAAACAAAGCAAGAAGAGUAUGUUACAUCCAAAUAUUCAAUUACUUCAAUUAUCAUAAACUAACUCAAUUAAAAAGAAUAAUAGGAAACUAACUUAUAAUCAAACUAUACAAGUGGUUUUAUUUUAUUUAUUUUUACAAACAAUAUACAAGUUUGGAUUGACUAACGAAUAAUGUUUCAUUUAAUAAAAUACAUAUAUCAAUUGAAUUUGUCGCAGAAAGAGCAUAGAAUUUUUUAAAGCGUCAAAUGCAACAUUAAAAUAACAACAUCAACUCAUUAAAAUCACAUAUCAUAACAAGAAUAAUCAAUUUAUUAUUAUUGUUGUUGUUUUUUAAGUGGAUAAGCAAUACUUUUAGAGCAGUAUACUAUAACAAUGUUCAUUUUGGCGGAUGGAGGCCAACUCCUUACUAGAGAUAUGUUGUUCUUUUUUUAAUUUACUCAAGGGACAAAAAUAUAGUAUACGAGAAGUUCCACAAGCAAUAUAAAUUAUUUAGAAAUAAUGAUAGACAAGGUCUAAAACAACACGUAAAUUCCCGAAAGAGGUUUAGAGAAAGAGGAAAGAGCAAGUUGAAGCCCAUUCCAAACUCAUUGGCCCUCAAUCCAAGUUUGAAAACUAACUCACUUGCAUUAUUGAGUCCGCUAAAAAAUGAACCUUAAAAGACAAGUCCUCUAUAUAGAUUUUGAAACAUUGUCCUAAAAGCUAAGGAUUAGGGCACGAUAGCCUAUAAAACACCAACAUUAAUGCUCCGUUAAAAUAAAACUAAUUUUGAUGACUCUAAAUUUAAGUAUUAAAGCCAACGCAAAAUUCAAUACAUAGAUAUAUUAUUUUUCACACUAACAAACUUAUUGUUGCUGUCUAAACGUUUGGUUUUUUUUUUAUUGUUUUAAAAUUCAACUUAUAAACAACGGUUUCCCUAAUUAAUACUGUAACAACAAAAUUAGAAAAAUUUAGAACUAAACUCUAAAUCCAACUAAUUAUAAAUUUUAUAUUUUAUAUGAUAUCAGUCUAAUUAAAUUGAGAUAAUUAUUAAUUAGUAAUGAUUUAAAGUAUAUAAAACUUAUAUUUACUAGUGGGUUCCACAAAAUAUUUAAGAUCUCGUAGAAGGGUGAUUUUAAAAUCGUCUUGAUCAAAAUCUAUCUUACCAAGGGUUAAGAUUCUUUUACCAUAUUUGAAGACACUUCCUAAACUAACUCCAGCACACCCUUAAAAUAAUUGACGAAUGGUAAAAAUAGCAUGUUAAAUAGUAAAAAUUAUUAUUAUUAUUAUACACGAACUAGUCCACACUUUCAUUCCCAAUAAAUCGGAUUAAGGAAAGCAGGGGUAAAUCCGUAAACGACGUAUAUUCUUAAAAAUCCAGGCUCUAAAAAGUUAAGGAUAGAGGUAAAAUAAAAGGGUUUUUAUGGGGUGAGAUGGAAAAUUAAACACUCCAAAGGCAGUUGCGGCGGAUGAAGAGGAGAGUGAACUUAACGACAGCACGUUGCAUAUAAAUUACUAAUAAAUUUCGACGGUUGGGAUCGUUUUGUAGGGUUUGAUCUAAGGGUUUGAGGAGCCACCGCGUCUACAAAUCCAGCCAUGAAUCGGUGGUUUAUUGAUUUGCAUUUGGUUUCGGCUGUUCCAUUCCACCCUAAUUGAGCCUCCUCUUCUUUUUCUCUCUCGCUUAUCUUCUUCUUCUUCUUCUUCAGCCUGCGGUUAUCAUCAACAUAUACAUCGCCAUGGAUUUCAUCUCUCACUAGCUCUGAAACCUUGAUUCAUAAGCUCUUUUUUGCGUCCUCCCUUCUCUUCAUUCUUAUCCUUCUUAUUCUUAUUCUUCUUCUUCUUCUUCUUCUUCUUCUUCUUCUUCUUCCUUCCAAUUUGAAUCUGUAAUUUUGUUUGUUCUUUUGAUUUUGAGCGGUACUCGAAGAGUGGGAGAAGAUGCCAUCGAACGGCCCUGAUUCGCAGCCGCAGCAGCAGGCGGCGCAUCAGACAGAGCAGAAUCAGCAAACGCACAAACAGCCGCAGCCGCAGAGGUGGAUGGCGAUGCAGUAUCCGGCGGCGGCGAUGAUAAUGCAGCACCCGAUGAUGCCGCCGCAGCAUUACGUUCCUCCGCCUUCGCCGCACUAUAUUCCGUACCGUCAAUACCCGCCGCCGCAUCAGCUUAAUGGCCAGCAGCACCAGCAGCCACACCAGGGAUCCACCAGCGAGAACAAGACUAUUUGGGUCGGUGAUUUGCAGCAUUGGAUGGAUGAGAAUUACCUCCAUAGCUGCUUCGCUUCCACCGGCGAGGUUUCCCAUUUUACUAUUGCGAUUUAUGCUUUUAUUUUAUUUUUCCUUUUCACGUUAGAAUAUUAAUGCAUACCAAUUCAUUUAUUGGCAUUUUAUUGAUAUCUACUGUUCUGGAUUUGUUUGGCUAAUUUUGUUAACUGUCAUUAGUGUCAUUUAGCUUACUCAAUAUAGACAAUUUUUUGGAAAUAACUGAGGGUUGGCGACAGCAAAAUUGUCAGGAUUUUAUUUUUAAAUUUUAUGCUUGCAAGUUAUUGUUUUUGCAGUCAUUCUUUACAGGUUUUCUAUUUUUGUUACGGGAGACUGCUCGGAGAAAACUCCAAAACUCUUACUUGGAUCUGUUGUUAUUAUCAGAUUUGAUGCUUUAUUUAAUUUUAGUGCAUUUAUCAUCAUCUAAGGCCCAAAUCUGUUUAGUCAAUAAUGCGCCCGUUUGUUACUUUGCAUUUCUAAAACGAUUCUUUAUACCAUAUAUGUUUUGUUUUCCUCAAUUGUUACCUUCUAUUUUCUAUAAUAUUGAAUGAAACAAGUUCUGUAAACGUUAUAUUUUUCCCCUUUUAGUCUCAUUAUUUAAUUUCGUUUAGAUACUUUAGGAAAAAGAAAUGGAGAAAUUAAGUAGUGUAGAAAUUUAGGAGCAAGAAAAUCUGAAUAUGGUGGAGGCAUGUCAGUCUAUUCAGCUCCUAUAUCAAGUGCCAACACUUUGCUAGUUUCAUCGAAAAUGAAAAAUGAAAUAGUAAUAUUUUUUCUUCCUUGCAUUUCUUUUUAUUUUGUGAUUUGAACUGAUAAUAUAUUGGUCAUUCUGCACAUUAUAGUUAUAUUUAAUCAUGAUUUCUAAAUGAAAGUAUUUAAUAUAUUAUUCUUCAAUAUAGUAAGAUAUGGUACGUACUAGCCAAGUAGGUGUUGUUUUGUUUGUGUGUGCGUGUAUCUAACUUUCUUGUGUCUUUUACAUUUGGAUGUUCCCUGUUUGUUGAUUUGUUUUGUUUCUUAGAAGUGAACCUAUGAAAGGAAUCAUCUAGGAGAAUGUAUUGUUGCCUUUUGGUCUUUUUCUUAGACAGUCUUUCUUGUAUCCUCUUUAAGCGCAUUUCUUAUGUCCCAUGCUUUAUGUAACUAUUACUUGCAGAUUUCUUCCCUUAAAGUCAUUCGUAAUAAGCAAACUGGUAUAUCAGAAGGCUAUGGAUUUGUAGAAUUUUUCUCUCAUACAACAGCAGAGAAAGUUCUGCAGAACUAUUCUUCAAUUUUGAUGCCUAAUACUGAGCAAGCUUUCCGGCUAAACUGGGCAACUUUUAGCACUGGCGACAAGCGUUCAGAAAAUGGUUCUGAUCUUUCUAUUUUUGUAGGAGAUUUAGCAGCGGAUGUUACUGACAGUGUACUGCAUGAAACUUUUGCUAGUAAAUAUUCAUCUGUCAAGGCAGCAAAAGUUGUCUAUGAUCCAAAUACUGGUUGUUCAAAAGGUUAUGGUUUUGUAAGGUUUGGUGAUGAUAAUGAGAGGUCUCAGGCCAUGACUGAAAUGAAUGGCAUAUAUUGCUCAAGCAGGCCUAUGCGCAUAGGUGCAGCAACGCCCAAAAAGUCAUCUGGAUAUCAGCAACAAUAUUCUUCACAAGGUAUGUAAUUCUUUAUUUGUUGUAGUUAUUUGCUCGUAAACAAUAUUGAAUUCAUUUUCACUGUUUUAAGUCAAUAUUUUAUCACAUUCUUUAAAAACGGCCUUUUUAUACUGGGGGCAUUGUAUAUAUGUCAAGGUUAUGGUGUAAUUUUAUAAGGGCAGUGGGACUAACCCUUGGUGAAUUAAGAUGCCCGUACAUCAUCUGUAACUAUAUGUUGUCUUGGUAUUAGGAUAUGCAUCAAAUGGUUCAUUCUCCCAUGGACACCAGUCUGAUGGAGAUUUUACAAAUACAACUGUGAGUUGGAUUGCUUCACUUUGUCUUCAUAAUAUCACUUGUUAUUUCUCUUGCUAAUUCAUCACUUGUUAUUUCUCUUGCUAAUUCUCUCUUGUUCUUUCUUUUCUUUUCUUUUUUCUCUCUCUUUGUCUCGGUUUUGGGGGAUGUGUGUAAAGAUAUUCAUUGGAGGGCUUGAUCCAAAUGUUACUGAUGAAGAUCUUAAGCAGCUCUUUUCUCAGCAUGGAGAAAUAGUAUCUGUUAAAAUACCAGUUGGAAAAGGUUGUGGAUUCAUCCAAUUUGCAAACAGGUAAACCUUUUGGGCCACACGUUGUUUGACCAUAUGCCAAAAGUGAGUCUUUAGUUUCUUCAUCCAUUUCAACUACUCAUCUAUUUUUUAAUUCUGCCAUGUAGAAAGAAUGCUGAAGAGGCAUUGCAGAAGUUAAAUGGAACUGUGAUUGGCAAGCAAACAGUACGUCUUUCUUGGGGACGUAGUCCGACAAAUAAGCAGGUAAUUCUCUUUUGUGUGUGAAAAUGGUAGAAACAUAAAACCAGUGUUUUUUAAAGCUCAAUUCGAAAUGAAGCAUAAUAUUCUUCUGGGGCUGAAGCAGAGGGCACAAAAAAAAUCUUUUUUUUUUUUGGUGAGGCGCACUGUAUAUAAAAGUACUACAUUAAGAAAUAAAACAUUGUUGAAGUGGAAAUAUGAAAAAACAGGCCUCUAAACACAAGAAUUUUUGCAUUUUGGUUUAAUAAAUUUGAUUUUUUUAGUUAAUAAAGAAGGGUAUAUCUAAAUAUUUUUAUUUUUUAAAAGAAUAAAAAGGCCCAAAGGUGCAGGGCUAUGAGCCGCGCACCUUAUUUUGUGAGCCUCGCCUUGAAAAGGUGAGGUGCCAGACCUGCACCUUGAGCCUAGGCACACACCUGUUACGGCUUUUUAAAACACUGCAUACAACUACCUCAAUUUUCAGGUUAGGAGAUGCUUAUGGAGUAACUAUUUUUGUCUUUUUUUUCUCCCACAAAAAGAGUCUACUGUUGUCUGGUGUAUGCACUCUUCUUAGUUCUGACUUACAUGGUAGUUAGCAAAUCUAUUAUUCCUUUUUUACGUGUCUGCUCUGUUUUCUAACUAUAUAAGAAUUACUUAUUCAACUACAACUAUUGUGCACUGUGUAAUUUGGAGGGACAACUGGAAAUAUCCCUCUCAAAUUGUAAUGCCACGACUUACUAAAUAACACAUAUAAACUAUUAUUAUAUUCAUCAUUUAGAAAGGGAAUAUAAUUCCCUGUUGUGAGAUCUCACGUAAUUUUUACCACAUGAAAUGUAAUGAGGUAGAGAAUGGAAUUAGGGAAGGAAAUAUGCGUUUUAUUGAGUAAGUAGCGUAUAUCUGUUUUAUAUAGGUGCUUUCUAAAUACAUGAAAUAUCGACACUUCAGCUGAUUAUAUUUCUGUCCAUAUCUUGAGUAUUUUAUGACUAGUUCUUUUGUGUUGACAGUACCGAGGUGAUUAUGGUAACCACUGGAGUGGAGCCUACUAUGGAGGACAAGUGUAUGGUGGAUAUGGAUACGCUCUGCCGCUACCUUAUGAUCCACCAACGAUGUAUGCAGCAGCCUAUGGAGCUUACCCUAUGUAUGGCACCCAUCAACAGCAAGUGAACUGAUGAUUGGAAGGUAGAGAAAACAAUCUAUAGUUCUUAUACAUGGCAAUUGUCCCGCCGGAAGCCUGGGGUGGGCAAAAUCUUCUACGUUUCUCUGUAGGAUCUCACUCUAUCUAUAAUGAGCAAAGUUGGUUCAUUUCUAAAUGUUCAACUUUGUUCUCGAGGUUUGCUAUAAAUCCCUCCGUCCGUGGAGUGGAACCGAAUUUUGAUGGACCUGAGUUAUGUAGAAUAUGAUUUACUAACUAUUCGUUUGAGACUGCGAGAACUAAUAAGGAACUUAACUGUUUAUUAGAAUAUAUAAUGUUAUGGCGUGUAGCAUUAGCUAAUUUUGUUCUGCUUCUACACUUGCUUUUCGACAUUAGCGUGAAUUUGAAGCUACAAUCGAUAAUAUUCUAACGGUUGUUCUAUUCUUGUCCUGUUCUUUUGUUUCAUUUUGAAAAUACUUGAAAUGUUGUUUGACCAAACAUCUCAUGAGAAGAUCUAAAGCAAAUGCCCCUUGACGGAUUUUGAUUGUUUCCAUAUGGGAAUUAUCAAAUGGUUUUCAGGUGCUUAUUUAUUUCUUUACUUUUUAUAUAUUUGUUUAUUUUGUUUCAGGUCUGUUUGUAAUGAUUUUUGUCUGUAUCUAUAUUUAGAUGGGUGUAGUAUUGAUUAUAUUUUGUAUGCCUUCUGUUUCUUUUCCUUUGGGAGUGUAAUUAAUGGUUUUGUUAUCCAUUCCAUUAUGGGAAGCAAAACCCAUAUAUAGAUGAUAUAAGGUUAAAAAAGAAAAUUACACAUCUAAUGUUCAAUAUUGCAACUUCUAUGGUAAAGGUGGAAGUUUGUUUCUAGUUUAUGUUUGAGUGGUUUUUAGAUAAAACCUGCAUGGGUGAAUCAAUUAUUACUAUUUAUUUUCGGAGGGAUUUGAACCCGAGUUCUUUUGGUCUCCAUGUAAAUACAGCAAUUAAAUCGAUAGAUUGAUAUUUUGAUUAACAUUGCAAAAUGUAGGGUUAUACAUAGGGUUUUUCCCUUGAAAAAUAUCUAUUUGUUGUGAGGUGAUGCUUUGUGAAUGUCCCUCUUGCAAGCAUGGCAAGUUUGUAUUUGUUUUUUCAAUAAACCAUUCGAACUGUUAGACUGUUGUGCAAGUGUGUCAGCAUUCGAAUCAUUUUUCUUAUUUUGGCAACUAUUUCUUGAAUGAAUUGGAAAUUCAUUUUUAAAUAUUUUAUUAUGCAUUGUCUAAGUUUCUAUUUUCUCGAAGAAAAUGGGAGUUAAAGAUGGUUUCUUCCUUUUUUUUUUUUUUUUCUAAAUUUUUAAAAGAAUUAUAAACGACUUUUUAUAUUCUUGAGUGUUUUGAUCCAUUUAUGAUCAUUUCAAUUAUAUUUAAAAUAUGUCUUAUUUUUUAGCAAGAAUUAGAAACAUUUUGAAAAGCCACAAAGAAACUUGUUUUUAAAACAUUGAAAAUAAGAAAAUCAGAAAACAAUAUAGCAACUUCUAUUUUCUUGUUUUGUUUUGAAAAAAAAAACUUUUUUUUAAAAAAAUUACGAUCAAAGAUAGCAAAUGAAUUUGAAUCUUAAAUUUUCUUUUAUCAAUUAUAUAAUGUCUAUCUAAUUUAAAUUAUGUAUAUGUUGACAUGCAACAUUGACAUGUCACAAACACAGACAUGUCACAAACACAAUGUGAUUUAUGUACUAAAAAUUCCUGGAACAUAGUUUUAAAUACAUUCAUAUUAUAAUGUUAUUCUUAAAGAAAUGUUUAAUAUAAAGUUUUUGAAGUUUAAAGUUUCAAGGCAUCUUCGUUAUUCUCCUUUGUAUUUGGUAUCAGACUAAGUGGGAAGUUGCUUGGCAGUGUUGGUGCUGCAACCAAAAUUACUAUGGGCGCUCUUUACAGCAGUUGAUGUGUUUCAGAAUCUUAUACCCUUUACAAACUUCGAAGGGCCAACAAAAAAGUCUCGUGAUACAAGAAUGGAGGUAGGACUUCUCAUGACCGACCAAUAUUACUUUAUAGAUCAGACUUCACAACCUACCUGUCUUUUACAUUACACAAUAUUUGAAAAGUGAUUAUAAAAUAGUCAGAAUCAUAGUUUUCGUUUGAUUUCAAAUUGCUUUCCAUUACAAAUUUAAUCAUUUAAAGUCAAUUUAAUUUUUAAAUAAUUUUUUCAAACCAUUAAUAUAGAUUGUUUGGAAUGCUUUUAAAAAUGAUAAAGAGUUUCAAAACAUAUCAUAGUCAAUAUCACUUCUCAAUUUGAGUAUAUUUAUUGAAAAGGUUGAAAAUAUUCCCAAAAUAUGGAGAGUAUGUUUUUGAGAGAUAUCUUGAAUUCUCAAUUAAGUGCCUAUCUAUCAAAUGAGUAUGACUUUUCUAAUGUUUUUGUUUAGAAAUAUUUUAAAUAAAAAUAUUAUAAAAAAUUUACAAAAAUAGUAAAAAAAAGAAUAAAUUUAAAAAUAAAUUACUGUCUAAUUACUAUUAUAUUUAUUAAAUUUACUAUAUAACGAAAAUGUUAUGAAUUGUUUUUUUACGUUACAUAAAUUUUCAAAUAUUAAUUUAAGAAAGUGUAGCUUUGAUCAACUGUGAAGUCUGGAGCAUUAUAAUCAUCACGUUGGUAGUGGAGAGAGAGCCAGAGCCGAGCCCGCCCCGAAGUAUAAGAAUCUAAGCUGGCAUGUGUUCCAAUUACGGGACGCACUGCAUCCUAUGGUUCGGCCGGGCAAUUAGGACGCAAAUCUGAAAGCAACCGACAAUCUUCAUAAUUAAUAAUCACGAGCUCCUUUUUCUUUAAAAAGAAAAGAAGUUACCGCCGCCCACUAUUAUCAAUAGUCGAAAUUUGCUUAAUUCGAUGGCGGAAACUGAGUGUGGUUCUCCGUAUUACAAUUACGAUAAAGGGUAACAUGUGGACGAAUGGUAAGACGAAACGUGGCAGCGAAACUCAACCUUUAAAUAGUGAGAAUAAUUAGAAUUUGUUAAUUUUGGGUCAUGCGUUUUAUUAUGUUAACAUCUGGCUUUGGCCCUCUUCAGUUUUGCAUCUCCGCUCAACACGUUUCCCCAUGGCUUCAGUUUCUCUCUCUUCUUUCUCUCAUCCGCCUUCAGUUGUUGUUCCUUCGCCUUGUCUGCAAUUUUACGGGCGAAUCUUACUUCCCCGUAGAACUCUUGCUUGUUCCUCCUCCACUUCGGUUUCUUCUUCUUCGAUCACGUCUUCUUCGUCAAUUUCGGCGCCGAAAGUAGUGGUUACCAGAGAGCGCGGCAAGAACGGGAAGCUCGUUAAUGCUCUGGUAAUUAUUUCUUGCGCGCUCUCUCUCUUUUCUUUUUCUAUUGAUUUUGUAAUCUGUGAUGAUGUUUUGUUCAGAUUGUUGAUUUGGCUUUUGAUUUCUCGAGCUUUUCUUUUUGCUUUGUUCUUGUUCGCAUGUUUUGAUUCUCAUUCUGGUUAGGCAUUGUGUUAAUCUCAUGGUGCAGUGAUUUGUAGCUCUUUGAGUUUGACUAAAUGUUGUUUGUUCGAGCAUUUUGAUUAAUUCCUGCCUUCUAAAAUUCUUACCGAAUUUCCAGAUCUUUUCGAAAUUGUCGUUUUGAGAUUCGUACUACCUUUACUACUCCUGGAAUAUUGUUGUUGUGGUCAUUUCCCGAGUAGACAAGGAAUGCGCACUUCAGUGGACGUUUUUUGCCGCUGAGAUAAAGUGGAACUGUAAUGGCUGUUAGCGCCGAUAUAGUUUCGGUUUCCAAUAAUUAAAUAUCCUCUAUCAUCAAUUGAUAGAUAAGAAGGCAUCUAAAAUCAAACGAGCUGAUUUAUACUCGAAAAUAGUCUCGGUUCAAUUUCAGUACUUAGGUAUAUUCUCAGAACUAUGUUGAACCAUUCCAGAGCUGCAUGUGGUUGUAAAGUACUAGUUAAUCUGAUUUAUUUUCUCAGAUAAAGCUUAUUCGUAAUAGUCUCUUGGUCGUAAGUACUACUUAAUUGUUCUUAGGAAGCAUUGAUAUGAAAUAUAUUAGUACUCUUUAUCGAGUCAAGAAAAUGUACAUAUACUCAUUCUCCUUUUCCAAGAUGCAUAUUGUGAUUAUUGCUUGAAUAGGUGACAUAUUUGGACGGAAUCCAGUUAAUUGCUUAGUGGACACAGUGUUUCAUCCAGAAAACUGAUCUUCUGUGUUAAUCAAGUAUAAGUACGGUUUAGGAUGGGGAAUAGCCAUUAUGUUUCAUCUUGAACUUUUGUCCAUUAUCAUCCACCAACGGAUAAAUAUUUUUGACACGAACAUAAGAUUACAUGUAUAUCAAUGCUUAUUUUCUCGAUUACCUUUAAAAAAAAAAUAGAAAGGAAAAAAAAAUCCUUGAUUUGAUUGCCUAUUUUUAAUGGACCUGUUAUGAAGGUAGAAUAAUGGGAAAGCAAAAGUAGUUGGCCUUCAUAUUUUUGCAUGGAUGAGCAAGCUACAAGUGAUGCGUGAAAUCAAUAUAAAUUUAGACCGUGUUGAUAUUCCUGAUAUUGAUCACAGGCAAGACAUGGAAUAAACUGUUUGGAACUUCCCCUGAUUCAACACAGACAAGGACCUGAUUUGAAUAGGCUACACUCUGUACUUAGUGGUACGUUCUUCACAAAUCUGGCCGGUCUUCUUGAAAUGAUUCUCUCCAUAUCAAAUGCAUGCCCACAUAAUGUUGCAGGAUGUGUUUCUGAUGCCUUCUAAUCAACCGGAAUAAUAUUUUUCAUUUUCUAUGUAGCAAAGAACAUUUGGAAGACUGUUUUAGACACGGCUGUUUACAAUUUGUUCUUCUUUGGUUAACAGAUUCUGUAUUUGACUGGAUUGUCAUAACUUCCCCUGAAGCUGGCUUGGUGUUCCUAGAGGCAUGGAAGUAAGGUUUAGAACUAAUUCACUAGACUCUCACAAUUCUUGUAUGUCACUCAAUUUCAUGUCGAUUUCUUUUUUAUUUUUCUGAAAGUUGUUAGUUUCCAAGAACGUCACAAGCUUUGAAGUUGUGUAAAACUUAUUUUCCUUGUAUAGGAUGCUAGCACUUUUAGAAAUUUAUAUUCAUCAUACUUGUUGGUCUAGCUCUUGAGAAUCUUUUUGUUACUGGAUGGUUUGUUUCAAGUUACAGGUGAUACAGCCUGUGAAAACACCAUAUUACCAUUUGAUGAUAUACAUUGUCAUGCUUGUACCAUCAGAUAAAUCAUAUUUUACCACAUUGAGUGAGUUGUUGGGACCUUUUUCGUUCAACUUGUAUGGCUGUAUAGUACACGAGCUCUAUCAUUCAAUUUGAAUGUAUUGUUGGUCAAAUGAGUCAAGACUCAAAACGUAUAGCUGAAUUUUAUUUUAUUACUGGUCAUCACUUUCUUGCUGUUGGUAGUAAUUUGCAUAGUUAGUUAUACAUAUCAUGAUCGACUGUGAAUGACAGAAAUACAAACUCAAGAUUGAUCAAUACUUUCACAUCGUGUUUUCCAUUGAAGCUGCUUUAGGUCAUCUUUGAGUGAUACCUUCACAUUAUUUUGUUUCUUAGGGCCGCUGGAAUGCCAAAAGUUAGAAUAGGUGUCGUGGGAGCUGGUACAGCUAACAUUUUUGAGGAAGUGUUGCAAUCAUCAAAACUACUUGAAGUGGCAUUUGCACCCUCAAAAGGUAUGAUGCAUGUCGAAAUUCACAUUUCUGGAUUGCAUUUCUUUGCAUGAUUUUAUUAACAUUUUUAGCUAUAUCAUUUACUUACUUUCUUAAACCAAAUAAUAUGCCCAAAAGCUCUCCAAAAAAGACACUGUCGUAGAAUGGAAAUGGAAUUUUAGAACUAUAAAAUCAAAGCUCUCCAAAGACAUAUCUAAAAUGUAUUAGAUACUACCUGUGUUGGUAGAUUCACUAUGUUAUGCUUGUUGAACAAUCACAAUUUUGUAGGUUUUUGUAACUUCACAGUAGAUUUUUUGUUUGUCUUUGUUUUUCUUGAAAAAAGAGAGGAUAAAGCGAUUUCUUAUUAAUAUUUAUUUGUGUAUACAUCUGGAUUUUAUUAGAACAAGAAUCCUUCUGCAGAGAUGCUUGGUUGUCUACACAUUAUAAUUUGAAUUCGUUUUUUUCUCCAUUUAUCUAUUUCAGCAAUAGGCAAGGUCUUGGCUUCUGAGCUUCCAAAGUUAGGAAAUACAAAGUGCAGUGUCUUGUAUCCUGCAUCUACUAAGGCUAGCAAUGAUAUUGGUAUGUUUUUUCCUUUCAUUCUGAGAGCUAUUUCCCAUUAGAUAAUGUGGUAGCAACGGAUUUUUGUUUGUUUUCAUUUUUGAUUGUUUUCUCAUGCUACUAAAUCGAACUGGAAGUACUGCUUACUAAAUUGUUGCUUGCUGGCAUGCUUAUAAAAUUGUAAUAGGUUAUAGGUCUACUUGAUUAGCCACUCUUUGUGACAAAGUUCAAUUUUACCUAGAACAAUUAACCUAAUUUUCAAAAGUGAAAUUUCAAAAUAUCUCGAAUUAAAUGAAUAAAGAAGUUAUAAUCGCAUUCCUUUCAAAUAAAUACACCCCUUUACUUUUAAUUCACUCUAAAAUAGUUAGAGUGGAUCACGGCCAAGUUAUUUAUAUUCUAAUCAUUUAAAGAGUAAGGAACUUUUGUUCUAAUGAAAUCUAAGGAAGAGGAAGUUAUUUAAUUGAAGUACUUUUAAAGUGGGAGAUAGUGGCGCUUGAAAUUAGACGUUGGCUUGUAUUGGUAAGGUGAAUUUUUCUUUUUCCGUUUAUUCUAUGGCAGUUUUUCAUAUUUCAUACAUAGUGAUUUCUCUUUCUGCGUAUAUAUAAUGUAUCCUCUUUUAACUUACUUAUAAGUUCAGCUAUGAGUAAUUAGAACCUUAUGUGGAAAUGUGAAAGCAAUUUUGAACCCCUAAUGAAAAUUUUAAAUUAAACUGCAAUUAUAGUAUUUAGUCACAACUAAUGGUAACAAACCACUUGAUGUAUCUUAUAUCCGAGAUGUAUUUCUCCCCUGUUCCUUUCAGUUUUGUACAUCCUUUAUUGACAGUUCUUCAACUGAACUGGCAAGCCUAAGUUUUAUUUGAAUAAAAUUUAGGGUUUCUUUUGUGCAUCUGAUUUAGUUCGUAGCCGAGACCUUAAGGGAGGUGCUUGGGCUCCCAACUUCAAGUAUGUGGGGUGCACUAUUAUAGUUCAUUCGGUUUAUUAUUUUCUACUCAUUUCUCUUUAUUACAUGUUUACUGUUUUCUACCUAACCUAAAAUACUCUAUACUCCAAACACACAAAUUAUUAUAAUCAUACUACUAUAUACAGUCACAGACUCUAAUAACCAAACCACAGAUUAUAAUAGCCAAGUUAAUGGUCCGAACACCUUCUAAAUUCUAACAUCAAGUGAUCUGUUUACAAGUAAGACAGUGGCAAAGUUGAAAUAGUUAAUUUGUUAGUAACUUUUAAUUAUUAUUAUUAUUUUUUAAGUUUUAGUAUUUGUCAGUCACAUUGUGCUACAAUAUACUGAUUUGGUUUUAGUGUUCUGUCUAUUAUUACGGAAAGCAAAUUAAUGGCUUCAAAAAAAGUAAUCUUGGUAUCUCUUUUUGCUAUUUCUACAGAGGAAUGUCUUUCAAAUCGUGGAUUUGAGGUCACAAGGCUCAACACCUACACCACGGUAAAGUAUUCACGUCCCUUUUGUAAAUCGUGAAUCGCUAUGCCUUAUAUUCCUGCACCAUUCUUUUCGUAAAGUUUUUAGGCAUCAUAGCUACUGAUGUACCUUUCAGGCACCUGUUGAUUACGUUGAUCAAACCAUUCUGGAGCAAGCACGUUCAUUGCCUGUUGUCACCGUGGCUUCUCCUUCGGCAGUUCGGUAAGCAGCAGUUUAAAUUGCUUGUACUGCUUGAUUGAAUUAGUUCUCCUCCAGGUGAGAAGGAAUUUGUAAUAUUAAUUUGUUUGUUCCAUUUUCAUAAUUUUUUCGCGAUAGGGCAUGGGUCAAUCUUAUUUCAGAUCCAAAGGAGUGGGAUAAGUCGCUUGCAUGUAUUGGGGAAACAACCGCAGCAGCAGCAAAUAGAUUAGGAUUGAAAAACGUUUACUACCCCAAGAAUCCUGGCUUGGAAGGGUGAGUUUAUUCCCUACUUUUAGCUUAACAAACUUCUAGCUGAUGCACAUAUUUUAUAGAGUUGAGUUUCGAUGGUUAGGUUGGAUAGACAUUUUUUUUAAAAUGAAAGAUUCAAAAUAUUAACAUAUGCAACCACAUUUUUCUUUAAAAUUGCAAAAAUAGCUAAAUAUGUCAUAUUCUGGUAUAUUGUAAAUAUUAGUCUAUGAGUAGAUCAUAAAAGUCGAUUUUUGCCAUAUUUACCAUUUUUAAAAAAUGUUUUAUGCUAUUGAUUAUUAUCCCUAAAAUAUCAUUAUAAUUACUUUUUUUUAAUCCUGGAGCCCUUAUUGAAUAAUGAACCCAAAGUAGUCUAACCCAACAAUCUAAUUUGGGUUGGAUUGAGUUGUGUUGUAUUGUUAUCCAGUUCUUUUACCUUAAAAUUUUAUCUAAAUAGUCUUUAAAAGAACUAUUUAAUUAUUUUCACAUAUUAAAUUAAAAUUGAUAACUCAAUCUUGGAGAAUAAAUUUGUGUGUAUAUAAUAGUGAUAUUUUCAGUUCGAAUAUGAUGAAUACUGUGUAUACAGAAACUUGAUAAUUGAAAUGGAUGCAGGUGGGUUGAUAGUAUAUUGGAAGCACUAAGAUCGGAAGCUCAGGUUGUUGGUCAUUUUUCAGAGUAGCAAAUAAUGGAAGUAGUGCAAUAAACCUUACCAUCAUCAUGGAAUGGUCACCUGUACAUUUGACGGAGUUUUUAUUCGAGGUUAGGCGGAAGAGACUUUUCCAGUAGCCCUACGUUCAUCUAUAUCCCACUGUUUGUCAGCUUCCGUAUCAGAUAAUUAAUUCAUUAAUUAUCAUUGUUAUAUUUUCUUUACUGUUUUUAGUUGAACACGUGGGUAAGUGAACUUUUGACCUUUUCCGACUAUUCGUUUGGUUGUUAAUAGAAUGUAAAUUCAGCUCCAUAUCUAAAAUUUCCUUCAUUUCUCUUCUUCCUAACUUGACCUGAAAUUUAGUGCUUCCAAUUAUUGAAGUUUCCAUGAGCAGUUUGUAAAUUGUAAUUUACAUGGCAAAUUUAUUACAAAAUUUCUGUUGUAACUUUGUAACGACAAACCAAAUUGAAUUUUGGUUGGUUGGAGUCGGAGUCAUUGAAUUUUGGUUGGUUGGAAUCGGAGUCGGUUUUUUUUUUGCCAAACUUACUUCGACGGACCAAAAGUCAGUAUGGAAAUUGUUGACUGACCGUUGUUAGCAAUGACAAACCAAAUUGAAUUUUGGUUCGUAGAUUUAUUUCACCCAAAAAAAAUAAUAAAUUAUAUAACUAUGAAAAGAGAAAAAAGAGUUCAGUUUGGUCAGGUCUCGCCCUUUUGACCACAAGUCGAGUGACUGAAAAUGUUGUUUAGAGAACAAAAUCUUGAAAUCCCUCUAUUUUUAUCUUCAAAAUUUGGUCCAAUUCACAAGUUUUAUGCUCGUAUAAAUGUCUUAACCAAUAGAACUAAUUUUAGAAAACAAAACAUUAAGACAAACAAGGAACUACAUUAAACUUUCUAGACAAUAGGAUUAAGUUAAAGAAACUCCUAACUAGUUCUGCAACUAAAACGUUUAUUUAGCUUAAACUAUGUAAUAAAAGCUAGGGCUGCGGCUAUCCUCAGCUUACAUAAAUAAAAAAACGUUUUCGAAUUUUCUUUUACAAAUUGAAAGGAAAACCAGAAAACUCAAAUUUAAAGUAUAACCACGUGGUCUCGUUGAAACUUUUUUUUUAUAACCUUCAUUAUGAUUUUUUUAAAAUCUAUAUAAUUUGUUAGACUUGGCAGUAUUAGUCUAGGGAACUUACCUUGCUGGAGAGUUGACAAUCAUGCAAUCCAACCUGAUCAGUAGGCCAAGAAGAGGUGAAUUCAGAUAUAGUUUCAAAGACUUCAUAAAAAACAAACGAAAGACAACUUAUCUUCUAACUGUGAGCAACCAGAUAUCAGAGUUGGCACAAAUUAGAGGUUUGGUGAGAGCAGAAUUCGAAAUAAGAAGUUUAGAUGCUUCAGUUGAUUGAUGAUGGAAAGCGUCUCUUAAUUUGUGAUGUUAAAGGAAUAUAAACGCAGGGUUUGUAUUUUCGCAAUAGUGUGAAUGAAUUCUAUUAUGAGAAAUUUACACUUGUGAACAAUCUGCGUCCGCAUGCUUAACUAUUCAGGAGAUUCAUGGAUUAAGAUGCGGAAUCCAUAGAAAUCGAAAUGAUUUAGGAGUUGGUUAGAAGCAAGAACAAGCUGAAUCUUAACAAUCAACUCUGUCCUUCUGUGAGCAAAAAGGAAAUCCCGAAAAAUAUCGAUUCGCAUGGACACGACGAUCCAGAAACGGAACGUACGCAAAAGUAACUCCAAUUACAGAGAAGUCAAAUUUGAAAUCAGAUCAAAUUGAAGUUCAUGAACAAAAAAAUAUGCAAGAUGAAGCAAAAGAAUUUGACUGAACGCAAAGAAAAUACAAAAAUAGCAAUGCGUAAAGAGAGAUCGAUUUUGUAAUAUUUCAAAAUCAAUCUUGUAGACAACCUCCAGCAAUCGUCACCGGUGCUUUUCAUGUGAGUUCAAUACUAAAUUCAGAAACGGAGAGCAAAAGUAAUUCUAGUUUUAGAAAAAGUCAAAUUUGAAAUCAGAUCAAAUUCAAGUUCACGAUCAAGAAAUACACGAGAGCAAGCAAUAAUAAUUUGAUUGAACGCAGAAAAAAUAUAAAAAGAGAUCGAUUUUGAGACAUUUCAAAAUCAAUCUUCAAGACUACAACCUCGAACAAUCGUCAUCGGUUCUUUUCAUGUAAGUUGAACACUAAAUUCAUAAACGGAGAGCUAAAGUAAUUCCAGUUGCAGAAAAGCCAAAUUUGAAACCAGAUCAAAUUGAAGUUCACGAUCAAGAAAUACACAAGAUCAAACAGAAAGAAUUUGAUUGAGCACAAAGAAAAGAGGAAAACCAUCGAUACGUACUCGAGAGGUCGAUUCUGUGACACUUCACAAUCAAUCUUCAAGAAUAUAUCCUUGAACUAUCGUCGUCGAUUCCUUUCAAGAAAUUUGUAUACUAAUUAAAUUCAGAAACCGAACGCAGAAGUAAUUCCAAUUACAGUAAGUCAAAUUCAAAAUAAAAUCAAAUCAAAUCAAAGUUCAUGAUUAGGAAAUACAUAAAACUAAGCAAAAAGAAUUUGAUAAUACGUAAAGUUGAAGACGCAAACGGUAGAUACAUACAGAGAGAUCCGAUUCUGUGACGCUUCACAAUCAAUCUUCAAGAAUAAAACCUCGAACUAUCGUCGUCGAUUCCUUUCAAGAAAUUUGUAUACUAAUUAAAUUCAGAAACCGAACGCAGAAGUAAUUCCAAUUACAGAUAAGUCAAAUUUGAAAUAAAAUCAAAUUGGACUUCCUGAUUAAGAAACACAUAAGAUCAAGCAAAAAGAAUUUGAAACUACGUAGAAAUGAAGACGCAAAAGAAAGAUACACAGAGAUCAGAGCCGAUUUUCACACUCAAUCUUCAAUAAUAAAACCUCGAACUAUUGUCAUCGAGAUCACUGAGGAUCCAAGCGCAGCACUGAUAAUGCGACUGGAAACAGUAAAAACGACUUCCCUAGGGAAUUAAAGCCAAACAGCAAAACGAGCAAUAAAAUCAAGAACAACGAAAGAAAUGAAAGGAAGGAAAUGCAAGAGCGCAGCAAAAGGACGUCAAGAUUCUUUCCUAAAUCAAGAAUAAUAGAUAGAAGGAGAGUUCGAGAACCUGAGAUUGGCAGUGAGAAUGAAGCUAGCGGAGGGAGGGAAUUCGAAAGGAGCGGGAAUGCUUUUAUAGCCACUUCGUAUUAUGAGUUCUCUACAGUAAUGGGCUGUGGCCUGAGAACUAGCACCAAUAUGGGCUAAAGUUUUUCUUGACAAAGGCCUAAAAUGUGGCCAAUGUAGGUAGCCUAACGGCGUGGAAAAUUGGAAUUGAGGACUAUUUUAGUAAUAAUAACGAAGAAUAUAAUAACAUUUUUAAAAAAUUGUAAAUAUAGUAAAAUUAUCACUGAUAGACUUCAUAUGGUAUAUCAGUGACAGACCAAGAUUUGCAACAUAGUUUAUCAGUGAUAGACUUAUAUCAUUGAUAGAAUUUGACAAAUUUUGCUAUAUUUGCAAAUUUUUAAAAAUUCUGCUAUAUACUUAAUUAAUUUGAAUUUAAUUACUAAAUUUGCAACCAUCCCGUAAAUAUUUGUAUAUGUACUUAAUUGUUAUUAACAUUUUUUGGUGUAUAAAUUAUUUUAGUUUGAUGAGAGGAUAACAAAUCAGGAGUUUUAAAAUAGUGUAUUGUAGCGAAUAGAUGAUUGUUAUAAUUUUAAAUUAUCAUGGUCCAAACAGCCCCCAACGCUAAUAUUUAAAUUCAAUACACUUAUAAAUUGUUUUGUAUCGUGAUUUGUUCAUUUUAAAUUUGAUAGAGAUUGUUUAAAGCAAUUUAAUUUGUUACUUUUUCCAAGAGGAACAAACUUUUAUAAGGAGUAACUAUAUCAAAUUAAUUUCAGAAACUUUUAAACUGUCAAUACAGUUUUUUACAACUCUACAAUAAAGACUAAAUCAUAUACAUGAAAUUUAAUUUGACUUAUUUUAGAAAAAUACUCAUAAACUUACCCAAAAAAAUUCAUUAAUAUACCACUGUUAAAAUAGUUUUAAAAAAUAUUGAUAUUAAUUCUAAAUGAAUAUUGAUGGCGAUGAAAUAGGUGAGUUAUUUGAGCAAAAAUAAAGAACAUAGGAAAUAACAACACGAGUUAAAUAGUUGUGCGGCUCACGAAAAAAUUAAAGGGACAAUUUUAAAAAUAGUAAAAUAAAUUAAAAUAUUUACAAACUAUAGUAAAAUUUUGAAUUCUAUUACUGAUAGUCUUCUAAUUACUGAUAAUAUUCUAUCACCAUAACAUAUCAAUAACUAUUAGUAAUAGAAUUUGGUGUAGGUUGUAAAUAUUUUGUAAGGAGAAAAAGGUGGGAGAGUGGUAAAGAAUUUGCUACAUUUCAAAAAAUCUUUAAAAUAUCUUCAAAAUUAAAUAGGUGGGAGAAAAAGAAAUGAAAUGAGGUUAGGGUUAGGUUUCUUUAUUUAUUUAUUUUUAACAUUCUUUCCUCUUUUCCUCUUUAAUAUGGAAUGAUUUAUAAGUGAUAGUAAUUUUUUUUUUCUUUUUCAUAAUGGGAGUACAAUUUUGUUGAUUAAUUACAUCAUUGAACAUUAUAAUUUUCAUUUUAUUUGUACAAUAGUUUCUUUUUAACUUUCAAGUCUAAUAAAAUUGUUUAAUUGCAAUCUUCCACAGAUAAUAAGUAAUUAGGUGGGUCAUUAAGGCAUUAGCACAAAUUUAAUUGAAAAAUUAUAAAAGGAGUAGAUUUUACAAAAUAUUUAUAACAUAUAGCCAAUUCAAUUAUUGUUGAAGUGUUAUAGUAAUAAAAAGAAUAUCCAUAAAAUCCAAAAUUUUAGUAUAGAACUUGUAAAUAUUUUUAUUUAUUUUGCUAAAUAUCAACAAAUAAAACCCUAAACCCUUUUAUUUUAUUUUUGAAAAAACUCCAAUUUAACUUCACACAAUUUUUUUAAAAUAAAAAAUUUAAUAUUACGGUUGAUUCUACAUUUUUAUAAUUGACUUUAAAUAUUAAAUUACUAUAUGGUGCUCUCAGAAUUUGAACUACGAUGUUACCAAAAAUGAUAAAAUUAUUUAACUAAAAAGGAAAAAAAAAAUCUUAAAUACAAAUCAAAUUUAAUAUUUCAAUCUGAAUGAAAACAGAGUGUAAUUUUUAGGUUGAUUUUGGGUCAAUGACCUCUAAACUAAUGAUAAAAAUGUUAUUUAUUAUUAUUAUUUUUAUUUUUUUGAAAAAUCAAUUUGAUCAUUUGUCAAAUGCGAAUAUUUGAAAGAAAAGUGUUUUUGACAAUAAUAACCAAACAUAGCUCCACAAAAUGUCAAAAGUUUGCGUUAUCUUAAUUUAUAAGUUAACUAUACACACGUAUAUAUAUAUAUGGAAGAAAAAAAUAGUUACGUUGAAUUUUAUUUUUUAAGUUCGUAAACAUAGUCUGAUUUAUUUUUAUUUAAAAGUUAAGGAACACAACGUAAGUAACGGAAGCUGUAGAAAGAAAAAGAAAAGGGAAAAAAGAAUCUUGAGUGAGUGAGAGUCCAAUCUCAUAAAUGAAGACGAUAGGGUUUCUGUAGGCUGCAGGGAUCAAGAGAAUUUUGACAUUUUAAUUGCAUGUUGUUCAUGAGGUUGGAUAUUAAUUAAGGCUUGAAAACGAUAGCUACCUAUACAAAAUAGACUUUUUGGACUACAUUUAUCAACAUUGCACGUUGGUUCAAUAAACAAUGAUUUUGAUUCAUAUAUAUAUAUAUACACAUACAUUGCCAACUCAAAUAAAUUAAAUGAUUAGUACACCUUCAAUUAGAGAUUCAUAAAUAAUAUUCAUCAAUGUAACAUGAAUAUGAACUAAAAGUCAUCAAAUGUAUCUUUAUAUGUGAAAACAAACCAAAUAAGUGGUUCUUAUAUAUUUGAUAUUUAUUAGGAAAUUUAUUUUAAUUCAUUGAUUUUGAAUUAUAUAUUUUUCUAUAUUAAGAAGAAGUUAGAGAAAUAAAUUAGAAAGAAGUGAAAUGGGGAAACUAGAGAAAAAAAGCGAAAGGAAGAAUUCAAACUAAAGGAAAAAUUGGAGUGGUGUAAAACAAGGAACGAGAGUAGGGGUGUAAACUGAUUGGAUUGGAAGACAUUCUCAAUGCAUGUUGAUUGGGUUGACAACCCAAAUAACCUAGAUUAAUUUUUCUGGUAAUUAUAAUUGAUGAUCAUUUUAGAAAUAAUAAUUAAAGAUACAGUAACAUUUUUAAAAAAUUGUAAAUAUAGCAAAAUUAUUGUCAAUGAAUUUGUAUGAUAUAUCAAUGAUAGACAAUAUUUACAACAUGGUCUAUCCGUGAUAAACUUCUAUUAUUGAUAGAAUUUGACAAAUUUUGCUAUAUUUGCAUUUUUUUAAAGGUUGUUAUAUACUUAUGGCUCAAUUUGCAACUAUUCCUUAAUUUUUCAACCCAACCCAUCGUUUACCCUCUUACACAAUCAGCUAACUUCCUAAUUUAACAAAAUACUCCUAACUUUAUUUUAAUUAAAUAAAUAAUAAUAUAUAUAAUAUAUAAAGAGAUUUUUUUAAAAAAAAACAAUCAUUAUGGUUAAUUUUUCUACGAAAGGUAAAUAUUCUGUCAAAUAUUCUAUUUUUAUCAUUCUCGUAAUAUUUUAAACUAAUUCAACCUACCUAACUUAUAUUAUAUAGGUUGAGUUGUGAAAUUAUUCGGAUUUGACUUACACACUAAACCCUAAAUUAGAGAAAGAAACGAUAAUCUAAAAUAGUAUUUUAUAAAAGCAAUGGAAGAAGGAUUUGGCAAUCGGGUUGGGAAGAUGUGAAAGGAAAAGGACGGAGCAACAGCAAAGUAAUUGGAGGAAAGGAAAGGAAAGGAAAGGAAAGGAAGAAACGAGUGUGGCGUUAUCCAUUUUUUGUUGCAUGCGAAGGAGUUAAUUAAAAAGCUCCAAAAAGUCAAGUUGGUCCAAAAAGAGCAAAAUAUCCAUCCGUACAAGGCAAGCACCCACCGUCAACUGUCAACGAUUGAGGGAAAAAAAAGAAAAUGUAGCCUUCCCUAAAAUUUACAGCUAUUUAUUUGUUUCUUUUUUUUCAAAAAGACACUUUUCUUUUUCAAUCUCUACACCAAUCUUUUUCACUUCUCAAAAAUUUAAUUGAUGAAUCUUAAAAGUUGGUUAAGUAUAAAAUUAAGCAAUUUAACCAACUUAAAUGCUUUUUCUUUUUUUUAGGCUUAUAAGUGUUUAAAUUUCCAAUAGUGUCUUUCAAAGAAUUUUUUAGCGUGGGUCUAAGAUAAGGCUCAAAGUAUACAUAACAGUCUUAAAAGACCUUUAAAACGUGUCUUCAAAAAAAAAAAAGUCUAAGUCUUAGGGUUUGGACCGAACCACGAGUAGGUAAUAUAUAUCAAUUGAGAAAUAACCAAGUUUCAUUUAAUCUAACACUCUAAUACCCUUAAGUACUAAAAAUAACCGGGAUAUGCUUCACCAUAAUUAUACACACUCACAAACAACUAUGUGGGGAAGGAAGGACACCCUAAAUAAUCUCAUUUCACGACCCCAAGAAGAAAACAAUUAAUCUCUAUUUUUCAAAUGGGGGUCUUGACUUUAUUUCUUUUAUGCUUAGUUAAACUAUACAUUCUCUUACUAAUUUAGGUAUCCAAAGUCGUGUAAAAAAAAAGAGACAAGACCAGGAGAAGUGAGCCACAAGAUCAAGUCCAUAAAGUGUCUGCUGAUAACUGUGAACACGUGAGAUUCAAACACAAAAGUUCUCAUACUUUAAAAACAUUUCAACCAGAGUUUCUAAACUUUAUUUUGUAGAUCUCUACAAUUUAGAAAAAAUUUUAACUAGCAAGUCAUUAAACUUUCAAUUUUAGAUUUUAGAUCUUUAAUCUCUUUGAUAUUAAAAUUCAUAAAUCUAACGCCAAUUUGUAUAAAUUUUUAUUGUUAGUUACAGAACUUUUAAGAAUCUAUUUGAUACUUUAAAAAAUUCAUAAAUUAUAAAAUAAAAAACAAAAGUUAAAAGAAACGUUUACGUUUAUAUUAUUAGACACAAGUUUAAUUUAGACAUGAAAGUAGUGAUUUAAUCCCAAAUAUUGUUACCGACCAAUAAAUAGGUAGCAAAGAAGAUGACAAACUAAAUAAUAUAUAUACACACACAAUGAAGCCCUUUAAGUAAGAUGUUUGACUCACAAAGAUGUGGACAAAAUAAAAUUGUGCGAUACCUCUAGUUUUUUACAACGCCAUGCAAAGAAGGGCGGGGCCGACCGUGGCUUGGGUUGGUGGGGGACAUAUCCAGCGCGCAUUUCUUUCUUUUUGUUUCUCAUUUUAAUCAUCCAACUUUUGACCUACUCUUCAAUUUAUGCCACGUCGUUUUAAAUGCUCCAUCAAAUACAAAUGUCAAUUCAUUAUCAUAUCAAAUAGUUCUAGUGAAUUAGAUACUAUACAACAAUUAUAUCAACAUUUCUAUAGAUUAAAACUUUUAAUUGAUGUCAAAACUAGCUGCAAUAUAUAUAUAUAUAUAUAUAUAUAUAAAGACCAUGAGGAGAAAAAGAAACAGAACAUUAAAAAAGACACACGAGGAUGAUUUUAAUAACAAUUAAAAGUAGUUUUAAGGAUUUGAUGGAUAUUUUGAGAAUUUAAGUUGAUGGAGGGCGUAAUCUUCGUUUGACCAUCAAAUAAAAAGAUUAAGAAUUCUUUAAAGAAAAGACUUGUCUUUACUUUUUUUUUUCUUAGUUAAAUUAGUCAUUCUUUUACUAAUUAACUUAAGCGUCGUAGUACAUGUAGUAAACUCAACACCACCUCAGCACAAAUGAUCUUUUAUGUUAGUAAAACUCAAAAUAUCAAGACCAUACCAAGAAAAAUUAGACUAAAGGUUGAGACUAUCGAACAUUCACACACUAACGAAAGUUUAAUAUGGAUGAGAUUCGAGUGCCAAUAAAUAAUAAAGUGUAAUAUUUCAUAAUUGAGUUUAGGUAAAAUAUUUCAUUAUUUGUUUUUAAAAAAAACAAAAACAAAAGUGCUCACGUAGAUUUUUUAAUUGUAUACUUGUUAUGGAUAAUUUUGGACAAAAUAACAUAACCAACCCUAAACAAGAUUAGAAACAAUAAUAUAAAUCAAAGCACAAGAUAUAUUCAUUUAAAAAAAGCAUUUCAAGAAUAAAAUGGACUUAGAAAAGAGAGAAAUUGGCUGAAAGACUAAACCUGCCGUACCGAUUGAAUUCCAAGCCUAUCAAAUUGUUAACUAAAACAUAUCCAUGCAUACCUAGACUCGGAUAUAGUUUUUGAAUGACCUAGAUCGACGUUUCUUAAAUAUGCAUCAUUGUACCUUAUAUAAAGUAAGUUCAUCCACAAUCUUAAACUAGAAUGCUUGUUGCACUUUUCUACUCACACUUGGGCAUUAUUAAGUAUGUGUGAGCUACAACCCUAGGUGAAAAUUUUCUUUUACUUGGAAGUUACAUUUUUAUUCUUUGGGAAGAAAGUUGCAUUAAUUUUCAUCAAAAAAAGAAUUUAUUGUUUUUGGUAGGAAAAAUCUGAUACUUUUUCCUAUGACUUUGGGUGUCAUCAUUAGUAAUGAUUUGCACUAAAAGGUACAAAUUAUUUAAAAAUAUCUACGAAAUAAAUGUUAAAUCCCACGUUGGUUAGAAAGAGAGUGAUUGUGGGUAUAUAAGUGUGAACAAAUCUUCACUGAUCCUCAAAUGUAUUGAAGUAAAACUAAAAUCAAAAUCACGAGAAUGUAUGUCAAAGUGAACAAUAACAUAUGUAACAAAUAUCAUACUAUUGUAGAAAUAUUUAGAGGGUCAUGAUCACCGACCUUAAUUUCUAGUUAUCAUUAGUUUUCAAUUUUCUAAUAAAUUUAUGUUUUCCCUUUAAUAAAGUUUGGUCAUCUAAUUUUGAUUUUUUCUGCUCGCCCAUGUGUUUUGGCCUUUUUAGGCAUUAUUGUUAUGGUAGAAAACGGCGAGAAGUUUCCGGUAAAGAAGAUGAGUUCUUCGAUGUGUGUGUUUUUUUUAAUUGUAAAGUUUUGCAAUUAUCUUAAAUCUAUUAAUAAAAUUUCGGUAUAUUUAUAUAAAAAAAUAUAUAAUAUUUCCCCCUUAUUCUCACAAAUAUUAAAAUUAGAGAAUAAUUGAAAAGGCUAAUUAUACAAGUUGUCUAAAUAUUUUUAAGUACUUGGUUCUAGCUCGAACAAUAUUUUUAAAUUAAAAUCUAUUCUUUCAAAAUUAAUUUAAUUUGAUCCAUAAAUUUUUCAAAUGUCAAUAUUUCCUAUACUUCUAAACAUAUGCUUAGUCCACAUUCUUAUUUUUUUAAAAAAAAGUAAAUCCUCAAAUAAAAAUAUGACAAACCUAAAAACUCCAAAAACUAUAUAAACGAAAUUCAAUUCAUAUAGUUUAAAUGUCAGUUCAUAUAUCUAUUAUAUUUAUGACAAUAGACUGAAAUAACUAAAAAAAUCCAUAAAUUACAUUAUUUCAUAAAUCACCUAAAGUAGUUAUAGGUAUAGGUCAAAUUUAACAACUUGAAGUUUAAUAAUAAUUAUGAAUUUUAAAAGGAAAAUCAAGCAAAAAUUUAACUUUAUAAUUAAGGUCAAAUAUGUGUCAAAUAAUCUCGAGAAAAAAAGAAAAGAAAAAAAACCCACACGGUCUACAGAAAAUAUAAAAUUCCACGUCAGAAAAAAGCCAGUAAUAGAGGGGGACACCACAAAGUCGGUGUGCUACAGUAAGAUGCCAGCUGGAUUAUAUUAUUUUAUAUAACGUUAACCGCUCAACUGCCUCGCGAAACUCGAAUCACGCUCCAGUGGACUGCGAGUACUGCCACGGUUGCUCCGUUGAUGUAAUCAGGUCCGUCCAAAUUACAAACGGAAGAAACUGCACACGUGCCAUCCCUAAGAGCGUGAAUGGCACGAUCUUUGAAAUGAGCAAACUUUGAGGCAUGUAAGUUUUACGCCACACUGUAAGGGAGUGGGAAGUGGAGAUUUGUAGUCUGUUGGAUAGGCUCGAAAGGUCAAAGAGAUUCAACUCGAUUCACGUGAGAUUCCUUUCCAGCCUGGCGUGGGUCCAUCUGGCGUGGAAAAUGUUCAGCCAAUAUAUAUUACUCGCUUUAUUUAAUUAAUCAUGUUUUUAAUCUAAUCAUUGUUAUUAUUAUAAAGUUUGUUUUCUUUAUUUCUGUUUCCGUAAUUUACCCUCUCUAGUCUAACUGCGAAUAUCUUUUCGGGACAGUAAUAACAAAAUAGUCCACAGAAAUCAUAGCAAGCUUAUGUAUUAUAUUCACUCUUUGUUACUGUUUUUCAAAUCAUCUUGGUAUUUGCGGCCAUUGUUUUUAACUUUUUAUUGUUUAAAUUAUUAUGCUCAAAUGAUGAAGCAAAUGUCCACUUGAAAUAAACAUUGGGUUACAAAUAGUUUUUUUAAAAAAGUGUAAGGAUUUAAUUAGAUUUUUUUAGUAAAUAAAUCAAUAAUUAAAUCAACAAAUUGGCACAAAAUUCAAAGAAAUUUUUUAUCUUAUAAACUAAAUUAUUACAAAUGUGAAAGUAUGGAAACUAAUGGUUAUGGCUAAAAUUCAUAAACUAAAUUAUUAUAAAAUUAAAAUUGUAAGCUAAAUUUAAGAAAAGUUGAAAUAAGUGAGAUGACAUUGUUGACAAAUUCUAAGAUCUUCAUUCAUUUUUCUUAUCAUUUUAUGUUCUAUGACUAACAAUCUUUAAUGUAUAUUCAUAUAACAUAAAGUGACUAUUGUCAUUUCAAAAAAGGACGACUUGAUUUCUUUUUUCCUUUUUUUUUUUACAAAAUCAUCAACAAAAGUCUUUUAACUUAUAAAUUAAGAAUGUGGUUGUUAAGUGUAACUAAGGGAUUGAUGAAGGUAGGGAAGAAGUUGGAAAAUUUACAGCUGUAAAAUGUGAAAAAUGGGAGAGAGGUUAGUCAAAGAUGGUGGGUCCAAAUUAGGGUUUAUUUUUUUUAGAAAAUUGUUAAUGUUUUGUGUUAAACAGCUCUAGCUGUACUGUCAUGCCCUAAACGCCACCGAUAAGCGCCACUCAUUCUGCGUGAGGGGAAUGAUUUUAUUAUUAUCUUCCUUAUCUUCCGAGAUUCUUCAAUUUCCACUCUUACCCCUAGUUAACUUUCUCUACCUAUUACCUUUACUCAUCAUUUCCCUUUCUCAUUCUCCUUCUCAAAAUUUCCAAACAUUACCUAUUCUUUUACCAUUUAGAACAAAUUAUAGAUUUGAUUCUUUUAAUUUAACAUCAUAUAGUUAAAACAAAACAUCUCUCCAACAUUGUGAGAAACCCGGUCUAACAAAAUAUAUAACUAGGAAUUUUACCGUGUAACUCCCUCAACUAUGGUAGAUUUUAAAAUUUUAAAUUAGUUGGUGAAAAUAAAUUUAAUUAUACAUGAAUGACACUUCAUAGAGAAAAAUGAUUAUAGCUUGAUAAAAUUGUAUAAAUAAUAUUUGUAGUACGGUAAAUUCUUCGUAAAUGGUUUUUAAUUGGUCUUUGUAUGUGAUUAUAAAUUUUAAAUUCUAAUUAUAAAUGAUAUGGAUUAGGUUUAUAUUUGAUUGAAGCCAAAAGUUCUAAAAAAAUUAUAAUUUAAAACUAUAAAAAAUCUUAAGAUUCUAUCCAUCCAUUAUAGUUAUGUCUUUAAUAAAAAGAUAAAAGACGAAAAUAAUGUAAAAACAUUAACCUAUGGGGUUAUAAUGAGACUUCAUCUUAAUAUAUAAUUUUUAGCCUUGUGAAUGUUUUCAUAUAAUGCUAUCUCAUUAUUUGUUUUUUUUUUGUUUUUUUUCUAAUCGGUAGACUAAAAAACAUAUAGAAUUAAUCUGAAUUAGUCAUUAUAUAUAAUAUAUUGCAAAAAAAUAAAUAAAUGAGAAGUAUAUUCUUUUUUUCAAUAAUUGUUGGUGGAAUGAAAAUAAAUGGGGAGAUAGAGAUGCAUAGAAUCAGGCAAAAUAUUUAAUUUUGUUUUUAUUGUCAUGCUUUUGUUUUGUUUUCUAUUCUUUUGUUCUCUAAAAUAAGAAAACAAGAAAAGAGAAGAAAGGAAACAAGAAUUUCUCAACCCGUUCUGAUUGUACUUCUCUAUCUUUUCUUUCUCAUCUUGCGAGUACACAUUUGGAUAUCCUAUCAUUGAGAAUAACAAAAAAUUCAAACAUAUAACGAACACUAAAAGAUGAUUUUUAGCUGAACUCCUAGAGGAAUCUAAGUUCAUUCUCGAACAUUAAUACAGGAUUGGCUGCCUUUAAUUUUUACUUUAUAACCAGAUCAUUACUUGAUUAUUUCUCAAAGAUAUGAAUUCGACUUAUACGUUUGAGGUAAUUGCAUUGAUACCACUUGCUUUGUCUUAUCAUCUUAAAUCACAAGUUUAUUAAAAAAUUAAUUAAAAGAAAAAAAUAAUAAUUAUAAUAUAUAACCUUUUAAAAUAUGCUCCUCGCCUAUUAACAUUUUACAAAAAGAUUUUUGUUUCAUUUAACAUUUACCCUAUAUAGUUAUUAUAAUUAUUAUUAUUCAUCUGAUUUGAAUAAAAUCCAAUCUGAAAUAUUAAAUUUAGACGUGAAACUAUCGAAAAUAAUUGUCUAAUUUUAAUCUACAUGCUUUAAAUUUUUUUAAAAAAGAAGUCAAUGCAAUUCGUUUAAUAUUAUUAUUUUUUUCAAUAAUCUAGUCUCUAAUACCAUCUUAUUUAUUAAUGAUAGGUCUUUGUAUAGUUUAUUUUCUUAUAUAAAACUAUAAUUAUUAUUAUUAGUUAAUUUAGAAACUAAAAUUAUAUAACUUGGAAUAUAAGUAUCAAAAUGAAAUAUAUUAUAAGGUGAGAGAGAAAAAUGAUAUUUGAAUAAUAAAAAAAAAGAAUAAUAAUCCGAAAAUACCCCACUAUGAAUACGUAGAUGAUCAUGUCUGAAACUAGAAAUGAAACUUCCGUUCCACAGGAACAUUACAGGGGCAAAACCGAAAUUUGAAAUAAAGAAAACAAAUCCGGACAAAGCAGAAUCACACUGCGGCAAAUUGGUUCACAGAAAUAUAUUUAAAAAGCUAAAAAGAAAGAGAAGAGGGUACAUAGAUCUAGUACGUACUCCCCACCUACUUUACACAACCCAGUUUCCUGGAAGCUCCCCCCUCCCGGCUCCCACCAUUGGAUUGAACGCCCCAAUCAGAUUCAUGCACCUUCUCUCUCUACCCCCUCACUUUUUCUCUCCUCCUAUAUAAAAACAAACAAACCCCAUUAACUAAUUCUCUCAUCCAUCUCUCACUCCUCUUUUUCACUCCCCACAUAAUACCCCAUUUUUCUCUUUUUUUCCCAUUUCUGCUUUAAUUUGCAGUUAAUUACAAUGAUGAGAAGUUCGUCUUCUAAUUCCUCCUCCUCCGAUUCCACGUCAUCUGAUUCUUCCUUCUCCGGCAAGGGAUUGCGACGCCCGGAGAAGAUUAAAGGGCCAUGGAGUGCGGAGGAGGAUCGGAUUUUAACUCAGCUUGUGGAUCGUUAUGGAGCGAGAAAUUGGUCAUUGAUUAGUCGUUACAUUAAAGGCCGGUCUGGAAAAUCGUGCCGGCUUAGAUGGUGUAACCAGUUAAGUCCGAAUGUUGAGCAUCGCCCAUUUUCUCCCACGGAGGAUGAGACGAUUUUAGCGGCUCAUGCCCGGUUUGGUAACCGGUGGGCCACUAUUGCUCGGUUGCUUCCCGGUCGGACCGAUAAUGCCGUUAAGAAUCACUGGAACUCGACGCUAAAACGACGGGCGAGGGAACAACAGCACCACCAACAAUUAGUAAUGGACGGAAUUACCCCUGAGUGUCAUGGCAUCAGUAAUAAUAACAAUAACAAUGUUGUAAACAUUGCUAGUGAUUUGAAGCUGUCCGUGUCCGUGUCCGUACCUCUGGAGGACGAUCCAUUGACCGCGUUGACUCUAGCGCCGCCGGGAAUCGGCGGCGUUAGGACGACGGCAGCGGAGGAACGGCGGGUUGAGAGUUUCCCGGCGGGGUUUUGGGAUGCAAUGAGGGAUGUAAUAGCGAGGGAGGUGAGGGAAUACAUGACGACGACGUUUAUGGAAAAUCCGGAGUUUCAAUAACUGAAAUGCCAGACUCCAAUCUGUCUGUCCCCCUUCUCUUUUUUUUUUUCUUUCUUUUUGGCCCAUAGAAAGUUGUAUUAAUUAAAUCUCUUGUUAAUAUAAUGAUUCAUUAAAGAAAAAAAAAAGAAAAAAGAAAUCCAACGUGGCAUUACAGCCUGGCAUGGCUUGGCAUAUUCUAAUUUCAACUGCCUUUUUCUUUCUGGGUAUGAUAUUAUUAUUUAUAAAAGCACGUUUGGAUGGAAUUAGAUUAUAUAUGAUUUGAAGGUCGGUCUUGUUGUUAUGUAUAAGAUAAGGUCAUCAACUUCAACCAAUUUGCUUCAACUGUCAUAUCUCUGUAUUCCAUGUGUGGAAUUCAUUUUAAAAAACACAUGAAAGAUACAGAAUGAAUGUGUUACGAACUUUCCUUCCCUUUAUAAUUUCAAGAAUAAUAUUUAUUUUAAUGCCAAAUGGUGGGGGAGAGGAGAGAGAUUCCUUCUGUUUGGAUUGCAGAUUUUAAUUGAGAUACGAGAUAUAGUGCUGUAUAUGCAGAAUUAAUUCAAAUACUUUAUUUAUUAAUUUGUAUAUCCAGAAGUAAUGAGGUCGAAUUUGUUUUAUUUAUGUUCUCCCAAACUUUUGUUGAUAUAUUAAAUUAAAGUAGUUUGGUUCCAUACAUAUUAAAUAUUAAUCUUAAAUGAUCAUUUAUUUGUUUUCUUGAGUUCAACAAUCACAAAUAAUUGAAUUAGAGUUGUAAUUAAGUUUAAACUUUUACUAAAUCUAAUGGAAGAAAUCAAACUUUCAAUAAGUUAAUGGUAUAAAUUUUGUGCUAGUUUAAUGCUAACAUGUAAUUAGAAAUUUAAUAGACAAUCUAACUAAUUGAUGCAAUCUAUUUUCUUACCCUAAUAUGAAAUUUUAAUUACAAGAAAAAUACUUAUUAUUUAUGGCAGUAAAUUAGAGGUAUCUUAAUACUAUGUUAGAGAGAUCAAAUAGACAUAGAGAGUUUAAAUGAUCAAAAUAAACUUAGCAUUACUUUAACUUAUAGUUUUUUAUUAUCUAAACUUUAAAUCCAUAAAAAUCGAUUAAAAUUUCAUUUUUAUGAAUGGAAGAAGGUUGUAUUUUGAUAAUUAUUUGAUUUUUAAAAAUUAAAAUAAUUAAAAAUUAAAAUUAUCAUACAUUGUAACGAGAUAUUUUGUUUAUCUGAUUUUUUGUCUUUGAAAAUAAAUUAAAAAAUACUAAUUUAUCGAUAUGUAUAUAUAUAAUGUAGUUUUUUUUUUUUCAAUGUCUUAAAGAAUCAAGACAAGUCGUAUAAAAUUAAAGAAAAAUGUAUAAUUGUGUGUAUUAAAAGUUUUGAAUUUGAGGAUUGUCUAUAACUUAACCUUCGUCUAUUGUGAGAUUAAAAAGUUGAUUUUUCAAAAUUGUGUAUUUAAUAUUUGUUUAAUAUAUUAGAUUUACUUCAUUUUUCUUUCAAGAUAACACUAGUAAAAAAAAUUGAGACAACCAGACAUACAAAAUUAUAAUCGAACGAAACCUAAAUUAAACGUCAAUAAAAACGAUGUACUUGAAUUAAUUUUGCAUAUUUAUUUUAGGGAAAGAAACCCCAAAAAGCAAAAACUCAAGAACAAACCACAAGGUUACGUCUUGAGCCAUAAGCAUCCACCAAAUAUAAGGGUUAGAAGAAUUAUGUAAAUAUAUUAAAAACCUUAUACAAUAUUAAAUUUAUAUAGUAAAAUAUUAAAAAGUUACCUACAAAAAUAUAUUUUUUAAAAUGACAUAUAUUUCGCAAAAUAACUAUUAAAAAAGAGUAAAAGUAGUGGGGGCACAUGCUUCCUGGCCCCAAUGUAGCUUUUCUGUGCUUUUAGAUAUUAGAGAUGUGAUUAAAUUAAUUAUGGCUAACUAAAGUUUUGAAUAAACAUUUAAUGAGAAAAUCUGGUCUGAAUUGAUUUGGGUAUCUUUUAUUAAAUUAGUCAAAAAGAUUUCAUUAAUCCCCCCUUAAGCACUUCAAACAAUGGGAAGGAAACAUUAAUCCUCCGUAAGCUAUGUAUUUUAUUCUCCUCUCCCAAUAAUAAAUGAUACAAAUAAAUUUCAGUUCGUACUUUAUAGAUUCAAAUUUAUUUUAUUAAGGCUUUUAUAUUCACCUUACAACAUCUAUUAAUACAUCUAUUAAUGGCUAAUCAUACCCAAAAUAAUAAUAAUAAUAAUUUAAGAGUUCCUUCUUUAAACUUUUGAUAUUUAUAUCUACUUAUUCUUUAAACUUAAAAAAAUUUAUGUCUAAUAAGAUUUUAAAUAUUUUUAAAAUCAAAAUAAUCAAUCUUGUUUGAUACAAAAUAAAAAUUUAUGUUGACUUUUGAGAAAGGGAAAAAGAAAAAAAAAAAACUACAAAGUAACAAUUUUAUUUUCAGGUUUCUGUUUUCUUCUAAUUAUAUUUCCGAACAUUAAUCAUUUUAUCUAAGUCUCUAUAAAAUAAAAAUCUAGGCACAAUGUUAUCACUUCUCAUUUUGUUAUACUUAUACAACUUUUAUGUGUAUUUUUUUUUAUUAACGUUUAAAUCUGUUAAAUCAUUUCUUAAAUAUUAAAAGUAAUUGUUAGAGAGCAUUAAUGCAAUCAAUCUCGUGAACAAUCGGGCUCAAAUUGGAGAAACUAAUAGUCAUUUGUUCUCCUCCCACUCCCAGCGCGCAAGUAAUAAGGGGUGGUUCCACUUGGUCCACACCAACCAAAAUGCCUUCUUCACCGGUUCAUUGCAUUGGUACGUCCAAAAUCCUUAUCUUUUUGCAGUAGUAGUAAGUAGAGACUGGGACCGACAUGUCGGCUGAUGGGUGGAAUUUGAAGAUUUAUUCAAAACAAAAGCCCAGUGCAUGAAGUAACAAACCAAUAGAACUAAAGUACCGGUUAGUCGGUGAGGGUCAAUAUGAGCCGGUGCGUAAGUUUCAUGAGUUAAUAUACUUAAUAUUGAACACCAAUCAUUAAUUAAUCGUUUGUUACAUGCAAAAUGCUAUUAUAUCAUUUCAAGUUGAAAAACUUUUUACUCCUAUAAUCUAUCAUUAAUAGAUUUAGAUAGACUGUCGUAGUUUAUCGAUGAUUAAUGAUAGAUCAAAUAUUUGCAAUAUAGUUUAUUAGUAAUAGAUUUUUAUUAUUGAUAAAUUUUGCCAGAUUUUAAAAUUAUUUUAAUGGUUAUAUUUCCAACAAUCUUCUGCUAGUUCUAUUAAACAGCAAAAUUUCUAUAAGGGGGCUUAUAAACUAAGGCCCACACAAGAUUUAAACGGACACAAAAGUAAGGCCCAAUGGCUUGGCCCAAACAACAGAAAAUGAGGCCGCAUUCCCAAUUCGACCAUCGGCUCACUAAACACAUUUUUCCGGAAACUAAAAGAAAAAAGAAACUCAUAAAAGAAAAAAGAAAAAGAAGGGAGAAUGGAGGCAGAAAAGCCAUCUUCAGUGCUCGCCUUGCUUUGUUAGCUGUUGCCAUUUUCACAUCCUUCUAUUUGGUUCCUACGAAUUACGCAAAGGAAUUCGAAGUUGCAUCUCUUUUCUCAAUGUGUGAAAUUUCUGUAAGCUAGUUUUCUUCUAUUGUUGGCGAAGCAAAUUGAACUCCUGUCGGCCUCUCACUCACCAUUUCUGAAUACUCAGCUUCUGGAAGCUCAACGAGGUAUUAGGUUUUCUUCGUUUCCCUUUAAUUUUUUUUAUCCUUAGGUAUUAGAUGUUAUUGGGUUUAGAAUUCUAAGCCCACUGGAAUUCUUUAAUUAAAAUUCAAGUUAAUCACUUUAAUCUAGUGAACAAUGAAAUUUAUAGCGACGUUCAGAAAUAAUCCCUUGUUUAUGGUCAUGUUUGGAGGAAUUUUAGAAUAGUUAGGAGUUAAUAUUAAUUUGUUGUGGUUAGAAGUGUGUGUAAGAGUUGUUUAGUUGGAGUUGAAAAUAUCACAGAGGGAAAGAUGACAAAAUAAAGUUUCUUAAUAAAUGUGCAAAAAGUACGACAGUGAACACUGAAAACUGUUAAAGUGAUGGAGCAGAGUUUUUCAACACUGACUUGUGAAGUUGAUAUGCCAAACACUCCGGCAACAUGACUGUUGUAAUGUUUAGAAUCACUAUGAAAUAUGUGGUUAAUCAUUUAAAAUAAACAUUAAAUUUGUAAACAUGUUUGAGAGUAAUUUUAAAACUCAACAGAAGUAAGUUUACCAAUCACCCCAAACAUGGCUUGGAUAUGAACUUGAAUUCAUUUAACUGGCUCAAGCGUGGCGAGUUUCAGAUAUUUGCACCUAACUUUAAUAUAGCAGGCAAGAGGAAAAUGGAAGUGGAUAACCCUAGAAAAAGAUUUUUUUUCAUUGUACUUUGCUCGUGCCAGUUUAUUCUAUCAAGCUCUCAACUUCAUUAUGUCACAUGUCUGCUAUGGCGUGCUCUGUCAUUAUUUGGGAGAGACUAAGUACAGUGUCAAACUUAAAAUUCAAUAAUGUUACCCCUUUUACUUUUUCGGUGCUACCUUUGUAUUUUUUUCAUUUUCUUCUCAAUGAAAGUUCAGUUAUUCACUUAAAAAACAUAUUCACGUUUUGACAUCCAAAUAUGGGGAAGAAACUAUUGAGUGAUUGAUUUGAAACUUUUCAAGUGUGCAGAGACUGUAUCGAUGUAACCAUCAAAGACUCAGGAUUAAAUUUAAUUUAAUCUGACUUUUGUUGCACAAACUUUAUGUUUUGUAUUUUCAUUUGCAGGGGUAAGGUGAUAGUUGUCACUUUUAGAUUUAAAGGAAAGAGGAAAGUUAAAGAAUAUAAUGGGUUCAACACCCAAACAGCCUUUCUUUUGCUUCAAAUGGCCAUGGGACGUAGACCCAAAAAAUCGUUCAGACUGUUCGUUUGAGAGUCCUUGGUUGUUCAAAUCAUUGCAAAAUGUGGGUGGCUUUGCUUUCGAUUUUGUAAAUAAAGCUUCAAAAUCAUCGCCUCCAUGGAUGACUUUUAAGUCAUUGCAAUUCAACCCCUUAACUGGUGGAAAUAAGAUAUCUCAGUCUAGAAAGAUGUUAACUCCUGAAGAGCAGGGGGAAGCAGAAAAUAGAGCAUUGGCAGCAGCAUUAGCCAGUGGGAAAGAAGCCACCAUAAUCGAGUUUUACUCGCCCAAAUGUCUCCUUUGCAAUUCCUUGCUUAAUAUUGUUACGGAGAUGGAAGCAAGGAAUUCAGAUUGGCUUAAUAUUGUGAUGGCAGAUGCAGAGAAUGAUAAAUGGCUGCCUGAGGUGUUCAACUCUCCUCUUACCUCACAUUUAUAUGUCAACUGUGGCUUUAGGAAUUCUAGUUAAUUCUAAAAAUUGCGUUUUUAGUGAAUAUAUUAUCAUGGUUUAUCGUUUUCAGAUGAGUUGAUAAAGUAUUCUUUAGCCAUAAUUUAGUAGGGGUUAAUUUAUGUUAUCUUGCAGUUUGAAUCAAUGCACAUUUGAUUGAAAAUUGCUGAAUGCAACUAUGAAACCUUCAAUCGUUUUCGACAUUCAUUUUGAUAGUUUUGUUUUUUUUCUUCUUGGAAAUUGAAUGUAUAAACUGAAAUAUUUCCCGUUUGGUUGAAUGCUGGGUUAGCACUGCUCCUGAUGAUCUUGCUUGCAUCUUUGUGCAGCUUCUUCAUUAUGACAUUACAUAUGUUCCUUGCUUUGUGUUGCUGGACAAACACGGCAAGGCGCUGGCAAAGACGAGUCUUCCUAGUAGUCGGCUUCAUGUAAUUGCAGGGCUUUCUCAUCUUAUCAAAAUGAAAUCGCCCAAGAGCACUCCCUGAAUCAGAUAAUAAGCCACCAUGUUUGUGAAAGCUGUGAUUUAGAUGGCAUGGGUAAGAACUGUAGUUAAUUCGAAAGAAGAGCUUGUUCUCUUUUGAAAUUGCACAUCACUGUUUACUUUUAGAAAUUUACUCUAAUUUCUUAAAUAAAAUAAAUACAAUAGUUGUAUUCUUAACCAAAUAUAAAAGAUGAAAACAAAAUUUAAAUCUAUUUUUUCAGGUUUCAUAAUCUGACUUGUGGUAAAAAAUAGUUAACAAAUCAAGAAAUUUGAAAGUGGAAGAACGUUUCAUAGACGCAGUUUUUAAGAAUGAAAAAUCAAAACUAAAUAGUUAUCAAACAAAAUCUUAACUAUGUUCAACUUUUAGGUUGUACUUUCAAAUGUAUAUGACCUAACAUUGGAUGUUCUACUCUCAAAUGUUCUAUAAUUGCAUUCUUAAAAUUCAAACCCAGGAAGUUAUGUCAAACACACCACAAAUGGGUGUUGAACAAAGUGGGCUGUAUACGUCUGUUUGUUUGUUUUUGCCCCUUUUGGACUAUAAUAAUAGACGUGGGGUAGAGAUUUGAACACUAAUCUCAAAAAAGAGAAAAACUACAUGUUAACUGACUUCAAUCGACCAUGCUAUACCUUCACAAACGUCUCACUUUUUCAUUCAAUAAAAGUUUACAAAUGAAAAAAAUUGACUCAUAUUUCACUUAUUUCUUUUCUAAAUGCACAAUGGUUAUGGGUUAAUCUGAAGCUCUGCAAACUGUUGGGACCAGAACACUACAGAGAAUGUAUGGAGUAAUAUCUGCUGUGAGCUCAUAUUCACACAACACAUCUCGCUUUUCCUCUCUACAAAGAAAUCAUUUUCAAUUAUGACUCAAAUUGAUAUCAAACAUUUACUACUAAUUCAGAGAGAUUCAAUCCUUCGGAACUGUUGGGACCAAAACUACAGAAGAAGUGAUAGAAAAUUCAAUGGUCAUAGUCAUUGACGACAGAGUAGGGAAAGGAAGAUGGUGAGUAUUUGAAAUGAAUAUACAUAAUUCUUAGCGUUCAUCUGCCACUGCACGUUAGCUGAAUAAAAGCUAGUUGUUACUUGUGAUUAUCACAUUUAAUGUGCUCUGAUGUUAGUGCUACCCAACAUAACCUGUCCUUAUUUAUCUUUCUUGUAAAGAAGUGUUUCCAUUUUAAACCAAACUGAUCAAAGCUUCUGUGUGUUGUAGAUGAGAAUAUAAAAAUCACUUUUCGUAAUCAUUUUGUCUUACUUUUUUUUUUCUUUCCAUUUGUUUUUUUUUUUUUUUUUAUCAUGGCUUCCUUUUUAAAAGUAAAAGAGUCUAAUUUGUAGUUAAUUAAUUAAUUUAUUUUUGGAAUAUGACUUUAUUUUUUACUUUUUACCAUUGACAAAGAUAUCAAGAACUUUAACAAACAUCUUGAGCAAAUAUUAUUUAAGAUUAUAAUAACCCGUCCUUGCUAAUGUAUUAAAAUUCUUCAAUUUGUUUUAAAUUUUUUACUAUUUUACGUUCAUCAUUCUUUUAUUUUUUACUACAAUAUUUACUGUUUGAUCGUCAAAUUAGAAUAGUAUACAUAUGAUUAAUAUUCUUUUAAAGUGUUUAACCUUUGUUUCAAGCAGGGUUUAGAUUCAUCAAGUAUUAUGAUGUAAGAUUGAUAAAUUAAUUCUCUUCCCCUUUUAAGCAUUGUCUUGACUUUUCUUCUGUUUUAUUGUACUUGUCUUUAUCUAAAAAGAAAAUUAAGGUAAAUUAUAAUGAAUGUUUUUGAAUUUACAAUUUUUGUAUGUUUUAUCGUUUGAUUUUCAAAUGGUGGUUAAGAAAUUAUCAUGAUUAUUGUUGACUUUUUAUAAACAUUGUAUUCAAAUUUUUGGUUUAAGUCAUUAUCACAUCAUAUUAGGACUUUAUCUAAACUUAUAUAAUAUUUUUACACUAGAAGUUUUGAAAGGUUUAUUAAAAGUCAAUAUUAUAUUGAAACUUUUAAAAAGAUUUGAGUAUUUCUUAAAACUAUGGUAUUUUUUUUGAAAAUGGACAAUAUUUUAAUUUUUUUUAUUUGUUUAAAAAAACCUCUUCUAAUAUUUUUAUUCUUACCUGAAAAUUAAAGCGAAAGUUAAAGGAAAAUCUUCAUAGAAAGAGUGAAUUCAAACACAAGAAGCUAUUGACCAAAAUUUCGAUCGAAUAACACAUUCUCUCUCAAGUGCAAUAGAUACUAAAACUUGAAAUCAAGCUUCCGAAUUUGAUGGAGAAAAGCUGACAGAAAAAUGGCAUUACAUUUAAGAGAGUUUCACAAAUUUUCUAAUUCGGACAGCGGAAGAAAAAAGAAUCAAAUGAAGGGAAAAAAAAAGAAGAAAAUUCCAGAGAAAAUUUUGAGCUAAUAAUCCAACUAUCAACGAUUCCCAUCUUAGAAAUCAAGCGUUGGCAGAUGGAUUUUGAGAAGCUGGUUCUUCUUGCUUAGUUUCUUGCUGGGUUCCGACCGCCAUUGUCCCUGCCGGGAGAGAGGAGGCGGCGGCAGUGGUGGAGGCAUCGACCCUCGGCGGUGGUGGGGUUAUCCUUCCGUCAAUGCAAGAGGAACAUUUUGUCUCCGCCCAGCUCUCCAAGUCGAAAUGGCCGUAGCCCAUUAUGCUUCUUCCCGAGCACAGCCGCCCAACAACGACGGCGACGACGGCAAACACAAUGAUGACGAUGAGGACUCCAAUGACCGGACCGACGGAGCCGCUACCCGGAUGGCCGACAUAAUUUUGCUGCAUUCCCGGCGGAGAUUGUUGUUCAAUUGGGAGUGACAUUUGGCCGGAGCAAGAGCUGUAAUGUAAUGCUCCGGCGAUGGCCACAAGAUUUACCCUUUUUUUUUAACAGCAAAAUCCGGACCUGAAGAAAACAGAGUCACUCUGUAAGUGGGGAGAAGAUAUCAAAGAUGGAGUAAAGAAGAAGAGAAGGGCAAAAGAGUGACCAAUAGAGAAAAAGAUGUUUCUUUUACUGUAAUUUUGAUGGAAACAAUAAGAACCCUGAGCACUGUAAAAGGACGAAAAGAAAAAGGCAAUGUAAUCAGAAGAGUUGGAAUCUUUGGGAGUGUUAAAAAGUCCAAUCUCUUUCCCAGAUUGUGCCUUUCUUUUUGCUUUUUAAAUAAUAAAUAAACAAUUUGUCAAAUGACCCAAAUGAGCUAUUUACAGGCCUAUAUCUUGCUAAUGCUCUUGCUCUUGCUCAUGUAAAGAAUCUACCGAAAAGAAACCUUAACUGUACAUAGUUUCAAAAGUUACUGUUUUUUAACUAUAAAAAUGGAUAAAAAACAAAUAAUAAGUGCAAACAAAGCAUAAUUUUAUAGAAUCUGUUCCAGCCCUACAGAAACUGGCUACGUAACAUUGGCUGAAAUGCCAGUACUGUCACGUGAAGCCUCUGAUUUCUAAUCUCUCAUUUCUUUGCCUUUUUGGUUUUUUUUUCCUUUUGCUUUGUUAUGCAUCUUAAAACUUCCGAUCUAUAUGAUUAAACACAGUUAUGGAGUCCGAAUAAAUGAAGUUUGGAUAUCAGAAGAGAUCAAAAGGUUUUUUUUUUUUUUUUCUUUUUCAAAUAUGAACGAUACCCAUUGGUACAUUUUCAACAGCCUGUUUUGAGAUCGUUACGAUAGAUUUUUUUUUGACAAUAACCCAACACAGCUUCUUCCACAUUCUUGGGAAUUUCCAGCUCAUCUAUAGCUUUUGCUGUUGCUUGGUCUUGAAAUGGUUUAAAAAGGAGAAAUUUAAGUCUACCGAGCAAGUAAAAAGGGGAGCUAGAACUACUGAAAUGUCAAGAUCAUUAAAUUGGCAUCUUGCCUUUGUUUGAGUUUGCAUUGUAGCAAACGAGAGCGCCGAUGCAAACUAAAUAUAUACAGAUACAAGUCUAUUCCUGUUUAUAGAAUUACAAAAAGAAUGCUUAUAUACUCUUCUUUUCCUAGUAUCAUCUUUCAAGGGUUAUAUCCCUUUUCUAUAAGUACAAAAAAUAUGUCAGGGCAAUUACUCGAAAUUGACUAAGACCUCAGGUUCGGUGAUUUCUAAGAACUAUGAAAGUUCGCUUGAAUGAGGUUUGUCCUUAAAGCGAGUCAGGGGGGAAGAUGAACUCUAUCCCAGCCUCUAGCGGCCUUAAGUGGAGGGUGGGUAACUUCCUCCGUCGAGUAUUUGCCUGUAAAUGUCCACAACCAUAGCUCAGAGGUGCGGCACUUCCCUUUUAUGAGUCCUUGAAAUAGAAAAGUGGUGGUUGGCGACUGCACUUGCAGGAACAUUGCUUGAAAUGUUUGUUGAAGGGCUGUGAUUUGGUUAACAAUAGGAGUCAGUUGCAAGGAAAACUUACAAGAACUGACACCAAUAUCUAAGGGCAACUGAGAAACAACAAGAAGAAACUAAAAAAAAAUGUUUACAAGCUAAUCAUUAUGGUUCACAAGUGGAUGAGCAAGAGGUUAGUAUAGCUACCUACGGCACGACAAAUAAUCAUUUGAAGUCAAAGUUCCAGAAGAGUUUUGUGCCUGGUCUCCUUUAGGAUUAAGGGGAUCCUUCGGACUCAACAAUUUUUCCUAAGAGAGCAUGGAAAGAGAAAAUUAAUGGGAUGUUUUGAUGUGAUAAAACUAGUAAAUAAAGUUGUACAAAGUAAGACUAACCAAGAGAUUCAUUGUUGAAAAUGCUGACGUUGGGAUCGAAGCAUUCGAGUCACUUGAGGAUCUUAAGAAAGGAUGGUCAAGGAGCACCAUGGCAGUUGGUCUGUCAGCUGGAUUCCUCUGAAAGCAACACUGGAGGAAGUCUUUCCCUUCAGGAGAUAGCUUUUCUGGGAUAGGUGGGGUUUUAUUCAACACCUUGAACAUAACUUGAUGCUGAAAAGUUGAAAAUGUAAUGAAUCGUUGAACUACGAUGUUCCAAGAAACGGAAACUUGGCUGCUAACUUCAUUUUUCUUUAAUUUUAUUUUACAGGCUUACCCCUUCAAACUCACACCAAGGAGGUUUUCCAUUCAGCAUUUCAAUUAUGGUGCAACCCAGACUCCAAAUGUCAACUGCCAAAGCAAGAUCAGGGUUGGCAUCUUUCAACAUUGCAGCUUUUAUGACCUGAUGAUAUGAAUUCAGAGUUACAAGAGAAUAUGCUAUUUAAAAAAUAAAGUCAACCGCCGACGCAUACCUCUGGGGCCAUCCAGUACGGACUACCCUUCAAAGAAAGAUCAUACUGCCCUGUCAGCUGAAAACAGACAAACGAAUAUUAUAAAAUUAAUGAAAAUUAAACCACACAAGUUGAAAUAGUAACAGUGGGAGUUGAAGCAUCUGCAACAUCUCAUUCUCUUCCAAGAUAUCAAUGAUUCUUACGAGGAUAAAAUGACCAAAGUUCAUAAAAGAAGUCAUUGCAAAAAGGAGGUCAUACUGUGACUUCUAAAGGAACAAACUAUUGGAAACAAUUCAGUUGAUAUGCAUUAGCACUUGAAAACUCACAUGUUUUGCCAUCCCAAAAUCGGCAAGUUUGACGACGCCUGAUGAAUCAACGAGCAAGUUGGCACCUUUGAUAUCUCUAUAGAAAUAACAAUAAAAUGGAGAAACAUUUUCACAAAGAAAUAUAAUAAAAUUUUCACAAAGAAAUAUAAUAAAUAUAGUUUAGAGAAAGCCUAAACAUAUCCAUCGACUAUAUUUUGCCAUUUCAAAUCGUGUUCAACGACAGGAAUGAAAAAAUUUUCACAGAGACCAUUUGUUUACAGAAAAAAGAAUUUGUCUCUCACUCACGCACCUGUGAAUUGUUUUUGUGCUAUGCAAGUAAGCCAGUCCAGAUAGAAUAUGGCGAGUGAAAUUGCGAACAAUAGAUUCAGUAAUGGCUCCACAACGUUCACGGACAUAUUUAUUUAUUGACCCAGGAUAAACGUACUCCAAAUAUAUAUAGAAACAGUCACCAAUCUACAUUGCGAAAAUGAACCCAACUAUUAGAGUUGUCAAUUCUGGUAGAAGAAAUUCCCGAUACAAGAGAUAAAAGACAGAUCACUUACUAUUUCACUUCCAUAAUACUGUACAAUAUUCGGAUGUUUAAGAUGACUAAGAACUUCAAUUUCCUGAGAAUAAAAAGGAGUUAGAUGGCUGGAAAACAUGACAAGGGUGCUGCCUAUUGCAUCGAAGCGCUUUAAAAAGAAAGCUGAGGAAGAGUAUAGAUGGUAUGAUCAGAAGAAGAACAGUAGAGACUCAUACAUCUAGUCUUUCCAAUUCACAGAGAGCAACAAAUGUGGGUAAAAUUUAUCAAGCUUUAGAGUGACUUGUACAACUAUAAGCAGCUUCAUCGUGUUUAUAGGGACACAAUAAUAUCAUAGUGAUAAAUACUCUUUUAAUCACUAAAAAAUAGUUCAACAUUAAAAUUUAGACUCUUAAAUGCAUUUUUUGUAUCCUCAUACAUAUGUACGGUGCACCAUUAAGCAAAAGUAAGUUCCUAUUUGAGAUUUUCAUAUGAGCUAGGUCCUCUCAAGUAGGAUUUGAGUAGCCAUUAAGAGUUAUAUGCUCAUUUCUACAUGAUACAAUGAUAGUAUAGACAGAGAAAUAAAGAUCAUAGGUUGCUCGCAAACAUCUCCGUUAUCGAGAAUCUGCCUUAAGAACGGAAAAUCUUCUGGAUUAACUAAAAUACCAACAGACACAUGCUGGCUAAAUAAGGAUUCGAGAAAGAACAUUACUUAAUACCUGCUCUAGUUGCUUUAUGCAUUCAGCAGAUUUAGGAUCAUCAGGAAUGAGAUCAACUUCUUUCAUUGCACAUAAAGCUCCAGUUUCUCUGAAAAGUAUGAAAAAAACUAUAAGGAAGACUUCAUUAAACACCUAAUUACAGAUAUAAAAAUAGUUCUAAGCUUGGACACCAUUCAUACCUGUUGGUUGCAAGAUAAACACUUCCAAACGUACCACGCCCAAUUAGCUUUCCUUUUUGCCACUGACCUUUCAUCGAUGAAAUGAAUGGCUUCUCAAUAACAUGAUGAACAUUUGACGGAAGAGACUGUGCAGAUGCUUGUGAAGAGGCCACUAAUGGAGGAGGAAGGGGCAAUGGGUGGGCAUUGACAUGAGCAUGACUUUCAGACCGAUCUAUGCUAUUAUCUUUUUGUAACUUAGUGUGCAGGGGAAAUGUCAUAUCGUUAUGAGAUCGGGAAUUGCUUAUGGAACUUCGAGCUGUCGGGCUAUGGAGAGGAAAGGGCUGAGAACUAAGUGCAGUUUUAAGGGGUGGUACUUUAGGAGAAUUAUUGGAAGGAGAUUCCUGAUGUUCAUGGUGACUCAAGCCAGGAACAAAAUGAUUUCCAUUAUAUGAUUUUCGUGGGCUAACAACAGGACUUGGUAAAAUGCUCGUUGGUGCACUCUUUGACGACGAUUUCUUAGGUGUCAAAUUGUAGUUACCCCUUUCAGCACUCGGAUGCGUAGGGGAUCCCCUGCCUUUGUUGUUUGGAGUUUGAUCCGAACAACCAAAAAGAAACUCCUUAUUCGGAUUCAAUUUCCCUGAAUUCGCCGAGAGACUUUGAGGGCUCGUAAAUGCGGUAGCCCCAGUCCUUGAAUUGCCAUCAACAACUUCCAGGGUCAAAUCUGUAGCAACCCGCCUUUGAUUGUGCCCAAAACUUCUACUUACAUUCGUUGUCGCAUGAUCAGAGCACUUCCUAACAGUUUUAAUAGCAGAAUUACUAAAAGAAACAAAUUGGACCAAAGAACCCACUUACCCUUUACAUUAUAGAAUCAAAAGAUAACAAAAGUCGAAGGAAAUUAAAAGGCAAACUUCAUAAAUCGUAGGCAAAAGUCAAGUCGAAAUUAAAAAAACACUCACCGGACCGAAGUUUCAACAGGCGAUCCAACACGCCCUUGACCAUAAUUAGAACCGAACUCCGGGCUCCGAACCGGAAAGAGCUCCGGCAACGGCAAAGGCUGGGGCGAAGGCGAGGAGGACCAACGUUCAGAACCCCCAAGAGGCGAUUUAGGUUUUGCCGAUAUAUCAGGUGAAUCAGGAAGCGAUCGGGGGUGUUCAAAGCCAACGUCUUGAUCCGUAAGAUGCCGGAGCUUCCUCUGUCUGGUAAGCCGCCGCUGAAUAAACGGUUCCGGUAGACCAACAGAAAAAUCAAAAAAAUCAGAAUCAGGUACCUUCUGUUGAAGCCGAGAAUUUGAAGCGCUUUUGUUAAAGGAAGGCAUCUAGCUAAGCUGGUCGCGGUCUUCAGGCCGGAGCCGCCGCCGCCGCCCGCCGAUUAAGGCCACAUGUGCACAAUCUCACCGUUUUUUUCCCCCCUUUUCCUUUUCCCGGUAAAAAUUAAAAAAAAAAAAAAAAAAGGAAAAACAAAUAUUUGCUUUUUCUAUAAACUGCCUUUAACCAGAUUUGGCGGUGGUUCCGUUUUAUCCCCCUCCGGGCUAUCUUAGGAAACGCCCACUUUUAUUUCCAUUUUCAUCUCCUUCACUUUUUUUUUUUAGGGUUUGAAUAAUCAAUAAUGAGAAAUUCAUACGACGACUGAUUUGCUCGGCUCCCAAAAGACGACAUAUUGACUUUAAAAAAAGAAAAACGAAAAAAGAAAUUAAAAUUUGGAAGUUAUUAAAUUAAUGGAUAUAGGUCAAAGUUGGUAAGUCCAAAGGCAACGUGUUCGUACGGAGGGAUUGUAAAGUCAUUAGAGGUGAUUCUAUUGUUUUGUCAGCGAUGGUGCGUGGGUUACAUUUUCCCUUCCAAUAUGGGCAAGUGGCCUCCACGCUUCCGACAUGGAAACGGAGAGCCAGGGCCCAGGGGACACACCUUACAAAUUUUUUAUAUUAAUGACUCAGUCGUAGAUACCGAGUCAAACACUUUACCUUUUCUUUUCUUUUUUUUUUCUUUUUUCCUUUUUGAGGUAUUGUUUUAUAAUAAUAUUAUUGAAUUCCUACGGUGACAAAAAAGUCUUUUUAUUUCUUCAAUUUUACUUAGUCGUAUUGGACACUGUCUCCCUCUCCUUUCCAAACAAAUAUUUUUGUAUAUUUGGAAUUCAAAUUUAUUCAACAAUACAGUAUAAUUAUACCUUAUCCUUCUGGAAGAACAUGUGACAAAUAUUUUAACAAACUCACUAUUUCAAAUUAAGUUUUCUCUUUUAUAAUUUUAAUAAAAUAAAUAAAUAAUAGUCAUCGUUAACAAAAACAAACCCUUUAUAUAUAUGUAAACGUAUAUGUAUAUAUGGAUCAAUUUUUUUAUUUUUACUAAAACAUUAUAAAAUUAAUUAGAAAGACAUAAUUUACACAAUCUAACAAUAAAAUGAAAACUAAAUGGUUUCAUUAAGGGAUAAUUUAAAAUUUAAAAUUUUCUAUAUGAUAGAGAUAUAUCAUAUGAAAACUAAUAUUUCAAAAAAAUUAUUGGUAUAAUGUUAAAAGUUCACACUUAAAUAUAAAAAAACCUCAAAGGUUAAUGACAGUAAAAAAAAUUCUAACAGUUAAUCAUUGCUACAUUUAAUAUAGCAAUGAAUUACCAUUGAAUCAUUCAAUUACAAGUUGAGUUAAUGAUUUUUUAUGGAUCUAUUUAGGUUUAGUCAGUUAAGUUUUUAAGAAUGUGUUUUGAAUAUAGAAGUAAUACUAUAUUAACUAUUUCUUAACACAUUAAAAAUUAAUUUAUUAAUUAUCUUUUAUAAAAGGUAUAAAUUCAAAAUUGGAACUAUCCAUAGGUGUAGAUUAUUUUAAUUUUAAUUAUCAUAUUAUAUAAUUUGUGCAAAAAAAAUGAUUAUAAAAUAGUAAAAACGAUGGCUACUUGAGAAUUGUUAAAUAGUUCUUACUGUGGCGAGGAUUGUUAUGACCUUACGUUCAUUUUUAGUCUUAAACCCUAAUUUUGCUUUUCUUUCUUUCUUUAUUUUUGAAAGAAAAAUAUAAACCCUAAUAUUCGCUUGACAGCAGCGAAGCCACUGGGAGCAGCAAACGGACACGUCAGGAAACUGCCGCCAAGUACUUCUUCGAAAUUGUCUUAAAACUCUGCCGAGAAAGUUAGACCGGAUUGAUCACCUUCCCCGGACCUCCACAUCGCCGUUCAGUUACUAUGAAGGCCGUUCGCCUUCUUUUUUCCCUUAGACCAGUAACUACCUUGCCUUCGCCAUCGGUAGCGUUAUUCUCUUCGUCUUCAUCAUUAAUCACUAAGUCGAUGAACUCCGUCGCCACUGAGGCAAAGAAGCAAGGUUCUGUAUACGAACAUCAGCCGAAAUUUAAGUGGAAGUCUGCUAAUUUCUUUGGUACAGUUGAACGGCCCCUUAAAGUGACUACCAGGAACUGUCGCACGGUUAGGGCUUGGACAAUUCUUCGUGCCAAAGCCUCUCCAGAUUCUAGCAGCAGUUUUAGGUACUUUCUUCCAUAGUGUGUAAUUUUUUGAAAACAGUCAUUUUAUUAGCUGCCGUAUGAACAUCACUUUUUAUUUUGUUUUAUUCCACUGCUUUGUCCUCUCCUGUUUUUGUUUUCGCUGUUUUGUUUGAAUAGAGGUUCAAGCUGAGUGAAUAUACAUAGCGGGUCUUUCUUUUAGCGUGCUGGGUUUACGCUGUUAAUUGCAAUUCCAGUCCCUGUUAAUCUUUCUGACGUUCUGGCAUUGGAUAAUGCUGUAAAAAAUUGCCCCUUCAGUAUGCGACUAAAUUCCCCUGUAUUGGUUAAUGAUUUUAUACAUGCACGUUUGUAGGAUCUUUCUGAAACUGGAGAAAGAGAUGGCUGAAUCAUGGAUUGAACGUCUUAAACCCAAUGACUACGUCAAUGUUGCUGGUCCUUUAGAGUCUUAUAAGAAGGUUGGAAAGUCCGGGAAGUCUUAUUUAUCUUACCAGGUUAGAUGCUUUAGUAUUCACAUGAUGAUAUUCCUUUUUUUAUUUGUAUUUGGAACAUUUUUCAUAUUGUUUAACAUUUUUACUCAUCGUGUUGACUUCUUAUCCUUUGUUUAGGAGCUAAAUUCUUUUUCGCAUCUGGAUGAGGACUUUUUUUUAAAAAAAAAAAAAUCUUUCGAUACCCUGGCUAAUAUGCACGGUCACUCAACAAGCUAUUUUUUUAAUAUGAAUCUUGUAUUGGCAUUUGAUCUCCUUUCCAGUUAGGGUUGGGAUUCUUUUUUCCUUUUAAACGGCAGGAUCUUCUGACCAUUCAAAUACUUUAAAAAACUUGCAGCAUAUUAAGUUAUUCAGGACAGUGGCAGUAGAUUUGCUGUACAUAUACUUCAAUCUGGAUGUGGAUACUGAAAGAUGUGUUUGUAAUUUGACAGAUGAGUUGGAUUGAAGCACUGUGUUGUCUUUAUUCUUCCAAUUGAGACACUGUCCUCUGUUAUUUACUAUUAAAACGCGUUAUCCAAUUCAUCCUUCCAUUUGGGUCCCUUCUGGCUACAUCAACCUUACUAGUUCCUUCUGUAGAGAUGGUUUAACUGCCUCAUGGAGUAAUUGGAAGUUCUCACUGUAAUUUCUGUUGAAGUCUUUGUUUUUUACAAAAAACAUAAUCUAUCAGUUUCGUGAGAUUUAAGUUCUCCUGUCAUGCUUUUUUUAAACUAGACUUGUACAUAUUCAACAUGGUCACACCUGCAGAUUAGUAUUUAUAUCUGUCUUUUUUUUUUUCUUUAAUUUUAAUUGUUUUUCCUGCAGUUAACUGUCUCGGAGUUAAAUUGCAUUGCACAUAAUGAUCAAGGCUCAAAAAGUCAAAAUUCUGUAGGCAUGUUACAUGAAGAAGGUACGUUUUGAAUCUUGUCUUUUCAGUUGAUUGAAAUUUUAGUAAUGCAUAGAAAUAAAUAAAACGUGUUAUUUUGUUUCUGCUUUAAAUUACUUCAGUUCUGCUGACUGAAUGAAAUUCAGUUUGUUGCGUGAACAAUGGUAUUGUGAAUUUAACUAACGUGAUGCUGAGAGGGUAUUUUCCCCAUGGCUUCUGAAAAGUAAACGAGGAAGAGUUUUCUUGCUUGAAACAUCCCAAAAUCAUAUUUAGUUGGAUGGCAGUCCACUUUGUGUUUAUUCUGCAAGUAUUUAUGCGAUCUAUAACAUAAAAGAGGCGUGGAAGGUGGAGUUUCAAUGGCGGGCUACAGGUUUGGGAAAAAGGAUUUUUGGGAAAAAAAGACACCUGGGACAUGAAUUCACUUUUCUUUGAUCUCCAACAUUUCUUAAACUUUGAAGCGCCACUCUAAGUGUACCAAGCUGUGUUCCGCAAUUAACUAAAUUCUUUUUAGGGGAACAAGUUUUGGAAAAAGAGUGUUCAGUAUAUAUGGUCCAUGGUAAAUAGAAUGUGGAGAAAAGAAUCUCUUUUUACUUCUCCUUGGAUCUUCCACAUGCACAAAACUAUGCAGAAAGGACUGCGUCGUUUAAUUCAUUGAAAUAGUUGAAAUCACUCACGAAGAUUUUAUUUUAUUUUUUUUGAUAGAUUCAUUUUAUCCAAUUUAUCUUUCUAGCACGUUGUCUUUCCUCUAUCUGUUCUUGAAGGUGCACCUAGGCUCUCCAAUCGGCAAUCUCAUUCGGGCGAGAGCUUAGACUCCAAGCACACUUAAGCACUCAAACACACUCAGGCUCAUUUGUCAUUAUUAUUAAUUGCUAUUUAGUACCCUUUCUCUCUACUUUCACUCACGGAUCUACCAAUAAAAUUUUCCAUCCAUCGUUAUUUUAUUUUCCACCUUAUACUUGACCAAUGAACGACAGUUUAUCUAUAAUUGUUCAUGCUUUAUUGAUAUUGAUGCUACGGUGAACGCAGCCAUGCAUGCCAUAUUAUGUCCUUAAAUCUUCUUUUGAUUAUAAAUCUAACUCUCGUAUCACCUUCUUUUUUUUACAGGACAUGAUUGUAGGAGUAGUUACAGGGAACGCCUGUAUUUGUGGCAAGUGUUUUUCAGUAGUCCACAUGAAUGGUGGGAUAACAGGAACAAAAAGUCAAAUCCAAAUGGACCGGACUUCAGUCACAAGAGUACUGGUGAGGCCCUGUGGCUUCGGUCAACAGAUCCUCCAUGGAUCAGAAAACAGCUCGAGUUGCUCGACACCCAAAUGAAAAAAAAAGAUGGUGACGGUCAUUUAGUUUCUGAUUCCAGCAUGUCCAAUUGGUAUAUAUAGCUGAAGAUGCUGUGUCUUGUGCUUUCGAACAAAAUCUGUUUCCAGAUUCCUCUAUUUGAGACAGAGUUAGCUUUAUUGGUAGAGGUUUAGCCUGUAUAUACGUAAUCUUCAUAGAGACAAACCACUAAUGCAGAAAGGUCCGAUGAAAGCAAAUUGGUAGAUUGAAGGUACAUGUAAGAGGGCAUUUGUUGCCCUUUUCUUCUUUUUACUUUUAGUUACUUCUCAAGAAAACCACAUAUGCUAUAUAUUGUCUAUAUUAUAAAUUGGGUUGUGUUUAGUUCUCUUUAUCUGAAUUAUGUGUGAAAUAUUUUACACGGUUUUGUUAUUUCCGUGAUAAUUGAUGUUCACAGUCGAUGUAAAAGAUAAUGAACAAUUAACAUGAUAUGAUUACUGUGAACUGGAAUUAAAUAAUGUAGAUGGUCGUUUUGUUGAUAUAGUCACCAAUCAUAUUCUUGAAAAAUUAAAUAUGAAACAUUAUUUGAUAGAUUUUUUUUUUAAUUGAGCCGCUAAAAGGCAUCGUUUCCUCUUGAUUUUUUAAGUUUGAAAUAUUAAGCUUAUAAACAAUAUUUGUUUACCAAUAAAUUUCUUUAUUUUGGUUAAUGCAAUCUAAAAAUAUUUACAAAAUCUAUAUUAAACUGCAAAAAGUAGUUCUCACUAAACUUGUUUCUGUUUCAGCUGUUACUUGGUCCUCGACAAAGCUGAAUACAGUAAAGAAAUUGAGUGAAAUUGGAUCAUAUAAUCAUCAAAUGAAAAUUGAUCUUAUAUAAAAAAGAAUCCAUUAAACGGAUGGAUUUACAAAAAACACGGUUCAGCAAACAGAACGAAGUAUUAUAAAACAAACAGAAACAAGCAAUAACACCAUAAGAACACCAUAUCAAACACGUUACAGAUAAUACAUAUAAUCAAAGGACAUGCUAAAAAAUGCCUUUGAUAUAUCUACUACAACUAGAAGAGAGUUAAGUGUGACAAGAUUUUUGCAGUUAUUUAGGUUGAUCCUUCAGAACCAAUCUAUUGUUAAAUUCAAUGGACAAGAGGGUUUAGCACCUGCCCGAUGAAAAGCAAUGAUCCUGUCUUGUCUUCCCUGAUUGCAUACAAGAACGGGCGGUCAGCAACGAAGUCGAUUAUGUCCAUUGAAGGCAAACCCCUCAAUUUUAUGACAGCAGCUGAAGCAGCUGCAGCUUCUGUGCCUUCUUCAUUAACCUCAAUGAAUGACUUGUGGAAUAUUUUUGAAACAUGAAGGUUUUGAGCCGUUUGUGACUCCACCAUUUCUGUCAAACCUCCUUCAGAGAAAGGUAACACUAAUCCUAACCCCUUCAAGACAUUGGAAACUUCAAUCCCAAAAGAAAUUUUGAACUUCGGAAUCUUGAAUUCACCCACUUUAAGUUUUUCAUAUGGAAUGUGGCGAUCGAUGAAAUUGGAUUGGGAAUCUAGUCUUUCGAUCAAAGAUGGCAAUCCAUCCCUCGAAUCCGGGAGAAAGAUGUACAUUGAAAAAUGACGUGGGUCAGAUCCUUGUUUGUAUGACAAUCCAAGAACUUUAAAUCCAUCAAAAGCAGCUAUACGUUGCUUAUUCUUGCUGGUCAUAAAGGGGACCUCCACCGAACUUCCAUCAAGAAGGUAGAAAUCUUGUUUCUUUGUUUUUGAAGCAUCAAAUUUCUCUUCCCAUUCCCCUUUGAAGUAAAGUGCAUUAGCAAGGAUGAGCUUAGAGAGACUAUCGACUGAUCCAGGGGGGAGAACCUCUGUGAUAAGUCCAUUAGUUUGCUUUUCAGCCCAUGAAUUCACCUCUGAAGUCACUUCAGCAGCCUUUCAAUUCAACCAAACAAAUGAUUAACAACAUCAUGAUAAAGUUACCAAAUAAGAUCCAAUACAGGCGGAGUAAACCAAAUUUGAUUGAGGGGAUCCUUCAUCCUAGAAAUAACAGACCAUAUUGUUGCAGUAAUAUAGUCAGAAAUGCAAAAGAAGAUGAUUUAGGAGUGAUCCAAACCAAUAUUGAGUCCAAUAAAAAUUGUAAAUUUAAACAUUAAAUAAUUUUGAAUGAUUAAAGGUGAGUAUCAAAGUGAUUUUGAACGUAAAAAAAAUCAUUUUGACAGUUAAAAUCACAUCCAAACAUGCACGUAACCUGACUCUAUACACUAGAAUAGCAUCAACAUUGCCCAUGUUUUUAUAUCGGGUUACGUAUUCAAUAGAAACAGAAACCAAAUCAAACUAUAAUAAAACAGAGAACAUAAAACAUGAUUCCCAAUUCACUUGCAACCAAUUUUCCUCAAAUUCCAAUAUGAGCACGAAAUCAAAUAGGCUAAGACAGAAGAGUGUAUCAAUCACCUUAGUCUUGAAAUCAGCUUGGCUGAGCUUGGCUUUAUAAAGAGUGUCCACAACCUGUUUGAAAGAAGAUUUGAGAGGAAGUGAUUGAUCAACCCAAACCCCAUUGGCAAAUGAGAGGCGAGGUCCACCACUGGGAGAGGCAUCAGCGAAGACCGUGGCUACGAUUUGAGAAGCGAAGGAGUUAAGGUUGUCGGUGGAGUUGGAUUUGAGGAAUGAAAGAAGUUGAUCCAGCGGGGGACCUUUGGAACCAGAAGCGAUGAGGCUGAGAACCACAUGGAUUGACAAGGGCGAGAGGACAACGUUGGAGGCUUUUGCUUCGUUUAGGAGAAGGUGCUUGGUGAUGGCUAUGGCGACUUCGCCAUGGCUUCUGAUUGUUUCCAUGAUAUCCAUUUUCCGGCAGCCGGAGGAAUCGAUAGUUUAGAAAUGGAUAAAUCGAAAACGGGAAUUUGGAAUUCCAAGUCGUUCUUCGAUCUUCAGUAGUUGAGAAUUUAAUGUAAGCAUUGAACCGACUGACCUUCGGCUUUUAAUCAGCAUCUCACGUGCCUUGCGCGUGGGGAAUAUCGGUGCGUGGCAGUGAAGAUUUUUGCUUUAAUAACUUUUUAUCUUUUUCUUUUUGGCCAAAAAGAAUAACAAUAAUAAUAACAAUGAAUUUGGAACCCAAACUUUAUAUCCAUUCGUAUGGUAUUAAUAUCAUAAACUUUUUAUUUACCAAAUUAAGACUUGCAUGAAUGUAAUGUUGCAAAUUUUUACUCUCAAUUCAAUUUCUACUCAUUUUUUCCAUUAAUUUCAACAAAAAGAACAUAACUUUAAUUGCAAAUAUCUUAGAAAAUAUGUUUUUAGGUUAAAUUACAAUUUCAUAAUUUUCUUUGACUUUUCAUAUUAUAUCUAAUAGAAACUUGAACUUGUAAUUUUCUUUAUUUUUGUUCAUGUUGCCAACAAAAAUGCUCAACAACAAUUUUUUGAAUUUAAUCUUGUUAUCUAGCUGUUAUACUAAAAUUAAACUUUCUAAAUAAUAAUUGAUCUAUUAAAUUAUAAAAUUUAAUUUUAAUACAAUAAAAUAAUUUUUCAUCAUCCAUUUUACAUAGAUGAAUGGAAGGAAAAUUGUUUGGAGGGAAAAAAGAUUGUAAUUAUUUAUAAAAUAUAGGGAAAUAUUAGAUUUGUUAUGAUUUGUUAUGAUUUGUAAAUAAUGUUUUUUUAUAUUUAAAAAAGUUCAUCGAUGGAACUCGUGAUUUUGAGAAAAACAGGCCUUGGAUUAUGUGAUUUUUUUAAGUUUCAAAUAUGUAUGGGGAUAGAAGUUUCUUAAAUACUUUACCUUUGAAUUUUUUAGAAAUUUAAUUCUCUAUAAUUUUUACACACCGUCUAUUUUUUAUAAUUUAAAGACAAAUUUUUAGAAUUGAAUAAUAAAAUUUUUAUUUUUAGUACAAACAAAUAGAAUAGGUGAAUUUGAAUGUUGGACUUUAAAGAGAAGCUUAUUGUAUUGGAAUACACUAGUAUACAUAUUAUUAUUAUUAUUAUUAUUAUUGCAAUUACAAACUUUUUUCUUAAAGAAAAACAUUACUAUUACAAACUUACAUUCACACGUAGCAGUAAAUUAAAUUUCAAAGUAAAGAGUAGUUAAUUAAGAGGGUUUACCAUCUGCCCAACAAAAAGCAGAGUUCUUGUCAUGUCUUCUCUAAUAGCAAACAAGAAUGGAUGAUCAGCCAUAAAGUCCAUUGUAUUUUUAGAAGGCAAACGGCUAGAACAACGUUGAACAAGAGCAACAUUAACUGCUGCAGCUUCUGUCCCUUCUUCAUUAACCUCGACAAAUGACUUAUGAAAUAUAUUCUUAACAUAAAGCUCUCGACUUGUUUUUUCACACUCCACCAUUUCUGACAACCCAGCUAAAGGUAAUGUCAAUCCAAACCCCUUCAAAGUAUCAGAAACUUCGAGCCCAAAUGAAAAUUUAAAUUUUGGGAUUUUGAAUUUGUCAACUCGAACUCGAUUGUACGGGAUGUGGUUGUCAAUGAACCCGGAUUGAGAAUCGAGUUUUUGAAUUAAAGAUGGUAAUCCAUCUUUGGCGUCUGGGAGGAAGAAAUACAUGGAGAAACGACGGUGUUGGUCGAAUCCUAAUUGGUAAGGCAAUGCAAGAACUUUGAAGCCAUCAAAGGCAGCUAUAUACUGCUCUUCUUGGCUGCUCAUAAAGGGGACUUCAAUGGUGGUUCCAUUCAGAAGGUGAAAUUCUUGGUUUUGGGUUUCUGAAGGUUUGAAUUUUGUUUUCCACGAGCCCUUGAAGUAAAGUGCAUUUGCAAGGAUGAGUCUGGUCAUUUGAGUAACUGCUCCAUUGGGAAGAAUGUUUGUGAUGAGCCCAUUUGUGUGUUUCUCAGCCCAUGAGUUCACUUCUGAGGUCACUUCAUUAUACUUUUUUUAAAAGAAAGCAAUGAGAUUAUCAACAUUUUUGAAAUAUCAAAUACACAUUGACUGUUUUUUAAAAUAUUUGUAUCCAUCAAGUUUAAUAUUAAGAAACCACUUAGUGUAAUUGACUUGAGGAAUAGACUAAUUCAAUUGAUCUAAAACAAAUAAAUAAAGAGCAAAUAAAACUAUUUUAAAUUUGAUAACAUCACUCCAACUUUUUUUCCACAAGCCUAUUCAAUAACUUGCUUAGCAAUUUAGACUAUACUUUUUCAUUAAAGAAUUUUUUUUUUGUCAGCUUAGCUUUAAUUUGGAAGAAAAAUUAGAGAGAAUAGCGUUUUAGAAUGUAUUAUAGGUCAUGGUUUUAGGAUCUUACAAACAUGGCAAAAUUAUUCUAUUUUAAAAUACUCUCUAUCUUAAAUUUAUCAUUCUCAAACUAUCGUCAAAUACUCUACUUUUGUCCGUACCUUAAUUAUACAUUAUUUCUUCUCCCACUUUUUAAGACUCUAAUCAUUAUUCUUUUUGUCGUUAAAAACAGUUUUUUUCUUCAAUCACACAUUGUUCUUCUUAUAUUAAUCUUAAUUUUAGGAUAUCAUUGACAUAUUAUUACCAUACGAAAUAUAAGAGGUUUUGAGUUUAAAUUCUCACCUCCCAGACGUACUUUAAAAAAAUCUUUAAAAAAAAAACCUAAUUCACACAAAAUAAUUUACAUAAAAAGAAAAUAUAUGAAGAAUUUAGGAAAAUUGUAAAAAUAGAACCUCUACAAAAUAUUUACACUUAGUUUAGAAAAAUAGAGUGUAAUGAAUUUUAUUUUUAAAAAAUUUAGCUAUAAUUGACAAAGUAAUAACAAUUUCAGAUGUUAAAUUGAUUAUAUUCUUUUUUAUGUUUGAAUGACAUAAUUUUUAUAGUUGAUAAAAAAAUUUAAUAAUAAAUUUCAUAAGCAUAGGAAUUUAAAGGCAAAUUGCUACACUUCCAUACAAAUUGACUUUUAACUAUGUUGAUUUGCAAUUGACGUUGUUGAAAUUAUAUGAGAACUUAUAUGAAUAUGAAAUGAAAGAAGAAAGAGUAUUAGCGUAAAUCACCUUAGUCUUGAAAUCGACAGGACAGAGAUUAGCUUUAUAAACAUUGUGAACGAGAUGUUCGAAAGAAUCCUUGAAAGGAAGUGAUUGCUCAACCCAAACUCCAUUGGGAAAGGCGAGGCGAGGUCCGCCGCUUGAAGAGCCAUCGGCCAAGACAAUGGAUGCUAUUUGAGCUGCAAAUUGGUUGAGUUGGCGAAGGGAGUUGAAUUUAAGGAAGGACAGAAGCUGAUCCAAGAAGAAGCCACUGGAACCAGCAGCCACAAGGCUGAGCACCAAAUGGAUGGACAAUGGCGAUACCACCACGUUGGAGUUGUCUGCUUGGAGAAGAAUCCGCUUUGAGAAGGACAAAGCCACAUCGCCUUGGUUUCUGAUUGCUUCUCUCAUGUCCUCCAUUAUUACCAAAAUAUUAGCCAAUGAGAAAUGGGCUUCAAAGUUGUAGAUAGAUACAAAGAUUAAAACACAGUUAAGAAAUCAUCAUUGCGUCAUGCCGUGGGAAAACACCAAAGUGGUUGAGUUGAUCAAUGAAGUCUGAUUUGAAAACUAAAAAAUUGUGCAACUUUUGCCAAUUUUUCAAGAAAAAAAAUAUAGAAUAACAUGUUAUAUGUUUUGUGAUUUUUGAAUGAGAUGGUUAUGGGCAUUCUUUAUGUAGGAUUAUCUGCAAAGUAAAAUAGUGUUAAUUAUUUGGAUACUUGGAGAAUAAGAAAGCUUUGAAAUAAAUGGAAAGUGAUAUAUAUUUUUUUAAAAUGAUUUUAAGUAACUGUUUUGUUUUUUUUUUUUUUGUUUUGACAAAAACCAAACGAUUACUAUACAAUGUCUUACUAAUAUGUUAGACAUAAUUGUUAUUUAAUAUGAUUAGGUCUCUUAAUAUAUCCUUCAACUACAUUUUCAUUUCAAUUUUAAGGGUUUCUUAGCAUUAUUUGGCGUUAAGAAAUCUUGCAUAUUGGCAUUUUUUUAAGCACACUGAUAUAUUGAAAAACUUUAGGUGACAGCAUAAACAAAUUACUUCCCCGUAUCAUCUCAAGCUCAAAAGACGAGUUCGUUUUCAUAAGUCAUGCGAAUGAUUAGGAGAAUGAUUAUGCGCUUAAGCUUAUCAUAGUCUUGAAUGCAAACACAAUCCCAAACAAAACAAAAGUCUAUCACUUAAAAGUUCAAUGAUUCUUAUGUAGUAUAAGAAAGUUGGAGCAUAAGAAAACUAAAUGCUUCUCGGAGAAAGAUAAACAAGGAGAAACGACGAUAUUUAUCAUCUUGGCCUUGUCGAUACGACAUUAGAAAAUUGAAGUGGAUACGACAUAAUAAAGUUCAAUGUUUUGAGUCACAGAGUAGGAUGUAGCACUUGGCCAACAAAAAGCAAAGUUCCUGUUACGUUUUCUCUGAUUGCAAACAAGAAGGGAUGGUCAGCAACAAAGUUUAUUCUCUUUACACACUCCAUCGAACAAGUUAAACCGCAUAAAUAAACAGAAGCAGCUGCAGCUUCAGUCCCCUUUUCGUUGACUUCAAUGAUCGACUUGUGAAAAAUGCUUGAAACAAAUGUCAGUUCACCUGUUUCUGUCUCCACCAUUUCUAAUAAACUCCUUUCUUCAAAAGGUAAAACCAAUCCCAACUUCUUUAACACAUCCGAAACUUCAAAUUCAUAACUCACUUUGAACUUGGGAAUUUUGAAUUCACCCACUUCAACUUUCUUACGCGGAAUGUGGCGAUCCAUGAACCCGGACUCAGAGUCUACCUUUUCGAUCAAUGAUGCCAAUCCAUCUUUGGCAUCUGGGAGAAAGAUACACAUGGAGAAACGACGAUCUUUAUCUUGGCCUUGUCGAUACGGCAUUGUAAGAACUUUAAACCCAUCGUAUGCAGCUAUAUAUUGAUCCUUACUGCUGCUCAUGAAAGGGGUCUUAAUGGAACUCCCAUCAACUAGGUAAAAAUCCUCCUUUUUUGUUUCUGAAUCAUUAAAUUUAUUUGUCCAAACCCCUUUGAAGUAAAGUGCAUUUACAAGAAUGAUCUGAGUUAGUCUAUCAACUGAUCCGGGGAGAAGAAUAUCGGUAAUGAGUCCUUUAGUUUUGUCUUUAACCCAUGAGUUCACUUCCAAAACCACUUCUUCACCCUAUCAAUAUACAAUUAAUAACAAGUCAGAACAUAAUAACAACAUUUCGAUAUUUGUCAAUGCCUAACUCGUACCUUAGUGUGAAAAUCGGCUUGACGGAGGGUGGCUUUAUAAUAAGUUUCGACAAUAUGUUUGAAAGAAUGCUUGGGAGAGUGUGAUUGAUUGAGCCAAAGUCCAUUGGCAAAUAAGAGUUUAGGUCCGCCGGUGCGAGAGGCGUCGGCCAAGAGAUUGGAUGUUACAAACGAACCAAAGUGGUUGAGUUGGUCAAUGGAGUUUGCUUUCAGGAAGGACAGAAGCUGAUCAAGAAUGGGGCCAUUACAACCAGCACCAAUAAGACUCAGCAAAACUUGGAUUGACAAUGGCGAAAACACAAUAUUGGAGUUCUUUACAUUGUCUUGGAGAAGCCGUUUCGCAAUGCUCAAAGCCACAUCGGAUUGUGAUCUCAUUUGUUCUCCAUUCGUAACUUCCUUCCACUCAUCCCUUUUGCUAUUGGACAUUACCCACACACAAAAGUUAAAAUUUUAAAUGUGCAAUUUGAUUUGAAGAUUAACAUAACAUGAUUUUCAUAAUUAUUAAUUACUAAUUAUGAAAAGGACACUAACAUAGCCAUGAACACAACAAAUUCAUUAAUUCGAGAAUAAUAUAGUUUUCAGGAAUAAUUCACGAGUGACUUCAAGAGUUUAAUCUUCAGAUCUUAAGGGUCAGGGAAAAGUAUUGGGAAUUUAAAAUAUUUAAAAUUAGAACUUGGAUAAGUGACUAAUGUUUUAUAUAAAAAAAAAAGAUGAUAAAACUUUUUGAAAAAUUGACUAAGAACCAAACCCAAAACUCAAAAUGGAAGUAAUGAAAAAGGUAAGAACAUGGGUGUGAGAUUUUAGGGAAACAAUGAAAAAAAAGUUCUUUUUUCCGAGGAAAAAAAAAAAGAUUGAAACUAUUUUAAAAAUGUAAAUGUUUUUCUUGCAAAAUCUAUCAAUUUCAUCUAUUGAUGUUUUGUUUGCUUGUCAAAAUUUUUAUCUAUCCAUAAAAAUUACUCAGAAAAAAAAAUGUGUCUAAAAAUUAAAAUCAAUAAAUUAACUUUGGAUGAUUAAAAGUAUAUUUUAUAUUUUAGAGUCCUCUUACACCUAACAAAAAUAAAAAUAAUAAGAAGAGAAAAAAAGAAAGAAAGAAAACUAUAUAAAAAAAAAGAUAAACAAAAAUAAUAUGGUUAUAGAAAAUAAAGAUGAAAGUACUUUUUGGUCAUUAGGUUAGGGUUUUUGAGUUAGAUUCCAUUUGGUUCUAAAUUAAGGGAACAUUUUAAUAUACAGUUCAUGAAAUUCAUAAUGUUAAUUAUUACAAAUGCUCACAAACAUGCAUGGGUGCUACAGCCCGUUUAAAGAAAGAUUUGGAGAGGAGCAAACCGUUCGUCUUGAAACACGGAAUGAUAAUGCACAUGUUGAAAUGGGACAGAAGCAGUUGGCGGGUGGUGCCGGUGAAAAGAAGAAGCACAUUUCAAGAUGGGGAAGACGCCGGUGACUGGAGAGUGAAUGCGGGCGAGGGAGGAUCGAUAGGCCAGAGAGAGGGAUGAAAGAUUAGAGAAUGGCGGCAUAUUGUGUUUUGUGAUUUGAUCAGUGUAAUGGUUAAGGUUAUGAUUUUGGUAUUGAUAGUUAUAGCCGAAUUAAUUCUUUUAUGUGGGGAUUAUAUGCAAAAUAAGAUUUUUCUCUUUCUUUCUUUCUUUCUUUUUUUUUUUUUUUUGGAUACUUGAGGAAUAAGAAAGCUUUUAUAUAAAUCGAAAGCUAAUAUUUUAUUUAAUUUUGGAACUUAUUCCUAAUAUCAUACGAUUUCGGGACAAAAUUAUUGACAAAAAAAAAAUGUUAGUUUUGUUUAGUAUAUUUUUUAAUAACACAUUUUUGUUAAUAUAUGUGUUUUUUUUAAAUAUAAAUUAAAAUAAAAGAUAGGUAUUAUUUUGAUUAAGAAAUAAUUAAACUAAAUUAGAAAAGAUGCAUUUAGUAAGAAAUAUAAGAUAUUUAGAUAUUUAAUAUAUAUAACAUAUAAAUAAAUAGAAAGAAUAAAUUAAAAUUGGAAGGUUAAUAUUCAUUUUAGGGAAAUUUUAAAAUAGCAAAUUUAUUUUACAAUUUUAAAAAAAUGACUCUUAAUUUUAAUAAGAAAAUCUAUUUUUAGAAUUUAAUAUUUAAUAUAUAUAUAUAAUGAAAAAAAGAAUAAGGUGUGGAUGACUAUUAAUAUAUAUAAAUAAUCAAGAAAGAAGAAGAUUUUUUUUGGGAUACUUGAGGAAUAAGAAAGCUUUUAUAGAAAUGGAAAGUUAAUCUUUUAUUUACAAUUUCUAUGGAAAAGUAAAAUAUAUAAAAUAUUUGUUAAAUUAAAAAAAUAUUUAUUAAAGGGAAAUUUCAUAAUAAAAUAAACAUAAAUUCUCACUCUACAAUAGAAAUCAAAAGGAUUGGUUUUAACAAAAUCCUUUCUUAUUUUGUUUCUUUGUUUUUUAAUUUUUUUUUUCGUUUUUUAGGUGUUCUUUUUACUAUUGUCAAACUGUAAUUAAACUUGAAUAAUAAAUUUCCAACCAAUUAAUUUAAGUUCAAGUUCUUGAAAAUUAUAUAAAUGAAUUUGGUCAAGUAAUUAUAUUGUUUGGAUCACGGUAGAAAUUUGGUCCAAAUAAAAUAUUGGGCCUAAGUCCAACGAGCCAUUGGGCCCAAACCUAUUUUAAAGAACAUGACAAACCUCGUCUUAUCCCUCUAUUUUGAAAGAAAAAGAAGAAGAAAAUAUUUUAUCGAACAAAUUUAACAAGUAAAGUUUAUUUUUCUAAAGUGACAAAUUAAUGAUCAUGUAUUAUAUUGUACUCCUUAUACCAAACUAAAAUUAAUAUAAAGAAAAUAUUUUUUCUUUUUUAUAUAUCAAAAUUCAACCUUUUUAUUUUUACAUUUUUCUAAAUUAUAACAAUGUCGUAAAUAAAACUACACAUGCACCAUAACAAUUAUUUUCGGUUUACAUUAUGUUUUCAAUAAACCAUCUAGCCACUUCAAUUUUUUGCUUUCUCCAAAUAUAAAUUAAGAUGUAUAAUAUACUAAAACAUCAUAUCAAACGAAUAUUAAAGGAUUCACCAACCAUAAUCCACCAAUUUGAUUUUUCAAGUUGGUUGAAUAUAAAAUAAAGUUUGGAAAGACCUAAUAGGAAGAAAAAGGUGAAUGCGGGAAGAUAUCAUUUAUAUCAAGUCGAAAUUAGAUAUCAUUUAUAUCAAGUCGAAAUUAGAUAUCAUUUCUACAAUUCUAUUAUAUAUAUAUAGUUCAUUUUGGAUGUAAAACUCUUGUGGUUAAUUUGCUUUUAAUUUAGACCAAAAGGCAUCAAAUAGUCAUCUCUAUCUCAUAUAACUCUUCUUUAUGCUAACUCUUGCAUAGGAGCAAUAACCACUUUUGUAAUAUAGAGUUCCCACGACUACUCUAUUGUCAUAGCUAUGUCAAAGGCAUAUAACUCCACAAUAGGGAGAAGAUUUCAUUACGAAAGCCUAAGUGAAUUAUAUUUGUUAAAACAUUUUCAUGAAUGAAUGUAAAUAAACAAAAUAAAGAUUCAUACAUAAACAUUAUUCAAGCUAAGAUUCCAACAAAAUGCCUCAACUUCUUCUGUUUCCAAAUUGUCAACUUUAUUAAUUAGAGUUGUUCUUCUCUUUUUCUAAAUAAAUUAAUAAUAUAUAGCUUGGAGAGUGGAUCAUGUAUCCCUUAAUAAUAAUUUAUUAGAAUAUGCACAAAACUCUGUCACAUGUUCCUAUGAACCAGAAAGAAAAAAUAAACAAUAAAGAAUAUUUGCAACAGCUUUGGUUGAGCUUUUAGGUCCAUGGACGGUAAUGGAUAAUGAAAGUCAUUAAAAACCAUUGGCUAAUUAAACAUAGUUAAAGGUUAAGUAAGGUCAACUCUUUCCAACUAAGGCUAACUAAUAAUAUUUGUUUAAGAUGGUUAUCGUCAAUAAUGCACCUGACUUAUUGGAGAGGAAGUACGGUCAUUUAUUUCUUUAUUACUUGAAUAAUAAUUAACAAAGUAGAGUAUACAACUUUAUUAUACAAGUAUAUAUAUGUGGACACACAACAAAGUAGAGUUAUGAUAUACUAAAUGGAGAAAAAUCCAUUAAAAGGAAAAAGACUAAAAUUUGUGGUAUAGGAGAUAAUCAUAAUGUCUCUUGGAGAUGACUUUCAAUAUUAGCUUGUGGAUGCUUUUGAAAAGAUGUACUUUUUUCAACUAUGGGUACGAUAGGGGUAAUAAAUUGUCAACGAGAGUUUAUGAGUAGUAAGAAUAUUUUGAAUUUUGAUCGUAUUUAACAUUGUUAUUUUAUUUGAUGUACAAGAAAACAAUGUCUUAAUUUUAAGUGUUUUUAAAAUGAUCAACAUAUUAAUACCCUUAACAUUGAUUGGACAUAAAUGUGUCACGUAUUUUUCAAUAAUCAUCUCAUACACUAUAGUUGAAAAAUUAUUCAUUAUAAUGUGAUGAUUCUGAUCUAUAUAUAUUAGCAUGUGUUGUAUUUUUAUAUGGAUCAGACAAAAAGAAAUAUAUAGAAAGGCUACGUAUUAAUAUAUUAUACGUAGGAUUCUGUCACGUUGAAAUAAGAGAUCAAAUACAAAUACAUGCAAAAGCAAAAGUGGACAUGUUCCAGCUUUUAUGGCUCCGAUGGUGAUUAAGUCAAGGGAUAAUGUCAAAGCAUCUGCAUCAAAAUGCUAUAGCAAUAAUUAAUUAAUGUCAUCGGACUCCAAUUCCAUUGUGUUAUUUAAAAGAAAAAUAGUGGAAUCCCAUCUUCCAAAGAACACACCCACUGGCCACCAUAUAAAAACCUACAUCAUUAUUCCAAUAGCAAAAAAUUGGAGAAACCAAAACCAACCCACCUCUGAAUUUCUCCCAUUUUUAAUAUCUUCCUCAUCAUCAACAAUAAUGGUAAUCAUAUUCUUUCAUCCUUUUUUUUAGAGCUCUUUCUGCGUAUAUCCAUGGCGGCUAAAGUGAAUAAUUAAUUAAUUAAUCAGUCUAUCUUGAUUCUUAUAUAUGCACAGGGAAAUGAAGCAAAACGAGGAGGAAACAAAGCUGCUAUAUUUAUCUAUGGUAAUAUGAUUUUAUUUUUAAUUAUUAAAACAAAGUUGGGGGGUUUUAUUUUAAUUUUUUCAUACUUAACUUGGGGAUUAUAUAAUUAUGGGAUAUGGGGAAAUGGUUAUGCAGUGUGUGAAGGGCUGGAGAAUAUGGCAUUUGUGUCGGUGGCGUUGAGCCUUGUGACGUAUUUCAGUGGAUAUAUGAACUUCAGCUUGACAAAAUCAGUGACCACUCUCACUAACUUUAUGGGAACAACGUUUCUUCUUACACUACUCGGGGGUUUCAUUUCCGAAACUUAUCUCUCAAGAUUCAAGACUUGCCUUCUCUUUGCUUUCUUUGAGCUCAUGGUCAACUCUCUUUCUCUCUCUCUUUCUCUUCCCUUCAUUUCCAUUUUUGUUUACAUUAGACCCAAUGUCCGUUUGCAUUUGACAGACCAUGUUGUUCUAUUACAUAUUCCAUCCUCAAACUAAAAUAGGAUAUAUUUACUACAUUAUCGUCGUGGGUAAACGGAUGCAAUUUUUCCUUAAAUAGAAAGAUUUUUACUAUCAAGAUUGAUUUUAGUCUUCUAGAAAAUUAUAAUAUAUAGUUGAAUAAUGUUUAAGAGACGAUUGUUUUGCUUUGUUGCAUUAGUGGGAGGGAUCCUCUUUGCAUUCCAUAUAAAUAAAUAAAACAAUAAAAAUAAAAUAUAACUACCAUGUAUCAAAAUAUCCGCCAACGUGAGAGUGUGAGAUUUUGGUUGAAUAAGAAUAAUUUUUUUUCAUCCAUGCAUCGUGAAAUCACCUCAUUAAAAAAAUAUAUUUUACAAUGAUGUUGAAAAUGAGAUGAAUGCAUAUAAACUACUCAUUAUUAUAUCAAUUGAGCUAAACAUGUUUAGGUGAACUGAUAUUAUUUAGUAAUAGGAAGGUAAAAGUGUUUUAGAUACAAAUUAUGAUGACUGAGAGUAAAAAUUUGUGCCCAAAUGAGCUUCACUAGCGAUAUUAACAUGGUUUUCGACCUCAUCCCCACCCACUGUUUUGUUGAAGGAUAAUAACAAUGACUAAAAUAGUUAUUAUGUGGACUAUUGUGCAGGGAUACUGUCUGCUAACCGUGCAGGCACAUUUCCCGCACCUAAGGCCGGCACCUUGCAAAGAGGCACCAGCAGGGAGCGAGUGCGAGGCGGCAGGGAGCAGUCAGGAGGCGUUUCUUUACACGGGAUUAUACCUGAUAGCCCUGGGAACGAGUGGCGUGAAAGCAGCGCUGCCAGCAUUGGGGGCAGAUCAAUUCGAUGACAAAGAUCCAAGCGAGGCGGGGAAAGUUUCGAGCUUUUUCAACUGGUUCCUGUUCAGCCUAACAAUAGGGUCAAUUGUGGGAUUGACAUUGAUAGUGUGGAUAAACACAGAGGUAGGUUGGGACUGGGCGUUUGUGGUUUGCAGCAUUUCAGUUCUUGCCGCCAUUUUUGUUGUGUUUUUAGGCAAGUCCUUUUAUCGCCACAAUGUGCCUCAAGGAAGCCCCAUUCUUAGAUUUCUACAGGUUCAUAUUUCUUUUCCUGAUAUGCAGUCUCUUUGAACUUAUCAAUCAUGAUGCAAUGAAUGGUUGUUUGAUCCUUUUUAUUCUCAUGUAUAGGUCUUUGUUGCUUCAAUCCGAAACAGGAAGCUUCCACUUCCAGUGAAUGCUAAUGAACUACAUGAGAUUCGUGACAAAGAAGCUGCAAUCCCAUAUGAAAUACUCGAGAAAACUGAUCAAUUCAGGUAUUAUACUUUUUAAUGAUCUUCAUAUAAAGAACUAAGCUUUGCAAUACAAUUGGUUGGUUGAAGCCAUGGAAUUUUGGAACUUUGUAGAUUCUUAGACAGAGCAGCCAUUAUAAGGAAUGAUACAAUUGCAUCAAUAUCAACAAAUCAGCAAGGACCAUGGAGACUCUGCACAGUGACACAGGUUGAGGAAACAAAGAUCCUAAUUAGAAUGCUCCCAAUUAUACUCAGCACCAUCUUCAUGGCCACCUGCAUGGCUCAACUUCAAACAUUCUCCAUUCAACAAAGUAUAACCAUGGAUUCCCAGUUCCUGGGAUUCAAAAUUCCGGGCCCCUCCAUCCCCGUCAUUCCCUUGCUUUUCAUGUUCUUCUUUAUCCCCUUUUAUGAGCGUGUUUUCGUUCCUCUCGCUCGUAAAAUUACCGGGAUUCCAACAGGAAUUCGUCACCUCCAGAGAAUUGGCAUUGGACUCGUACUCACUGCCGCAUCGAUGGCCAUUGCUGGGUUUGUUGAGACUCGACGCAAAAACGUUGCAAUCAAACACAAUAUGGUGGAUAGUACAGAGCCACUGCCGAUCAGCGUUUUCUGGUUGGGAUUUCAGUUCUGCGUAUUUGGAAUGGGCGAUAUAUUCACUCUUGUAGGACUGCUGGAAUUCUUUUAUGCAGAGAGCUCAGCAGGGAUGAAAUCGUUGAGCACAGCUAUUGCUUGGUGUGCGAUUGCAUUCGGGUAUUUCACGAGUACGGUGGUGGUUACAGUGGUGAACAAGGCGAGUGGAGGGUGGCUGGCAAGCAACAAUCUCAACAAAGACAAGUUGGACUAUUUCUACUGGUUAUUGUCAGUGUUGAGUGUGUUGAAUUUUGGGUUUUAUUUGGUUUGUGCUUCCUGGUAUAGGUAUAAGAAUGUGGAGAUCCAUCAAAACGAUGCUCUGGAAGAAAAGGUUGACAUGGCAAGGGAGGCAUAGGUACAUGUUUGAUUGCUGUUAAGGUCUAAAUAUAAUAUUUCCUGGUAAAUUGUUUCAUCAGUCCUUGUAAUAUGCUCCUUGUCAUGGUGUGUUCGUAUAUAUUCUUUAUAAAAAAGAAUACUUCACAGCAAUAAAAAAAAAAAAAAUCAACUAAUUCUGCUCUGCUAUUGCUACUGCUACCAUUGACCCAUCAUAUCAUCUAAAGGAACAGAAAAUACUAAUUAUCUGAAAUAUCUGAAUUCAAAUACAUAGAUUGCAUCUCCUUCUCUACAAUUACACAAAAGUGAAGACAUGGAGAGAUGGAGGAUGAAUAAAGCCGAGAAACCACAAGCACAAAACACACAAAAUAUAGAUUUGUUCGUUAAUUAAGAUACAUUUGCUAUGCAAGUCCUUUCAUCUCGGCUAUAUAUGUGCACAAGAACCAAAAUAAUAGAGCAAGCUCAAGGUGGAUGAUGCACGUUUCUAGCCUUUUCGACAUUCCUUCGAAGUCGGGAACACACAAACCUAUCAGAAGUUUGAGAACUUUGGUUCUGGAAUUGGUUGGGGGCCAAAAGAUCAUUUCCCCUCUACUUUUUCCUUACUUUUCUUCUCUUUUUCUUUUCUUUUCUUUUUUCCUUUUUUUUUUCUAUCCCAUCUUGGAUGAACAGCAUAGGAUAUGACAUCACGAGGUACAGGAGUUACUUUCAUUAAUACACACCACUCGGACAUGAAGUCCGAUCCAAGUUUUAUAUGCAAAGAUAUUGCAGCUGUCGGUAUCAAAUAGGAGCAAUUUCAUCCCUGUGAAGGUGUAACAGGGUAGGUUAAUACCAAGGACAUUGUGUCAGGAAAUCCCAAGAUUAAUCUUCCCAACACGUAGUUCAUCUACCAUAGCGGAUCCCUUGGAAGGAGGCCAAUACUUGAAUAAUGAUCUACCUACAAUAUUUUCAAUUGGGAGUGGACCCCUGGAGAAGAAGAAAUAGAGUCAGUAUACCAUAUUAUCCAGAAAGAUUGGUGGCUAACAUGGACGAUAUUCUCUUUAAAAAGAAAAGAGAAAGCAUCAUGGAGAGUUACGGCAUGUAUAGUAUAACAUAAAACAUGUGUGUGCCAAAAGUUGAUACCACAAGUUCCAAUUAGAUGGUAGGCAUUCAAACACAGAGAAAACACAAGAUAGCCCUAUACUGUUUUAUCAAAAGAAAUCACGAUAUAACAAUAGCCUAUUUCCCUCCCUCCAAAUAUGGACAAUCCUGAUUUCACUAUAAUGAUCCCACUUCUAAGAACUUAAACUCCCUCAAAUCACCACUAUCGUUGCAUAUAUAAAACUAAUAUUCCUUAUAUAUUCCCUAAUACAAAUGGUACUCUCACAUUAUACAACAUGAAAGUUGAGAUGGUGAACUUACCAGUUAUGAGAAUCACAACUAUUGUUACGGUUGUCUCCCAUUACAUACACAUAACCUUCAGGCACUAGCUGUAGAAGAAAACAAGAUAAUUGGAUUGAGCAAACAGUCUAUCCUUAGAACAGUAUUCAGGAUUUUCAAUCUGCCUCUGGAGAGAGAGAGAGAAACAGGUAGAGAGAGAGGGAAUGAAGGUUGAAAAGGAAAGACAAUUACCAACGGUUCCAUGUCAUAAGCAAUUGGCUCUAACACGAAGUCCUCAUCCUGAGCUACACCAUUUACCACCAAUUUCCCUUUUUGAACCUACAAUUAGACAUUUCAAUGCCAAGUGAUUAGCGUCAAAGCAAAGCGAACCACACUAAUUCUGGUCAGAAGUUUAAAACAAGACGACCAAAGGUCAAAUCUCAAAUGCUUUUGAAAUACUCCGAUCAAAAUAUUCAGUGCUGAACUACCAAAAUAUUUGAAAGAAAAACUAAGUGACUAAUGACUCCAAAAUAUUCCAUCCCAUGAUGCUAGUGCAAGCUAUUUUAAAAUCCUCACUUAUCUUCAUAAUUCUCCAUAAUCUAGUGGAUUUAAGUAUCUGAUAUUACUUGAAAUUCAGGUUAAUAAAUUGUUUCACUUAUUUGCUUACCAAUAUGAAUCAAAGGAACAAAUAAUAAAAUUUAUUUGUUUAUUUAUUAUAAUUAUUAUUAUUUUGGAAUGCAGAGAAAGCAUAGAAUUAUAGCAUAAUAAAGAAACGAAAAGUUAAAAUUUUGAAGAACACUUACCUCAACCACGUCCCCAGAUGUAGCCACAACUCUCUUAAUAAACACCUCAUCUGAACUAACUCCAAAAUCCUAAAUGAAUUGCGAAAAGGCAUAAGAAAACAUCAGCAUCCAACAUUACAAAAGCAGGAAAAUUUCCUCAAAAUUACCUCAUUAAUUAAAGUAAUACCUGCAAGAUUUGAGGAGCUUUAAAGAUCACUAUAUCUGAAACUUCAGGUUUCCUGAAAAUGUAUGAAACCUAAUAUAAGAAGGAAAAGCAAUCGAUCAGUUUAGGAACAGGGUAAGGCAACUUCCACGACCUUAAAAGCUAAAACAGAAAUAAGCUUCUUUUUUUUUAAUUACGAUUGUUAGGAGGCCGUUACGUUCAAAAGUUUAAUUAAGGUAAUCAUAGUCAUAAAAGAACUUAAUCAAGAUCUCAGUAAUGUUAAAUAAUAAAAUACUGUUCAUCAACAAGUCAAUUCAGAAAUUUUCAAUUUCAUUAACUAAAGUCCCACCUUUUCUGCUAAAAUACGAUCACCUACUUCCAGAGUUGGACACAUGGAAGAAGAAGGAAUCGAUUUCGGCUCUGCCAAGAAAGAUUUAAAGAGCACACUGACAGUCAAAGCCGUAAAGAGGGCUUUUGCAUCCUCUGAAUAAGUACUCAACAAGCGCGAAACCCAGCUCUUCUCAAAAUCAUUCUCAUAAAACUGAUCAUUUCCACUUUUAUCGUAAUAAUCAUAACAAACAGUUGUUCCGCCUUUAUCCACAUCGUCGCUCACGGAUCGUACAUCAUAACCCGGAAGCCACUUCGAUCCUUGUAAAAAGGGUAUAAUCGAAGUAGCUUUAAACGAAGAAACCCCAGAAAUCCCCGUACUGAUCACAGAAGAAUCACCCAUCGAUUUCAACAUCGACAUCAAACCCAAAAUCAUCGGAUUCUUAGGGCUUUCCCCAACCCUUUCUCCGGUGAGAGUACUGUACAUAGCAGUUGCCUUCUCAACAGAGCCACCCGGCUUGAACCGCCGGCUAUCGGACCGAUAAUUGCGCGCGCUUCCAGAAGAUUUGAGCUCCGGAUUAUGGGUCGAGCCAAAAAUACAAGAUCGGACCCAAAACUCCUGAAAGACGCGGCAGUUACCGGCCCGAAGGCCGGUGGAGGAGGCUAGGUUUUGGACGACAUGACCAGAGUAGGAGAGAGUAACACGAAUAGCCAUGAUUACAAAUUUGAGUAGGUGGAUUAGGAUUUGACGCAGGUUGGUUGCAGAGACGAUAAAGGAAUAAUCAGAACAGCCUAGAGAAGGAUUAACGCCAUAUCUUGUUCGGAAAACAGAGAAUCGGCUUCCGGAGCGGGGAAUUGAAACUGGAACUACAAACCGGAAGGGGUUGAAUGGAGUCUGGGAAAAUCAAAGAAUCAGUCAAGUGUGGAUGAACGGAGAUGGGAUUUUGAGGUAAGUCAACGAGAUGAAUCUGAGAAGAGGGGGAGCUCGGUUUCCAAUAGAGGAUCGAUAAGAGGAAAGGAAGAGGAAAAACACGAGAAACCCAAACUGAAAGAAUGAAAAAGAGAAGAUAUAUGAAGAGUAAACGUCGCCGCCGACGCCGACGGAGGAAGGCGACGAGAAGGUGAAAUGGAUAGACUUUUUUGACUUUUUUAUUAGACAAUUACACGCUGGCCAUAUUCGCGUGCGAAAUUACCAAAAGCCCAAUCCCUUUUAGUAAAUGAAAGUAUAAAUAUUUUGUAUUUUUAGUUCGGAUUCUAUAGAGAAUCACAAAUUACUUUUUCUUUUUUUCUUUAAUAUAUACUUUAGCUGCUAAUAUUAUAAUUAUAUGUUGUCUAAUUAGUUUAUUAGGCCAAAAAUAUGGAGCUUAGUGGUUGUGAAGUGUGAAGUUUUGAAGUAGUGACGAAAGCGCAUACGUCAUUUGCUGUCCAAAGAAACGGAGAGUCGUUAAUUUAAUAUUUUAUAAUUGUUAUAAAAUUGAAUUAUAUUAUUUAUAUAUUUAUUCCACGCACAAAAUCAUAUUUUUUUAAAAAAAUCAAGAAAUACCGUUAAUGUCAAUGUAAUAUACCGUUAUUUAAAUUUUAUUUUUUAAUAACUAUAAUUUUUUGUUCAUUUAUCUUUUAUAAUUUUUUUAAAAAAAAUUAAAACGUCAUUUCACCUUUCGUUAACAUUAACACCUAAAAAUUGUAGUUGUAUAACAAUGUUUUAAAAAUUUUACUUUUUCACGAUUUGUACAAUUUUAAAUUUUUAUAACGUUUUUAAACCUUCCCUAAAAAUAAUUCAAAUUAGAUUUAAUUUGAAUUUUAGAAAGAAAAAAAAAAAACAAAUUGAAAAGAGAGCCCUAAUACAUAUUUUUAGAAAAUAAAAAACUUAAAAAUUUAUCAGAUUAUCAUGUAAAGUCUCAACGCUCUAUUAUAAAAUAUAUUUUCACAUCCGAUAUACUCUUCAGUUAAAAAGUUAACAUAAUACGAACUUAUUACACAACUAAAUAACAUAAUACGAACUUAUUACACAACUAAAUGUUUGUUUUCAAUUUAACGAUUUUAAACUUUAAAUCAUUUAUGUAACACAAAAUUAUAAUUCAAUGUGCGUAUUAGACACUUAUAAACUUUAAAGACCUAAUUUAACAUAAAUAAAAUAUAAUAUUGUAAAUUUGUAAUGUGUAUUUGUUAAAACACUGUAAAAUCAACAAUUAAUAAUGUAAGGAUUGACACACAAAUAUACUUAGUUGACUGACAAUGUGUUAGCUACAUCUACAAGUAUAAAGAAAAACAAAUGUUUUUAGAAAUGAUGUUUCAUAAUAUAAUACGACAUCACCAUGUUAGAUAGUUUAUAUAUACACAUUGUAAAUAACUACAUACGUUCAAAUACAAAGACUAAAAAGCUUUUUGAGACAUUGCUCUUGAAUCUAAAGUAGGGCUCACCAUCCUUGUACCUUCCCUAAUUGAUUGUUCAACGAAACCUUUUGUAUUAGAUUGUUUGAAGCAUUUCAACACAAAACAUUCAAAUCAAUUAAACCUUUUGUAUUAGAUUGUUUGAAGCAUUUCAACACAAAACAUUCAUAGUUCACUAAAUUAACACUCCUCUCAACGUUAGUGAUUAAAAUAUGGAGAAUUAACCGUUCCUUAGAUAAAAUAUAAGUGUUAUAGAGAAUGCUAACUGAUGGGCUUUUUAGCCACCAAAUGGGUCAUUAUAGUAAUUUUUUCUAUUAGGGUAGUUGUAAUAAAAGAACAUUUGAGGAAUAAUAAUUAAGGAUAUAACAACAUUUUAAAAAAAAUUGCAAAUAUAGCAAAACUAUCGCUGAUAGACUUGUAUCAAUAAUAGACUCGUAUGAUCUAUCGAUGAUAGAUCAUUUUUUACAACAUGGUCCAUCGGUUAUAGACUCUAUCAUUGAUAGAAUUUUACAAAUUUUGCUAUAUUUACAAUUUUUUUUAAAAUGUUGCUAUAUACUUAAUUAUUUUGAAUUUAAUUGUUAAAUUUGCAACUAUCCUUAAUAAAAAAGUUAACAGUGUUAUUGUAAUUAAUCAUAGGUUAUAAAAAAUGUUAAACAUUAUGGUUAUUAAUUUGUAUGUUUAUAAUAGCUACCUGCACUAACUUCGAGUCAGGGACCAAAGUAAGAGAGUAAUUAAUGAGAAUUAGUGAAGGGUUGUUAGUCACAAUGUCCAAUGCAUUCAAAGUUGUGAAAGACAAUUAGUCCCAACAAAGUGGAAGAGCUAAUGAUAAUAUGGAUGUUUCUUUCAUAAUUAAUAAAACAAUUAAACAUAACUUUGCAAGUUUCAACGAGACUUCCACUUUAUGCAUUGAUGGGAUUAUUAAACUAAUCCAAAUUUUAAAUGAAGAAUCUAUUUCUAUAGAUUACAUUUAAUAAAAACAUGUUCCGGUUUUAAUUGAAGUUAAUGGUUUUGCUCUAAGUUAUAAACCAAGUAAAAAAAGUGACAAUUUGGGUAUAGUUUGAAUUUCAAGACAAUAUUCAAAUCAAAGUUUACACAUUCAACAUUCCAAUAUAGAAUUGGUUUCCAUGGUUCGGGUGUGUUCUCGCUUCUAGAAAUAUCCAUGUGGCGAGAAGAGAUUAGGAUGACGUUCUUCUUAUACUCUUACUUUUCAUUUCAUUAUUAUAAUUUUAGAUAACAAAGAACUUCGCUCCAAUUUCGAAAAGAAAGUAUAUCCUAAUUGACAUAUUGUUAUAAAUUGCUUUUAAGUAAUGUUGACAUAAUCUAUAAAUAAAUUGUAACGUUCAUGUCAAAAAGAAAAGAUGAAAAUUCUACCAAACAUUCAAUAUAAUUCCCAGACUUAUAUAUUACAAAAAUAUUUCAUCAAUCCAAGCAUAGACCUCAACAAAUAAAAACAAACAUUUAUUAUCUUGUUUGAUAAUAAAUAUUCUUUAACAUUGAUAAGACCCACAAAAAUUCUUAGAAACUAUACAUAUAUAUAUAUUUAUUGAAAGAAAGGGUAGGAUAGAAGAGGUAGGAAAAAAGAAAUAAUUUUGUUUAUAGAUAAUGGGUGUUGGAUUGGUAGGGAAAUAGAAAAUGAGGAAAAGAAAGGAAGGCCAACAAGAGCAAUGAUGAUGAUAGUAUGUGAAUGGAGAAAUGGGGCGGCCACAGCGCUAACAAAUGGGGCUAAUGCUCUGAGUUGUUUACACAUAUUAAGUAAAAAGCGCUAUUUCCGUUCCUAUUGCCCCCUAAAUCCCCAUUACCAAUCAUUCUCUCAAUAACACGUUUGAUCUCUUCCUUCUCUUACUACUACUACUUCCACAUCCAUUAUCAGUCAAAGUCAAAAGUCCAAUGUCCAAUAUUCAAUGUCAAAUGUCAAAUGACUUAGUCUUUGAUUUGACGCCAAAAACAACACAGCAACCACGUUCGUCGUCUCUUCACACAAGGAACCAUUGAUCCAUCACUUCUUUCACCUCACCUCCUGUUUUCUUCUUGCUUUUAACCUCCCUAUCUCUUCUCUUUUUUUGGGAUUCUCGUUCUUUUAACUUAAACGUUUCUUUUUAUUAAUCGAGUGGAUUUUGCAUUGGGUUUUGAAUCAGGCAGCCAUGGAUCCGAGGAUCCUCCUCGUUGCAUACUAAAUACUAAUCAUGCGAACUCUGUUUUUUCUCUUCUUUUUUUUUUUUUUUUUUCUUUUCUCUUUUGAAUUGAUUGGUUCGGAUUCAGAUUGAUAUAUAAGGAUUUGAUAAUGUAAUGGCGAAAGUAUAAAGAAGAUGAACGAUGGCAAGCAAAAUAACACAAUUUGUAUAAACAGAUCCAAAUGGAAAUCUCCCAGAAAACAUUCGUUUUUUUCUUUUUUGGUCGAAGAAGAGAGUUUCUGCAACUUCAGACAUAAUUGACAAAACCCCAAGAAAAUAAAAAGGCCUAAUAGUGACAGAGACACCAUUUUCACCCACAAGGUGUAUGCUUUCAAUAUUUUUGCUGUAUCCUAUCAGUCUCUAUUAUACUCUCUAUACCCAACAAACAUUUACCCAAGAAAAGAAAAAAACACAUAAAUUGAAGAAGGUAAGAUCCAGAAACAGCCACUGAGAAGGGGGAAAAAAUGAAGGAAAUUAGAGAGCAUUUGAUUUUGGAACUCAAAGCAAAGCAUUGAAAAUGUUGUUGUGUGUAUUAUUAUAUUAGAUUACUUCAUGCUCUUGCCUUGCAUGGAAAUAGCAAGGUCCGGCCAACCCAGCAAAUCACCGUCCACAACUCCACCGUUUCCUCCGCCGUCAUUGGCAUUCAUCUGCCACGUGUUGUACCCGGAAGAAGACGUCUCCGGAGCCCCACCGGUGGCGUAACUCCCAACGAGAUCCCCAACUUCAGGGUAAGGACAAGCAGUACCCCACAAUCCCCUGCCUAGAGCGAACCCCAUAUCGUCAAACGCUGCAGGGGCAUGACCCGACCCGGAACCGGAGGCGUAUCCGCCAAGAGCCAAGAAUCCGGAGGCUUGGGAGCUGAGCAAAGAAGUGAAAGUUCCAGGAGCAGGGAUGGUAUCGUUGAUGUCACUGUUGAGAGCAUUGGCGGUGGGGAGAAGAGAAACAGAGGAGGAAGAAGAAGCAGAAGUGGAAGAGGAAACAGAGGUGGAAGAAGAGGCAGAAACAGAGGAAGGGGUAUUGUUGAUGUUAUGAUAGCGAGAGCGUUUGGAGUUCUUGCGGGAGCCGCCGCCGACAGGAACGUCGCGGAGGGUGCCGCCGUGAGUCCAGUAACGGCGGCAGGAUUUGCAGAAAUGACGGGGCUGAGAGAGGUUGUAGUUGUUGUAGUAACAAAACUUGGUGUUGAGGGAAUCGCAGCGUGGACAGGGAAGAGGGUCGGAUUGAGGAGGGGGAGGAAAGCCCAUGGUAUGUUGUGGUUGGGGCCUACUGUUGUUUCUGUUGGAUGAUUCCGACGGCAUUGGGACUAAGAGCCAAUGGGUCAGAUUUCACAAUAACUCUCUCUGUUUUUCUCUGUUUGUUUGUCUCUCUCAGCUCAGUCAGUGGUGUGUGUGCGUGAGGAAAGAGACAGACAGAAGAAGAAGAAGAAAAAGAAGAAGAAAAAGAAGAAGAAUAAGAGAGAUGAUAAAUGAGAGUGAGGUUAAAGAAAGUGGUAGGAAGAUGAGGGGUUUUUAUUUAGUUUUAGAGUUUACACUUUUGAGAGAUACGAAAGCGGUGGGUCAGUCAGGUACGAUGUUAUGCACCUAUUCAAUUUGACCAAACAUCUACUUAUUUUCGUUCAUCUCCACCCAUCUUACACUAACUCUAUUGUAGGGUUGUGUUUGAUUCCAUAGUAGAACGAGUUGGACACUGCUAUAUAAUCCAAAUUCAUUUGAUUUAUGUUCCAAUAAUCUAAUUAUAGUUGAAGUUUAAAGGUAUUUGGAUAUGAACAUUUGGAACCACGGCGGGGAAAUAACAUUAUGGAUGGAGUCAAAAGAGGGAAGAGAGGAAAAUGAGUGUGUGGGGUGGGGGAGGAGAAUAAUGAAUGUCGGUGAAUGUGAAAGAAAGUAAUAAUGAGGGGUAGGAUGGUGUGUGCCAUUUCUAUUGUUGAGUUGUCGAGCUUUGCAUGCUCCCAACACUACAUUACAAAAACCAUCCUUUAAACUUCCCUUUUCCCCCCUUUUCUUCCACAAUUUUGUUUUGUCACUAAAACCUAUGACAUCUUCCUAUUUUUACUACUUUUUCCAUUCUUCCCUCAUUCUUAAUUCCAAACUCUCUAAUUUACUUUCUACAAACCUUUUAAUUCCAAUUAACUAUCUCAAAACCUUUUUAACCAUCCCAAUAAUUUCCUUCUUCAUCCCUUACCUAUUUCAUGUUCCAACAUUUGAACCAUUCUUUAUGAGUCCAUUCUCCAUUAGGUUACUAGUACAAAGAUGAAUUAAAAACUUACGUUCGAUAGCAAACAAUCAUAUCGCUACUUAGUUUAUACGCCACAAGUUAGGAAUGUUCAACUAGUAGUCAUAGCACUUUUAAAACACUAUAAAAAAGUAUUGUUCCCAUUAUAACGUAUCAUUAUUGUUGAGGUGCUUCAAAAUUCAAAUUAGUUGUCUUAUAUUUGAAACGAACAGGAGAAUCAUGAGUUUCUACGUCUUACAAGAAACACAAAUAAAUUCCUACGUCUAAAAAGAUACGAUAGUAAUGACUUUUAAAGUAGUAUAAAAAAAACUACAUGAUGUUAGUUUAUGAUGUCAUGUACGUUAUCUCCAUAUCAUGCAUUGUAUUUUUUCAAAAAUAAUAAUAAUAAAAUAUUCUUUAACAUAUUAACAUAUUGUUAGUAAAUCAUGUAAAUUUCUUUAUUCACCCUUACGACGCCAACUAUUUGUGCCAACUACUUGUAGAAUCGUAGAAGAUAAAUCCAGUAACAAAGUUAAUAACAUCAACAUAUAAAGACCAAAGGGUGUGCUUUUAUUUUAUUUUAUUUUUUGUUCAUAUACAUGCUUUGUUCAUCGAUUGGAACAAAAUCAUGAGGCUAGCCAGAUGAAUAUAUACUGUGACAUUUUUUGGCUUUAUCCAAACUCAUGAACUAUAUGGUAUAAUUCAAAAUAAAAUGUCACAUCCCACCAUAACAUAUCACUAUCACGUUGAAUUUCUAUUCUUUUUUCAUAAUGACCCAACUUUCCCUUUAAAUUUAACUUAAACAUAAAAAUGUUAAUUAAUUAAAUAAAAUCAAAGCUAACCAAAAUGUAAAAUUUUUUCCAUCUUUAAUUUUUCUCUCAAAUUAAAAGAGUAAAAUAAGUAUACCAUUUGGGAUUAGUGACAAUUAGUCAAGGGGUAGACAUAAUGUCUAAGGGUUUGGAGUUGGGAAAGACAAUUAGUCCCAACAAAGUGGAAGAGCAAUAAUAAUAUAUAGGUGAAGGGUAUGCUUUUUUCAAAAUAAAUAAAUAUAAACAAACAUCACUUUCAACAAUAGUGCCAUUUUGUGCAUUGGUGGUAUCAUUAAUCAAAUCCAACAAUGUAACAACUAUAUAUAUUUACUAGAUAACAACAAAUUUUUAAAAUAAUUAUAAGUUUUCUAUUCAUUAUAGUUAAAUAAAACCAUCAUACCACAUUAUCAUUUUGUUUCCUUUAAAGUUUAUCAAUUUCCAUGGCUUUCUCUAAGUCAUAAAUUGAGUAAUUAUAUUUAAAAGAAGUGGUAUUUAACAAGAUCAUAGUAUUUAAUUUAAAUCAAAAUACAAUUUUAUAGCCUCUAACAUUUAUAAAAAUAACAAUAUUAAAUAGUCUUUUUUAUAACAUAUAGUGAAAAUACACGCUCAUUCACAUUAUAUAUCUAUCUAUUUAAUUUGGAUUUUAUUAGAGAGAGAGGUAAUUGAGUUAGUAUAUAUGCUUUUACAAACCAUAGUUUGACUAAAUCAAAUACAUAUAUUACUCAAACUUACACUUUUUCAAAUCAUUAAAAGAAAAAAGAAAGCAUAAUUCUCAACUCCAAAUUUAUAGUUUAAUUUAUAUAGAGGAAUUAUGUAUAACUUAAUUAACUAAACAUGAUAUUAGUAAUAUGCUUCUUAAGUCAUAAGCGAUAAAACAUGUUUAUGGUGAUCGUAAAUUCUUCUAUUCAUACUAUAGACUUUAUUCACCUAUAUUUUAAAAAAUCGAGAUGUUAGCUAAUUUCUUGAUAUCAACUUGAUCACGCACAUCAGUUUAAAAAGGUUACAAUUAAAUUCUCUUAAUUAUUUUAAUUUGAUUCAAUAGACUAUUAGACUACUGAUCUAGUAAGUUUGUUGAAAUAAAUAGUUUCUUCUUCUUAAUUCUUUUUCAAAUAAGUUAUCCUAUUUAUUAUUUGUAAGAUUUAUGUUGGUGAUUAUUUAUUUGUUACUUGUUAUUUAUAUCUCAGAUUUGUAUUUGUUUAUCAAAUGAAUAAAGAAUGGAGUGAGAUUUUGUGAAAUGAGAAUAAUUAUGGCAUAAAAAUAUGAAGAGUGUUAGAGGGGGAAGGGAAUAAUGAAUGUCGGUGAAUGUGAAAGAAGAGUAAUAAUGCAUUUGUCCACCCUUGCAUGCUCCCCUAAACCCUACUCUCUUCCUAAUUUUUUUUUAUCUGUUUCUAUCAUUGGUAAUAUUAAUACACUUUCUUUUACGUCUAUUUUAUUACAAUUUAUAAAUUCUUUGAUAUGCUUUUUUAUCUUUAAAAAAUAUUUAAGUUUUAAAAAUUAUUAUUUUUUAAUUUUGACUUAGUUUUUUUAUGGAGAUUCAUUACUAAAGGAGCUAUUUGAUUUUUAAAGUUAUAUAUAUAUUGUUUAAUUUCUUACUCGAGCUUUCAUCUUUCUUAAACAAAAAACUAAACUUUUAACUAAAUUCCAAAAAGAAAAAGGUUUUUUUUUUUCUUUCUCAUUUUCAGAACUUGACUUUCUCUUUUAACUAGCUAGAUGGUUGGAAGUGAUUUAAGAUAUAAAGUCUUAUGUGAUUUUCAAAAUUAAUCAGAAAAUGUUUUUAGCCAUUAAAAGCAAAUUAAAACCAUAAUAAAUUUGUAUUUAAAAGUAUCUAUAAGAGUGUGUUUCAAAAUCGUAAAAAAAAUCAUUUUUUAACCCUUUUUCAGAAUCAUUUAUCUAAGCAUUCAUCAAAUAUAGGUAAAGAGGAUCCAAAUUUUAUUUUAUGUUUUCAAUUCUUCAUGAGAAACUGAACUUUGAAUAUCCAUCCUUAAUUCCUUGAGUUUAAUUAAACACUUCCAUUUGUAAAUCAUGUCAUUGGUAAAGCAAAAGCAUAUUAUCAGAACUUAUAAUGGGUACCUCUCUCUGUAUAUAUAUUCCCAAGUUGACUAGAAAAAGAUUACGAAGAUAGAGAUGAAGUUAGCUUAAGUUAAUGGUUUUGUAUUUUUUUUUUCUUUAUAUAAAUUAUAUCACCUAACAUAAGUUUAGGUUAAAAACUAAAUCAACUUUGGAGGUAUUUAUAUAAGGUAGUUAAUUAUUAAUGCUACCCAUAUUCAAAUUUUAGAAACAAGAAGUUAGCUUUUCAUGAAAAUGAUAAAUGGCAAAUGUUGGAAAAAGUUAGAUAUAUUUCCUAAGUUGGAGAAGAAUUUUAUAGUUUUAGGGCAUUGAAUAUUUCUUACCUUUAGCUGCAUAUCAUUAAUGGGUGAUCCCUAAAAGGAAAUGAACAAAAAUGACUUAUUGAAUAGAAGUUCAUAUCCGACAACAGCCUAUAAGGAAGCCCAUCAAAUAUAUUGAUAUGCAAUAGUGAAAUACGUAAAUUGUUGUAGUGAUGUACAGAUUCUAAAUAUAUUUCCUUAACAAUAAUGUUUUCUUUUUAAAAGGAAAGCAAAUGUGUAUUAUACAUAUUCAUCAACAUAAAAUGAAAAGAAAAUUAAAGUUAAGAGAAUGAACUUAUUGUCUAGUUUUUCUCACUAAGGAAGAAGUAUAGAUGGAUUCAUACUCCAACUUCCAUCUGCAAAUGGUUGGUUUAUGUAUGAAAACGAAGCAGAGAGGAAGGAAGUAGAAAAUAUGGAGCAUCAAUCAAUCCAUCCUUUGAGUUUAUUUGUAAAAUUAAGUGCUUCAAAAUGGGGAUUUCGUACAGAAUUUCCCAUAAAGAGAGAGCCUCGAAUAAAUAAAGUAAUGACACGUUGGAGUGAAGAUUCAGCGGCAGAGUACUUGGAAGAAGAAAAAAACUCAUUGAGCUUCAACAAUGGCCUUGGAGCGGGCAUCUCCAUUAACUUUUUCUCUGCCUCACUGACUUGUCGUAUCACCACUACAACUGGGUCUCCUCUCUUCAAUCCCUUCUUUCCCUUUCUUCGUCUUCACUACUCUGUUUGUUCUCCAACUUUCCCACUGCGCGCCACCUUCUUCUUCACUCAUAUCACUUAAAUACGUCUGUGGCUCCGCAAUCGCCAGCUGACCCAACUUUCUUCUACUCCCAAUUCUGCUGGUAAGGACACCCAAUUAAUCUCUAGAUCUAGAUUCUUCCCAAUUUCGACUUUUUCUUGCAUAAUCUUUACUGGGUAGUUUUGUUCCUUUGAUCGAAUCGUUGGGGGUUUUCCCUCACUCUGUAAUCUUGCUCUCUCAAUCGAUUUUCAGGUUCCGUUUCGUUCUGUUUGUUGUUAAUUUAUUGAGUCUCUCCCUGGAGAAAUGGAUAAAGUAGGAGAUAGUUCAAACAAAUGGGCAGAGGAUAUUUAUUGGAGCCAUUUUCAGUUCACCCACUUCUAUCAAAUUCUUGCCGGUGGUUGUGAACAGCAACUUGUAGGUUUUCUUUCUUUGAUCUUCCCUUUUGUCGCUUUCACAAACUGGGUUCUUGCAUUUGAUGUUGGAUUAUUACUAGAUAUUAGAUCUUGUGCGCUGCUCCACUUGCUGCUGAUAUCAUGUGCCUUACGAGAUUUAUCCUCCCAAGAUAGCAGCUUUAAGUUUGCUGUGUCUUUUUUAUUGUAUCCUGUUCGUUGGUCUGGACUUGAGAGUGAAUACCAUUUGUUUUCUCUUUGUUCACAAAUGGUGUAAACUAUGUUGUUGUCUUUCCAAGAUUUUGGUUCGGAGAAAUUUCAUGUUUAAGUAUUUCUGUGGUAUUCUUAUUAGAUAAUGCCUGUCAAUUAUGAGCUUAUAUUAUCGCUGCUAAUUGUGUUUUUUUCCCAUUGUUGGAGGAUUGGAUCUUAGAACCUGCAAUUGCCCCUUCCAGACAGUUAAUGUUUGAAGGACUCGGCAACUUCCCUGAGUGUUCUUAGCUUAUGGGGUUUAAACUGUCAACGGUUUACUAUGUGGAUAAGAAUGCAAAUUCCAAUAGAACUGAUUUCUUUUCUGUGAUUAACUAUUUCUGUGCCUUGAAAAUUGCUUCAAAGUUUUUCUUACAAGCUUUUCUAGGAAUUUGAGAGUGAAUACCAUUUGUUUCCUCAUUGUUCAGCAAUGAUUGUUAUUCCAUUCAAAAAAUCUUCUUUCCAGAACCGUAUAUGAGAUUUUCAUCGAACUUGAGAGUGAAUACCAUUUGUUUCCUCAUUGUUCAGGAAUGGUGUAAAUAAUGUUGGAAACCCUUUUGGGUCAAAUCUUUUUCUUCCAAACUCAUUGUGAAGCAAAUAGCUUUGGAAAGGCAAAAAUCUGAUUCACUGUUUUAAAAAGCCUUCCCAGGUGCAUGAAAAGGUGAGGCUCACAAAAUUAGGUGCUCCUUUUGUGAAGCCUCAAGGCUCAAAGCCUUGGCGUUGAGGCUUUUUCAUUAUUUUUUAAAUAUAGUAAUAAUUAAGGUUUUUCCUUCUUUAUUAGCUAAAAAGACAAAUUUUAAGUCUGAUAUGAUCUUAUUUGGAAGGCCUUUUGUCCUAAGAAAGUCGAGGUUUUUUUAGUGGUUCUUUUAUUUUCAAAGGUUAAACACCUGUUGUAAAAAAUCCUGAGAGUCCUUCAGAGUUAUGCUCUCUCUUCUAAUUGGCAUGUUCUUCAUAAAAACAGUGGAGUGUUUGAUGCACCUUUUUCUUUUGUUUGUACCUUUUAUGUUGAUUGUUGUGUGUGUGUGUGUGGGGGGGGGGAGGCUGUUGAUUAGAAAGAAACUCUAGCGUCUUUAGUGAUCAAGAAACUAACAGUGACUUUUGUUGGAGUUCUCUUUACACUUUUUGCUUCGACAUGCUCCUCCACUUCUGAACUCUUUUGUAAUUAUAGCCUAACCCAAUUUAUACUAGUUGUUCUCUUUUCUGUAAUCUAUUGUGUGGGGAUACCUCAUCUCCUCCUUUUGUAUCAUUCUUGGUGAUAAUUAAAGUUAUAUUUCUUAAAAAAAAAAGUUGGAUACCGCUUUCCAAGAAUUAGGUUCAAAUUAAAUUUUAGUUUUAAUGAUUUCGGCUAAUUUUGGUUUUUUGUACUACUGUUGGAGCAUUUGGAUCUUGCAGCCUAUAGUUGCCCCUUCCAUAAAGAUACAGCUAACAUUAGAAGCACUCAACGUCUUUGAGCGUUUUAAGUUUGUGAGGUUUUAGAUGAUUGAUGAUUUUACUAUUUGGAUACAACCACUUACUUCAAUUGAAUGUUUUUCUUGCUACGAUCAUCGAUGUCUUUGACCUGAUAAUUGCAUAAAAGUUUCUCUAGAAACUUGCCGACUCAUAUAUAUACUUUGAGCUGCAGGUAAUUCCAAACAAAUUUUCAAAUAAUUUGAGAAACAAACUUCCGGACACUGUGACUCUUAAAGGUCCUAGUGGUGCUACAUGGGAUGUGGGAUUGACUUCCAGUGAUGAUAAAUUGUAUUUCAAACGUGGAUGGCAAGAGUUUGUGAAGGCUCAUUCUCUGGAGCAGAAUGAUCUUUUGGUUUUUAGAUACAAUGGAAUGUCACAGUUUGAUGUUUUGAUAUUUGAUUGGAAGAGCUUUUGUGAGAAAGAAGCAUCUUAUUUUGUAAAAAUUUGUGAGAAUAAAAAGAUUGACAGUGGCGGCCAGGCUAAGAGGAAGUUUAGGGAACCCUCUUUGGAUGGUUUUGAUGCUAAUAUUAACAAUGGUGCUGAAUGUGAUUCUUCUGAAAAUAUCAUACAUGAUGACAGUAUGGAACGUAUGAUACAGGACGUUGUGUCCAAAGCUACAAAUUUUAAUGGUCAACCAGAGGUUUUUUCGGCCGAGCCGAUACGAACAGUGCAGACUAGAAGAAAGAAAAAAACUCCAAAUAAAACAGCAAUUAUUUCCACCCCUGAUCCUGUUCAGUUAUCAGGUAGUUGGAGAAGAAAUUCUUACAUUUUUAAUCCUUCAUUCAUAUGGUUCCAUGUUUUCUCCGGUUGACCUCGAAACUAGAGAAUGAAUAACUAUGCUUUAGAAUUCUUCACGAUUAUUAGAUUGUUAUUAUGUUAUAGUGAAUUUAACAUGAUGGUGUUGUGUUUCUGGUCACGACUGGAAAAGCAUUUUUGAAAUGUUUCUGUAGUCAGACCCAGUCUACUUGACCUUUUUGGAUUAGUAAGGAAAACUAGAUCUGUGAAUCAAAAUGUCUAUAUGGUUUUUUGUGGUAACCAAUAUGUUUGUAACCAUGGACUUCGCUAGAUUCUGAUGUGGAAGCUACUCCCAUUAAGAAAAUUGGGUCAUAUGUUGAGCAAUAUGUAUCCCAUCGGAGGGCUAUAACCGAAGGUGAGAAGAACAAUGCCCUGAAGUUGGCAGAAGCAGCAUCAAGUGAUACUGGUUUCAAAGUUGUUAUGCGACCUUCACAUGUGUACAGGAGAUUCUUUCUGGUAAAUCUCAUCUUCUGUUACCGAUUAUUAUUGUUGCUCCUUAAACUUCAUUUCAACAUCCAAUAUAUCUUUUCGAAGGGAACGUUUGGUGUGCUAUGUUUACUGAAUGUUUGAGUUCAUUAGUAUUAGAAAAGGUGGCCAUCCUUUUGUUGACUCUACUCUCCAACUUUUUAAUUUUGUCAAAAUUUGUUUUAGUUCUCAUAUGCACAUCACAAUUUUCUGCAUGUUGGUUGAUGAUGCAGUUUAUCCCCACCCAAUGGGUUACAAAAAAUCUCUCCCUUCGUAACCAAGAUAUAAUACUUCGUGUCGGAAGUGAUGAAUGGCCAACCAAAUUCAACUUUACCCCUAGUCGUCAAUGUGGUGGCCUUACAAGUGGAUGGAAACAUUUUUCAGUAGACAACAAUUUAGAAGAAUUUGACGUCUGCGUCUUUGAGCCUGUCAAUAAAUCAAGUGGUCCUGUGGUCCUGGAGGUCAAAAUCUUCCGUGUCGUCGAAGAUGUUAUCCCUCUGACUCGUGUAGCAUCAAAGGGCAACCGAAAGCCAACCAAAGCACCUGAAGCUUAAUUUUUGGCAAGUGCCCAAAAUAUUUUAGUACCUAAUGUUAAGACCCAAGAUUCUCUGUCUGUAUAAUAUUGUGUAGGUAAUUACCCUGCUUUAACUUGCGAUGUUUUGUGGCUGGGACCUGUCCUUUGCUAACAUUUUUAGUUGAUGCCAUGCUAGUCCUGACUUCUGUUAUAUGCACCAGUAGAAUAUCCAGUUUAUGAGCUUUAGUUUCACAACUUUCGAUGUGAAGCACUACAACCAAUGAGUUUUAGUAAAGACUCCAAGCACUCCUAUUCUUUCUGAAGAAUUAACCACCAUCAUCAGUUAGCUUAGUUGUAAAAAGGGAAACAAGGGAUGCGUAAUCUCAAUAACUAAGAGGUCACCGGUUUAAUUUAGGGUGGUCACUAUCUAGGAAUUAAUUUUCCACAAGUUUUUUUGACACCAAAAUGUUGUAGAGUUAGGUGAGUUGUCUCGUAAGAUUAGUUGAGGUAUGCGUUAGCGGACUUGGACACUCACUGAUAUAAAAAAAAUUAGAGAAAUUUCUCAUCUCUGACCUAGCCAUAUAUGCAGCUAUCUGGGAUGGUAAUCAGGAUCAUAUUCAAUAUCUGUUACUUGGUAUACAUUUCCACCCCAGAUAAAAAAGAAGUGUUGGGUGUCAUCUUAAAAAACAGAGCAAGGGAUGGAAGCAAGGGAUGGAAGAUAGAUACGUCUUUGAAGCCCUGAGUUGUUAUGAGUGUAUAUUUGAAGUUUGAAGAAGCAGAGUUUGGGGUUCACGUGGGUUUGCCAUUAUUCAAUAUCACUUACACAGAGAGGACAAAAUGUAAAUCUUGCAGGCUAUGGCUGGGAGAGGGAAGGGAUGAUAUGAUGCAGUGGACUCAGAAUCGGUCAUGUGCCAGCAAAUUCUUCCCCAUCUUGGAGGGUUUUCUUUGCUCAGAAAGCGCCAAUGGUAAAUUAUGAGUAAGUUUUUUUUGUACAUAUUCUCUGUGGUACUGUGUAAGCAAAUGAGUCUUGGUUGGUUUUGAUGGGAACUGCCACAAACAACACACACAUAGACACAGACACCCAUUAUAUCAUAUUAUAUUAUAUGCUUUUUUGCAAAUCGCAGGUGGGAAUUGAAAGGGAAAUGGGAAUUUGUUUCUUUUUGUGCUGUUUGACGUUUUCAAGUUCUCUAACUUUUCUUUUUCUUCUGGACAAUUGAUGGGGAACUUGAAAUUUUCAGGUGUAAUUUUGUAGCAUUUGUUUGAAAAUUCUUGAGAGCUAAUGAGAGGAAGGGGAAGGUACCUUUCCAACUUCUUUCAUUUUUUCACUAAACAUUGUUUUGUUCUUCUGUGGUCCAUCCCACUACUGCCCAAGUGACAUAUAGAACGUUUGCACACACAAUCCAUCUCCCUCCUCUCUCCCUUCUCCAAUUCGGGGACAUAAAGUUUCAUUUGAUAACCAUUUGUUUUCGAUAACUUCUUUAAAAAAAUAUCUAGUUUUUAGAAUUUUACUUAUGAAUAUAAAUGGUGUUGUAAGAAAGGUGAUUGACAACAAUAAUGAAUGAAAUUUCUCAUUUGGGGGGAGAUAUUGGAGGUGUUAGAAUCCCAUAACUCACUCACAUACAAGCAUGGUAAUAAAUGGUGCCAUUAUUAUUAGUAUCAUUAUUCCUAUUUCUACCAUUUCAGUGAGUUUAUGUUUUCGUGUGUAAAAAUUCAUUCGAACUGAAGCAAUCUUCCUUACAACGUUGCUUCUUGCAGUUCCUAUUAAGUGGAUAAGUAGAACUUAUUUGUUUCGUAAAGCUUCACUUCUUCAGCAAAUACUAGAAUCAACUCAAUAAAUUGUAAUCAAUGCAGCUCUGUCCCACCAAGAAGGAAUAUGCAAUGAUAUCAGUAACAUAAUACUUGCUUUUCAAACUUAGAAUUUGGUGUGAAAUAAAUCAAAGAUAACUUGUAGAUCAUAGCAAACUGAAGUGAUCAAGUACUGAAAUUUUGCUAUGGGAGUGUUUAAAAAGUAGAUCAUUAUGAAUAAAAAAACCAAGAAUGAAAUCAAACAUUCAAAGGAAACUAUUAGCCACAUAAAUUAGAUUCACCCAACCAAAAGAGGGUUUAUUUUUUCUUAAACAAAGUGGAUUAAUUUCAUUGUUUAUCCAUAGGGUAUAGACUCUUUUGACUCAAUAACCCAAGGGAUAAAAUUGAAAUUGUCCAAAUAAAUAAAUUUUUUUUUUUAGAAAGUCAAAUGAUCCAAAGGACAAUGGCUAACCUUUUAGAACUUACCUAAAGAUUUUCCCUUUUUUUUCCCCUCAAUAAUUCGAUCCUUACAUCACUAUCGUGGCCUUCUUCUCAUUAGUAAACGGCAAAUGGAAAAAGCAAAUAGAUAUCUUUACAUCGUACGAUGGGCACAUGUGGGCUGUAGGUACCAUAAUCAUUCAACUUAUGACCUUUGUUUGUCAAUUUUUCACUAUUACCCCUUACCUACAUUAUUACUUUUCUAACUAAUAUCACACAACUCCACAUUUUGUCUAUUUCAAUGCUUCAACAACACCUAUGCCUAAUGACAUACUAUGGACUCUCAUUCCCAAACUAUAUAUCCACACUAACAUUUACUUUUUAACUUUCACCUCUUCAUUUUAAAAACUAUCUUUAACAGGUUGUAAACUUUGUUUUGUAUCAAAUAUCUCAUUUACUUGUUUGGAGUUUUCCUUUUUUUAGAAAGAGAAAUUGUUGAGUCUUAAGGCAAGCAAUAGAUCCAAUAUCCAAUCCAAGUCCAACAUUUUAGGAUUCAUCCCAUCCAUAUUGCAUGUGUUUCGAGUAGUUCUCAUACGAGGGAUGAUAUAAAUAAUCUCAUUCUUCUACCUUAAUGGAUACGUCAUAUUAACUAACUUAAGUAACAAAGUGUAGUUAGUUUGCAACACCCAUUGGAGCAAGUCCUUUAGAGUCAACUUAGUUGAACUUUUAGGGACAAAAGAGCUCCACCUAGAGACAUGCGACCCUAGAUAAGAUUUUCACGCUAACAAAAUCCUAUUUGAUGGAGUAGAUACAAAACAAAUGCUUAAAAUUUCAUUGGACAUGACAUUCAAUUCUAUAUCAACUAUGUUUUAGAUUUUAAAGAAUCUAUUGGAUAUAAAAUUGAAAGUUGAGAUACUUAUCAAAAUAUACAUACAUAUGUAAAAGUUGAAAGUUGAAAGAGUGAAGUUGAGUAUUGUUGAUUAGUUUAGUCGCUAAUUAAACUUAGGUGUGUGAUAAUCGGGAAGUAAGAUGCCUCUAACUCUUGUGGAUAUGUAGCAUUUCAUUGUGUAUUUAAAUGUUCAAAAGUGAGAAUAAAUGAAGUAAAGAACAGAUUUGAAGAUGAGGUGAGAAAGAGAUUUGAAGAUCAGCUCUUGAAACCAAAACAUAAUGAAAGAUCAGAAGCAAUAAGUUUUCAGUAAAGAGAGAGCAAAAAACACAAAAAAUGAAAGAAAGCACAUGGUGUUGAAAUUGAACAGCCAAAAAAUAAGGGUCCCAUCCCCCAUCCAAAUUAUGCAUUGCCCUUUCUCUGAUUUUCUCUAUUAAUUUCAAAGGGUCCCUUCAACUUAACACACAACAAAAAUGUACUCUUCUUUCUUUUUUUUCCCCCUUCUUAUAUAUAUAUACUUUUACCCUUUGAUUGUUAUUUCAAUUUGAAUUACAUGUACGGCAUGCAGAUGAAUGUCUCUCAUAAAAAUAAAGAAAAACAGACUCAAUUUCUUUGCAAUAAAUCUUCUUCCAUUGUGUUUGUGUUGUUAUGUUAGGGAGAAAAAGAAUUGGAGUACAGCUACCAUUUUUGGUCAAAGGGUAUGAUUGAAUCAAAUGUUAAAAAAUGUUUUAAAAUAUUAUUUGUUAUCAACCCCUCCUCCUGACAUGUGACAUCCCCACACAUCAAGUUUCUCCAUAAAAUUAUGGAAGUUUGGAAUUGGAAGCCUAUAACUUGUUAGGGUUUAGGGUUGUUGGGGGUUUCUAAUUUCUAGACCAACAUUACUCAUAUCUAUUUUAGACUAUCAAUCAUGUAGUAGAGAACACAUUAAAAAUAUAUAUUAUUUACACAAUGAGGGGAGUUGUUAAGUCUAGCUUUGUGUUGUUUACAUGAAAAACUCAUAAUGUAAAUAGUUUAAUAUACUUUUUGUCAUAGAGCCCAUGCAUUUUCAGGGAAAAAUGAGGAGUCCACCUAUCCAACUUUAGUUCUCUAAGUUGAGUUUAAUUUCUAUUUGGAGCUUGAUUUUAAUUUAGCUUUAAGAUACGUAACAUUCUAAAUCUACACAGUAAACCUAAAAUUUAAAAAAAAAAAUAGAAGAAAAACUUAUCACGUGACACGAUGUAAUUAGAAAAGUUGAUAUAAAGGGUAAAAAGAUAGAUGCAAUCAACAAUGUAAUAAUCAUCCAUUUUAUGAUUAAAUAAAAUGACAAUGGCGAAUCGUCAGCUUCGGUUAUUCCAAUGGCAUCUUUCUUCUUUCUUUCUUUCUUUCUUUCUUAAUUUCUGUGUGUAUUUAAGGGUUGAUUAAAACAAAAUACACCCUUAAAUGAGUUGUGUUAUUUAUAAAUUAACUAAUUCAAUUGAUUACAAAUACCAAAAUUGUAAUGUUUCAUUAUUAAACGCCGUUGAUUUCGCUGAUUCCUUCCUUCCUUUCUUUUUUGUCUUUUUGGUCAUCUCUUAAUAUAAAUAAACUUUAGCUCACCAAGUUAGAGAGAGAGAAUGAAAGAAAGAUGGGGGUUUAAAUUAGGGCUCCAAUCUCGAAGCAACACAUGCAUGUCGAUAUGUGCAUAAAUAAACUAAUUAAUACACUACAUUUCUUUUCCCUUAAUCUUCAAGUGUUUCUUAAAAUCAAAUUUUAAUUUUGAUUCUUUAUUUAAAAAAAACAACAUGUUGGAAUAUAUUUUGUUGAUGCAAAAAACAUCUUACAAUAUUCUUCUUUUAUAUUCUAACUUUAAUAUAAUGUGCAAACCAAACACAAACGAAAAAAAAAAAAGAGGCUAACUUAAGCUAAAGAAAUAUAGGUCUUCAAAGUCAAAUUAGAAUAUAGUCAUAGAGAUGGGUUUUUUUUAUAGAGGAUAUUAUUUGACCCUUAAUUAAUCACAACUUACGAAGUUUCAUGAGUUACAUAAACCCGAGCUUAUUUAAACUUAUAGUACAUGUGGGUUAUUUUAUUCUUAUACCCAAUUAAUGUAAUGCAAUCCAAUAUUAUUUAAUUAAGAAAUUAAAUGGAAUGGGUUAUAGCAAAAAACUAAUAUUAUGAUAUGAUAAGGAAACAGUAGGUAGCAGUGAGCAUAUUAUUAUGAGAAGAUGAUGAUAUAUUCUUGGGUAUUUAAAUAAAGACAAGAUAUAUGAAUUAAAAAGAAGAAGAAAGUAAAUAAUGUGAAUUAAAGUGAGAGAGGUGGAACCAAAAAGUUGAAAGAAAAGUUAAAAGAAAAGGAGACAUAGAGAGAAGAAAUUUGUGAUAAGACAAAGACAUAGAAUGAAUAUAGAAUACGAUCCAACAAAAAUAAGAAAAGAAAUUAUAAAUUAAAAACGCAUGUUUCCCAGAAAUUUUGUAUAUUCUAGAGAGAGAAAUGCACAGAGAGAGAGAGAGAGAGAAUGAUGAAUAAAAUAAUUAUAAAGAUUACAUUUAUAAUAACAACAAAGUGAUUAAAAUGAAUUUGGUUUACUCUAAAUUAAAAAGAGAGAGAGAGAGAGGUUUUGUAUUUCCCGGAGAAUCUAGAGCGCAUCAGACGCUGACCGGAGAAGAAUAGUUUAAAUGUAGAAUUAGAAUUAGAGGAAGGAGGGGAGGAGGGGGUCACGUGAGGCACGAGGGGGAAGAAUGGACAAGGAAUAAUUGGACACGGAGAGAGAAUAUUGGGGGACUUAAGGAUACAUCUUAAGUUAAGGCAGACAAUUACUACCUGUUUCUUUCAUCAACGUUUAUGUUGGACUUCCACCCUCUUCUUCUUCUUCUCUUUAUUUUAUUUUUUAUUUUGUAUCGAUCUUAUCAAUUUGAACUUUCAUGCUCUUAAUUAAUGGUUUUGAUAUAUAUGAACAUGGUUUUUACAGAGUAUGUGAGAAAGUGUUGGUGAUUAGUUUGAAGUUUUGAGUUUGAAUACAGCCGGAAAUGGAAAGUGAUUGAUAGCAACAAGUUAGAAGUUGAAAAGAGGGUAAUUUUUGGAGUAAACAAAACACAUGUAGAAACCAAAAAGGGGAAGAAGAGAGAAGGAGGGGAGCAGUGGAGAGAAAGGGAGAGGGGAUAAUUUGGAAACUAAAGUGAAAUAUACCUAGUUUAUACACAAAAUGGGGAAUCUUCUUUAAAUUGAUGUAACCCCACACACCCCUUAUUCAAUAUAACUUAAAUAACAUCUCUAUUCAUAAUCAUACCUCUUUCCCCCAUUCACUCAUUCUCAUUCUCAUAAACCAUAAAAAGAAUUAAUAGAUCACAAUCACAAGUAAUAAUAAUCCACCCUUCUCUUCUCUAUGUGUACUUUUUUAGGUUUUAUGGGUUUAGCUUAUUCAAAAGUAAUAAAUUUAGGCUAGAUGUAUAUAAUUGUUUAAAUCUAUAAGAUUUCCUAAAAAAGAAAACAAAAAACUAUUGACCACGAAUCACUAUGCCUAAGAAUGAAAAGGAUAAGGAAAAGAAAAACACAAAUGAUCACAUUGAAUAUAUAUACAAUCAAUUGAGAAUAAAUUAUGAAUACUCUAGAUUUUGUACCAUAUAAGUUCUAAUUAUAUUUUGAAAAUCUCAUAUUAUUCCUAACUAUUUGUAUCUAAAUUAUAAGAAGAAGAAGAAUAAAAAAAAAUUAGUUGAUUAUAUCUCUAUUUUUAUUAUCUUAUAACGUAUGCUAGCUCUUGAACUACAUAUUUAGACAAUACAUCCUACAAACCGUAUUCAUAAUAUUUUGACAACAUGAUUCACCCAUCAAUUACAUGUUUAAGAAAAUGUUAAAAUAUUUAUAAAUAAAAACAAGAUUUCUUACUCAUGAUAAAUUAUGAAGGAAUAAUUAAGUGUAGUUGAAGAUACACCGCUUUAUUUAUUAUUGUUUUAGAAGGUGAAGAGCUCAUUUCAUUCCCCAUCUAUAGAUAAGAAAGUCUCUCUCUCUUUCUCUCUUUCUCUCUUUCUCUCUCUCUCUUGUGUUGUGUGUUUGUGUUGGAAAAGCUGUGUGGAUCCAUCUGUGAGUAUUAAAUGCACACACAACUUUCAACUUUUCACUCCUAAAUUUCCCUUUCCAUUUUACUCAAAAUAACCAAAAACCCUUUUUCUCUUUUCCUCUCUCUAUCUCUCUCUCUCUUUCUCUUUUAAUUUAUAUAUAAAAAAAAUCAAUUCCUAUUCAUUUACAAAUUAUUAUUAAUGGUCUGGUUUUCCAAAGAUCCCAUUUUUGAAAACCCCUUUUUCUCAAACCCUUUCUCCAAAAUCAUAAUCCACUUAUAACUACUUCAAAAGCCCUCACCUCACCUUUUUCUCUUCAAAUAUAUAUUCAUCUUUUCAUUAUAAUGUUUAUCAAUAAUAUGGACUACUCCAACAACAACAACAACACCACCACCCCACCCCCGCCAUUGCCGGACCUUUCCCUGCACAUAAGUCCACCCUCGGGUUCCGGCAAUCAUUAUUUCAACCACCACCACCACCACCAUCAACCUCAAAUCUUUAGCAACCAUUUCAAAAGAGGCCCAAAAAUGGGAUUUGGAUCAAUUAAAAGAAGCAUUAGAGCUCCAAGAAUGAGAUGGACUACUACUCUCCAUGCCCAUUUUGUCCACGCCGUUCAGCUCCUUGGUGGCCAUGAAAGUACAUUUCUUUACCCUUUUCCAUUAUUAUUUACUUACCACUGUUAUUGAUUUAACAAAAUUAAUUAAUCAAAAAUCAAAAUCUUUUAAUUUCCUUUUUUUUUUAUACAACUAUUUAGGGGCAACACCAAAAUCAGUAUUGGAGCUGAUGAAUGUGAAGGAUCUAACCCUAGCUCAUGUAAAGAGCCAUUUACAGGUGAGCUUUUUCAAAAUAAAUAAAUUCUUUUUCUUUAUUAGACAUAAUGAGAGCAAAUCUGUCAUUUUCUUUUUUUAGUGAAAAUGAGAUAAUUAAUGAAUUGUGUAAUAGUAUUUUGAGAACAAAGAAAGUUAGGACAAAAGAGCAUCAAGAGUUGUAAUCUUUAUAUUGUUGACUCUUUUUCCUUGUAAUUUUCAUUUUCUUUGCCUUUUAUUUUUUUGGCUCAUGCAGAUGUAUAGAACAGUGAAAAGCACUGACAAAGCCACUGGUAAAUUACUAUCUUUCCUUUAUUAUUAUUUUCUACACUCUCAUUUUGGGCGUUUUCUUGAAUUCAUUUUAAACAAUACUGAAAAAUUACAAGAAAUAUAUAUAGAUUCAUUUAAAAUAAUUGUUUCUAGAGUUUGAGUAAAAAUGAAUAUGUUUCCUCAAAAAAUUUGUGUCAUAUAAUCUUUCUUCUUCUGUUAAAUUUUUAACUCUCAUUUCCGGAGUUUUAAUUUUCAAAAUUUCUUUCAUAAAUUUAUGGGUUCUUUUCUUUCCUAUAAAAAAGAUUUACUGUUUGUGUUUGUUUAUAUAUAUAUACUAAUUUUACCUCUGAGUUAACAAUGUUUUCAAUAUCCACGAAGGUUCUAUAAAAAAAUAGACUGCUUAUAUAAAAUUAAAAAACACAAAUUUCAAAACCAUUUGAUUUAGGGUUUUGAACCUUUUUUUUUAUUUAUGAAAUUCUAAAUCUGCAGACUCAGCCAUGAAGAACCAAAGGCAAGAUAUUGAUGGAAGUGGUGUUUCAAAUUGUGAGAUUUCUAAUAAUCCAUCACUUACAAUGUGGAAAAGCCCUAAUCAAAAAAUGUGAGUCCAUUUCUUUCUUUUCUUUUCAAUUUUCAUUUCUGAAUUUAAUAAUCUUGUUUUCAUUUGAAAGAAACAUAGAUUUAAGUAAUUUCACAUGUGUAAUCAAUAAUUAGUUACUUAAACGUUUUGCAUAUGCAAUACAUUAGCUUCUUUGACCAUACUCAAACUCCCCAUUUAUGAUCCCUUCGUUUUUGGGAAUUUUGUUUGUGCCCACUGCCUUUUCCUUUUAAAUAUUUCUUAAAUUCAAUUAGUCCAUCAUUCCUUCACUUAAUAACCCAUUAAAAAGAUUGACUUUACCAUAUUAAGAUCACUUUGAAUGGUUGAUUAGUGGUAAUAUUAAAUCUAUCUUUAGCUUACCAUAUUAAGCAAAUUGGAUACAUAUAUAUCCUGCCCUUCUCACACUAGCUAUCACCUUUUUUUUUAUAGAUUACUAUUUUCGUAAAACUAAGUUUCAUUCUCGAUUCCGAAGCGUAUAUGAUGAUGGUGUUAAUAAUAUACCAAUCUAGUCGGGGUGUACCUAUUGAUCCUCUAAUAACUAUAAAUGUCUUUCUAUAAAUGUUGGUGCAUGUGUUUUUUUCUUUUAGUCUUGAAUGAAAAGUAAUAAAGGCCAGUUAUUUAUUUUCUUCUUGAAACCUUGAUGAAAUAAACAGAAGGUACAGAAGCAAUUAUCAAUGAAUCUUAAAAAAUUGAUAGUUUGAUAUAUGUGAGCAGCGGUAGAAUAGUUGGGAGGUGAAGAAAAAAACAAAAGUUGAAACAUUCGAAAACUCAGUAGAAAUAAUUUAAUUGAAGUAAAGUAAAAUGAAGAAUAAAUUAAUGAAUAUAUGGAUGAGCAGGAAGUUGUUCUGUUCAUCAAUGGAGACAAAUCAAGAGAUGACGAGCAGAUGGAAUCAAUUUUGCAACAACACUAUUGGAAACAACCAGGUUCGUAUAUGUACAAAACACAAUACAACAACAAACCUUAAACUACAACACAAGUGCUUCAAACUUUUCUUUUCUUUUCUUUUUUAAAAACUACACAGUAAUUUAUAAUCUAAUAAUUUUGUUUUCUUUUUGAAGCAGCAGCAAGAGAAGGACAGACACAAUGGAAAUGCAAAUAUGAAAAUCUCGAGUGGUGUGAAGAAUCACAAUAAUAAUAAUAAUAAUCUCAAUUUAGAUUUCACUUUGGGAUGCCCUAAUUCUCUAACAAUCCAUUCUAACCCUCACUCUUCAUCUACUGAACUUCCUCUUCUCAAAUGCUAAUUGGGGGUUUUGAUCAUAUAUUUUAGUUAAUUAUUAACCUAAUUAAUUAUUAAUGUGGGUUUUGUGUUAUUAAUUGCUGCUUCAUAUAAUGUUUGUUAAUCGAUCAAUGUAGCCUUUGUGUAAUAUUCUCAUUUCCCCAAUCAUCUUCAAUUCCAUGGUUAUAUAUAAACGUUAUAUGAUGAAGAGAUCAAUCCAUUAAUAGAACCGUUGGAUUUUGAUUAAUUUUUGUUUCUAGACGUGGAGGAAAAAACGUGUUAAGUUAUUUUGACUCGUAAAAGCUUAAGCUUUUGGAUUCGACCGAAAUUUUAGACUUUAUUAUUUUUAACUUUUUUGAAAAGUUAAUCCCUCCCUAGGAUUCAAAGUGUAUAUGAUUAACAAAAAAAUAAAAGAGUUUGAUUUAAUGAAAAGAAAACAAAAUUAUUGAAUGAUGGAUUGUUGAAAAUUACAAGGUUUUUGGUGCAUUUUGUAGACUAGAAGUUGGUGAUUGAAUUCUUAUAUUCUCACAAAGGCCCACAACCCUAUCAAAAGAGAGCCCAUGCUUUCACAAAUCAAGACAAAUUAUUGAGUACCUUAUUCUUCCUUCAAAAAUAAAUUGUUGGCGUAAAGAAGCAGAAGCACAACCGAUGUUACACAAAAAAUCAUAUGAAAGUACACAAUAAUUUGCUCUUGUAGUUUAUCUAUGUAGGCUACCCUAAUAUCUUGUUGAUUGAGAUUGGAGAUAUUCAAUUUUAUUCAUUAAAUGUGUGGGGUAGAUAUCUCUACUUACCAAGCUAUAUCAUCCUAACAAAUAUUAUUUAUACUUCAUCCUUAAAUUUCUAUAUACUUUUAAAAUAUUGAUUUCAAAUGAGUGAUGCGAUGAUCUUUUUUUAAAAAAAAACAAGUUAGGAGAAGGAUGAGAGAUAUCAAGUUUGCACCAAGGUCUUUCAACUACGUUGACACAUCCUUAAGUCCAUCGCCGUACUCCUUCUCAUACUCCGAGCACGAAGACAUGUUAAUCAAAAGAACAAAUCAAGUAAAGUUUGUUUUACAUUAUAACUAUUUUUUAUAAAUAACAAAUUCAGUUUAUGAACUUCAUCAUCGUGUGUUAGACCCAGCAAGUGAGUGAUUGUUGGCAGUAUUUGGGCCAUCUCUAUUUGUAUCUAUAGAAAAUUUGUCUCCACUUUUUUAUGUUAGAUUUUAGGUUCGAGUGUCGACAAGAAUAUCUUUAUAAAAGAAUUUCAAGUAAUAUCUUUUCAAGUUUGUGUCAUGAUCUACUUCAUUUGAGAAGUACUUCUCAUAGAUCUCUACUAAACUCUCCUUCAAUCUUAAUUGUAUGAAUCAAAUCAUUUUUUUUGCCUAAAAUUUUAUAGUUUUAAUGUAUCAAUUACUUAACCAUCAAACGAAUAAGUAUCAAAUUGAUUACAUAUCUAUGAUUACAUGUUGCCUAUGUUGCACUGACUAAUUAUAUAUAUAUUUGGAUUUUUCUUUUUUCAUCAUCUAGUUCAAUAUUAUAUUGGAAAAAGCUUCUUUUUUUUUUUUUGUAUGGUCCAAGUUUUAAUUAAGUAAUAGAGAGAGUGGAUAUAUAUAAUGCUUUACAACUAUUUGUAUAACAAAGAUUACAUUCUCACUAAUCUUCAUUCCAAAAUUAUUACUUUCUCCACAUUUCACAACAUCACCCUACAUGCACACUAUACAAUUCAUGAUACGCUUUCAUCCACGUCGCACCUUCUCAAUUAAUUGCUCCCUGUAACCCAUCCUUCACCCACCGACCCCGUCGGAAAUUCCCCACACCUUCACCGAUCUGUCCAGGCUACCACUGUACGCAAUCCACCGCUGACCUUCCCGUUUAUCCGGGCAGCGGACGCGAUCUUCCUCCACGGCUAAGCAUUUAACCGGUCCGGUGUGACCCGUCAGCACCGAUACGCACGUGUGGAAAGGCCCAUCCCUCCGCCACACGCAUAUGGUUUUAUCGGCGCCGCCGCUCAGUACCAUGCUGUUCCCGGCGGCAGCAAGGCAGAGAACUGCUAGGUUGUGGCCCUUGAGGGCUCCACCGUAUGUCAACCGCUUUUCUCGCUCCCAGAAGUUGACCAAUCCGUCGGAAGAUCCACAGUAAACUACUGUGCCGGCGGCGUUGACGGCCACCGCUGUAACUGCACUGUCUUGCUUCAAUAGCGUUUGGUCCAGUACGUGUUUUGUUGCGUCGUUCUCUUCUUCAUGCUGUCUCCGCCAUACCUGUCAAAGCUUAAAAUAUUAAACAUGUAUAUAUAUAUGAGCUAUUUUGGUAAUUAUUUUACACUUUUAAAUAUUGUUUUUAGAAAACAAAAAGCAUAUGGAACUAAUCAAAUUAACAAAUAAUUAUUAAUGCUAAUUAGAAUACAACCACCACACCUAACUCAAAAAAAUAUGAUUAUACUUAAAGAUCAAAGCAUAUACAUAAAUACAAUGAAUCAAUCAUAUAACCAUAUUUGGAUAUCUAAUCCCAUCAUUAUUAAAAAGCAAUCACUUUGAAGAAUAUUUCUUUUUUCAUAACAAAAGUUAAUGACAAAAAAGAAAAAACCAUUUAAUGUUAAUUCUCUGAUUAUGCUUGCUUUUAUUUUAUUCAUGUGAUUUAGUUAAAUCAUCUCUUUUUCAUAAACUGUAAAUUAUUGUACUAGAUGUUAACUAACUAAUUCACCCCAGAAAAAUUAAUUUAACAAGUAUAAAAUCAAUAUUAUUUUUAUAUUGAAAAGAAAAUAGUAUCGCAAAGUUUGACUAUAUCGUGUUAAAUUACCAAGCUUUCAAUAUUACAUUAUCUAAUACUAUAGUUGAUUAAGAGAUAAUCAAUCACUUUGAAAAUAUUAAUUCAACUAAUUGGAUAUGUGAUGAAGAUUCGAUCUCCUACUUUAUAAUUAUUGAAUUAGAAAAACUUUGAAGAUAAUUCAACAAUAUACCUUAGCGGUGCCAUCGGCCGAGCCAGUGAUGACCAAACCAUUUGAAGCUGCGACGACGGCAUUCACUGCAUCGUCAUGAACGGUAAGUGAUUCGAGGCACUUGGAAUCUGAAAUUCUCCAAACUUUCAAAGUUUUAUCCCAAGAAGAAGAAUACAACAACGUCUUAUCUUCACUCAAGCACAAGCACGAAACUGCAUCGGCGUGUUUAAACCAAAGCCGGCUCCGAUUCCGUCCCACAACGACGUAGUUUUGAGGGUUCAUGGAGCUUCUUAAAAUAUCUCUCAGCGCCGGUAACGUCCCAGCCCGUCGGUGACCGCCGCUUGGGUUUUUCGGUGCCACUUUCCAGACCCGAAUUUUUCCGUCCUGGUGACCGGUGAAGAUCUUCUCGCCGGAGAUUAUAAUUGCCUUAACCAAUCCACUGCUUGAUUUAAACCCAGUAAAUUCCUUGAGAUUUUUCCAUACCCGAAUGUUUUUGCUGUCGGAGCCGGUGUAAAGAAGCUCACCGGCAGUGGCUAGCGAGUACACGUGACCUUCCUCACGAACAAGAGACCCAAUGAGAGAAUUAUUAUUCCGGUGAAGAACGAAGCCGUUUUGGAAUUCGGAAAAACAGGGAGAUUUUAGAAAGGGAUAAGUCUGAUUCCACGGUGAAAAUAUCGGCGGAGACUCGUCGCUGGUUGGCGUCGGAAAAUCACCAUCGUCGUCUAUUUUUAGAUCGGUAUUAUCCGUGAAGAGAUUCCCAAAUUUCAUAAUCGUAAAAUUUGGGGAAUGUGAAGGAAAAAAUUCAGAAACUGAAGUUCAGAAAAAAUGGAACUGAAAUUUGAUGGGAGAUUGCAUGAAAUUAUUAAGGGAUAUAUAAAAUGGAAGAAAAAGAUUUGAGGCAGAAGAUGGAGACACGUGUGAGGAAGAGAGACAAUAAAUUAAGUCAAUAAUUGAAAUUAAGUGGGGAGAAAGAGACUUUAAUAACACGAAUUUGAAAAUGGUCACUUAUUGGUUAACAAGUAAUUAAUAUUUAAGGACUAACAAUAAGGUUAGAGGAAAUAAAUCAAAGGUUUAUUGAUGCAAUGGGUGCAUUUAAUUAAGACUUUAAGAGUGGAAUGUUGACAUUAUUUAAUGGAUCUUAAUAAAAGUGUGAUUUUAAAUUAGAGGAAAAGUGAACUAAGCAAUGCAUCCGAGUGUGGGAAGCACAUGUAACUAUGUAAGGUUUAAUAUGGUAAAUAUUAAAUGGGAAUUGACUUUUGUUGAUUCAUUCAACAUUAAAAUCUCUUGUUUAUGAAAUUAUAAUAAACUUUGUUUACUCAUGUGUAAUUAAACACUUAAUGAGUUGGACAAAGAUGAUUGUUGCUUUUGGGUAUCAAAUAUUUUUCUUUUAAAAUUAAAAUUUUGAGCAUGUGAUGUUAAAAUAGAUCAAGAUUUUUUAAAAAUUAGACAUAAUUUAAUUGUAGGAGACUAGUUUUGUAUUAUUCUUCUAUAAUUCUCCACCACAUAGAGGAACAUGGCCAUGCAUACGUUUAAUCACUCAAUUCCUUAUAAAAUUUUGGUUUAAAACACUUAAAUUUUAUUUGAGCUUCAUGAUUUACACUGAUUUUACUAUUCCAAGCAAUUGAGUUAGGUUAAAUUACAUAAUUUGACUUCCAUCUCUUGAAGAAAUAAUUUCAAUGGGUAGAAAAAACACACUUAAAUCUCAUCUUUGAUUUGACUUUGUAAUUUGACAUGUUUUUGUUACUCUUAUUGAUUUUCUUUAAAGAAACUGAAAAAGAAUAUUGUCACUUUUAAUUUAUAUAUGUUAUUAAGUAUAAUAACUAAAUUAACAAUAUGUGUUGAUUUCAUACGACUAUAAUUUUCUAACUAUUUAAAUAUUCUUUUUUUAAAAAGUAAAUUGUAUCGUCAAGAACAAUUAAAAGGAAUAGGUAAGUAAUCCAUAAAAGUCCAUGAAAGGGAUGGAUAUAAGAAAAAUCCAGAGCAAGCAGAUAACAAAAGUCAUCGAUAUUUUUGUAAACAACAUAUAUAAUUAAUUAAUCAAACUCAUAUAUUAAACAUUUUACUAAUUGCAUUUGUCUUCCAAUUUACAUAAUGUGGAUGUGAUCAACUUUAAUCACAACUUAUUUAUUUUAUUUACCGAUUAUAUUAUAUAUAGAUUGAAAUUUACAUGGUUGAUUAUUUUUCAUCUCAAUUUUUUUAUUUUUUAUUUACAAAAACAAUAAAAUAAAAGGUUGUGCUCAUCAAAACAAUCUCACUCUCCUAUCACUAGCUACUGGAAGUAGCUUUUAUGUUUUCAAAUGAUAAACUUCCUAAAGAAAUACAAAUUGUAGUGGUUCUCAUUGAAAAAGAAAAGCACUCUAAAUUCCUUUUUAAAAGUACUUUGUAGUCAAAUACUACAAAAUAUAUACUACUCGUAAACGAAUGAAGUAAAUAAAGUAAGAAGGUAAGGAAGAAAAAAGAGAUAUAGAAAUUAUGGAUUUAGAGAUAGGACAAGAGAAGGAGUGAUUAAAAUUUGAAUGUUUGCAUGAACCAAGAACGUCACAACCAAUUUGCCUGUUUUCUUAGGGCAUUCACUAUUACCUUACAAAUCUCUCAUUACUCAUACCCAUCCAAAAGGACAUUUACACCCUUCUUCAUAUACAAUUUCUUUCUUUUCUUCUUUCUUGGGUGGAAUUUUAGGUGUCACUUUGGCAUCUAAAGGAACAAAGCUAUUAUCAAACCCAUUUUUCCAUUUCUAACCCAAUCCUUUUCUAAACUUUUUCUUUUCUUACAUUACUUCCUAUAUAUGUAUUAUAUAUUCUUUCCUAAAGUUCUUUUUUCUUCAAUGCCUUUCAUCAUUACAUUUACUACCUAUCUCAUUUCAAUAACUCAAACUAGUAAGUUUUCCGACCACGUUUUUUCAUCCAAAUUUGAAUUGUGUCACUACUUACAAUGGUUCUUGGUUAACAAAGAUCAUGCACCGACUAUUAUUUCACUACUUUUGGUCGUAGCUAGCUAGUGCAAUGAUUUCACUUUUGUCAUCAAUUUUAAUUAAAUUAAUGGAUAAAUAUGAUCAUUAAUGACGUUUAUUAAGACAUAUUUAAACAAAAAUAAAUCAACAUCAAUCAUUUACAUCAUUUAGUUGAAAUUUUUAAUUAAUAUAUAUAUUGAAAAACAACCAAGUACAAAAUACCAAAAUAAUGUGUAGGUAAGGUUUAUAAAUAUUAUCUAUAUAUACGUGAAACUUAUACUAGCCCAAAAUAGAAGAAACCUAAAAGUAAAAUGUCAAAACAAAGGAAAAAGAAAAAGAAAAGUAGAUGAGUAUUUCCAAACAAGAUCUUCAUUUUUAGUCGUGAGGGCAUGUAUUUAAUCGUUAUCUUCUCUUAAUUUAACCACUUCGUCAUACAAUAUUUUAGUUGUUAAUUAGAAGAAUUUAGGUAAAAUUAUCCAUGUAUGCAAUGAAUGUAAAUCUAAUAAGCUAAAGCAAAGUGACUCUAUACUUACACACUGUUUACUUACUCUGGAAUUAAGUAAGAUUAUCGAGGAAUGAAUGAGAUGUAUACUAUGAAGACUCUCUUAAUGUAUAGAGAAAAUGAUGUGGCGUUUGUUGGUUGGGGCUGAAGUCGCUGAGUUGGAUGCCGGAAGUGGAAAGCAAAUAAUAAAACGCACCAACUUCAACUGGGACUCUGCCAACACAGCUUUAAACAUCCCACCAACGACUACGAACGUUCCUUGCCUCACCCUUCAAUCAUACUAAGACACGUGUGUUAGUUGGAUCUUCAAUCACCGCCACGUAAUGGGAAACGAAAACGACAUGUCGUUAAGGAGCUUUCUGCUUAUUUCCCAGCGUCGUACGAGAUAAGAACCGUCGAAUUUGUAUUUCCACCCUUCUGUCGUCACUCCUACCCCACACGUGGCAGAACUCAAAUAUCUUUUUCCUCUUUUCGUCUUUAUAUUUUAGGUAUUAUGGAUUGAAAUUAAAUUAAUACAUUCUUAAAAAAUAUAGAAGUCGUUAUAAAUAGCAAAAGUAUGAUAUACACUCUAUAGUUUAUCUAUAGUUUAUGUAAGUCUUAGGAGAUGUGGUUGUAUAAACCUUUGUUGGUUAUAUUUUGGUUAAAGUGUCUUCAGAUUUUUUUUUGAAAUCAGUUAUUUCUGGACUACACGAAUUCAUGUAUGUAUAUAAUUAGUAUAGGAUCCGCUGUGUUAUGUUGCAUGUACAAUAGUUUAUAUACUAGAUUAGCAAGUUUAUCACGUUAAAGAUUUCAGCAGAGUCGACAUAUACAAAUAUAGAAAAGCAUUGUUUGUCAGCUUCACUACUUUUAUUAUUAAAGUUAAACCAACCAUUUCAUUUCAUAAUUUUUUUCUAAUUAAUUAACAGAUGUCAACAUCAAUAAAUAAAAAGAGAGUAUUUAAUAAACACUCAUAUUAAAAAGAAAAAAUAUGACAAAAAAAAGUUUAGUAAAAAAUCGAUCGUAGCAUCUUCUUUUUGUAUAUUACGAAUAUGAUAAAUGACAAAUAUAAAUGAUAUCAAACAGUUAUCGGAUGAUUAUCUGCCUUUAGGUUUACAAUUAAGAACUGAUACAGUGACAUAAUUUUUUUUUUUUAAAUCGAUUAGAAUUAUAACAUUUAUAAGUUUUAUAAAGUAAAGCGGUAGGAUGGUUUCAAAUUUGGUAUCUAAACAAAAAGUAUACUUGAAAGCUAUACAUAAAAACUUAGUGGGCCGUGCCAUUGAGGACACUGUUGGCCCAACAUGCUAGAGCCCAUGAAAUCGAACCAACUUUUGGAGUUGUUAGAAGUAACCCUAAAAAACGGUGUAAAUAUAUUUGGAACAUAAAACACAAGUUUUGAUAUAUGUAUAUAAUUUACAAAACUUUAGGUUAAAAUUAGUAAUUUUCAUGACCUUGGAUUUUUUUUUAAUAUAUAUAAAGAUAAAGCCUUAACAUUAACACUACCCAAUUAUAUUGGAAGGGAACAAAAAUUAGAAAUUCGGUAAAUUGAAAAUCAAAAUUAAUCAUAAAGGGACCGUCAUGGAUGAGUAUGAGGAUCUUUUCCUUUUUCUAUCUUUGGUGGCUAUGUGAUUCUCUUCCACUUGUAAGAUUUGUUAUAUCCAAUACAAACCAUUCAUAUCAAUUCACAACAAUAAAAUCAUUUUUUAAACACAUAGACUUGUAAUUGAUACAAAGGUUGAAUGUUAUUGAAGUUGAGAAAAGAAACAAAGAGAUGUACCAAACUUAUAUUCUAUUGAGUGAUUGGAUUCUCUUUAACACAUCCAGUAAUCUAAAUUUAAAUAAUUUAAGAGGGACCAAAUUCCCACACAUUACUCACAAAGUUUUUAACUUGGAGGCCAAGAAUCUCAUAAUCCUUUCACAAUUAAUAAAACUAUUAAUAUCUAUUUAACAAUUAUAAAUAUAAUAUUUGCUUCAAACUGAAGCCGGCCGGAUACAGAGCCCUUGUUCAGUUGUUCUGUUUCUGCCGUCGGUUUCCGCCGCACGAUUCCCCAUACCACCGCCCUCUGUUUCACUGUCCCCACCUAUAAAAACCCUCAACUUUUCCCCACUCCUCUUUUCAAUUCUCAUUCUUAAUUUUCUCUAAAACAAUGGCGGCUAUGUCACCUCAACCUUAUUCAGUCGAAAAAAAGAUCGCCGGAGAUCAAGUGGAGGCAGAGAUAGAAACAGAGUCGGCGGCGGCGGGUGCGGGUGCGGAUGCGUUGGGCCCAGCUGUGACGAGGCAUAUUGUGGUCAAGUCUUCGUCUUCGUCUUCGUCCUAUCAAUCCAACCAAGCUCUAGAGAAAGCGGUGGUGCUGAGGCGGAUCCGGCAACGGAAGCGUGUUAACAAGUUGAGGGCGGCGGUUGGAGCUCUGUUUAGUUCACCGUUCACUGAUAAAACAGAGAGAAAAUGGGUGGACGAACCGUUCACUUCACUCUAAUUCCAAUUUUGUUAUAAAAUUAAGAAAUUAGUGGAAGAGGUCAGAUUUUUCUUUUUUAAACUUAUUUAUCCAUCCAAAUCAGAUUGCAUUAUAAUGGCUUCGUUGAAUAAGUUCUUGUUGUGAUGUAUCGUACUUCAGUUUUCCUUGAUAUUAAUUCUACUUUGAAUAGUUAAAAACAUCCACUAAGAAUGUAUAUGAACAUAUCACUCUGCUAAAAGGUACAGAAACACUGCCACCUUCACGUUCCAACUUGUAACAAAUUAUUAACUUAAAGCUUAAAGAGUGUAUUGGAUUGAAUCACACAUUAACAAUAUUAAAGUGCCUUUUCAGGAUGAAAGUGUAUGCAAACAGUACUAAAAUUAGGGAAAAUGUUUAUUUUACUUUCUACUUUUGUAGAAGAAGAAAACAAACAAAGAUUAGAAGCGGUUUUUAAAUAGGAAUCCCAUAGUCAAAGGGUCAAACACGUUGGCCAUACUUAAUGAACCAAUCAGCCUCCACUAGCUGGGGACCCACUCCAAGUACACGUCACAAAUACAUUUUUACUUUUGACUUUUUGACUUUCUCUUUUAUGUUUCACAUUAAUAUUUGGUUAUGUCCCAUUCUUAUAUACAUUAGCUUAUCAAUGGCUAUUUCUAUAAGUAUUUGUUGUCAUCAACAUGAUGAUGAAGAAGGAUAGAAGAGAUACUUUCGAUUAAACUAAAAUGUUUGUCAAUAAAAGGAAAUAGAGGAAUUAUUACAAGAAUUUCAAGGAGGAAAAAGCCCCACCAAACAUCAUUUUGAAGAAACUUUAUCUAACCACAUUAUUCAUAUGAAAACAUUGUGGAUGGAAACUUUUGGAGGUUCAUAAAUGCUAGAUGAUUCAACUAUUUCAAUGAUGUUGAGAGAUAUUAUGUAUGUAGAUUUUUUUUUUUUUUCUUUUAUCAAACUUCAAAUUGAUUCUAGCUCCUUCUAGAUUCACUGAUUGCAUGCAAUCCCUAAGUUUAUGUUUGCUUUAAAUUAAUCUGCUUAAUAAUCAUCCUUAAACUUAUCAUUUUUUUCAAACACCAUUUUUAAUCUAAGAUUUUUUAUUUUAUUUAUAAUCUUUAUUAAACAUUUCAAAUUAUUUCCAAAUAUUUAGGUUAAAUACCUAAAAAAUUGCAACAAGAGAAAUGUUUAAGAACUUUCCUUAAGUUGGAUUUUCUUGGUUUUUCUUUUUAGAACGGUAUCGUAAUGAGAACAUAACACCGUUUUUCAAUAUUUUGACAAAGAAUAAAUAGUAGUUGAAGAAUGGCCAAGUUGAAGACCUUCAAUUCUCAUAAUCCAUUACUAAAAUUAUUUCCUACACAUCACUUUGUGACAUAUCUAUUAAAAUUAACACACAAAAAAAGCUAUAUACAAUUAGUGGAUAAUACUGCCAAAUGUUUUUGUUAAUAAUCUUUUCCUCUUGCUUCAACUCCACACUUACAAUCCCUUUUCCAUCAAAACACAAUCUCUAAUACCAACAAAACUCAUCACUUUCCACACAAUCUAUUUCAAACACAAACCUUGUCUUAAUCUCCUAACCUUUCCCAUCUAUGAUCUCAAAAACCCAUUUCCUAAUUCUCUCUAAUCUUUUCUUUCUUGUUCUAAUUUCAACACUUAAAACAGAGGCUAAAUGUUCGAAAUCAUGUACUUCCGAUCAGACCCCUUACGAUUUUCCUUACCCCUUUGGCUUCUCCGCUGGCUGUCCAAUCCGUCUCAACUGCAGCCACGACGGCGCCGCCAUGAUUGGAGAAUUCCCUGUCGAGUCUAUCAACUCUGAUCACAUCAAAGUUGUGAUUAAAGCGAAAUGCAACCGAAAGUUCCACACAAUUCACCAAUUCUUUAGCCCCAAUUACGCCCCAAGGGCCAACAACGCCGUUCUUUUACAAAACUGUUCUUCUCCGAUUUCGCCUUGCUUUUUGCCCACGACGAUGGUUCAGACCAAAUUCGAAUCCCCCGAUUGCUCUGUGAAUCGCUCAAGCAUAAGCUGCUAUACCCAAAACGCCACCGGGUCUGCCGGUUUCUUGGACUUCAAAAACCUCACCAGAACCCACUGCGAUUACCUUCUGUCCUCGAUUUCCUCGGAGGAGCUCAACAGCAACAUCUCCGCCGGAAUUUCUCUGGAAAUUCAAACAGUAGACCUUGGGUGGUGGCUUCAGGGAGGCUGCCACCAAUCCUGCCAUGAAGAUGCUAACUGUACGGAGCUUAAGUCGCCUAUUGAUGGGAUGUUGUCUCAUCGUUGCCGUUGCCGGGAAGGACUGGUGGGCGAUGGGUAUCUGGCCGGCACUGGCUGCCGGAAAGGUCAGUUUUAAAAAACUUUUGUUUAAUUUUCUUCCUUCUCGUGAUUAUUAUUAUAAUUAUUCCUCCGUUUGUUUGAUUGCGCGUGAUGAUUUAGAAAGUCAAAAAAGUUGCGAGAAAUGAUGAAGAAAUUUUUGGGGGUAUUGGGUUCUUUCUUCAUCUGUGGGAUUAAUUUUGUUGACUUUCUUAAUUAGUUGUUGCCUUUAUUUACGAUCUUAAUUACAAUUAUUAAGCUGCCUCAUAAUUGGUGGUUUAAUACUCUUUUUUACUUUCUAAAUUAUUAAUUCAACCAUUUUGAUUCAUUAAGUUAAUUUUUAUUAGUCAUGUUGUUGUUGUUGACCAUACUUCAAUUACUUGACCAUAUUAAUAAUCUCAACUAAAUGUUGUACCCACUAAUCUUUUAGUUUAGGUAUCCCUAUAUAUAUAUAUAUAUUCACCUCAGAAAAAUGUGUUCAAAACCAAUAUUAAGUUUUCUUUUUUUGGAGCAUCACUUCACAUAUUGACUUUAAACACCAAUAGAUCACCAUAGGAUUCUUUUAUUAUGUGGUUGGGCAUUUUCCAUUAUAUAAGGUUUCACAUCAACUUAGUCUUCCCAAUUCCACACUUUCUUCUAGCCCCCUCUUUAUAGAGUUGUUGAUGCCUAGUCUAUGAAAUUAUUUGCGUGUUUCUAUAUAACGUGCCUAAAUAUGACUUAUUGUUUUAGACACGUCUACACACGUGUGAUUUUAAACCCUACUCUUAAACAUAGAGUAAAAGAAACGUUCAUAAUAGUCAUCGUCGGCCUUUAACUCUUAUUUACCUAAGUCAAUGUAUUUAACAUUGACUAUAUUCAAAGUUGAGUCUUUGAAAGCCACUUAUUACACUGCUAUCAACUAGAAUGGUCUCAACUUUAGUUUGGCACUCUAAUAAAUUUGUUACUCGUAAAAUACUUGUGAGAUAUUUAUAAAAGAGAAAAAAAAAAUGUACUAAGUAUUGGGUUGAGGAAAUUAAUAUGAAGUGAGGAAGGUGAGUGUUGUUGGUAUUGGCAGUCCUUUGGGAAGGAUAGCAUUCCAAGAAAGGUGAGGCAAUAAACAAUUGGGCUGUUGGAGACUCCAUUUUGGGGCACUCUCUUAUCUUAUAUCAUUUCACGAAAUCAAUCAUCAAAAUGACUUUAAUAUUAUAUCCAAUCAUCUUUACAUUCCCUCUUUAAUUUUCAAGUGUCUUAUGAGGUUUUUGGUGUUGAACAUUUGCUCCUAUUAUACCCACCCCACCAUCAACCUUUCACUCUCCCAAAUGCUCCUAUUCCUAUCUUCAUAAAAUCUUCCUUCAACUCUCUAUUGUAAUGGUGUGUAUAAAUUAUCUAGAAUCCAGAUUGAACAAUUGAGAAUAUGAAUUUGGAAACAACCCUUCUGGAAGUUAUGAUGUUUGAGUUUUUCCAAUGAAUGUUGAUAAUUUUCAUUCUUAUCUUUUAGCAAAACUUUUUAUAUGACAUUUCAUUUUAGUCCAAAUCUUCAAAAUAAAGUUACACUCUAAAUUGUGUGGCUUGUUUCCCUUUAUAGCUUUUUAAACAUGUUUCUUUCUUUUUUGAAUAAGUGAUUCAUCUUCUUCUCCUUUUUUAAAGUGAUUUUAUCUUUAAUAUGGUUAAUAGAAUAUAUUGUCAUUUUUAGGAUUUCCUUUUUAUAAACUGAAUAAUAAUUCAAAGUUACAAUUAGUAAGGCAAACAAUCUACACUUAAUUACUAUUCCAAAAAUUACUAAGCUAGAGGAUUUGUUAGAAAAUGUUUGAUCACAUUUGGAGAAUGAGUUUUUGUUGUUUGUAUGAUCUCAUUAAUUAAUGUGUUCUUCUUCUUCAUCUCUAAACAGCCUUAAAUUGCUACACUACCAAGUACAUUAUCGGCGAAUGCGGAACAUCAACGACGGCCACAAGAACCGCCAUUCUCAUCGGAACCUUAAUCGGUGGAGCCGCUGUACUACUUGCGCUCGGUUUAUUCUGCUUCUUCAUCCGCCGUCGUUCCAAUCUUCAAUCUAUACAUCUCAACAAAAUCACCAAACGCCGCCUCUCCGAAGCCACUGCUGGCGCCGGCAAAUCUACCAUCCAUCUUUACACUCACAAAGAGAUCCAAAAAGCCACCCACAGCUUCUCUGACGACUACCACCUCGGCGCCGGUGCAUACGCCACCGUCUACGCCGGUAAAUUACGCAACGGAGAAUGGGUCGCCAUCAAACGUCUCAAAAAUCGAGACCCCGACACUAUCCAUCAAGUCCUCAACGAAAUCAGCCUCAUUUCCUCCGUCAGCCAUCCUAACCUCGUCCGUCUCCUCGGCUGCUCCAUGGAAUCCGGUGACCAAAUCCUCGUCUACGAAUUCAUGCCCAACGGUACUCUGUCUCAACAUUUACAAAAACAGAGAGGCACCGGCCUCCCCUGGCUCGUCCGUCUCGACAUCGCCGUCGAAACGGCUAACGCAAUCGCCCAUCUACAUUCUGCAAUUAACCCUCCGAUCUUUCAUAGAGACAUCAAAUCCAGCAACAUACUACUCGAUGAGAAUCUCAAAUCAAAAGUAGCGGAUUUCGGGCUUUCAAGGUUAGGGAUGGCCGAAAUUUCCCAUAUCUCGACGGCUCCUCAAGGGACACCGGGAUAUCUCGAUCCACAAUACCAUCAAGAUUUUCAUCUCUCCGACAAGAGUGACGUGUACAGUUUCGGCGUGGUUCUUGUGGAACUGAUCACCGCCAUGAAAGUAGUGGAUUUCUGCAGGGCGAAAGAGGAGGUAAACUUGGCAGCUCUGGCAGCCGACCGGAUCGGGAAUGGGCGGGUGAGGGAAAUUGUGGACCCGUUGAUGGAUAUGGAAGGAGAUGAAUGGGGAAUUUCGUCAGUAGAGAAAGUAGGGGAGGUGGCAUUCAGAUGCUUGGCGUUUCAUAGGGAUGUGAGGCCGUCAAUGGUGGAGGUGGCAGCAGAACUGGAGGAGAUACGGAGGAGCAGGUGGGAAGAAGGGGGAUUGAAGUGUAAGGAAAUGGAAUUAGUAGUUGAAAGUGGAAGCUCGAAGUCUAGCCAUGGAGGAGGAGAUUACUUUUCAAGAGGCUCUGUUGAAGAUUCAUGGCGGAGUGAACAGAGCUCGCCGUCGUCCAGUAGCUUGUUAAAUAAUGUCCUUUUAUGAUCCCAUUUUUGGACCUUUUCUUCUUCUUCUUCAUUUGUGGCAACUUUCUUUGAUAAGAAAAAUUAAACUUGAAGUUAAUUUAGUUUGUUAAAAAUUCGUUUAGUAGUCCAAAUUAAACUUCUUAAAUUUGAUAAUUUCAUAUGCUUUUAAACAAUAGUUAGUUUAACACGAGAGAUUUAAAAUAAUAUAAUUACAAAUUAAGAGUUUUAAUUGAUACAAAUAAUUAAUAUGUACUCAUUUAUUUUAAUUAAACAUGAUACCUACUUAGAGCAAACGUGAAACACGUCUAGAGCUAUUAAAAGAAAGUAUGAACAAAUUAGAUUGAAAAUCUUGGUUUGAUUGCUGAAAUUAUUGAACUAAAAUUAUUGAAGUUGGCAUCCCACUUGUCACCUCUUUUACUCAUUUAACUAUCCAUUUCAAUCAAUCAGUGUAUGAAUUUUGAAACACACGUUACAUUUCAAAGAUCAUUUUUUCUCUUUUCUUAAACAUAAGUAAAUAUCAACAACAUAUUGCAAUAAGGAAGAAGCAUCCAGUUCAAGAGAAAAAGACAACACCAAACUCAAACACACACUUUAGGAUCAAAUGUUAUUUUUUUUAUAAACUCAAUGAAUAGUAAAUGUAAUUAUGAUAAUAGUUUUUCUUAUAUGAAUAAUUCACCUAAAAUGUUGUAAAGAUUUAUUAAAAAAGCAUAAAGUACAGAUUCAAAGUAUGAGGAUGAUUUUAUCCUUAAAAUACAUAACUAAAUAAAAGGAAAAGGAAUACUUUAGUGUUAAAAGUUAGAAGGAAAAAACAAAUGAGUGUUGUAAUUAUUGAGGAAACCAAAGAACUCGAAAAUUUUCAUUUCCAAAACCCUAAAUUUCCCAUUCCCUUUGGCAACAACACGUGAUGAUGCACCCAAAAAGAUGAACCAUCAAAUAUUUUCCUUCAAUAAUUUCAAGUUAAAUUACAUUUUCCUUUUCCCUUUCCUCUCUUACUCAAACAAUGUCAUCAAUUAGGGGAAACAAUCUUUAUGUGUGAUUCAUUUCAUGGGAUCCUUAUGAUAUUUUUCUUGAAAGGUGUUUUAAAUUUAUGGGAAUAAAAUUAGUAAUAAUCAUACACAUAUUGCUUGUCUUUUCCUAAUUCCCUUAAUCUAAUCUUAUAUUGUAUGGUCGACGAGUUUCCUCUUAGUUUAUUUUCUAAUAAUUACAUAACUAACAAGCGGAAGAAAAAACAAAGUCACAUACAUUGAUAUAUUGAUAUGAGUAUAGUUGAUGGGAUGGAAGAUGAAAUAUUUCUUAUUUAGAAUUUGUUUGUAUUUGUCUAAUAUCAUAUGGUAGAAUUAUUGUUAGCAUUUAUAACUCUUCAGUCUUCAUUAAAGUCCAUAUCAGAGGUUUAUUGAAUGAUGAGUAGUAAUUAUGGAGCACUUCUACAAUUUAAACCUAAGUUUUCUGCUCUACUAUUAAAAACAACAUUUUAUUGCCCAUAUUUUAAGAUGGUAAAAAAUAUGUUGUCGUUUAAAUAUUUAAAUUAUAAUGAUAUUUAUAAAUAAAUGAUCACAUGGUAAGUAAAAAAAUAAGAAAAGAAUUAAAUAACAUGAAACAGAGAUUUAUUGGUAAUAUAUAUAUAUAUAUAUAUAUAUAUAUAUUGGUAACAUCAACAAUCUAUAUCAUGAGGAAAGACAGCCAGCUUGAGGGUCCACAUAGAUCACUUUAUUGGUUCUUAUAAAGUGAUGGACCCUACACUCCUUUUUUAUCUUUAAAUUCCCAUUUAACUUUCUAAUUAAUUACUAACUAUACACUUUCUUUGCUUUUUUUACAAACCCCAAAAAAUUAACCGCAGCUUUUUUUCUUUUACCUGACGGUUAUUUUCUAUUUCUUUGUUUCCCUCAGAAACUUGCUUUCUUUAGGGAAGUUACGGUGACGGCGGCACCUAACGGAGUGUUUGAGGCUUCGAUGUCGAAGGAAUCGUAGCGGAGGAAAAGUUCAACCACCAUAAGCCGAGAGAUGAACACGAUGAAGUCUUUUCCUGCACACUGCUUGUUCUGAACCGACGGUGAUUGAGUUUCGGGUCCGUUUGACCAUAGAACGUGUUUUAGCAGCUCCUCACCGUCGCCUGUGAACCGGUCAGGUACGAACUCGUCGGCUCUGUCGAAGAUUUUUGGAUCUCUUGUUGCGAAUGGUUGAUACCCACAGAUCAUUUCUCCUUCUUUGAUCUCGAAAGCCGCGUCGUGGCUUUCGACCACAAGGUCUUUCUUCGCCCGACCGUACUGAACCGGAACUGGCGGCUCGAUUCUGAACGCUUCGUACACUACUGAUUUCAUCAGCGGCAUCUGUUCCAUGGCACCCAUCGUGAUUUUUCCGCCGUUGGCUUUUACGGCAGUACGAAUCUCCCGUGCGAGUUGGGUGUGGAGAUUCACUCCGGCUCGGCCGAUCCAUUUGAUCAUGUUGGGGAAAAAGAUCUUCAUCCCUCCAAAUGAAUUAAAACAAGUUGUGAAUAGCAAGUUGUGACAAGCUUCUUCCCUCGAAAUUCCCAAUCUAUCCGCUUCCUCAAACACCGCCUCCGACGACUUGUAAAAGAAUUCGUACAACCGCCGGUAAUCGGCUUUGAUCAACGCCGGGGGGAGCCGGACAGUGCGGAGUAGAAGCUCCUCGACGACCUUGGGGAGGCCGAGACUCAGUACAGGGCCAAGCUGGAACAAGACCCAUUUCGCUAUCAGUUUCGGGGCGUCACGACCUAAUUUGGAAUCUACCGGAUCAGCGCCGAAAAGAGACCGAGCCAAGAAAUUAAACGCCGCUUGUUCACCGGGAGCAUUGUACUCUGCUCUACCAGAAGCAGCCAAAUCCUUUUCCAGAGUUUCGAAUAGCUCAGAAAAAGUGGAGUGAAAUUCCGGCAUAAUUUUAUCCCGGCGGUGCUUGAGGAGAAAGAAAACCAACUGUUUAAGCUUAGCGUGAUCGGGCUCAGAUGGGUCAAUAUAAGAAAGCACUCUGUAACCGCCGGUGAGCUCUGUUACAGGCAUGUAAGUUCCGGUGAAGAGAUCUUUCUUCUCAACUUUAGAAUGAUCGAAAAGAACAGGAAAACUCUUCCCGUCGAGUAAAACAACAACUCGGGAAUCAGAAGUGAUAAAUGGACCCGGUGGCAUAUUAGUUCUAUACACAGUGGAUUCAUACCGGAGCAUUCGAGAUUUCAAAUACUCUUCCCUCCCCUGAUUAUAGAAAUAAUCUUGUCUAUCCUUCAACGCCCCAAACAUCGGUGGCCCAUAAUCACCAGGAAUCUUCCUCAAAGGAAGCUUGAUGGGUUCCGGCGGCGAAACAAUCCGCUGCGGCACUCGAAGAGAGGAAGAAGACGAGGAAGAAACUCCGUCGGCGGCGUAGACGAUUGGACGUAUGGAAACAAACCCAACUCUAGAACGAGAUCUUUGAGGCGUUUCUUGCGACGAUGGGAAUCGCAAGUGAGGUUGAAGAGAAGGAAUGACAAUGGAGGACAUACUCGCCUAAAUUCUCUGAAACGGUAGAGUUUGAUUCAGAGAGAAAAGGGAGUGUUUUGGUUUUGUGUUGUUGUUUGUGAUGAAUGAAGAAGAUAAUUGCUUGUGUAUUUAUAUGAAAAUAUAGGAAGUGGUCAGCUUUGACACAAGACUUGUGAAAUGUAUGUUACAAUUUUAUGUUCACACACUUUCCUCUCUCUCUCUCUCUUUUAUUUUAUAUGUAUUUGUUUAUCUUUCUUGCCCUAUAAUUAUAAACAAAUAAAGUCAAAAUUCAAUCUUUUUACUAGUCUAAAUUUUUACAAAUAUGGGAUUAUUAGUCUUCCUUAUAUAUGAUAUUUAGGUUGCACUAUUAUUAUGACUAUUAUAUGGUUUGAGGCUACAUUGACCAUGUAAAGAUUAUUGUUUUCUAAUUAAUCAACCUUAAUUCCUUCCUCCUUUCUUUAAUAAUAUUUUGUAGCUGUCUUCAUAGACAAAGAAGGUCCUGGUAUUUGCAUGACCAUGAGACCCAUCUACCCUUUUCAUUUUCUUAUGCAUUUUCAUUACUCUUACAUCUCUUUAGUAUAAACAGUCCGAAAAAGUCAUUUUAAUAAUAUACUUUUAUUACUAUUCAUAAUGCCAAUGUGGUAAUAGAGAAAAUGCUUACCAACCAACACAAAACUUUUGUUCUUAGGUUACAUAUGUAUUAGACUAGAAAAAGUGGUAAUCAUUGAAAUUUAGUACUUACGGUGGUAAAAGAAUAACUCCCUCAAAGGGAUGCAAUAAUAAUACCUUUCAAUAUUACAUACUUAAUCUUUAAUUAACUUUCUUUACUUUAAACACUGUUUUUACUUUUCUAAAGUUUAAUGAUGAAUUAUAUGUUUAAACUUUAUGUUCCAUUAUAUUGCAUCACCAAAACAAGUCAGCUGUCUUUUCAAUCCAAAUACUUUGUUUUACUUUUACAUUUUUUGACAAUGGUGGAAUUUGGUUCGGAAUAAAAACUUGAUAAUGUCAAAUUUGAAUUUGUUGAUAUCAAAUUACAAAAUACUUUAACUCAAUUCAAGUUUGUAUGGGGACUUUUAUGUUAGUGUCUCGUGUUUUGAGAACAAUAAUCAUUUAAGCUUUGAAAGUUGGAUGAGGUUAAUUGAUCAAUUUCAAAGAUCUCAUGCUCCAUCCAAUUCUUGUAUUAGUUUUCUUGAUUAUUGACCAAAUUCGUCGAAUUUACUUUUUUCUACCUAAUUUUCAACUUAAGAUUUUUGAUUGUUUCAAAAAGAAGAAAAAUCCUACAAAUCUACUGUGUAUUAUAUUCUAAUUUUUUUUAUACCCUUUUUAGGGACAAAUAAGAUGUAACCCAUUUGAAUUACUUAUGACUUUGUGCAUUAAAUGACUCUUAAUGGUUGCUAAAUUGUGUAUGCCCCCACACAUCUAAUAAAAGCACGAAGACGAACUUUUCUAAAACGAAAAACUAUUUAUACUGUUUUAAUUUUAAUAUUAAUUACUUCUUAUCUUUUAUUUCAUACACACAUUAAAUGAAAUGCAGAAGAAACUAUAUACAUUCCUACCUUCUUAUAUUCUCAUCGACUCCUCUCAAAUUUCAAUACGAAAUAGUUACCAAAUAACAAUACUAUCUCCCGUGUUAUAUAUAUAUAUUUAUAUUAUGGAUUUUUACGCUUUGAUUUUAAACUAAAAUCGCACCGAACCGUAAAAUGCUAAAAAAAAAAAAUUCUCAUACGAAACCAAACCGCAUAUGUGUUCAGUUCAAAUCUCAUAGAAUCUUACGCCACCAAAACAUUGAGAUCGGUAAAAUUUGCCAUCUUAUUUAAAAUUUUGAAAAAAUUCCAGCCACCAAACCAUCGAGUUUUAUAAAAUUUUUAUUUCUAUUUUAGAUAUCCAUGAAUCUUAUGUCAACAUAUUUAACCGAGUUUUAGAAACAAAAUCUUUAUAAACAUUUCUUUAAUUUUUUAAAUGAAAUGGAUCAAUUCGGUUUUAAAGUUGGUUUAAAACAUUAAACUGAAAAUCGAAACCGUUUCAACAUAAUACAAAUCUCAUGCAAUCUAUCUCAAUUCGGUUCGGUUUGGUUUUCAAAUAUUUUAUGAACCCUUUCAAUAUAUAUAUAUAUAUAUAUAUACAUCUUACAUCACAAAUGGAUAAAAAAAAUUACUAUUUUACUUUACAUGUACUUUAGUUUAUGCGCCACAUCAUCAACAAGAAUUAAGUAAUUGAAUAAAAAAGACUAAAAGUAAAUAUUUUGAAUUCGGUAAGAAAAAAUAAAUAUUAAAAGAAGGGGAAUCGGAGCACUAAAUUUCGGCUACAAAAUAACACGAAAAUGUGAAGGAUAAAUGUAUAUAUAUAUUUUUUAAAAAUAAAAAAAUAAAAGGUGGCAUGUGACACGUGGCAAGUUAGGUUGUUUCCUUCUGACAGCGUGGACAUCGUUCGGCGUGGGACCCCGUCGGUAGUCAAGGCAGCCGCGUUUUCACUCUUUUGACUCUCUUUUUUUUUUUUCUUUUUUCCCCUAAAUAUUUAUUCAAAUUAUACUCCAAAUUUCUUUUUCCUACACUUUCAAAAGUUAUUUUAUAUAUAAAUAAAGUACUCUUUUAUGGUCAAUUGUAAAUGGAGGAAAAUGGUUUAGUAUAAUGUUUUCACUGUCCGUUUAUUUUCCGAAAGUUGUAAUAAUAUUCUUAAUUCUUAUCACUUACCUAUGACUUUUGUUUCUAAUCAUAUUCCUUUUCAUUUAAAGUAUUAAUCAAAUAUUUUAAUAUAUAAUUUCCUUCAUAAUAAUUUGUACACUCUGUCAGGAGAAAGAAAGAAAAGAUAAAAAGGGAUGGAAUGCCAUCCCCUGUCUAAACCCAUAUUGUUAUGAUGAUAAUGUAUUUACAUUUCAUAUUUUAUUGUAUAGUGACUUUAGCUGCUUCCUUUUGUCUCAACUAUAUUAUAUAUCUAAAUAUUUGGGCUACAUGUACAUUCGUUGUUCUCUUCCCAUUUGGAUCUAUUUGAUAAGGUACUUACACUUGGUCUUAUAUUUUUAGAACUAUUAUCUAAAAUUUUUAACAGUAAUUUUUCAAAUACCGUGGAUAAAUUAAUUAGUAAUAAUUUAUAUUUAUAUUUAAGAGUAGAUGAAAAAAAAAAAGAAAGAAACUAAUUCAUUUUGAAAUGGAUAAACCAUAAACUAUGAAAGAAUAUAAAAAUAAAUAAAGACUGAAGUGUAUACUUUUUAGAUUGAAAACAAAACUUAUAUUAAACAUUCUAAAUAAAUAAAAUAGUGUAAAGAUACACGUGUUAAAUUGAAAAUAAUUUGUUUAACUAGAUGAAUCUCAACUUUUGAUAGAGAUGAUCAUGUGGAGGAUUUGUAGAUAUUAUUUUAAGAGAGAUAUAUUUUAUACAUUAUUGUUUUUAUGAAUUUGAUUAUGAGAUUUGAAACAGGGUGUUUUAGGAUAAUGUGAAGUACUAAUAAUACUAAACUACGAUAUUGUUAAUUACAAAAUAAAUGGUUGUUUACUUGAUCAAUUACCCUAACAAAUUCAAAAAUAAUAAUAAUUAAGAUUGAUAUUGAUACCAUUUUCUUCCAACCCAUUCUCUGUUUUCUAAUAGUGCUUUGAAGCCGCACAUAUAGAAUAUGAAAAAAUGAACAUUUUUCUAAACAGGAAAGUGUUAAAUAAAAAAUAUGAACCAUGUUUCUUAUUAACAGUUAUUGUUACUAUUAAAUGCCUUUUAUUUGGUUUUUCUUUCUCUUCCUAUUAAUUCUUCUAACUGUAUUAUUACUAAUUCAAUAUUGGGUUUGAUGUGCAUUUCUACGACUUUUUCUGGAGCGACUCCCUUCUUUGUAUUCGUUAUUAAAAAUAUAAACCUAUCACAAAAUAAAACAAAUUAUGUAUAUCGACUAUGUCAAAAAAUAUAAAAUAAGUAAUUUUGAUAUGAAAUUGAAUAUCAUAUAUUUUAUUUUGAACAAGAUUAUAGGGUAAAAUAAAUAUUUUAUUAAUCGAACUAAUGUAAUAUUAGGUAUUUCUUGUUUUACUAACCUAACUUAAGUAAUUUAUAAUAAAAUUUGACUAAUUUGGUAACUGUAUAUUUUUUUUCUCUUAAUUAUAUGUAUAUAGAAAUUAGAAUGAGUCAAUUAGAAUUGUAAAUAUGACUUUAGAAAUAAAAGCGCACAUCAGGUUGUAUAUGGGCCUUUACGAAAGCAACUUGUUUGGGCUCCGUCCAUCAAAGUUCAACAUUCCAGCACGUGGAUAUAUUCUCCACCGGCCACUAUCGCACGUGCCUAUUCGAUAUUCCGGCGAGCCACCGAUGGCGAUGGCGCCGACCAACGUUUAGUCACCUCCGCCGUCAUCAUAGCCGGAAACUUCCCCAUAAUUGCCAAAGAGAAAGUUCCGGCACGUGUGCGGCUCUAAACGCAGCUGGACCCACAAAAAGUUGAAUUCCAUUUCGCCACUUCAUCCAACGUGGAAAUUCAAAGCUCACAUCUCCAAGUAAAAGGAAAACCGGCGUGUCAAAUCUUCACGUCCGGACAAAUUCCGGCCAAAAUAUGCUGCGAAUCUUCCUUCUUUACUUGGUAUUAAUAAAACUCACCUAAUUUCGUUCAUAAACAAAUACAAAGAACAAUGGCAGCCACUAGAUUUGUGCAGCGAGUUCGGCCGGCCGCCGCUGUGUCCGCCUCUUCCUCUUCUUCGUCUCCAUCGUCGAUGACGAACGUGAGGGUUUUGGGAAAAACAGGGUUAAAUUUGAACAAUGGCGAACGGUUAAUUACUUCUGGAGGGGACGAGAGGAGGCAGUUAGUCACCGUGAAGGCGGCGGCAGCGACGGCGGCUCCCAAAACUGUGGAAACUAAAACCGGAGAAUUGGAUUUGGGUUCUUUAGUGGCGAAUCUCCUCAUUCAAUUGAAGAAUACCUUGGGGAAGACGAAGAUUAAGAAGGGAGAGAUUCAGAAGUUCAUCGAAAAGGUAUUCAAUUACAUUAAACGUCACAGAUGUAGAAUUUACUAAAGUCUGAUCGAAGUUUAUGAAUUUCUUCAGAUAAUAAUCGACUGUCGGUUCUUCACAUUGUUAGCCGUCUCCGGAUCUUUAAUGGGUUCGAUACUCUGUUAUAUUGAGGUGACCGACGCCGGCUACUUGUAGAACUCAUUUUCUUUCCAAUACUUCUCUUGUUUUUUCCCAAUUUUAACUACUCUGUUUUGAAAUAUUCAGGGGAGUUUCAUUGUUGUGGAGUCAUAUCUGCAGUAUUUCCACGGUCUUUCACAGAGAACGGACCAAACUCACACAGUGGAGCUUCUAAUCGAGGCCUUAGGUAACUUUUGUACAGAAAUUCAAAUGCGAUGAUUGUAUUUCUCCGAUUGAUUUGUUAACUAAAUGCAAUUUAAAUUUCUCUUGCAGAUAUGUUCCUCGUCGGAACAGCUCUGAUUGUUUUUGGGAUCGGAUUGUUUGCAAUGUUCGUGGGAUCGGAGAAGAUGAAGGAUAAAAACCAGAAAUGGAGUUCUAGGUCGAAUUUGUUCGGUUUGUUCUACAUGAAGGUAAAUUAGGGAAAACAUAAACAAAAACUUAAACCCAACCCCAACACAAUGAAUUAUUUUGUUAAUGCUUUUGGUCUGAACUGAAUCAUUUCUCAGAAAAUUCCGACGUGGGUAGAAAUGGAAUCAAUGUCAGCUGCGAAAUCGAAGAUUGGACAUGCGGUGAUGAUGAUACUGCAAGUGGGUGUGUUAGAAAAGUUCAAGAAUAUACCAUUGAGCUCUGCCGUCGAUCUGGCAUGUUUCGCAGCCGCCGUACUGAUUUCCUCCGCCUCCAUCUUCUUCCUCUCUAAACUCAACGUGGGAGGAGGCGGCAGCAGCGGUUUCAAGUGAACCAUGCGCGGUGCUUCCUUGUUCAUUGACAUCCACAAAUUUAUGUAAACUUUUGGAAGUUUAGACUUUUUGGGAGAGAGAUAUUACCAAAAUUCUUUUACUUACUAAUUUAAUCUUCUUCUUCUUUUUGUUUCCAAAAUGGUAACAUAUACCAAUUUGUAUAACACAAUUGAUUGUACUAUAUUCAAUUUUUACGUAUUUAAUAGUUAAAGUUACUAUUUUUUCAUGAUACUUUUUAAUUCGUAACAUAUUAGUAAACAAUAUUCAAUCCAUAAAAUAAAAUUAAUUAUAACAAAACACUUAAUAGUGAUUUGGAAUGUUAAUAGAAAGUGGUAUAAGAAAAAGGAAAGAAAGAUAGAUAUAGACAAGUUUUAUGAACAAAAUGAGAAUUAGGAAUGAAAUUAUCCUUAAACCCUUAUAUGGUUCUUUUCUAGAGGAAUUUCAUCACCUUCAAUCAAAACAACCUUCCAAUGUAAUAAAACUCGAAGUUCCCAAAGUGUACCAAAACAAAAAGUUUGUCAUACAUCAAAUUUCAAUUAUCCUUACUCUUACGAGUGUAAAAAUAUGGAUUGAACCCGAAUAAGCAGGACUACCGAAUACGUAUUAUAAAGGUAAAAUUGAGUUGGGUUAGGUUAAAAUAUGGAUUGAGUUUGAUUGAAAAAAUUAAAAUUUGUAAUUGUUGAAAAUUCAGUUCAACCUAACCUAACUAGAAUUAAUAUAAUAUAUAUAUAAUAAAAUAGAAUAAAAAAAAUUAGGUCAAGGUCUUCCUGCCCCUUUGCACACCCCAUCACAACCUUCUUUUUUUAUUUUUCUCUUCCAUCUCACUCUCACUUCAGUCUUCGAUCUUCUCCCUCACAGUCCAUCUUUGUUUCUGACUCCUCUUCGGUCUUAUUUGGUUGUCUCCAUUAUUAGAUCUCAUCUUCGUCGUCUCCUCGAUCAUCUUUGUCAUCGUCGUCAGAUCUCAUCUUCUCCAUUAGAAAGUAGAAACGAAAAGAAAAUACAACCCUAAACCCAAUCCAACCUAACCCAUAUUUCACGGGUUGAGUUGGAAACUAAAUUCGAGUAGCCAACCCAUAUAACCCGAAAAAUAUGGGUUGGGUUGAGAAAGUCUCCCAACCAAACUCAACCCGUAGUUAAUCUAUUGAAAAACGAAACAAAGAGAGAGAAAAUUUGAAUGAUUCAAAAACUUAAUUAUUAAAUCAAGAACAUUUUAGAAUAAUGAUACAAAAUCUUGAUUUAUGUGUCAUUCACAUGUUUUGCUUUACAAUAAUUGCAAAUGAAAUUUGUGAUUUAGAUCACAUUUGUUGGGAUUGGGCCAUAAAGCCCAAGGGCCAGGCUUAGGGACAAUGGGCUUGAUCUUUAACAAACAGUUCGAUGUGGCUAUGAGAUCGAGACUCGAGAGUAGGAUUUGGAAGAACCCUCCAUUCAUCGUUGGUUCAAACUUUGAACUUGAAGGCAGUGGAAGUGGAGAUACAGCUUGGAAUUUGAAGCUUCGGGAUAUGCCCAUGAUUUCAAACUGAACCAAAUCCAAGUGGCCGCAGCUUAGACUUCAAUGGAGUGUGUGGUUCAGGGCAUAAUUGAAACCCAGGCAAGUUCCUUUUUCCUUUUCAUUUCUGAUUAAUUUUCUUCUAGGUUUUCCGUUUUACCAAGUAUAAUUCAUCUAUUCUUGAAAUCUACUCAACCCUUUUAUUCGUUCUCUUCAUAAGAUCUUGAAAUAAUAAGCACUUAUGUUCUAGUUGACCCUUGAAUCAAUGUCUUCCUGCAUUCUGCUAAUGCUCGCCAUUCUUUAUGACUAUUAUCUGUUAUUGUCUACCACUUUCAAUGAAGGUUACUUUUUCCCUUGGUAUUCCUUACUUGACAGUAGCAAGAAGUUUUGUGCUUUCGACUUUUAUUCUUGACAGUUUGAUUCUGCAGCACGUUGAAGCCCUUGAGAUACUUCUUCAAGGUAUUUGCGGCGUUCCUAGAGAAAGAUUGAGGCUCCAUGAAAUAUGCCUAAAAAGUGGACCUAGCCUAGGUAUCCUUGUUUUUCUUUAUCCUAUUAUUUCAUAUUUUGCAUUCUUACCAUCUGAUGGUACUUUUAAGUUUUAUACUAGUUUUUUUUUUUUUAACCCCUGAUUUCGUUAGCUAGGGUUUGAUUAUAUAAUAUUUAAAUUUAUCUUAAUCCCUCAUAAGCUUUUUGGUCAAUGGGUGAUUUAAUUGAGUGAUUGAUACAAGUAGCAUUUCUCCAAGUAAAAUGGAGGUUGUAGUUUGCUUUUAUAAUACAAUGUCUUAUUUCGUAAUCAAUCAGCAUGAUUUUAGGUGCUGUAGCAUCUGAGGUUCGGAUCUUAUGCGACCUUGAGCAAGCUGAACCGACAUGGUAUAAUUUGAUAUUUUGUAGUAAUGGUGUGUUGUUUACUUUGGACUUGAAGCCUAGUGAACUAAUGAGAACUGUCUCCAUGAGUUUUUAGGACGGUUAAACAUAUUGGAGGGGCAAUUAGAGGUGCAGGUGCUGAACAACUCUCUGUUCUGGUUAGGACAAUGGUAGAAAGCAAAGUUAGCAAGAAUGUGCUUCGUUUAUUCUAUGCACUUGGCUAUAAGUUAGAUCAUGAGCUGCUGAGAGUUGGUUUUGCCUUCCGCUUCCAUCGGGGUGCCCACAUAACAGUGACAGUUUCAUCAGUUAAUAAGAUGUUAAAGCUACAUUCGACUGAUGAGGCUGUACCUGUAACGCCUGGUAUACAGCUGGUGGAAGUGACAGCCCCAGCAACUUCUGAUAACUAUUCUGAAGUAGCCGGGGCAGUGUCGACUUUCUGUGAAUAUCUUGCACCGUAAGUACUUCUAUUGUUAAUGAACAAUUUCAGUUGAUGCAUAUUCAACAACCUAUGAACACUGGAGCUUGAUGUUGAUUUGAGAAAACCCUCCUUAUGUAUAGUAUAUGUGUGUCAUCUAACCUAAUUUGAACAUGAAACGAUUCACAAUUAUCAAUCACAAUUUGUAUGCUGAUUGAAUUGUUUUUUGACCUCGGUCAGUGUUUAGAAAACCCACUGAGGCCCCUUAAUGAAGCCCACUUAAGGGGUGCACGUCAAUGUCUUAAACCUGAUUUCCUACCUUCUUUUUUGUGUACCAUGCAAGAAUAUUCUUACCAUCUUCACUAGAAGCUCUAUUUUUUCUGAACGUUUUAUCAUCCCAUUAAUCAUCAUGCUAUUUUUCUUCAUACGCUAUCUUUUUUUAGAGAAUACUGACCAGGGCAAAAAUAGAGAUGAAUGAAGUUAAAAUGAAUUGUUGUAUUUCUGCCUUCUGGUAUAUAGAACGAAUUAGAGAUCAAAUCCCAAAUGUGCAUGUCUUUAGCUUACUGUUUGUACUUUCUAAAGAGCGACAAAAUCAAUCUUUCUUCCUCUUUUACUUGUACAGGCUGCUGCAUUUGUCGAAACCAGGAAUAUCCACAGGUGUUGUUCCUACUGCUGCGGCAGCUGCAGCCUCUCUUCUAUCUGAUGGGGCAGGAACAACAAUGUAGAUGGUUCGUUACAAUGGUUGAACACUGACUGUUUUCUUUGCAUUUGAAGUUCUUGAUCCAUCCCUUUCUGAGCUUGAAGGUUCUCUUGGUAUAGAUAUGGUGGCAGUAAGUUCUGCUGAAGUUUAGGAGUUAACCAAAACUUAAUCUAGAAAUGAUUUUCUAUAGUUCCCAUUGAGUUUAAAGUAGCAGCUAGGCUGUAGCAUAUCUCUUUGAUAUCUUCAAAGAAUGAAGCUUAUAUUUACGUAAAUAUCUUCAACUACCAGAUCUACUCCACCUGUUCAGAAUUCUUUUUAUCUAAAUGAUUGAAGAAUUAUAUCGCAUUUUGGAUUUAGGAAUUUUCCAGUGUACAUAAUCUUAUUCAUGAGUUGUAAAGGAAAAUUUUGAAUGUUUGGUUGUGAUAGUCUUAGGAGUUUUAUUUUAAAUUCAAAAAUUGGAUUCUAGUUUUAAGAAAACCUUUAAAUUUGUUUCAUCUAUAAAUCACAAAAUUAGUCUUAAUUAUACUGCAAUAUUUUGUUAGUUAUAUUUAUGAAUAUAACUUAUGUCUAAAAAGAGCAAAUUUGUAAUUUAUUCUAAAAAUUUAUAUAAUAAUUAUUUUGUAUUGUUAUAUAAGUUACAAUUAAUAUAUAUAAUAUAAAAAAAAAUUAAGUCCAUAAUAUGACCUAUUGUAUUUCUAAUUUUUAUAUAAUUACAUUGAAUGUAAAAUUCAAAAAAUUGUUACAUAAAAUCAAAACAAUAUUUUUUCUUUUCAAAAUCUACUUGUAAUUUGAUUGAAUCUAAAAAUAUAAAAUAAAAUCUAGAUUUCCUACUAAAUUAAGUCGUAAAGUUUUAAAACUAUCCCACAAACAAAAUUGGAAACUAAAAUAUGAAUGUCUGAUUUUAUAUUUUUUAAAAAAGGGAAUUUAAUUGAGAAAAAUAGAAGCUGCAAAAUAAGUCAAAUUUGAUUUUUUUUUCAAAAAUAAAAGAAGCAAAGGGUGGAAGAAAUUAAAAAAAGGAGGAGUUUGAAAUGAAGAAUUACUUUGGGUUUAAGUUUGAAAAAAAGUCUCAAAAGGCAAUAAGUCAACAUUUUAAAUAAAUUUUACUUCAAACCGUCACUAUUGACAUUGAAAAAUCAAAUGCCAACGCCAACCCACUCUUUUAACCAAAUUUAAUAUAACUCUUUCUCCAACUAUAAUCUUUAACCCAUACAUUUCUUUCUUUCUUUCUCUGUGUUUUGUCAAUUUUCAGUUCAGAUUGACACCAAAACGCAAGAAAUAGUCAGCAUUAGGCCAAAGUUUAUUUUCAUAUGAAAAAAUAGAUAUACAUUUUAAUAGUAAAGAAUUAUUUUUGGUUUGAUGGAAAGGAAAAGAAAAAUGUUAAAAAGGAGUUUGGAAGAGUCCAACAAUUGGAUGCCAACAUGUAAACAAAAGUCAAAGAACUCGACAGUGCAAUGAUUUUUCUUUUCUAGUGGUAAAUUUUGUUCUAAAUUCAAAGUUUCUUAAUCAUCAAUUAACUAAGAUCCCUUCGACUUGGAAUGGAACUUUAUUGUUCGUAGAGGCAAUGGGGUUCGAAUCUUUUAUCAUCCACACCAUUUUCCUUUAAGAAUCUUUCAACUUUUUUUCCUGCUUCUUCGUUCCAUUUCUCCACUUUUUACUAAAAUCUUUCUGAAAAUUGUUUAUGUAACAUUUUCCUUUCCUUCUCUUGUAAUCGUUGAAGAAAUCAAUCUAUCUUUUCACUUCACCUGCCCACUUUCCCACUUUCGCUUUAUCAUCUUCUUCCUCCUCCUUCGCUCUUCUUUCCCCCUUUUUUCUUCUUGUAAUUAUAAGCAUAACGCGCCAUUCUAGGAAGAGAAAUUAUACAUUAUUUCAUGGUUUUUUUUUUUAUGCCUUUUUCUUCCUUUACGCUUUCUUCUCUUAGAACCCUUUUGGGGUUUAUUGUCGUUGGGCAGAGUUUUAGGGGCCCCCACGUUCUGUAUGUCUUCUAAGCAUUGAAUUCUUUGAUUUUCCCCAACUGGGUUUGAUGUUUCUUCGUCAUUCCCUAUUGGGUUUGGAUUAUAAUCUUCUUUGACUUUGAAUUUCUGAGAAAAUCAACUUCUCAACCGAUCUUUGCGUGUCUGCUUCGCCGUAUUUCUAUUUGCUGAUGUAUGAAUGUGGAGAAUAGCUUUGGAACUUUUCUUUCCGUCUGUAUUCUCUCAAUUAUUUUCACGCUCUUGGCUGCUUUUCUUUACAAAAAUUACUUGAAAUUAAAAAAUUAUAUCGCUCCCUUUUUUCCAUCCCUGAAUAGAUUAUUUGCUUACAAAGAAUAAGAGAAAGGGGGAGGGGGUGUAAACGACUGAAAUAUUGGUUUAUGUGAUUACGGCGUAAUUCUGGCUUUCUUUUAGCGAAUUGGGAUCUUUUCCUUAUCUGGGUCUCUGCUACUUCCACCAUUUGUGCAGCUUCUUGAUUGAUUUCUGGAGGUAAGUUGCUGAACCCACUUUUUUAUUCUCUUCCUAUUUCCUUAUCUAAAACUAAUUGAAUUUGAACCUUAGCUGAGCUGGAAGAAUCUCUCUCUAAUUACAGAUGGUUUUUAGGGAUGCGGUAUUGUCUUUAGAUGUCAAAACUUUUAUUUUCAGGAGAAUUCUUCUAGGGCAGGAGAAAGAAUGGCUGUGUGUUGUUCUUAUUUUAUUUUCUUAUUGGUUUAAAGGGUUGUAUUGAUUGGGUGAUUAAGAUUGGAUGUUUCUACAACAAUGGAUGAAAGUGUUUAUAUGAUUGAAGGAUGCUGUUUAUUUGAGCCAUUGGUGUUCCUUUUCAAGCGGUUUUUCCUUCUAAUGUUCUUCAAGCAUGUUAGACAUUGGUCUUUCCUUAUUUUGUUUAAGGUUUAGAAUGAAUUUAAUCCUCGUGUGUUUUGUUUCCUCUUUCCCUUUUGCGUCAUAUGUAUAAGAGUCUUGGUAUAUACUAAUUUAACCAUUGCUCUGCUCCUUAUAUUCAAUCUUUUGAGGAUUGAUGUAAAGCUGAAACUAUCAAUUAGAGGGAUGUAUUGGAUGAUCUAUGACUUCACUUAUGUACUUCCCUUUCAUCAUUUUAUUGGCUCCGGUUUUUCCCAGGUAAAUUUUUUCAUUGAUCAUGGACAGAUAAGACUAAGCACCAUGGGUUGGCUAAGCAAAAUUUUAAAAGUUGGAUCUGGUCAUAGAAUAGCUGAAAAGAAUUACCAAGCAAACUAUGAAGAAGAUCCGAAUUCUCAUCUGCCCUCAACCUCUGAGGUGAUGUAAACACUACUGGCAAUCAUCACUUUUUUGUUGCUACUUUUAGUUUCCAGAACAAUUAGACAUCAUCGAUCGUUUAACCAGUUAUAUGAAAAAUCUUUAACCUUCAAUGUUGAAACUUCUAAGUUGCCUUAAAUCUUCAAUCUUAUUAUUUCAUCAAUUUAACAAACUGUGGUGGGAACUCGAAAACAGGGUUUAUGGUCAGAGAACGAGAAUGAAGACAUUGAUCGUGCAAUUGCAAUAUCACUUGUAGAAGAAAGUCAGAAGGCAAACAAUGUAAUUGGUGAGUGAAGUGUCUGUCAAAUCUUGCUUCAAUUACUAUUCCAACGGCCAUCUUACAUUUCAAAAGAAAUUAUUGUUCAUGUUCCUUAUUCUUAUUUACAAGAGAAUAUAGGAUGCACAACCUUACUUGAAUAGGAUUUGUUCUAAGUCUGAUAUUUUAAGUACUGCACACGUUCUAGUUUGUUUCCAAGACAAUUUGCAUCACAAUUGCCGAAUAGCAAAAUGAAUAUCUGAAAUAUUAAGAUACACAGUAAAGUGUUUUGUGGUGUUGCGGUCAAAUGACAUUAACUUCUCAAGCAUUCAUAUGUUUAAAUAUAGAUAUGUUGUAUGCGACUCUUGAUUAUUUGUUGUAAGUAGGGACUUAUACAUGAGUUAUUGAAACUUUUGAUAGAUCGUGAUUAUCAAUUGGAAGAAGAUGAACUUCUUGCCAAAGCAGUACAAGAAAGCCUCAAUUUGGAUUCUCCUCCACAAUAUACAAGUGGAAACAUGUAUCAACCUUAUCUACCUCAAUAUCAAUUUGGUUCCAGGUACUAAUGUUCAUUUCCAUCUCUAGCAAGAAGCUCUUAUCUUUGUUUCUAUUAGUACUUUUUUGAAGCUUCUCAGCUUUUGAGUCUAUUUAAUUUCUAAGAAAAUAAAAUCUUGAAACUUUUGGGCUACAUUUUACAGUGUGAACCUUUUCUUUUCUUUGUUCAACGAAUUUAUUGUCAACUAACUGAUGAGAAAAAGAAAUAUGACAGUAUAUUUUAACAAGUUUUGAAUCUGGUUAGAAUAUGUGCUGGCUGCUAUAAUGAGAUUGGCUAUGGACGUUACUUGAACUGCCUCAAUGCAUUUUGGCAUCCAGAAUGUUUCCGUUGUCGCGCUUGCAACCUCCCAAUAUCAGACUACGAGGUGAAAAUUCUUUUCUACAUCAUUCCAGAGCUAAAAGUAUUUUUCUUGGCUCUCUCUUACAAGACAUGAUCCUUUUUUUCUUAUAGUUUUCUACUUCUGGGAAUUUUCCAUACCAUAAAUCUUGCUACAAGGAGAAUUAUCACCCAAAAUGUGAUGUUUGCAAGCACUUUGUAAGUACUUUUUCCGGUCCAUAAUCUCUAACUUGUAACUGAGGUGCUUUCUUAUACUGCUUUCUGAUUUAAUGAGGUUGUCUGGGUAAAGAGUGAACAUUCUGCAUGUUGACGAAAGCAUAUCUUAGUCAAUUAGCACGUUGUAAUGUUGGAGAGAUUUCUAUUGUGAAAAAGAAAAUAUCACGUUUACCAUGAGUUGUGAUGUUGUUUCUAUGAAUGGAAUUAACAUAUACAGAGUAUGUUUUUCAUCAAAUAUCUACUUAUAGUCAAUUGGUGUUGGGAUUUGGGAUAUGUGUCUCAUGAACAGAUUCCAACAAAUCCUGCUGGUCUUAUUGAAUAUAGGGCACACCCUUUCUGGAUCCAGAAAUACUGUCCGUCUCAUGAAUAUGAUGGCACUCCUCGAUGUUGCAGUUGCGAACGAAUGGAGGUUAGUGGCAUUUCAUUUGGGUAAAGUGGUUAAAUUUACAAUUGAGACUUUCAAAAUCAUUUUGAAAUAUGCUUGUAUUAAUUCAAAUCAAUAUCAUUUUUAAGCAUGAUUUUUAUAUAAUCAAAAUGGAUUUUAAAUGAAUUUUGAAGUAAUUUUUAACAUGUCAAAAGUGCCCUUAGUCAUUUUAGAAAUCACUCUCAAGCAAAUAUGCUGUAAGUUCAUCAAGAAAAUCUUUGAACUCUUAGACCAAGUGUUGGAUUUUUUGUAUUUACCAGCCACAAGAGGUUAAGUAUAUUCCACUUCAUGAUGGUCGAAAGCUUUGCCUCGAGUGUCUCGACUCUACAAUCAUGGACACAAAAGAAUGCCAACCUCUUUAUCGUGAUAUACAAGAAUUUUAUGAUGGUUUGAAUAUGAAAGUAGAGCAGGAUGUUCCAUUACUUUUGGUCGAAAGGCAAGCACUAAACGAAGCAAGAGAAGGAGAAAAACAUGUAACUAAACAACCCCUUCUCAGCUGCAGUAUUUGAUGUUGUCUGGUCAUCUUUUAAUUGCUAACCAGUCAUUAAGACAGUACUGUGAAUCUGUGUUGAUUUUUCUCGUCCUUGCUAGGGCCAUUAUCAUAUCCCCGAGACAAGAGGACUGUGUCUUUCGGAGGAACAAACCAUUAGCACUGUAAGAAUUUCUUCCUCUCCACUCCCCUUUUGUCUUUCUUUUUUCCUUAGGUUAUGAAUCAAGCUCAUUGAUCAAAUCCCAAAGGUAUAAUAUUCCCUUUGCACCAAAUAAUAAUAAAGAAACCCCCCAGAGAUUUAACUCAUCUUACUCACAGGUUUUAAGGCGGCCUAGAUAUGAAAGGGGAAAUCGAGUAUCGAGCACAAUGUCGGAGCCCUACAAAUUGACACGACAUUGUGAGGUCACCGCAAUUCUCAUUCUGUUUGGUCUUCCUAGGUAUGUAAUAAUCUCCAUUUCAUUGUUUUAGUCUUGGUUGUUUGUUGAAUGGAGUAUUUAGUAGCUAAGUAACUUGCAAAUUUUUUGCAUUAAUUAUGUUAAUCUCGAUGCCCCCCAUCCUCGUUCUAAACCAACAACCUUAAGAAUAUGUUAUUUCUAUCCAUAUUUCAAUGGAAUUGUUAAAAUUCUUGAGUGUCAAGAGAAUGAGUACGACAUAAUGGUAUAUUAGUACUUAUGUAUCUUUUGUAACUGGGAUUCUCAACGUGCACAGGUUGCUUACUGGGUCGAUUUUAGCUCAUGAGAUGAUGCACGCAUGGCUACGUCUUAAAGGUGCGUUUUACUUCAUUUGGAUUUGACCAAAAAAAUUACAACAGCUACAUUCCCGUUCUGUUGUUUGAUAUUCUGACAAUCAUGCCACGGUUUUUAAAGGUUUUCGAACUCUCAGUCAAGACGUGGAAGAAGGUAUCUGUCAAGUUCUAGCGCAUAUGUGGUUGAGUACGGAACUCAUGUCUUCCCAAGACUACAACGAUGUCGCCUCGACCUCAUACUCUGCUGCUCCCACAACAUCAUCAAGAAGAAAAACCAUGUCCAAAUUUGAGAGAAAACUUGGGGAGUUCUUUAAACACCAGAUAGAGUCGGACAUGUCCCCAGUGUAUGGAGAUGGAUUCAGAGCUGGGCAGAUGGCUGUGCAUAAAUACGGUCUUCAGACUACCCUCGAUCAUAUUCAAAUGACCGGGACCUUUCCUUAUUGAAACUGGAGAUUUGUACCUUUAAUCAAUAGCAAUUCUUUUAAUUUCUUCAUCAUUUCUUUUCUUGGCCUUCCAUAUUUACAGCUAAGGCCAAAUUCAUAGAAGGAUCCCCUUUGUGCAGAUUAAGUUAAUUAGAUUCAUUUAAUUUAAUGCCUAUAAUUCCACAUUUGUCUCUGCCUCAAUUCUUUCUUCAUAUUGAUGGCGGUCGCCAUAUAACAAUGUCAACAGUUGUAGCUUCUGUAAAUGAACCUGAAUCUUUAAUAGAGAUGACACUACCUUCCCCAUGCUCGGUCGCUGUUCUGGUUCUUGGUUCAAGCAGGCUGUACUUAGCUUAACCAUCAGUUUAGCAAACUCCAUCUUCUGUGUUUCUUUAAUGUUGGAAUCGAUAAACCCGGCCAGUUGAACUUCCAUAUUGUCUCCAAUGUUGUGUUUCAUUGAAGAAAGUAGUACCUCUCUACCCCCUUCCAUAGAAACAGCUUCUUUUCCAGUAACAAGCUCCAAGACCACCACUCCAAAAGCAUAGACGUCAAUCUUUGGAGUUACAAGUCCUGUCUCCUUGUACUCUGGAGCCAUGUAUCCCUUUGCCCCCACAGCAUUUGUGGUCAAGACAGAGGCUCCCGUGGCUCUUUCUGUAACUCUUGCCAAACUAAAGUUCGAGAUUUUGGCUCUUAAAUUGCUGUCGAGAAGAAUAUUGCUGCUGUUGAUGUUGUUAUGAACAUAGGCAGGCUCUGUGAAGCUGUGAAGAUAGUGAAGUCCAUUAGCAAUGUCGAGAGCAAUUUGUAUCCUCUUCCUCCAGCUUUGUCUCUCUUUUCUGCUGCCUCUAUUGAGCCAUUCUCUCAACGACCCAUUUUCCAUAAACUCAAAAAGAAGGUAAAAACGACCAUGGUUUUCACAAACACCCUCAAGCUUCACUAGAUUGAAAUGGUAGACUUUCUUCAGCAUGUUAACUUCUUUAAUGGCGUCCAUCCUUGUUCUUUUCACUGCUAGUUUCAUCUUCUUGCCAAAAGUUCCUCUGUACACAGAUCCAUUUACUCUGUUCUUAGGACUGAAUCUUCUUGUGGCUUUCACGAUGUCGUCAAACCCGAACACUUUCACAACUCUAUCCAUGCUUGCAAUUUCGACUCGAAGAUCAGCAGGUGGCGUCCACUUUCUGAUCAUGUUCUUAUCAAUCUUAGAAUCCAUCCCCUUUGCUCUGGUUUUGUAAAUGAGAAAAAAUGCAAAAGCAACGACAACAAUGGCUAAUAGAAAGAAACCCGCGCCUUUUGCGAUUUCAACAUAAAUGUUUCUUGUUGAUUCAUUCCCCCGCAAAUUAGCAGUAUAAGAGGAUGGCAAUUUAAUUUGUGAACUUGAUGGUUCGGUUGACAAUGGAACUAAAAUCGUCGAAAAGGGAGAUAGAUUUGGAUCAUCUUCUUCACUAAAUCCAUUUGCUUCAAGAACACUCUUCUUACUCACAUUGAAUUUUUCCCCAAUUUCAGAAACCCUCUCGCCAUUACCAACCAAAUAAGUAGCCAAAAACUUGACCCCAAUUCCAGCCUGGUUCCCGGUGGGACAGGCGCAUCUAAGCGGGACGAGCAAAAUCAUACCAGCCCGGAGAUUCAGUUCUUCAAACCCAUUAGCGAAUUUAAGAGCCUGGCAAGUUACAGAGCCCUGGUAAACCUCAGUAGCCGCAAUGUAAUAGGUAUGAGAUUGCGAUAGAACGAAAGAGGCGUUGGCCUGGUAGAAUCGGGCGACGCAAGAACAGUGAAGCGGAACGACGACGGGCGUGUUUGGAGAGAAAAAGGAGAAGACGCUGACGUUGUUGGCUACGGCGAUUUGAGUUGGGUCUGAUGAAGUAAGAUUGGAAAUGGAAGGAACGGAAUCGUAAGGGGGUUUGGAUUUGAAGAUGAGGAAAGCCCGGCAGGAGGUUGGUCCGCCAUUGCAGGAGUAGAGUCCGGUCAGUUGAUUGUCGUCGGAGGCACCGCCGCCGCAGCUGUGCGGUGUGUAAUUCUGUUGAGCGAUAACGGAAGAAGAAAUUAGGAGAAGAGAAUAAAAAGUUGAAAUUAUUUUCAUUUUGAUUGCAUUUUGCUUAAAACUUAAUCGUAUCUAUUUAAAUUAAAAGGGUAAAGAUAAGAUAUAAGAGAUGUUUAAUUAAUUCACUAAUUAUAACUAAUUAAAGAUGUCCCCUUAAAUCAUUUUUUUAAAAAAAAUUGUUUUUCAACUUUUGUCUUUUCUUUCUUGGAAGCUUAUCCAUGGGUUUAUAUGUUCUUCCUAUUGCUUCUCAAUUACAAUAUCUCAAUUACAUGCUUAAUUAUUAUUCAUAAAAUUAUUACAACUUAUAAUUAUUCUAAUUAUUUUGAUAUAAUUAAAUAUUAUUUAUUCAUGUUAAAAUGAACUAAAAAAACAAGUUUAACUCAAUCCAUGGACUAACAAAACUCAAGCUUAUAGAGCCCAUCAGAGGACUCUAUAAAUAUAAAAGUUAGCGCAGAAACAGGAGAAGAACUAGAAAAUUCAUGAAGUCGACCACUCCUCGAAGAUCAAAAUUCUUUUGAAAAUGUGUUUCUUCAAUUCAAGUGUAGGCAUUCUUUACAUGUCGCAUCAUAAUCAACAUCAAUACAAGUUUAACUCUACUGAUUUUAUUAUUAAUGAUAGAACACGUCUAUUUAAAAAGAAAAAAAAGGUUUGACUUCUCCUUAUAUUAUAUUUUGUGUGUAUUAAAAUAAAGUUGGUUGAUUCAUCAUGUGAAUUAUAAACAUAACAUAAAAUCCUUCAAAUUGGAAGCUAACUUCCAUAAGUUACUUUCUAAAAGAUUACAUAAAUGAAGAAAAUGGUUCAUGGAUGUACCCUCUAUAUAAUAUAAUAUAAUGUUCUUUGGACUUUUCUAUGACUUGGAAUCUAAUAACCCCAACCAUUCUACAAUUUCUUUAUAUAUAUAUAUAGUGUUGAAUUGGUCAAGAUUUGAUUGUGUCAAACAAUGAGAAAUAAAAAUCAUCAAAACAUAUUCCAAUUCAAUUCCUAGUAGCCCUUUUUUUUUUCUAUUCCCUAUGUAUAAGAAAAUAGCUAUUUGCAUUAACUUAUUUAGUAUUACCAAUCAAGAGAUUAGCUUUCUUGGGGUUUACUACUAUUCAAGGGAUGGGCUUUGAUAAUAAAAGAGCUUGAAGAAGGCCAGCCCAAUAAUUAGGCAAAAGCCCAUUUGAAAAUUGGAUCUCAAAAGCGAGGAAGAAGAAAAGCCCAUAAGAAGAUCGCUUAGAAGAAAAGAUUUUGUUUGGACGUCGUUUUAUAGAAAGCGUAAUCCGGGAGGCAAAAACAACAUAUGAUGUAUGUAUGAUUUCCCCUUUUCACCAACCACUCUCUUUCACCACCCACAAAUACUAACAAACAAUACGUCUUUACGAUUACGAUGUUGUUCGUGGUUUGAAUUCGCUCGCAAAUACUUCAAUGAAACUUUUUUUUUUUCAAAAUUUGAAUUAUGAUUUCAUAUAUGCCAUCUACUCACUUCCAUUGAAACUAUCAUUGUGCAAAAUAUGGAUGUCGCCCUCCAUCCUACUCGAGGACAUAGAAGCCUUCAAAAUGCAAGCCGAUGUAGUUCCUUUUAGAAAUACUAUCUACCAAGUUUUAGAAUUCAUUUCCAUUGAAAUAACUACAAGUAUGGGUACAACGUUAGUUAGGAUAAAGUCAUACAUCAAAGCUUAUGUAAAUUUUGUCCAUAUAUAUAUAGUCGAAGAGAAUAUUUAUUAGGUUAUUAUGAAGUGGCAGCAGAGAAAUUGGAUAAUUGGGUUUUUAUUUGUGUGUGUGUGUGAUAUAAUUAAAUAAAAAAGGGAGGCAAUUAAAUAGAAUAAAUGCCGGAAAACAUUAAUAAUUAAUUUAGGGGGAAUUAAAGACGGCAAUCUGCUGUUAACUACUUCUCCACCCUCUUUUUCUCACUCCAACUAUCUUACUUUAUCUCUUUUUUAAUUCUUCUUUGUUUCCAUUUCUAAUUUACGUAUACUUUGAGUUUUGUAUCUAAAAUAUUUAUUUCAAAUAUGGGUUUUGGAUUAUAUUACAACACAAAUUUAGAAAUAAUUUGAUUCAAACAGUGUAAUACAUAGUUCUUGGUUGCAUAAGGGAAUAUAUGGUGUUAUAGAUGAUGAAUGAUGAUAAAAUUGUUUUUGGUAAUAAUGCAUUGAUUACAAUAAAUCCUUUUGAAUUAAUUAUGAGGAUGAAUCAAAACACUUUAAUUGGGAGAGACAGUGUGAAGAUUUCAACCAAUUUCACAAGAUUUUGAGGCGAAAUUAGAAAAUUUUAUGUUUUGGAUCACCUAGUUUAAUUUCUCAUUUAAUAUAGAGAAUAUAAUAAAAUGAUUAAAUUAAUUUUUUUUUCAACAAUAUAAGUUUCAUUUCAUUAGAAAAAUUAUGUGACAAACAAUCAAGUAAGUUUCAAAUUGGAAAGAUGGUGAAUGUAAGUAUGAAUACAAAUGAAGUUGUAUUGGCAAAGUAUAAAUUGGAUUGGAUAACGUAAUACCAAACAAUGGUUAAGAACUAUUCACCAUAUUAAAAUGAAGAACUGGAAAUAAAAAUGAAGAAGAAGACGUAGAGGAAGCUAUAAUUAGUAGUGAUGUUUUAAUAAAAAUGUAAAUGAAAUGGUUAUUUAUAGAAAAAAAUUGAUGAGAAUGAGUGUUUAUAACAAAAUCUAUACAAACAUUUUGAAUACAACAAUUGUUAAUAGAUACAUAAAAUUCAUCUUUAGAAAAUAUUAAUUCUCCUUUUCUCCUUUAUUAUUUUUCUUUUCCCCUCAAAAUUCAAUACCUUCUUCCUCACCGACGCCCGUCUUCUUCUUCUGUAAUCCUAAAAACCAAAUCGUUUCCGACGAGCUUUUUCAACCAAUCAAGAGUCCAACGAAAAUGGAGUUUGUAACAAAUCAUAAGGGACCCAUAAAGCGUCCAAUGGACAAGGCCGGUUCGCAUCGAGCCGGGCCCACGGUUUCCCCUUUCCACUCCAAUGCAGAAGGCUCACCGGACCCGGGUGUAAAUCCCGGCACAGUCCCCGGAAAUUGUCACCGCCUAGUCCGUGCUGGUUCCAUCGGUGGUCUACGGGAACAAUGUUUCCAGCGAAAACGAGCAUGAACGGCGGAAGAGAUCCGAGCUCGUAGAUCCUCAUUCGUUUUUGAAGCUCCAUCCAUUCCUCGAUUUUAGAGGUGAAGUCGCCGAGACGCCACCGGGAGAGGUCGAUGACCAUGACGCCGGUAUUGAAGUAACAGGGGUUGCGAUUGGCGAAGGUGAGAGACAGAGAGGGAUUGGACCAGAAAGUGGGAGUGAAAUAGGAAGUGAAAUUGGCGUUGCAGUACUCCGGUGCUGCGAGUACAGCGUCGUUUAAUUGGGUAUUUGCGAGAUUAGAGAUAUCGUCAACGAGGAUUAGAUCCGAAUCGAGAUAGACAACACGACGGACGCAGAGAGGGAGGAGGUCGGCCAAGUAGCUACGUGCGUAGUUCAAUGGACAAUCCAGAGCGGAGCGAAUUGAGGUGGAGAUCAGACGGGAGACAGCUCCAUCAUCGAAUGGGUAGAUUUGAAAUUUCAGGUAUGGGAAGGAGGAGGAAAUGGUAGCGCGUAAAGCAGACGCGUUUGCAGAGGCGGAGGAAACGAAAUGGAAUAUUACGUUUUGGGGGCAGGAGGAAUGUUGGAGAACGGAGAGAAUGGCGGCCAUGGAGCCUCGAAUGUAGGCCGUGUCCAAUGUCAUCGCCACGUGGACGGCGUCGUCGGAGCACAGCUGGUGACUGUCUUCCUGGCCGAUGAAGACCAAGGGACAAUCCGGGGAGUUGUAGAAUUGGGGGGCCUCCUUGAAUAGAACGGUGACAUUGGCGGCAGUAAUGGGGGAAAUGAAGAAGAAAAGGAGGAGGAAGAGAAGAGAGAUGGAUGAUGGCGGUUGGAGCAUGGCGGCCGCCGGCGAGAGGGUGUGAGGAAAGGAGGAAGGGAAAAAGGUGGGUUUUAUGUGUAAGGUGAGAAUGAGGGAGAUAGAGACGGGCCGGUGGUGAGUAGCUUUUGCUUUCAAAUGGGGUUUAAGAAAAUAUGCCAACAACUUUAGGGAGGAGAAAGAAAAGGCAAGUCACUCUCAAGUCUCAACUCAAUAUGCACUCCUUCCUUCUUAUCUUAAGUCCAUUUGGAAGCCUCCCAUCAUCAAACUCACCUAGGAAAAUAUUAUAAUUACUUAUGCAUUUUGUUUCUAGAGGUUAGAGGUUUAAUCUUUUGUUCACAAUAGUAAGUAUUAUGUGAAAGAACCAAAUAUUUGCUCUGAGCACGUGAAAAAUCUUACUUUAUUAUGGUGUUUGACUAUCAACACACUUACGAUUAUGUUAGUAAUAAUUUAGCUAGAGAGAGUUAUUUUCGUUGUAUACCUUAGUGACACAAACCCUAUUGAUGAUAUAGAGACAUUGUUUCUUGUUUGUCAUUAGUUUCUAGGACCAUGGAUCAAACCAUUACUAUUUGUGCUAAACUUUCAAAAUUAUUUCACUUGCAAACUUAAUCACAUACAAUUAUUACUAGACUUCAUACUUAUGCGUUAUUUUUCUAAGUGACCUUAUAAGUCAGGUUUAGUGAAGUUAUGGAAUCGAUCUCUAUGGCCUUUUUAACUUUAGCUUGCUUUUUCAUAGAUUCUUUGUUGUUUGAGGCACCAUAUGUAGUUAGCCAAAUAUGAUAUUUGUUUUAAGAUGAACAAAUAGGUCAUUCUCUUGAUCAUAACUGAAUAGUUAGUCUUUUUUUUUUUCUUUUACUACAAUGACAAUUAUAAAACUCGAGAGAGUAACAUAAGUAUAAGAUACAAUAAAUUUGUUAGAAAAAGAAGAAAAAGAGAGAAAAUAGAAUAUUUUGAAGGACUUUAGAAAGCAAAUAAAAAGGGGUAAUAAAAGUAGGUAAGGUAUAAUAAAAAGGCGAAAUGGUAAAUAUUUGUAUGCUUUUUUACAUGCACGUAACAUUCUUCCAGAAAGAUGGCAAUCGACAUGUCGUAUUCACAUGGCGUUGAGUGGUGGUGGGUACCCCAAAUUUGUUGCUUCAUCCUCUUCUUUCCAAAUUUAUUACUCAUCUAAUUUUAAAUAUAUACACACAUUUUCAUUUACAUUUACAUACAUACAUAUAUAUAUUAAUGAAAUGCAAUUAGGAAUAUGUUUCAUUACUAACUAUUCACAUGAACUGUAUAACUUAAAUGUUUUAUAUAUAAGAUACAUAUUAAUUCAUUAUAUCUCAAAAAGUCUAGACUAAUUUAGUAAUGGAAAUUUAAAGAUCUAAUUAACACAAUUAUUUGUUUUAUACAAUAUUUUACAUCAACUGUAUAGUUAGGAAGAAGAAUUUAUAAAUUAGUUUGAUUUAAUUAUUGUGAACAAAAUAAUAAUUCAAUUACCUACCCAUAAACAACUAAGACAUGAUAAUGAGAUCUAAAAAACUGAAAUUGUUGCUAAUACUUUUUCCCAUUAAGAAAGUCGUGGGGCUUUGUAAACUUCCACUCAACUCUCCACAUGCUAUGCUACACUUCAAUAAUUUUUCCAACCUUAGAUUAGACAGCAUAUUAAUGUAUAGUCUACAUUUAUGUGCUAAGACUAGUAGCCAUCACUUUAUCACACUUUUUCGUACAAAAAAUGUAGUUUGACUGCAUACAACUAUUUAUUUUUCUAGUUUUGUUACUUUAUUUACCUUUUUUUUAUACUAGAAAAAUAAAAAAAUAUAGUUAUAAAAGAAAAUUAUUUUAAUGAACGUAGUCCAUCCAAUUAGUGUCUAGAAAAAAUAAACAUAUCAAUGAAUUUGAGACCUCACAAUUAGCCCUUUUGUUUUGCUGUUACAUUUUUAAAAUAUGUUUGAAAUCCCAACACUAUUUUAAAAAAAGGCAACAAUUUCAGAAAUCAUGCAGAGAAAAAGAUUAAAAACUAAACCAACUGAACACUGAAAAAAAAAAAAUACCAAAGAAAUAAAAACUCAGUUCUUUAUAGGAAUGUCACGCUAUGAGGUCCCAUGAAUCUCAACUUUGGGUAUGGGUAAGAGGAAAUGUUUCCUGUUUUAAUUUCGGAGACAUGGUUUGUGCUCCCUGCCCCCACAAAAUUUAGCGACGAAUGAUUUGAGAGCGGGGACGGGAACAGAGAGACCAUCCCUAUCUCAUCCUGCCAAUUGAUUACUCCGAGAAUGCUAACAAAUCAUCUUUUAGAAGAAAAAAAUCAUGAUCAAGUUCAACCUCUCUGGUUUUCAGAAGAUGAACAGUAAGACAUAAAAAUGAUAUACUACCAUCACUUCACUCAUAGAUCUAAAUAAUAUUUUGCUAAAUGAGGGUGGUGACAAACAAUUCAUUAGACCAAUUUAGCUCUACAAGACAAGUCAUAGCACAUCGUAUAUAAGUUCAUUUGAUAUCUAGCAUCAGUAGCAAGCACCUACUAUUCAUCUCUUCAUUUUUCUGACAAACACGGUCUAUCCAUACAAUGACAUGUUACAUGAGCCUGGUGUAAGACUAAAAUUCAAACAUAUUCCAAAAAAACCACAAGAAAAACAUAGUGCGGAUAGGGAAUUGGGUAAGAGCACUAGAUAAACCACAUAGGAAAAUUAAUCAUCUUAGAGAGAUCAGAGCAUGUGUUAUGUUCACUCUGCAUUUGAUGGGAAUUGGUGGUGAGCAAAUAAAUCUGUGUGUGUAUAUAUAUAUAUGCAUAAACAAAAACCUUCAAAAUACAAUUGCAUAAGCAUGUCAACUCAUGUUCAUCAUGCCUAAGCAUACAAAGUCGAUGACCAUUUCAACACACUGACACAAAUCAAGGUGAAUGAUGAGAUAUCAAGACAAUGUACCAGCAGAUUUUUUUUAAUUUUUUUUUUUUAAUUCUUAUAUUAGAGAUUGAAUACACUAAACACCACGAAGUAAUAUAAGCCCUAACGGAUCCUUUCUUCUAUUGCCAGAUUAGGGCAAGAAGAACAAAAAAACCAAUAAGGAAAAGCAGGCGCUUCAAAUAGUAAUCUUGCUGACCUUGACGAAGCUGGUGAUAGUAUCCAUGGGCGUGACCAUGGCUACCAUGAAACAUGUUAGGAAACCCGUAAGGAAAGUUAGCGCCUGCACCAUACAUGCUUGGAUCUGCAUAUCCAUGCAUCUGAAAGUUGAAUAAAGAUGGGACGAGACCACCAAAAGCUGCAGACAAAGUAAAAUUGCCAAACCUCGUCGAUGCCAUUGGGGCGAACCCUCCAAGUCCUCCCAUGAAUCCAAACCCAUUGUGAGGAAAAGGAUUUGGUUCUGGAGGAGGACCUGCUGCUUCAGGUCUCUGUCCCGCAGGACGAUUAGGGAUAUUAAUUCCAGGAAUACUUUUCGAUCUCGGGUCAGUCGAUGUCUUUCCCCUACCAUAUAAAGGAACCAAUUUUUGCUCUUCAAUGAUAGCCUUGCAAACUGGACAUUCCUGGGGAUGAGAAUGAAUGUGCAGCCACUUAUAAAGACAUGGCCAACAGAAAAGAUGACCACAUAAGGUUACAAUAGGAUCUUGAGCUAAAUCCAGGCAAAUAUUGCACUCAAAAUUACUCGCAUCACCAUUGUUAUCUGAACAAGAAGGACUUUGAGGUUGCCUACUCGUCGAUUCCCCAAACCCGCUUUCCAUAUCUACACAACCCACCUAUUGAAUGACAUUACACCACAAAAUUGAGAUAAAGAAAAGAAAUCCACAAAAUUCAAAGAAAAAAUUCUCCGAGAUCGGAAAAUUUUCCUUCUACCAACAGAACCAAAGGAAAAACAUAAAGAGAAUCAACCACCAAAUCCAUGGAUCCACAAGCAAAACAAUACAAACGAAUCUCAAAUCCUAGGGUUCCAAAAUUCCCAAACAGAAACCGAGACAAAAGAAUCGAAAUCAAGGGAAACAAAAGAAUAAAAGAAAUACAAGAAAUAAUCGAAAAAAUGAAACAAACCUAGUGAUUAAAGAAGAAGAAGCUAACCAAUCCUGCGUUCCGAUAUGGAUCAAAAAGUAAAUCUGAAACCGGAGAUGAACGCGUUUGACGGAAAACCAAAAUAUACGUUUGAAAACGGAAGCUUCUGGCAGCCGUGUGCCCUAAACAAUAUUCACUGCACUUUCUCCGUAAUGCUCGUCAACGUGUUAAUUAUUACCACGUGUCAUAACAUUACUGUGUUAGAUCUUUAAACUAUUAAACGGUUGUGAAAGAGAGUAUGGAAAGUAAUUAUAUAGUCGCAGUAGGAAAAAUAGAAUAAAUUAUAUCAAUUUCCACUAAAAAAUAGUAUUUUUGAUCCAAAUAUUUCUAAAAACUCUCCAACUUCAUUGAAAUCAACAAAUGGUUCUUUAACAAUCCAUAAAUCUUCAAAUUUAAGUCAACUAUGGUCUAACUCUAAUCUAUCAAUUUGUACACAAUAUUGAGUCCACGCCAUGAACUAAAAAGAAAUAUAAAUUAAAAAAUUAAUAAGACUUACAAUUUCCAACUUCGGUUCCUUAUGUACUUUUGUUUCUAGACAUUAAAUUUAUUCGUUUUGAACUUUCUACUUCUAAAUAGUCACAGUCUUUGUAAAUAACUUAUAGGCAGUACAUACUUAGAUUUAUUGUGUAGACCCUGCAUAAAUUUUAAUAAUCCGCCAACACUAAAUGGCUAUAGUAAUUAAAAAACAUUUUUAUAAAUAAAUAAUUAAAAAACAAAUUAUUUACCUUUAAUGUGAAAAACACAAAAAAAAUUAUAAAAAUUUGUCAAAAAUAUAUAUCAUUCGACAAAAUAUUUAUUAUUCAUAUAAAAAUCAAGUGGGAUGAAUUUUGUUUUUUAGUGAUUUUGUUCGAUAAAUAGUUUGUCAAACUUUUAUAUUUAUGGAGAGGAAAGACGGAGAAUGGGUACAAGUAUAUUUUUCUAUUUUGUUAUUUUUAUAAUUUUUUAAAAAAAGAAAAAAAUGACAUAGUAUCAUGUACUAUAAAUUUUCUCCUUUUCGUUCCUCUAUUAAUUUCAAUGUAUUUAAGUGGUUACUUUUUAUUGAAAGCAUGUGAACUAAAAAAAUUGUAAAUAUUAAAAUGAACUAAAAUCAAAAGUAUAGUGACAAAUAAUAUUUAAACGGUUUAUUAAAAAAUAGAUGACUGGUAUUGUUUACUUUUUAUUUUGAUCCAAUACCUCAAGUGAAGAAGGUAUGAGGAAAGCUAAGUUUGCAAGUUGUAACUUUCCUUCUCCAAGAAGUUUGAAACCUCAUGUUGACCUCUUAAAAAAGGAAUUAACUAAAUGGAAAAAAAAAAGGAAUUGGUAGAAAAUCUAAAAAUAUAAAUUUGAAAGUAAAAACAAGUUAUAUAUUCUCUACAAGUGUCUAUUAAAAAAAUGAUUGUCAAGGAUAAUAGCAAAUAAAUUGAACAACGUCUCAAAUGCUUCUAGCUAAUUCACAAGCAAUUCUAAAUAUAGUUGUUAACCUAAAACCCAAAUACCUUGUAAUUAAAUAAGGUAUAUUUGUUGAAAUUGUGCAUGUUUAGGUAUUCAUAGCCGAAAAGAAUCCAACUUCACAAAAUCUUCAAAGUCUUCGAUUAGUUGCAUAAAAUAUUGGAGCUUCAAGUUUUGUCAUCCUCAAAACUUUUAAAGUAUUCAUACAUUCAACGCAAAUCAAAAGAUUUUCUUCUUGUUGACCAUCUUCUUCGUCAAACCGAUUACAACCAUCUUAUUCAUCCAACCGAUUAUAGAUUUUUUUCCGUUUAGCGCAAAGACGAGCUUCUUCAAGAGAUUUCCUUCUUCACUCGUUUUAGCUCAAUUUAUUUCAUUUGGCGUGACUGGACGUGUGAUGCAUGAAGGAACAAGUGGCACAAAGGUGCUCGACUUCGGAUGAAGUAAAAAUGCGACUAGCGGCGUGCAAAACAAGUGGCGCAAAGGUGCUCGACUUCGGAUGAAGUAAAAAUGUGACUAGCGGCGUGCAACAGAGGAGACGUUUCCUUAUGGCUUAGUUCCAGGUCAACAUAAUGGAGGGGAUGACUACAAAAGUGGAGAUCUCGACUGGACGGAGAACACUUGAAUGGAGCUGUCGUCGGCGGCUAGAGUUUGGUGAGAGUGAAGAAGAUGAUGAAUAGUAAUAAUAAAUAUUAUUAUAUUAUUAUUUUCCCUUAAAUAUCCUCUUUUUCCUUCUUUUAUUUUCCAAUUUAAAUAACAAAAUAUUUCUUCUCAACCAAUUUAUUCCAAAAAUAAAAUAUUCAAUUAUUUUUAUAAAUUUUGAAAUAUAAAUAAUUCGAGAAUAUUAAAUUUAUGUUUUCAAUUAUUUUGGAGAUAUGAAGCAAAAGACACUAUUUUAGGGAAUGAUAAAAAAUUUAAUAACAUAAAUGGUUGAUCUUAACACGAUUUUAGAGUUGAUAAAAUUUUAAAUUCAAUACCUAUUUUUAUAAAUUUUCAAAGCAAUUUUAAUAUGUCGCCGGUUUCAAAUCAAAAUUUAAAAUCUAUUUUUAAAAAAUAAUUAUGAAAAAUAGAUAAAAGAUAUUAACGAGAUAAUUCUAAAAUUUUGAAAUUAUGUUUGACAUCGUUUUAAGGAAAUCAAUCAAGUAAUCUGAUUAUCGAAAAGAUCAAAAUUUUCUUAGAAUAAUCCUAUUACAUCAUAAUUAUAGGGUAAGAUACCAUUUUAAUUUCAAUUUAUUAUUAUGUUAAAUAUCAUCAUGUUCAUAUAAUUUAUAAUUUAGUUUUUUUUUUUAUAAAAAUUAAUGGAAUGAUAUUAUUAGUUAGAUAGAACUGUUGGCUUCUCAUUUUCAAGUUGUUAUUUAAUAGGUACAAAAUCAUAUCUUAAAAAAUAAUUAUUUAUAGUAAACAUUUAAAUAAAAAUAUCUCUAUUUAUUAUACUAAAACAAUAAUUUUGGAAUUGGUAGGUAAUUUGAAGGGUUAACUUUAAACCAACCAAUAAUUAAAAAAAAAAAUGUAUGGUUUCUAGAAAUAGAAGCGUUCCACACUUUUCCUUUUUCUUGGAAGACAAUCCAACUCCCUCUCUAGUCUUCUUUAGAAUUUAGUUUGUAUUUUUUCUAAAACCCAAAAUUUCUAAUUUACACCAAAAUAAAAAAUUAUAUUUAAACUCAUUUUUAUCAUGUUGUAGAGUCAAUAUUUAAAUUAAAAAGAAAAUAGUAAGCUUUUAAUAAUUGUCAAUUUUUUGGGCAUGUAUAAUAAUAAUAAUAAUAAUUGUAGUAAAUUUGAUCCCUCGAAACGAACCGUCCUUUUGGCUCUGACGAUGGCCCAGUUUACUAGUCGGCGUCGUUUUGUUCAUAUCGUAAUGUAAUACGGUUUUGUCUAAUUAAAUUUAAUAUUCAUUAUUAAUAAAUUUACAUAAUCUCGAUUUUUUAUUAUGUAUAUAUAUUGAUGAAUGAUGUUAUGAAUUUGUUUUUUUUAUUGUGGAAACCCUUAAAGGUCUAAUGCCGACGGUUCCGCUGUUUCGAUACUGGCUAUCGGAGCAUUCUUCUAUUGUCAAUUUCCGAUGGAGCCACACCCAAUCAUGGGGCUCCACCUGGUCUUUUCUCGUUUUCGCUGUCACGCUUUACAUCCUCGCCGCCGUAUUUCUCCGUCUUUUAUUGAUCAUCCUCCGCCGUCCACGUCCUGUCCCACUUGGUCCGGUUCCGGCUAUCCAUAGUCUCUCCAUGGCUGUAAUCUCGGUUGUUAUCUUCACCGGAAUGCUCCUCUCGACUGCGGCGGAGAUUCGUGACACACGGUGGCUCUGGCGACGGAGUAGAACGAGAACCAAUCCAUUUCAGUGGCUGCUUUGUUUUCCAAUUGGCACACGUCCUUCAGGACGCGUGUUCUUCUGGUCGUAUGUUUUUUACCUCUCUCGAUUCCUCCAUCUCCUCCGUACCUUUUUCACCGUCCUCCGCCGCCGUCGCCUCCCAUUUUUCCACCUAUUUAACCAAUCCAUUCUCAUUCUCACUUCCUUUCUUUGGCUCGAAUUCUCACAGUCGUUUCAAAUUCUUGCCAUUCUCUCCACCACGCUCCUCCAUGCCCUUGUCUACGGCUACCGAUUUUUAACCGUCGUGGGGUUUCCGGCCGCCUCCUUCCCGUUCGUACUCAAUUGCCAAGCUGCUCUGCUUUCUUGCAACUUACUCUGCCAUUUUGGGGUGUUUUCGUUUCACGUUUUGAAAGGAGGGUGCAAUGGCAUUGGAGCUUGGGCGUGCAACUCCGUGCUUAAUUCCGCCAUUCUUUUGCUGUUCGUGAAAUUCUACAAGGAAAGUCGAUCGGAUUUGAUUUAUAAGAAACCAACGAAAUUUUGAAAUGGGAUUGCUCUGUUCGUGUUUUUGUUGGGGAAUAUUGAACCCAAAUUAAUGGGAAUAGGGUGUCAUUGUAAAGGUUGUUUAUAUUAGAAGCCCGUCAUUGAAUGCACAGUGUUUAUUCUUAAGAUCUAAGGAAUAGACUUUGUCAAAUGUAAAAACUUAUUUACACAUCAUAUAAUUUUUUCUCAAAUAUUUAAGAAAUUAACUGCUAUCCUAUAUUCUUAUUAGUGCUUUUUGUUAUUAGAUUCAAUUUGUUAAAUAUAUAUUUGAAAGACAAUUAUGUUUCAUUUUUGAAUAUGUUGCUAAGCUAAAUGCAUAUUUAAAAACCACAAAUAGAACUUUGUUUCUAUUAGAUUCAUUAAUUUUCAAUUUUUUGCAAGUGUUUGAUAGAUUUAUUAAUUGUAAGUUCCCUUUCACUACGUUAGUAUUGAUGUGAUUUUAGUUGAUUUUGACCUUUUUGUUAUCUUGAUUUAUUUUAGAUUAUCUACUUCUUUGUUUAUCUUAUUCUAAACAAAUGGAAAUAAUUUUGUUAUGGAAAAAACAAAAAGGAAACACCUUAUCUCUGUUGGAAAAUUUUAACACUUAAAAAUAAAUUAGAUGAAAAAAAAAAAACCUAUAAUUUAAAAUUCAAAUCAAAAUUUAACCUACAAUUACACAAAUAAAAAAACUUAUCACAAUAUGAAAUAAAAAUUGAGAGAAAAUUGAGGUUGGUGAGUGAGUUUAUAGAUAACAAAUAAUUGCUUUUUUUUAAGAAGAUGGUAAGCUGUGUUAAUAUAUAUUAAUUACAACAUAGCAUAAUAAUAAUGUAUACAUUUGACAUCACAUGUCAUCGAUUAAAAUGCCAAAAAUUUGAAUUUCCAUCUAAUAUAUAAUACUAAAAAAGUCCUGAAUUUUCAAUCAUACUUAAAUCAUAAAAAAAAUUGUUUAAUUAGAAAGAAGAUAUACCCUUGUAAUAGAAAAUUCUAAUAGAUUUAACUGUUGGUUAGUGAAAAAAAGCAAACAAGAUAAAAGAUAAUAAUUUGAAAUCUAAAAUGAUUUAUAGAAGAAAUAAAUCAGGUUUAAUAAACAAAAGAUGAAAAAGAAAAAAUGCUACUAAAAUGCUCAUAUCUCAUAUAUUAACUUUGAUUGUUUAAAAAAGAAAUUAAAUUUCAUAAAGUAUAUUAUAAAAAGGAAACACUAAUGGAGCCGUAUACAAUGAAUAUUUGAUUGAGUUAAUAGAAAAUGGCGAGGUCUAUUUCCCCAAUUUAGCAUGUGUGUUAGUUUUCAACAACUCCCACCAAAUACCCCAUUUUGUCCCUACUUCUUUUUCGGGCAAUUGGUUUCUGAGAAGGGUAAAUCUGGAAAUACACCCGCCCAUUUACAAAAUAUUCGUCGGUUUGUCCAAAAGUCUAAACCCAACUCCGCCUCCGCCUCCACCUCCAACCUCUUAUCUCAUUUUGUGAUUUUUUUUUCUUUUAUAAAAAAUCACAUUUUUAUUUUGUUCCAUUUUUGUUUGUAAUUUCAACUUUUUCUACCCAUUUUCUACUAUUUUAAUUUUGAGAACAUAAUGACAAUAAUUUUUAUUUUUACUUCUAAUAAAUACACAAGGACAAAAUAAUCUCAUAUUUACAUUUUUAAUUUACGGAAUGUAUCACAAAGAAAAAGAGAUAAAUGUGAGAAUGUUACUAUAAGUCUAUAUAAGUUUUGGUCUUACACGAUGUGACAUUAGCCUCUACACGUUUUUACACGUAAAUCAACAUCCAAAUUAAAUCAAAGUAGUGUAGAGCUAAAUUUGAAUUGUAUUGCUAACAUGUAUAAUGAGAUGAAUUACUUCUAUUCACUCUUAAAAUAUUAGGAUCAAUUUUUUCAAAAUGAUAGCUUAAUAGGCAAUUUUUUGCCUACUCGACUUCAUUCUACCGCAUGGAGGGUGAAUUGUUAAAGUCGAAAUCCUACUCAAACAACCAUUAUAUAGUAUUAAAUCCCUCUUGAGAUAUAACUUAUGUACAUGGGUUAGAAUGGAAGGUCAAAAUUUUAAAGGUUAAUAAAGUGAAUUAGUUUGAUUAAUUUUAUGUAUAAGAAUGAAAAUGUUACCUAAGCAGAGUUAAAGGUGAGGUUAAAAUGUGUGAAUUAGUUUAGUAGUAAAAUUGAUUUCACAAGCAGCCUCUCCUUUUCCUCAUCCCUUACUUACCUUUCGUUAAUCUGAAUUUUCCCAAUCUCAUAUUAUUAUUUUUAUCGUUAUUUUUCUUUGCAAUUUUAACUUUCAAAAUUCUCUCUCUUCCGAUAAUCAUCAUUUGGUCCCAAUUUACCAUUUUUCGCGAUUCCCUGUGCCAUUACAUUAGAUAAGAACACACCCAGUUUCAAAUUUUUUUCAAGAAUUUUAAGAGGACCCGAACAAAAUUUUCUUCAAUCUCUCUCUUUCUCUUCGGUUUCUGAGGUAAUUCUUGCACCUAUAGAAUGCAUUUGUUUUUUGUUUUUUUUUUUUAAUGUAAUUCAGCUGUUCUUAUUAGCUUUAGAUCUGUAUUUGAAUUCAGCAUCACUCUGAAAAUUGUUCUUGUUCCUUAAAUUGGUAUCUGCUUUUUCGUAAUUCCCUUUUUGGGUUUUCCUUGGAAUGGAAUCCUUGAUGCCUUUUGGAAUGAUUCUAUUGGGGAUUUCAGUUUAUUUGUCUUUUCCAUGUCUUGAGUUGUUUAAAUUUCAUUAGAUUUGAUGAAGAAAUUGUGAAUCUCUUAAGGGAUGUAAAAAAACGUGUGUUUGUUUGCAGCCCCCAUCUGUAGGAGAGGAAUUCUUUGAAUCGGUUCUUGGAAGAAUGGAUGUUUCUACGCCUCUGCAGUCUGAUAAUACACAAAAACAUAAAUCUCUUAGUCCUGUUAGGCUAAUGAGAGGGGUGAUUUGUUUAGCGGUGUUUCUAUCAACUGCUUUCAUGUUCUUAGUGUAUUUUGCGCCUGUAGUUAGUAUCUCUUUGCGCCUUUUUAGCUUGCAUUACAGUAGGAAGGGCACUUCCAUUCUAUUUGGUUUCUGGCUGGCCCUGUGGCCCUUUCUGUUUGAAGUGAUAAAUGGGACUAAAGUUGUCUUCUAUGGGGAUGAUAUACCAGCAAAUGAACGUGUUUUACUAAUUGCCAACCACAGAACUGAAGUUGAUUGGAUGUAUUUGUGGGACCUUGCAUUGCGAAAAGGGUCCUUAGGCUGCAUCAAAUACAUCCUUAAAAGCAGCUUAAUGAAGCUGCCUCUUUUUGGUUGGGGAUUCCACAUUUUGGAGUUCAUUCCUGUUGAAAGGAAAUGGGAAAUCGACGAACCGGUUAUGUGCCAAAGACUUUCAACGUUUAAAAAUCGUCGAGAUCCCUUGUGGCUUGCUGUUUUUCCUGAGGGAACCGACUUUACGUAUACCUUCCACUCCCUUUCUACUAUAUUCAAGUUUUUUUUUUUUUUUUUUUUUUUCUGUUUAAAUAUAUUCCUCUACUAAGCAAAGAAAGGAUGGGAUUGGUCAAAACCAUCCAUUCCUCCUUUCAAUCUUAAUGGUAUGGUUGCAAAAAUUAUGCCUGAUCUAUUAGCUAGUUUGAGCUUUGAAAUUUUAGCUUUUGUUCUUGAUGAUCUUUCUGCACUUAACAACUUGUCAACUCACAUGAAAGUUACGUGUAGGGAGGCAAAAUGCAAGAAGAGUCAAGCAUAUGCUGCUGAAGUUGGACUUCCAGUGCUGAAAAACGUUUUACUUCCGAAAGCAAGAGGUUUUUGUGCUUGCUUACAAACCCUACGAGGUUCGCUUGAUGCUGGUUCGUUUCUUAAAACUCGAAACUCUUUGCUCUCAUUGCUUUUAUGCGAUAUGGAAGAGAUUUUCUUCUUUCUGUUGGUGAAGAACGUGGUAUCUGCUCAAUGGUUACUACACCAUAUGGCUAAUAGACUGAAAGCUAAUCAUGCUUAUGUGUGAUAAUCCCAGCUUUAGUGAAAGACAUCUUUUCAUCAAGAUGAUAUAAAUAAAUGCUUCGCACGAAAGAAUAUUUGAAAUGAUUGUGUUUAUUUUGCCUUAUCUUCUGGUCCUGGUUUUGCUUACCUUUUUCGUAAUUAACUUGUAUCUUUGUAGUGUAUGAUCUGACUAUUGCCUACAAGGAUCAGUGCCCUACCUUUAUGGAUAAUGUCUUCGGCAUCGGUCCUUCCGAAGUUCACAUUCAUAUUCAACGAAUCCCUGUUGGUGAGAUCAUCCCCGCAUCAGAUGAAGGUGCUUCUGCUUGGUUAAUGGAUAAAUUCAAGCUCAAGGAUCACUUGCUCACAUAUUUCACUGCCAAUGGCUAUUUCCCCGAGUCAAGAGAAGAAGAAAAACUUUCUGACUUCCAGUGCACAAUGAACUUCAUACUGGUUGUUUCCGUGACAGCCAUAUUUGCUUGCCUUACUUUGUAUUCAUAUUGGUCCAGAGUUUAUGUAGUUUUAUCUUGUAUAUGUCUUGCUUCCGUUACAUAUCUCAGAGUACAACCAGAGCAAGAUUUAGGGGUUUUGAUAUCAACGUUCAUUAGCAAGAAACAAAGCAUUGAAUAACAUUCUUUACAGGAUGAUACAUGAUUUUUUUGAGGUGAAGCUUUCUCAAAUGCAUUAACUAUUUUGCUUAGAUUGGUAUUGAAUUUUCGUGUAGAAACAGAUCAUUAAAUUUUUUACAUAAUGGGUCCCCAUAAGCUAAUGAAAUCUUUGCUUCUCUAGAUUCUAUUGUCUCUUGGCCUAUAAAUGGACAGGCAGAAACUGAGCUCAAAAGGGUGUUUGUAGCUAUAUUAUCUAUUCAUUUAUCUCUUUUGCCUAGCCUUUUUCUUCCAUAUUUCAUCACUUGAUGAUCUAUCUCAGAAACCCACUUGCGUAUAUGAUGUGAAAUCCUGGCUUUUGAAGGAGAGACCCCAUUUUAGAAUUUCAACUCUAAACCUGCUCCAUUCUCAUCUUAUGAUGAUCUCAAGUUCAUCACUUGACUGUGAGCAAAAAUGGGUGGCCACCAGAGAGAAUUAAGUGAUUAAUGUGAAAACUAAAACGCGUAUUAUGCAUCAGAACUGAGACAAAGAUAUGGGAAUAGCAAGUGAUUAAUUGAAAUAAUGCAAUAUUUAUUACACACGCACACCAACUGUUUGUUAAAAGUUCCAAACCAGCAAAAUGGAUAUUGUUGUGUUAGGUGACCGAAAAAACAGCAGGCUGCGGUAGUCCCCGUGCCAUGGCCUACCUUGAUUGCUAGCUUAUGCCUACAACUUGGCCAUGGAAGAAUGUUCGGAUGGAAGCCCAUUUCUGAAAAGCCACCAACUUCUUCUCUUAGAAGGUGGGUGGAAGUUGGAAUGAGACAAAGCACAUGCUUUUGUUAACUGCUUUUUGUGGUCGUGGGCUGAUUGUUCGGAUAAAAUGGGGAAGUCGGCAUUCACGAUUACCUCAGUUCUCUUCUGUUGUCUCUCGACAUCUCCACUUUCUACCUCCUUCUUCCCUCACCCCUGUUUUUGGCCAUUUCGGUUAAUUGUGCUCAACCUGAUGGUGAAACUGAAACCCCAUUCUUUUUCUCUUUUCCAUUCUCCACGUGGCUUCUUUGUCCCCAUCGUUCACGAAAAGAUUGGUUGAAAUAUCUUUUUCCCAUCAUUAACUAAUAUAAAUACACAACUCCAUUCUGCGUUUCUCUUCAUCUAAUUACCUGAAAUUCUUGUUUCUGUCUCUGCUGCUUACUUGGAUUAAAGGAAAAUGGCUUCCCCAUCAAGUUUUUUUCUUCUGCUAGUUGUGUUGUCUCUUGGUAACGCCUUGUGGUUUAAUGUUCUCUGUUCUUCUUUUUACCUUUGAUCAACUGGGUUUAUUUCAAUAUCGUUUCUUUUUCCUGUUUUCGUUAAGUGUUUUGGUUAAUUAGAUUACGAUUGGUUUCCUGUUUGGAAAUUGGGUUGUGCAAUGCUGCAGGAAAUUUGGCUUUUGCGACUGUUUUUACGCUUCAGAAUCAUUGCAGCUAUACACUAUGGCCGGGAACACUCUCAGGCAAUGGCGCAGCAGUUCUUGGCGACGGCGGAUUCCCUCUAGCUCCCGGUGCGUCGGUGCAAUUGCCUGCUCCCCCGGGCUGGUCCGGGAGGUUCUGGGCAAGAACUGGCUGCGACUUCGAUGGCUCUGGCAAUGGGAAAUGCCAGACGGGUGACUGCGGCGGCACACUUAAAUGCAACGGCGGUGGCCUGCCACCCGUCACGCUGGCGGAGUUCACUAUCGGCUCAAGCAGUGGCAACAUGGAUUUCUACGACAUUAGCCUCGUCGACGGCUACAAUGUGGGUAUGGGCGUCCGAGCAAACGGAGGCACCGGCGACUGCCAGUACGCCGGUUGCGUCUCGGACGUGAAUGGAAUCUGCCCGUCGGAGUUGCAGGUGACUAAUUCGGGCUCCGUGGUGGCCUGUAAGAGCGCUUGCGCCGCUUUCAAUACGCCGGAAUUUUGCUGCACCAAUGAUCACUCAACGCCGCAGACAUGCCCUCCGACGAAGUACUCAGAGAUGUUCAAGAACGCCUGUCCGUCGGCUUACAGCUAUGCAUACGACGACGCUUCUAGCACAUGCACAUGUACCGGCUCCGAUUACCUCAUUAGCUUUUGCCCCUCCGGUUGAUCCAUUACUAUUCAACAUCUUUUUACCUUUAUCUUUCAAUUACAUUUUUACUUCAAUUUCAUGAAUCAUUAAAAGUCUUCUCUUUUUCUUUUUUAAAUAAAAAAAGAUAUUGCAAGCCAAUGCAAUAUUAAAUAGCAACUAACUUGGUUUAAAUUUUUUAAAUCAUAAAUGCACUCUGUUGUUAUUAACAUAUUACUAUCACUUUUUUUUAGUAUGAAGACAUUAAUCGAUUACACACCAACAUUUGAUCAUAUUACAUAGAUAUUACUUUCUAUCUGUACAUGGUUUAUCAUAGCAAUCCAAACAAAUUUAUGAUCAUAUAAAUAAGAAGAAACGUGGAACUUACCUUUGUGUGUGUGGGAAAUAGAAAUGGGAGGUCCAAAGUCAAUUUUAGUAGCCAAAUGGAAACAUUUAAAAAGAGAAAUAGUUGGGAGUUGAAACUAAAAGGCCAACAAAGACAUGAAUGACCUAUCUCUAUAAACUUUACUUUUUUAACAUAUAAUUUUGUAUUACUUUCAAACCAAUCAACCUUUUUUCAUUUUUGGGUAAUUCUUUCAUUCUCUUUAAUAAUAAGUAUGGGUAGCCACAUAUUCGAAAUAGGAAUUGAUGUUUAAUGGAAGUGAUUUCAUAUCAUGGUUGAACCGUGAAAGAUGGGGUUUACAAAUUCUCAUGGAACAAACCCCUGGAUCAUUACUUCUUUCUCAAGCUAAAAAAAGAGCACAUUGGAAUCAACAUGGACUAUGAAGCAAAGAAAGAGAAUUGAUUUCAUGAACUGAUAUGUAGAAUUAGUAGAAUGAAAAGAAGAUAACAAAAAUUAAGGAGAAAGAAAGCUUUUUUUUUUUCUUUUUUUCUUUUUUUUUUUCUAAUUUUUGAAGGGCCUUCGGCCAGUUUUAUGUUAUACAUCAACAAAGCUUUUCCAACUUCACCUUUUCUUUCUUUUUCUUUUUUUUUUUACCUCUCAUGGCUUUCAUACACUUACAAAUUCUCUCUACAAAUAGCUUUCACUUUUGAAAGCCUAAAACUUGACAAACUUUCAACCCAAUUUUUCCUUAAAUCAUUUUUGGGUUGAGCACAACUCCAAACCUAAAUCUAAAGGCAUUUGCAUUGCCAACUCUACCCUAAGUUAAGACCCCUUGGUAAAAUUACAAACCCGAUGGAUAAUAACAAAAUCAAAAGAAGAAAAAAAGAAAAAGAAAAAGAAAAAGAAGACCCUACUACAACUGAGACUAUUUUACAAACCUCCCUCCUUUUGAGGUGCUGUUACUUACGAAUAAGUUACUCCGCAAUCGAUUAAACCACGACAAUUUGAUUUCACCGGAGCCAGUACAUUGCCCUUCACCUUCCUCCUCGCUGCUGAAAAGGGUCUGAUCAGAGCAGUCGAGUGAUGCCCCACAAGCUAGAUUGUAUGACUGACAAGCAGAAUGGCAUACUCGGAGUCUGUUGUCACCAUCUUGAUCACACUUUUGUAUGGAAAUCUGAAUACGAAAAUGGUAUGUAAUAAGUGAAAAUUAAGGACAGAAAAAGUCCGUAUGCUAAGUUCAAAUAUUAUGUGAAAGAAGAAGUGCUGAGAUAAGAGUGUGCUUUGAAGAGGUAAAGCCACCUACCCAGCAAGCCAACUGCUUGGCAGCUGCAUCACAGUAGCUACCACCAAAGAUGUUAAAAAGUUUCCGGGCACCACCUGGAAACAAACGGUGGUAAUUUGGCAUGACAACAACUUCCUCGAGUUGCUGUAGUAUACUCGGUUCACUUGGUGCACAGUGUUGGCCAGUCAUAUCCCUUUGCAUUACAUUUUUGCAGACGGAGAGACUUGAUAUAAGCCUAGAGCUAUUCUGGCACGAAUAUCCAGCGUAAUCCGAACAACGGAACUCACAAAUGCCAUUAUCACAGACACCACCAUGAAGGCUACAUUGCUCAUCACAAAUAGCUGAGAUCAUUCCAAGAUGAUUUUGUUAGGUCACAAAGUAGAAAUGCCAAUGCUACAAAAACAAUAAUAUAUACCACAAGGCCCGAUUCGUUCUCACUUAUGGGGUUCAUAGUACACAAAUUUCUUAAGCAAAUAUCUUGAAUCCCACAAAUGCCUAAUCAACUCCCACUUUUGUUGCUAGGCAACUUUUAUUUUUGCUACCACAAACCAAAGAACUAAAAUAAAAAAUAUUUCCAUUCUUAAUCUCAUCGUUAAUUUUCCUGAUUAUUCAGAGAAAAUGAAUGUUUAAGUUCAAAGAACAUUAGAAGAGAAUUACCAGUGGAGCAGUCAAUGCCAGUGUAACCAUUUCCACAUUCACAAAGUCCAUUAGAAAGACACCUUCCAUGAUCACUACAGUUGUUGGGACAAGAUCCUGCAAAUCAAUUUACAAUUGUAGCUGAGAAAUCAACAUAUCAACAUAAAAUGAAGUUGCAAGUACGAGAAAGAAAUUGAUGCUCACGUUUGCUACAAUCAUGUCCAUGAAAGCCUAGAAAGCAAAAACACUUCCCAUCCACACAAUCUCCAUUGAAAUUGCAAGUAUUGGGGCACUUUCCAGGCACUGAAACCGAGUCUUUGCUACAAAGUUCAUGAUAUGCAGGGCAGACCAAUUCACCUACAAUAAGUAAAAAUAAAUUGUUAAAUUUUUUGGACAGAAACCGUUCCCAAGACAUAGACAUGUAAUAAGAGUAAGCACUUGCCAUUGAAGCCAGGAAACUGAACUGGUCCACCAGCUUCAGGGCAAACUUUCCACAUACCAUCGACAGCCACCUACAAAGGAAAUGAUUAGAUCAGAUAGGAAUCAACAGACUACAAAACAAGUCCUUCUCUAAGAAAUAAGAAUCAUGCCUCAUCAUCUUGCAAUCAGAACAAAACUGUUGCAAUGUUAUACAGUCACCAACUAACCCGACAAGCAACAGAAAGAGAUACUAUUUAUGGUCCCCAUAAUACUAAUAUUUGCAAGACUUUGCUAGAACUAAGUUAACUAGGAACCGUCCACAUGUGCCUGCAAUAUUUUUUAAAUAACAUCAUGGGUACAAUGAUAAUGGCAAAAGUCCCAAUACCUCCAAUGAAUUGUUAAUGCACCGAUGCUGAUAACAACCGUUUCCUUGGGUCAUGGAACCUCUUACAAAUCCAGUCCUCACAAGUGAAGAGGCCAUACACCUGCAUAUCCAUUAGAAGAGCUGCUGUUACCAACAAGAUUAUAAAUCAUCAACACUCAAAAUGCCAAUUAGCCUUAACCAUUCUUACCUUGAGUUACUUCCCCGUACUUCACCCAACAUUCUGUCAGGUGCACGUGCACUGUUGGUGUCAGUGCACGACCCAUCUGAGUAAGCCACAAAGUAAGUGCAAUAAUCGGCCAAUGACGAUUGUCCCCCUAUGGUAGAGAAAAUAUUAUAUUGGUGAAACUUCAAUAUCACAAAAGGGCUCAAAUAAACCAUUCGUGAAUAUAUAUAUAUAUAUAUAUAUAUAUAUAUAUAAUAGUCUAGUCCCAGAAAUGGAAAAGAAAAUAAUGAAUUCACAGUAACCUAGUUCCAAUUCAAAACAUAUGCAAAAUCAUGAAACCUUCUAUCACUCACCUUUGUUAGGUUGUGGAAAAUAUCGAGCCCAUUGAGGGAGAUCCCCACUAUAGCUAACAAUUGGACAGUAACCCUCUGCCUCCCUAUUAUAUGUACAUCCUGACAACUGUGUUGUGUUGCAAUGGUAUGCCCCCUUCCAUAGAUUGCAGGGGGAAGUGACAAAAUCAUUUCCCUGAUUGUGACCCCAAUCAAGACGAUCUGCCAUGCUAUAGUUGGCCUGGUACCAUCCACUAUCUUCCAAUAAAGCCAGAGUCAUUUUCGAAACUACAGAUCUUGUAUCAACUGAACCAGUCAUAAUUUCAUUCAUCAGAAGCCUUUUCUCCCAGUGAGAUCCUGAAAGACAGUGUCAAUGAUAUGUGAUCACUUCAAAAUUUGAUAAUAUAAUGAUAUAAAUAAUAUCGUUUGCAGUGGUUUUUAUAAUCUAAAAAGGUACACCUAUUACGUCCAAAAGUGACAUGUCAAGUUAAGAAUGCUUGCAGAAGAAAGGCUACAGUAGGUUGAGUAGACUGCAGGAUCACAGAACUAAGGGGGGAUAGUUGGAAGAAAAGUAGCAGAAAAAAACUAAGAGCCAAACCUGAAGUGCCACGUCCACCUCCAUCUUCAAGCUCUAAACCUGUGAAGUUCUCUGAAAAUGCCUGUCAAGAGAAUUGAAUAUUGAAUUUGCUUGGUUAUUUAGUUUUCAAGAAUAAUAAAUCCCCCCCACCCCCAAUCCCGCACACCAGAAAGAACAAACGAAGCGCUCACCCCAUAAUGAUAUCUUGAAUGCAUAACAACACGUGGUAGCACCACACGAGUCACUGUGCGCCCAAGUCUUUCAUCCAAGACCUGUUCUGUUACCUGAUGGAUAUACAUCAAUUCAUAGGUCAAUUUCAUGUAAUCACAUGAACAUUGUCAGAGAGGAGAAAGCAUUAGAUGUAUAUCUUAUAUUUCUAUUCCUCAAGCCAUUAGCACUAGCUAUAUUUUACCUGACUACGCCUUCUUUUCCUCUCAUCUCUAAAAUGGGCGAAAGCAUGUGGAUCAAAACCAAGGACGUGCAUAACCUGUGAAGGAUGGAACAUGGUGAUGAAUAAAAUAAAUUAAUUCUUUUUUUAACAAAACUACACACGAAACCCUCAAACCUCAUGUAUAAGAGUAGCUGAUAGUAAGGUUUCUGCUUCAGCAGUCAAAUGCCGAGGUGCAACAUUCACAUGUCCUGCAAGAGAAAUGAAAUAAGGUUCAUAUUUCAUGUAGCUGUAGAAAAUGUUCCAUCCUUCCAAGUUUCAAACAGUUCUCCCUCAAAUAAAAUAAUAUAAAGUUCUUGUUUAUAUCCGUGAGUGUCAUGACCAUUUAACGCACGCCUCAACUAAUCUUACAAGACAACCAGCCUUCUAAUAAUUUAAAAAUUUUAGGUGUCAAAGUAACACGUAGAAAAUCAAUUAAAAAUAAUAAUUUAAAACAAUUACCUGCAAUUGCACGACCCCAUUGAUCUCGUUCACAUGCAACAGCCCAAGCAAGUGUGUUCCCAGUGGUAGGCCUUGUAGUCACUAAAAGAACCAAGUCUGCAUUGGGAAUACCCUCUGGAGGAAACAUAUACAAUAGUUACAGCCUAAAGGUAGAGAGGUAUCCCUUCUAAGGAGCUUUUCAAAUAAAAAGAUUAAUACCUUCGACAUAUUCACGUGGUAGUUGCACACCACCAUCCUGUCCACAAGCAGAAUAUCCACUUAGACGCAAGUUCCCUUUCACGGGUUCAACAGCUAAUGCUCUUCUAAACCAAUCUGCUGUCUGACCUAAAGCCUGCAUUAAGAAGCCUUCUAAAUCAAUUUCCAUAUCAGAGCUUAUGCUCCGAGAAAACUUGAUGAGCAAUGUAUGAAUAAAGAAUGCCAAUGAAAUAUUGAUAUGAAGUGUCUUUUCACAACCUUCAGGAGUUUUCCCGUUGGUAAACACCCAAUGUCAAUUAGACUUUUUUGCUUAUAGUUAUCGUAAUAAUUUGUCAACUUCAAUGAAGGAAAUCAAGCAUGCAUAGAAAAUAAUAUAAAAUAAAGCAUGACAUAUGGGUAGACAAUCAACACUGCCUAAUACCUUGUGCAGUCGAUGCCUUUUGUCCUUGCCCGAUAUAUCAUCCAAUGUGCAAUUAUACCAGCAGUCUCCCGAAAUUGGAGGAUUGUUAUGAGGAUUGCAAGAAGGAGAGCCCAAAAAGGAACUAGUGACAGGAGGUUCUCCCAGCUGGUUAGAGAAAACAAAAGGUAAGUAAAAUCAUGGUCAAUAUCAAAACUCUGGUUUGGGUAGACACAUUAGUUAAGAAGUUUCAAGGUCCUGUUUCACCUUCACAAUGUCGCCAACUUUUUGGCAAUCUCUUUCAGGUGAGUGACCGACAGCAUCAUAAUUAAGAUAUAUUCUGAUAGGUUGUUUUGCACUUUUUUGCUGAUCUGAUUCUUCUGAAAUUCCAAGCAAUGCUCUACCCUUUCUAUGAAUGGGUUUUGCAGUACCAGAGACGUCAUAAACUUGUGGUGUAACGGAGUAUACCUUGAGCCCAGGCCGCCUUUUUUGCUCUAGUAUCUGGUCAUGGAUGCAGGCGUGUGAAACAAUGCUUUCAGCUCCCCUUUCCAACUGGCGAUCUUCAGAUUUUGCAUACGCAACAUCCAAAGCCAGAAGAAGCAAAAUCUGAACGACGACACAAACAAACCAAAUAUUAUAAAUCACAGAAAAAUCCAUACAUAUAAUUUGUAGUCAAAAAACCCAAAACAAAAACAAUUAGUUUACACAGGCAAGAGGUGAAGCUUAAACUCCAGAUUUCUAUGAAGAUUGGAAUACAUACCUAUCUAUUUCCUAUAUGGAAUAAUGAGAUCUUACAGAAAUUAGAUCAAAGAAGAAAACCCACUUUAAACUCUAUUGAACUUAGAGGAAACCAUUGGUUCUUUCACCUAACAUUGUGAGAGAAAUCUCCUUCGAACUCAAGAAGCAAAAAUCAGCUCAACAGAGAAAACCAAGGAAAUAGAACAAAACUUCCAAGCAUUAACUUCCAUUUUCCUUGACUUCAAAAGUUUAACAAACAAACUCCCGGAAGAGAGAAAGGAAAGAUUUAGAAGAGAAGGGGUGGGCAAAUUACGAAUUAUUCCUAAAAUCCAAACUUCCCCAGAAAAUAAGCAAAAAUAAAUAAAAUAAAACUUAACAGCCGUUCAGUUUUCUUGAAAUUGUAUAGGAGAAAACGCACAGCCAAAACAGCUUUAAAAGUGCACUGGCAAUGCCAAUCCAACAAUUGCAAACCCAAAUAGAGCUUAAAGAAAAUUUUUGCUAUUUAGAGAAGAAGAAGUCCAGUCUAGAGAAACCCUAAACCUAAAUCUCCACCUCCCCCCACAUAGCCAAAAUGAUUAACCCACCAAACUUUACUAAAAAAACCAAACAUCAGUCACCGCAAACAGCUCACCUCAAAUACAACAACGGUGAAGCGGAUCUUAGCAUCAAAUUUACGAGCAGCACAUAGACUACACCGAAUCGUCUCCUCCAUUAAGAGUCGAAGAAGACUGAAACACUAACACAAUCAAUCCCAUCAAAUCGCCGGUGAUUUUCCGAUUGGGUUCAAAACCCAGUUAAACCAAAGACUCUUCUGCAUUAUAAACUAGUUAAAAGUAUAACGAAAUGGGGAGCUAAGAAGGAGCGUUUUGGAGUAAAAGAUGAAAUGAUUCAAAGGUAGUAAUGAAAUGGGGAAGUGGGGGUCCUCGAUUUCUCCGACCCAGUUGAAAUUUGUAGACUGAUUCAAAUCUGGAGCUCGUCAACGUAGGGAUAAGCAACCCAAAAGCACAAAUUCGGUGUACACAAGCACCUGGGAGCUCUUUCAGAGAAGAAAAUGAGGAAAGAGAAGAAGGAAAAAACAGUGACUGUGAAGGGGAAAGCGCUUAACAAAGCAAAAAUAAGAAAUAUCCAAGGGAUUGAGUGGGGGUGGGUGGGGAUCAUCAGUUUUUUUUUACACUAAACAAAAAUACAUUUCUUUUUCCCUAUCAAAAAAAAUUCAAACCCAUAACAAAUUUAAAUACAAAUAUUAGUCCCUACCUUACCUUACCUUCCUUGCUUACAACUACAAAAAAAAAAAAAAAACUCCAUUUUACCUUACCAUCACGUCUCUCUCCUUUUCUUUCUUUCUCUUUGGUCCAUAAAUUAUUAUUUAUCUUCAUUAAUGCUUGAUUAGGUCUAAAAUGUUGAUUUAAUUUUUCAAUUCCAAAAAUAAACUUUCUCAAUCAAAUAUUGCAUAAAUACUUUUUACUUACUAUAUAUUUUUAUCUACACAAAACUAAAAUAGAAUUUUAUAUAUAUAAAUCAUUAUUUUUCCAUUAGUUGAUUGGAAAGAAAAAUAUGACUCACAAUGGAUAGUGCAAAUUUAAUAUCCAAAAAAAACAUCUAUGUGUUUGGAGAUUGAUACAAAAAAGGAAAACCAUUUAAUCUAUAUAUUUCAUCCAUUAGAUAUGGAUUGGAAAUUAAAGUUCAUCUUAUCCCAUGUAUCUUUAAACUCUCAUUAGCAUUUAUGGUAUUUUUAUCUCCAAAUAAAUCCAAGUGUUAAUAUAAACCCAUCAAACCUAUCUUAUUUUUUUUGAUAAUUUUUAUAUUCAUCUCUAAACUUAUAAAAUUGGUAUAUUUACUUUUGAUCGUUUUUUAUCGUUCCGUUAUUAUACAAGUACAUCUCACUUGAAUGCUAAUCAAAAGCGGGAAAAUUCAACAUACUAAUGAAUAAGAAUAGACCCAUUCAUUCAUUAAUAAAAUGUAUUUUUCAAAUGACAUAUUACAUAUAGGGAUAUAUGGACAAAAUAACAUUUUCAUAUCAUAUUAACUUUGUUUGCUAUUUAAAUGAUUAAUCCAAAUAGAGAAAGGUAAUAAAAAUUAGUAGAAUGGAUGUAUAGAGUAUAUAAAACUUAAUAUUUUGAUAUGUGUAAUUGCAUUUAAUAAUCAAUUAAAGUAAAAUUGACAUGCUAUUGUCUUUACUCGAUAGCCACAUGCAAUGAUCUUAAAAACAAACUUAUUUAUCAAUCAUUUUCAAUAAAAAUUAGUCUUUUUUUUAAAAAAAAAGUUUGAAUAUUAGUUUUGUAUUGAAUACAAAUAAAACACUUAAACGGUAAAAUAUAAAUUAAUUAAGAAUUAAGAUGGAAUAGUCAUUAAAUAAAAAUUUGAAGAAUCAAUUACUUCCGGUUGACUUGACACAGUUGCCGAGAAGAUGGAAGGAAGAAAGGGAAGGAAUCGAAGAGAAGCUUUUGAUUUUCUUGGAUGAAUCGAACUUUUUUUUAGGGAAAAAAGAGCGCGCCAUUGAAAAGGUAACUUUAUUUUAUUUUCGUUGGGUUGAAGAAUUGGAUUAGUAUUAAUCGAAUUUUGAGUUUAGGGGAUAGGAAUUACGUGAAUUAGCUUUUUUGGUUUCGAACAUUUCUCAAAAGCUAUUAAACAAUAUCCUGAUUUGGGUUUGGUGUUUUCUUCAAACCCACUUUUACAAGCUUUCCAUAUGUGAAUAGUUUCUCACCCUUUCCUUCACUCACUCUUCCUUCUCCAUAUGUGAUCUAUGCCUCUGAUUGUUUUCUUAUAAAAUCCUAAUAAUCGAAUUGGUUACGGAAGAACAAGAAAUCUUUGAAAGUUAGUGAGUAGGUGUUUAGUGGGGAAAAAUUUUGUGUACGGAAGGUGUUUGUGAAAAUGCCUCUAAGAGAAAAACAGUGUUUUUUUUUAAGGUGGGGAUUGUGGCUUAUUUUAUACAAUUUGUUUUCUAAGCAUAUUUUGACUGUGGAAUUGGAAAGGGACUUUUUGGAAUCCAACCCAUUUGCUUUAAUUGCACAAAUUGCUAGUGGAAGGAUUUGACUGCAACUCAUGCAGUCUAAAUAAUGGUUUGUUAUUAUUAUUAGCCUAUCUGUCCAAUUCUAGUGUCAAUUAUUAGAAACUUCCUUCUCUGAGUUUGGUAUUUACCCACUAGGAUGGUUGAAUUUUCAGAUCUAUUUGAACUAUCAACCCAGAUCUGAAUCCACCUUGAUUCACUGAUACCCAUCUGCAUAUUCAAAUCAUCCUAGCAAACAGAUCAUUGCAGUAAGAACAAACUACUAAAAAAAGAUACUGUUAUUUCUUUUGGUUUCAUUUUAGUCAUCAGUGAACAUCUCUUUAACAUCAGUUCUCCUUGAAAAUCUUUGAAAGUUGUUGAAUUAAUUCUGUGUAACUGAUGAACCCUCAAGAUCACUACUGAUCCUCAUGUUCUAUAUGCUUUCCAGCUCCCAUUUUUCCACCCUGAGAAAGUGAAAGUGCCAAGUAAAGUUAGGUUGGAGUGAUGAUAAAGUUUUUGAAUGUUAAAAUUGGUGGGUGUGAAAUCUGCUUUGAUGUUGGAAAAGAAAAGUUAUCAGAAUCAGAAUCAUUCAGCUAUUGGAGCAAACCGAGCAAACACCUUCUAACUAAUCUAAUCAAUUCCCCCAAAGCUAUUUCCCAAUAAAACAAUUAUAUUUUUGCUCAGUUUUGCCAAAGCUUAAUUUGGUGAGAGCAGUUGGGUGGGUCUUGACAUCAUUUUUACCAAAUAAACUUUUAGUUAGCACCCAUUUGGUCGCCUACCAUGGUCCAUUAGUGUUUCUUUUCUUCGAUGAAAAUUUGAUAUUUUGAUACUCAGAAUCAUCAUUUUUUUUCCCCUUUUCUUUUUCUUUUUUUAAUAGGACAAGAUUCAUCCCAUUCCCAUUACAAGUGCCUGUAUUUUAAAGUCAUUCAAAUCUUACCCAUAUAGUUGGCCUAAAAUUUAAAAGUCACAAUCUCUCAUCUUAUCCAAAUGUAUCUAUAAUAUACUCUAAUGUAGAUGUUUCAUCCAAUAAUAAUUUUAAGUCUCCACUGUUUUUUAUUAUAAAAAAAAAUGUUUGUUUUUGCUGUGUUUGAAAAUAUCAUUUUAUUUUAGUACAUACGUAUAUUAAUUUUAUUUAACACGGUUUGUUUUCAUGAUAGCACAUAAUUAUUGUUUUGAUUUUAAUGAAAAAAAAGUAUCAGUGUAAAUAAAUCAUAGAUUAUGAUUGUUUGGGUGGGCUAACUUUAUUCAAAUUAUGUGGUAGAUAUAAAUAGGUCUUGAAAAAAAAUCUUAAUAUUAAAGGGAUUUGAAUUGAGAUAUUUUGUCGUUGGAUUAUGGGUUUGUUAUUGGUGAACUUCUUUAGCAAUUCUUUGUAUUUUAAUUUCAAAUAAAGCAUUCAUUUUACAACUUAAUUAUUCAGAUUUAAUGUCUAAUAAAACAGUACACCAUGAUUGAAAUUCGUUUAUCUCACUAACAAAUGUCAAAGUUAAAAAAUUUCAAUUGUACAUUGUGUUUACUUCAGACAUUACAUUAGAUGAUUUCUCGGAGGAAAAUUCAAUUUGAAGUUUCAUCUUCUUUUUCUUAUCUAACUUAUUUGAUUAAGUUCAAUUUCCAUACCAAACAAAAGAUUUAGGUAGGAAAAAAAAGUGAAGAAAUAGAAGCAUUAUUGGAGUUUCUGGUGAUUAAAAAUAAAAUUCAAAUGACUUUAAAAUGAAUAAAAUUAGGGUUGGAACAAUAGGUGGGGGUGUUCAUGGAGGGGCCAUCUAAAGUGCCUUGAUAAUUGAGAACCCCUAAUUAUGAGACUCCCCAAAUUAAAUUAUAUAUAUACAAUUCCAAAGGGGAAGAGGAUUGGUUAGUCAAUUGUCCUUUAUUUGAUUAGUUUUUAGGAUUGCUAUUGAGUGGCUUCUAAAAUGAAUUUUGCUCAAUGUGAUAUGUAAUAACACAGACCGAUACCUAAGUCUUAUUUUUGUUUUAAUUUUUACUCAAAUUUUUAAUAUAUAUUUUUUUUAUGUUUUUAUUAAUCAUUCAUUGAUUUUAAUUCACUUAAAAAUAGGACUCACAGACUCUACCACGUAUUAAUUCAAACACUUUUUCAAGUAGACAUUUCUUCCAUCUCAUAUCAACUAUACAUAAAGAAUAAUUGUUUAUGGAGAAUUUACGUACUAAAAAUGUCUAAAUUUCUAAUUAUUUUAUUUAUAAUUUUUUUAAUAUAUGUGUAUUAUUCUCUUAUUUUUUAAUAUAUAUGUUUGUUUGUCUUUUACGAGUCCAAAAUUGUUAGAAAAAACAUUAUGUCAAAUGAGUUACAACUAUUUUGACACGCACAAAUGCAUGCACACAUAUACAUAAAUGUAACAAAAUAACAAUAUAUAUAAGUGAUAGAUAUAGAUAAAUGUGAAUUGAUAUCUAUCGGUUGACAUUUUUGUUAUAUCUAUAAAUAAUUUAAGUAGUUUCGUGAUUAAGAAUAUUUUGGUUAUAUAUUUAUUUAAAAUAUGAGUGAAGCAAAGAUGAUAAUGAUGUGUUGCCCCAUAUGGUGGUGGCAAGGGAACUCUUAACACAAUUGCUUUUAAUUUUCUUCUUCCAUUGACAAAAGAGAACAAAGUGGGCCUUGGUUAUUGGGCCCAAUUUCCCUCUCUUAGGACAUGACCCCUCAACCUCCCAUCCCCAAUUUCUCAGAUUUUAAUAUAAUUUGUUUUUUUUCUUUAUAGGGUGUACUAGUUCUUGAUCUGGGUCCCAUGCAGAAUAACCAACCAUACUAUAAACAGAAAUUAAUCAGAGAUUAUUAAUUUAUGUUGUCUCUGACUUUCAAAUUUUGUUUCUUUUAUAAUCUAUACAAUGGGAAUGAGUUGGUGCACCCAAUUAUCCUAAUUAGAUUAACAUAAUCUCAUCACCCUUCUCAUCCAAUCAUUUGAAAAAUAUCAUUGAAGUUAACAAAGAAUAAUAUACACAGAGAAGAGAGAGAUACGAUUUAGCCAAGCUAAAGAAUUCAAUUGAUAUAAAUAAAAGAAUAGUAUAAUGAGUAGACAAAGUAAGCAAGUCUCAACUUAUAUUACUUGUUAUUCUUGCUAUAGUAUUUGUUUGUUUAUUUUUACAACAUGAUGAGAUGAGAUGAGAUGAGGAUGUGAGGAUGGAAGAUGGAAAUGAGAUAACACAUUUCUACUUUACUCGAAAGGAAGAAGAGGUAUGUUUUAGCUUAGAAUGAUGUGAUUGAUUGCAUAAUCUCUCUUUUUACUAUUUUUAAUAUCACUUUCAUCUAUAGAUCUGUUUAUAUAUCUUUAUAUUAAUUUGGGUUGCAUUUAAUAUUACUUCAACCAACCUUGUUUUAUUUUUUCAUUAAAAAAGAAAAGACCUUUGUUUAGUGAAAGACGGUGUUCCCAGUUUCAAUCUAGGUAUCCUUUCAAUCUUUGAAAUUUUAUAGUACAUAGUCAUUUUUAAUGGAUUUUAGAGAUUGAAAAACACACAUUUUUUACGGUAAUUAAUUUGAAAUUAUGAUUUAUUUUAGUAGACAUUAUAAUUUGUUGACAUUUGAUGGAACUUUGUUUAAAUUACAAAUUACGAGUUUAGUUUCUAAACUUCUGUAUCUAUAUAAUUUAUAGACUUGUAUAUGUGUAUAGGAAAAGAAAAUGGAAUGAGAAUGGUGGUAUUUAGUCGAGUUGGACAAGAAGAGUCAGAUUAAUGAUUCUAAAGAAAUACAUAUGGAAACAAUAAUUAAUUUGUCUUGUUUAGUAAAGAUACAUUACUAAAUAUCAAAAUGAGAGGUUAGAAAAAUGUCAAUAGCCUUAGAUAGUUAUCAAACAAUGUUUAAUACAUCUACCCAAUUUUUAUAUAAAAGCGUUGAUCGAAUAAAUAAGAAUGCAACUAAAAUAAUUAACUACACAUAAAACUUAUUAAAUAAAAAUGUAUGUAAAUACACUUUUUUUUUUACUUUUUUUUUAAGUACUUUUGUUAUUCCAUGUAAUAAAUUUACUUUCUAAAUUAUUGAACAUGUGAUGUACAUGUCAUAUCUUAUUGUCUUAAAUCUACAUUUUUUUUUUAAAUAAUUAAAAAGUAUGAGUAAACCUGGUUGAAAACUUCAAGUCUAGUUGGUACCAUCACCAAUAAGAUUUUGUACUUGUAAACGAGUUCAACCUCGUUGAACUGGUAGGUUAGUAUUGAAUAAAACAAAUUUUAAGAUGUACUGUGUAUAGGUUUUUUAUUAAAUACCUAAUAAAAUAGACUUAAUUUAAAACUUUUGUAGAAAAAAAGAAUCCCAAGUUUUGUGUAAAACUAAUAAUAAAAAUCCCAAGUAUUGUGGGUUAGAAUAAAAUAAAAGUUGGGUGGAAAAGUGGGGUCGUAAGCCAUGAUGAUUUCUUUUAUUUGAAUUCAUUUGGAAUGAGAUGGGGAAGUUCAAGUUGGAAGUCUCUUUUCUUUCCAUUUUUUCAUCUGUAUGUACAACACAAUAUAUUGUAGUGAAAGCAAAUAUAUUCCUCUUUAAACCAACAUUUGACAAAGCUUAUCCACUCUUAAUGAGUCCAUAUUACAUAAGAAAGAAAAAGAAACACUAUUACGAAACAAAUACAGUCAUUUAGAUUUAGAUAUAAUAGCUUUUAUAAUUUUGUUAGAUGUUUUGAUUUCUUGAUUCAUUCUCGAAUUGGACGAUGUUUAUUGUGAACUUGGUUGUCGUAGUUAGUUAGAUGUGUCUAUAUUCCUAAUGAUAGAAAGUAGGUAUCGGUUUGAAUUUCCUUGCACUCCUUUUGCUUUGGAAUAUAUAUAUUUUUUCACAAUUACCAUUUUUGGUAAUAUAUAAAUAUAUAUAGAUAUCCUUUUCCCUGUGUUUUGCUAUGGCCUUUAAAGAUUCUUCAUUCCAAUAACAAUUUUGUUGACACGUUUGAAUGCGAUUGGAGGAAUGUGUAAAUUUACUAUUUUAUGUCACACAUUGUUUUUUAACUUUAGGGGUUCGGAUGAGUUUGUUUCAUAUAUAUAUAUAGAUAGAUAGAUCUAAACGUGUGUGUUUUUUUGGUGUCAUUCUACAAUUUGUCCAGAUGAAUUUUACAACUUUGACAAGGUGUACUUUCGAUAUAUACUCAUAUGUGAAUACAUAUCACUAAGUCAAGCCGAUUUUAUUGAAUAUGUUUCGUUUGUAUAGCAGAGGAAUUAUUUAUCACUUUAAUCAAGCGAGGUAAUGGAGAAGAAGAUGGGCUUGGGCUACAUGACAGGCCAUUUAACCAACCCAGUAGCCUAGCCCAGUCAACUGAAGUGUUCCUAGCUUCGAAUUGUACUUCGUCCGGGCCUUCAGGCCCAAUACUCACACCCUUUCGUUGUGUACUGAACCAAGCCCAAUUAAUUAAAAUAAAAAAAGAACAGAUAAAUAAAAUUUUAAACUGUUUCUUUAGUUUUCAAUUUUUUAUUUCGUUUUCGAAAAGAUUAGCAAAAUUAAAUAAUAAAACAAUAACUUAAGAUGUGAGAGUAUUUAUAAGCUUUUUAACUUUUUUACCUCUAAAUACAAAAAAAAAAAAAAAAAAAGGUUACUAAUCAAAUAAAAGAUGGAAAUGCAAAUAUUUGUAGUACGAAGUCGUUUUAGGACUCUUUCCAUGAUUAAGAGAAUCGUUCGAACUUGGAAUCAAUUAAUUUUAUUCAUAAAAUUCCAUUAUUGGUUCACAUAAGGUCUCCAUACAUCUUCAAAUGCUAUAUAGUUGUUUCUUAGACUAAACAUUUAGAGAGAGAGACUCACAAUUAAUAUUCUAAAAACUACACACAAAUUACAUCACAUUUGUGUGUUACCUUACAAUAAUAAAUGGGCCUUCGCUACGAAAAAGCCCAUCUCAUCACACCCAUCACUCCACCACCGACGCCGGCGGCGGCGGAGAGGUAUACAGAAACGCAGAAGGAGGUGGCGGAGAAAGAAACAAGAAGGCCGACGGAGGCGGAGGCGAAGACUGUCUUAAGAAGCGUCUAGCAGGAGGUGGUGGGGAGAGGUAGAGGAAUGCAGAGGGAGGCGGCGGAGAGGUGAAGAGAUAGGCAGAUUUGGCAGAUUGCUUCAGCUCGCGGGCAUGGACAGAUGAAUGAGAGAAAAAGGAGAGAAGGGAAAGGAAGAGGAGAAACAACCCUACACCGUUCAUUUUCUUGAUCCAAUAUGAGUAUGAAGAUUGUAUCUCAAAUUCAAACCUAACGUCAAUUAUUUAUAUUAACACUUUUACAUAUUUGGUAUUAACAAUACACCUAAGAUAUCACAAUUUCAACCUUUAAUUCAAUUUAUAAUUACCAUAACUAUUUGUAUGUCUUACUAUAUUUGUAUAAUUGCAUUUAUUUGUUCAAAUAUAAUAAGGUAUAAUAAAGGUGUUCAUAAUUCAUAUAUGUAAAGCAUAACGUAUGAUAUUAAUACUAUACAAAAACACUUAUGCAAAAUUUGGAAGAUAAGUUCAAAAUGAUAUUAUUAGCAAAAGAAAAGGAAUAGAUAGGGAAGAAAAAUGAUUAGUUUGAGGCUCCAAGAAUCACUUUAAUUGGUAUCUCGUGCUUUGUGUAAACAAUACACAAAAUUUCAUAAGAGAGAAAAAAAAAAAAAUGCUAACUGCUCUCAUUAUGUUUUUAUUAUUAUUUUCUCCCUUCACUUUCUCAUCAUUUCUAUUUAUUUAAAUAUUAAAUCAUACUCUCACUUUGAGUUUAGUGCAAUUUUGUCUUUGUUUUUGGUAGCAACAGUUAACAAAAAAAAAAAACGACUAUUACAUACUUUUAACCAAAAUACGUUUAGAGUUUCAAUAGAUAUAAAUUUAAAAAGUUUAGGACAUAGUAUAAAUGAUUCAAGAUUCAACGUAUUACACGUAUGGAAAGGUUAGAAUUUUAAUCUUUUAUUUUGAAUUUGUAGUAUUUAUAUAAAUUGAUAAAUUUAUAAGAAGUAAAUUAAGUUUCAUUUUUUUUCAUCACUGCUUAAUUUUAAACUUUCAUUUUAGAAUUGUUUUUAAUUCAUUAAGGGAGAUGCCAACGUCAAUGAAUGAAUUGAGUAUUGAAUAAAAAAUUAAGAUCGAUAGUGUAAAUGUUGAAGUCUAAUAAUCAAUUUGAAACAAAAAUCAAAUAUGAUAGGUGAAAAAGAAAUAUAUUUGAGUUAGUAGAAACUUAGAUCCAAACUCCUACAGAGUAAAAAGGAACUUUCUUUUCAAAAUUUACUUUUAUAUCUGUUAGAUUCUAAUUUUAUUAAUGUAAAGGAUAUUUGAUAUAUAGUUACCAAAACUGAUCCAAUUAGUUCUAAAUGUAAUGUUCAAAUCUGCUACCUCCUUUGUGGUUAAGAAUGCAUGCCAAUGUAAAAUGAUAGUAAUUACAAAACAUCUAACAUUCUAUUUAGAUCAAACAGAGGAAUGACUAACGUGUGAACAUGAAAACUAUGGAAUUUUCUUGGUCCAAGUAAUGAAAACAACAAUGUGUUGCAUGUGGUGAUUUUGACCUAUGCACUCCAAAAGAAUAGAACAAAGAUCAUAGAAAUUGGGAUUUGGAAACAGCAAACAACAAAAUAUGUACAUUUUUGGGCAAUGGAAACCCCAAAAGUUAGUCAGCAUUACAUUAAACAAAGCCUUAGAAAAGCAAGUCAUUUGGGGCAUUUCUCUCUCAUAGGUCUCUAAUAUUUGCAGUUUACACAUAUCUACAUCACAACUUACAAGUAACAUCGUCACUAAAACAAGAUAUUACUCUAUUAACUACUACGAUAGGAUCGUGCUGACACCCCCCUUCUAAUCCCGACCAGAAAGACAAAAACCAUUUGCGAUCGAUCGAUACAUAUGUUACAGAUAGAAUCGAAACAUUUUUUUUCUUUUUGAUUCAGCUGAAUUAUCUGUUAGCAUGGGAAUCAACUUAAUGGAUUCGCCAGUUUCUCUACUCUUCUCAUUUGCACACUGUCUUCAGCCUCUUUGCAGCCUUCACAAAACCCAUUAUGACCUGCAACUCAUCCAGUUGCUACACAACCAGAAAAGAAAGAAAUGAUCUUACAAUAAGUCAAAACAAUUAUUCUAUGCAACAUGGAAGAACAGUUUUCUAUGUAAGGGGAAAAACUCCAACUACCUGUGACAUGAAAUGCCUCUGAACUAGGUCUACCAAUUGCUCUUUUGACGGGUUUGGAAUGGCAUCUACCUGCACAAAUCCACGGAUUUCCAGGUAAAGUCCAUUGAUUUUUAGGUAACGAAAGAAACUUCAUAACAAACAAGGCAUCGGCAUUCGAAACUUACCAGAUUAAAGUGUCGCCAAUAUCUCCACAGUGCAGCCAUCUCCAAUUUACUAAGGUCAACCUUCUACACGGGAGGCGACAAUACAAGGGGGAAUUAGUUUAAAUUGCAAGGCAAUUGUACACAUUUUGCAAUACACAACAUUAAACGAAUAUACCGUGGAUCCUUGAGGUGCAGAAACUGAGCUCUUUGACUGUGAGUCACAGGAAAGAGAUCUACUCAUUGUCUUGUGAGAUGAUCCAGAUGAUUUGUGUAACUUAUGCCUUGAUUUGUGGGAUUUUUGGGCGUCAUCAGAUGCUGAGAAUCAAGAACAGUUGAAAAUGUUAUCAUGAAUGAGUGACAGGGGUCAGAAAAAAGAUAAAAGAAAAUGUGGAGAAGAACAAUUCAAGAAGAGGAAAAGUAAAAAGUGAAUUCACAAAGGAUCCUAUGCUGCGGUCAACACUAUCUAGAACCAACAAACACUCGACCAAGAUUAUUAAGUUAUCCCUACUGCUGCUCCACCACUGCUAAUUUUCAAAGAACUUGCAACUUAUUUUCAUUUUCAAGAAUUGCAGUGAAGAUAUUUGUGAGGGUUAGGGUUCUUCCGCACUAGAAAUCACUGUAGAUACCAGACCUAAAACUUGUUUCUGCCGAUAUAUGGUUCAAAAAAGCAUAAAUAUACGGCUGUGGUUCAGAAAAAGAGGCAGAGCUAUACGAUUUUACUUGCAACAAGUUAUCAAGAGAAAAAUCAGGACAUGAAUCCAAAGACAACCAGACAAAGAUAGACAACAGUUAUGGGAUAAACUCAAUUCUAUUCUAAGACAGCUAAUAAAAUUAGAAAAAGAAGAAUGAUUGAGCUGAGACAUUGAAUUGGAUCAUUAGCUGCGAGACCCACCCAUAUCAAUUCUAUUCCAUUGCAAGUUCUCAAAUUCGAGAUCAUCGUCUUCCUCAUUACCCGUCGGAGCCUCGAUCACACUAAGCGCAUUCCGCUGUAGUUUCACCUCUAUACCAUUUGUUAGAACCUGCAAGUAAUCCCCAUUCCAAGUCACAUCCAGGAAAAAUGAAUCAAAACCAAAAAACCUAAUUCCUAAUAAUCGAGAAAGAAAUGAGCAUCCAAUAACACACCGAAAUCACAACUUAAAUGAAGCAGAAAAAAAAGGGAAAAUUUCAACUCCAAUUCAAGUGAUAAAAAAACCCAUCAUAAUUUCAUCUAAUACGUUGAAUUAGGCCAAACAAGAGCAAAGAAAAUAAAACAAUCCUGCCCAGAAAACGGCCGAGGUAUUAAGAAAAUGGGUAUCAAAUUCAUUGUAGAUUUGGGAAAACUGAUAUAAUCAUGAGAUCCAAUGAUUAAACGAACAUGCAAUAGAGAAUAAUAUAGAUAGAAAUUGAAGAUGCCAUCCCAAAAAACCAGUUCUCUAUUAAAUCCAAAUUACAGUAAAGAAAACCCUGUAUUCUGAGUUAAUAACAACGAGUAAAGCAAAAAUACUCAAAUCCAGAAUUGGCUGAUACGCGAUCUAAGAUCUAAUAUACAAAAUUGAACUAAAAAAAAAAAAGGGAAAUUGAACAGACAUUGAUAAGAAAACAUGAAAUGAAUCCUCACAUUAUAACCCAGACUGAGAAUCCAAAGAAAUUCAAUGUCUGUUAAAAACCCCAUUUCUAAAAAAACCCAACUCGAGUAAAAAAAAAAAAAACAAAAAACAAAAAAAGAGAAAUCACCAGCCAAUGCCACCCGCCAAGCCCAACGGCUUUCUUAACAACGCCUUGAAGUCCAACAAGGACGGAUUUGGUACGAUUGUUUCCAGUAACAACGACCUUUGUAUGGCGAGGAAGCACGGAAAGCUCUUCCUCACUACUAUCCCCACAGCUCUGCAAAUGGGAGAACCCGCCAUUGAUAGAACUCUCCACAGCUUCAAUCAUUUCCAAAUGAAAUGGGGUUAUUCAGAUAAAACGAGGGAACAAAGAAGAUUCAGAAAAGGAAAUGGAAAAUAAGAAAUGGGAAAUAAUACGUAGAUAAAAGGGCAUGCAAUGGGGAAAGCAAGAAGGGGAGAGGAAGAAAAAAAAACAGAGAGAGAUUACGGUUUAGGAGUGAAAGCAGAGAGAAGAAGAAGAAGAAGAAGAGGAAGAAGAAGAAGAAGAAUGGAGGAAAAAGACAGAUAUUGUUUGAGUGGGUGGUGGUGUUGCUAUGAAUCCCGACGACCGGUGACGGACAAAUAAGAAGAUGACACGUAAGAGAGAGGUAUCGAUAAUCAUGCACUUGGUGGGGGAGCGGGUUUGCGGCAUGAUGCUCCCAAUACCACCGGUGGUUUCAAUUUCUGCUUCCCCAACAACGCCUCCUUUCCUUUCUUUUCCGGAGUUGACUUGUUGACCUUUGCUGUAACCCACUACUUCACUUAACUUAAUCCCCCCCCCCACCUCCAUUUACCAAAUUACCCCUACUCUCUUCCUAUCUCCUUUCUUUUCAUUUUCUAUUUAUAUACAUAUAUUUGUUUUAGAGGAGAAAACUUUGAGUUCCAAUUAUUGUGUGUAUAUGAAACAGUUAUUCAUCAUCAUUCUAGUUGAAUAAUCAAUGUAAAUAAAUAAUUGAACAAACCUAAUGUAAAAAGUAAAAAUAAUCCAACUAUCUUUAUUCUCUAACCAAAUUUACCGCCACAUCCAUAACUCCUCUUCUAUCCACCUUUUCAUAAUAUCUUACAUCAAUUUCCUCCCAAAUCUCACUCAUAUAGCUAACAAAACUUUUUAUCUUUUCAAUUCUUUUAAAUAUACCAAAUUAAAUAAAUAACCAACUAUAACUAUCAUUCUAAAUUUACAAAUUUUCCUACACUUUUUUUCAUUUCAAAUCAUUUUUCUUUAUAUGUUUUACAUUCAUUUCUAAAAUAGGUUUUGUGUAGUACAAAAUAUCUCAAAUCAUCCAUUAACUUAAAACCAACAUUUAUUCUGAUACCGAAUAAAAUUUUGAUUUUAUAUCAUCAAAGUUACUUAAUUACUAGCAAAUCCUCGUUUAAACGGUGUUCUUGAAAUUUAAAGGGUUUUUUUUUGUAAAAAUAGCAAAAAAAAAAAAUUAUGAUAAUAGAACUGUUGUCACAAUAUUUAACAAAUUAAAAAAUGACGACACUCUAAUAGCUUUAUUAUUACCAUUCGAUAAUCCUAUGAAUAUCGUUUAAUACUACUAAUUUUGUCAUAUUUGCAAUAUACAAAAAAUUUGUCAUUUAAUGUAAUUUUUCAUUUUAUAUUAUAUUGGUGACAUCAAUAGAUAGUAAUAAAGUUAAUUUCUAUUAUUAAUAUAAUCGAAAGUUUUGUUAUAAUUUAUAGAUAUUUUAAUUUAUUUUGUUUAUUUAUUAAAAUGUCAUUUUUAACUAAAUAAAUUAAAAAAAAAAAGAAUAAAAUUUCAUAUUUAACCUCAAAGGUUAUAAAGCUGGAGAAUGGAGCGUUGAAAGUCGGAAGGUGGGCUGUUUUGUAAUUUCAAUGUAAAACAUUAAAAUUAAAAAGGGAAAUAAAAUUGGUAAAUAAGGAAGAAGAAGAAACGUAACGGCAAAAUCCGGAUUUUUCUUUGUGUUCAAAUGAAUUAUAAUUUUAUUUUUGUGCGUCUUUUAAAACGCGGGCACCACAUCUCUACCUGCCGUCGGUGUUGUCGUAUAUCUCCCCCUGCUCUCUCUCCCACACCCAAUAAAUACUCCCCCUACAUAAAUCCUUUGAGAACUCAAACCCUAAAACUUAAUUUUUCCCCUUUGUCUUAUUGACUUAUAAUUUCUCAGCAUUGAGGGAUUAAUUAAGUCCAGUAAUUUAAAAAAAUAAAAAAAAAGAGGGUUUAUUAGGGUUAUUAAAUUAAUUUUCCCGCCAUAAGGGGGGAAAGGAGAAGCGUAGGAUGGGAUUCUCCCGCGCAAAGGGAUCCAAGGGUGAGAAAGAAAGAAAGAAAAGAAGGGAGGGAGGGAAGGAGGGGACGUGGAUAAAGGUAAGGCAAGGCAAGGCAUGUUUUCACAAAAAGCAUGUGUAAUGAUGAUAAAGUGUAAAAGAAGGGAAUAAGGCUUUUAAAAACGGCGUCGUAAAAGGAGACCCUGACUCUGACCCCAUGAAUGUGAAAGUAACGUUACUACUCCUCUUUUUUUCUUUUUUCUUUUUUCUUUUUUAUUUAUUUCCUUUUCUUUUUUCGUAAUUCAUUUAAAUAUUUAUAUUCCCAUCCUUCCUUCCGUACAGCGAAGUUUCCAUGCUUGUGAUGUGUGAACCCAAAAAUUAAAUUAGUUAAUAAUUAACAAUAAAUAAAAAGCUGAUAAUUUUCUUUUUGUCUCAUUUUAGAUCUUUGUAAAAUAUUUUUAACCCUCUAAUCAAACUAUUAAUUUUCCCUCUAAAUCUUUCUUUCUCUCUCACGCUUUAUUUUUCUUUUUUUUCAUUCUUCAGCUUUCCAAUCUUAUGUUGACUGUUGUAAUACUGUAAUAUUAAUUUGGCUGGAUUAACAUACACUUCUGUUCAUUCCAAAAUAAUUUUGGUUAACUAAAUUUAACGUCCUAUUAAAAAUAAAACAAUUAAAUGUAGAAAAGUGUUGUCCCUAAAGUGAAAUGAGAUUUGAAGAACACGUAUAAGAUUGAUGGUGAGGUUGGUAAUAGAAAAACAGUGGUAUUUGUUUUCAUAGUCCAAUAGUUAGUUAGUAUGAGAAUUUAAACUACAUUGGAUUUGAAUGUAUUACUUUAAAUGUUUAAAUUGAUAUGAGACAAAAAUUAAAAUAUUUGAAAGGCAAUGUUACUAUUUUAGUCCGUGGUAUAAUGGUUGGUCAUCUCUUUCUUGUUUGGGAUAUUUUGGAAAAUAAAAGCUCUCCUUGUGAAAAGUGCAAUCCUAUCCUCCUAUUGUGUUCUUAGCAAUUCAGUCACGUGAGUUCCGAUUACAUAGUUAAUGUGAAAUUCAAAUUUGAUAUCCAAUAAUGAAAUUAAAUUUAAAAUAUUUGAUGAUAUAAAUUUAGGAGAGAUGUGUUUUGAAUUUGAAAUUUGAAAAAGGAAAGAAAAGAAGAAGUAUGAAUUGGGGAAUUGGCAAUGGACCCAAUGGCUCACUCCAACAGUUAGUUUUUCUCACACUUCACGAGACAAACGAAACAUAACCCUAUAAGUUUAUCUAAUAAAAGUUUAAGAGAGAUAAAUAAAAUGAUUGGUCAUCCCGUUGUCCACGUGUCACUGUACCCCUGCAAAGGCAGUAAAGAUAAAUUAUAAUUGCCCUGACCUCUACCCCCUGCCCGUUCUGCCCCCACCCCUUAACAAAUAUAUAUAAAUUAUUAAAUAACAACAACUCUUAUUUCCUUAAUUAUUUAAGCAUUUCCCCUUUUCCUUUACCCCAUUCUCUUUUUCUUCAUCAUCAUCCCAAAAAUCACACACUUUUGCCCAAACAAACAAAUAAAUAAACUCAUCAUUCUUCAAUUUUAAGUGUUGUAUUCUUUUUUUAUAUAAUUGAGUUCCCAUUAGAGCUCUCGGCUUUGGGUGUGGAGAAUGAGAAUGGAGCCUUUAGUUUAGUACAUUUUUUUAGUAUUCUUGUAUUUAGUGGUUUACUAUACUCUCUGUUUUUUAUUCAAAAAUAUUAUCGUUGGUGGGUUGGUUUCAAACGUUCGAACAUAUAUUUUUUAUUAUGGAAAUCAUGUCAAAUAAAUUAUAAACUUCAAACCUUUAAUGUUUACGACGUUUAAAUUAAUACAAUUAAAUUGUGGUAAAAGUUGGGUGUGAAUUGGUUUUUUUGUAAGCUAACUAUUUGUGAAGUUUUAAGAUAGGUUUGUUUUAUUAAUUUUAGUUAAAUUUGAACAAACAGUUUUAGUCAGUAGCAUUAAACAAAAACAUGUGAGUUUUGCACUGUGAUUUGUUUGAAAUCUAUGAAUUAAAAGAGUUGUUUUUAUCGUUUAUUGUUUACAGUAUAGAAGGACAAUAAUUUGUAAGGAAAAAAAAGAAAAAGAAGGGAAGAAGAAAAGGGACAUAAAAGUGAUACAAAGGACAGUGGUGUGUAUACAUACAUACAUAUAUGAUAUGAUGAUAUAACAUAUGGUUUUGGAUUAGUCCAAAAGGAGAAAAUAAAGUCACGCUGUUGAACGGAAUCCAAUGUCUUUUUUCAAACUUUUAAAUUCCAUUCAUCAAAUUUAUUAAUAAUGUUUAUUUCCACAUAUUAUAAAUCAUUGCUUGAGAACCGACUGAGUAAAUUUAAUUGAUUAUUGGUUUAAUGUAUAAUCCAACUUUAGACUUUUUUUAAAAAAAAAUUAUUCUAAAUAAUACAUACAUGAGUGAGAUGUGAGAUGAGAAAAUUGAACUCAACCUUUAUUGAAGAUGACAUUCACAUACACACUUUAGGUCAAAUACAAUACAAUAAUUUGGUCUAUAAAAAGAAAAGAAGAAGAGAAUUUCGUGCAAUGACUUUGUAAAAGAAAAUAAUAAUAAAAAGAAGAAAAAAGAAAAAAGGUGUUAUGGGCUUCCGCAUGUUUGGGCUGGGCCGGCCCACUGGAAUUCGGUCCGUGCAAUCAUGAAGUAGCGUCGGUUCGCGUCCUUCAACUUGCUGCAUAAAUUUCCAUAUAAAAACAUUAUGAUUAUAGAAUUUCCGGAAGUAUAUAUAUUUUAUAUUUUCAUUAUUAACAAUAAGUCUCAUUAAAUUGUUCCACUUACUUAAUAAGUAAGUAUUCAUUAUUUUAAAAUUAUAAUGUUUAGUUAUUUAGCUCUUACAUAGAUUCUAUUAUCCUUUAUUGUUCAACUAAAAAAGAGUAGGAAGAAAAUAACAACAAUAAUAAUUAAUCUACCAGAUACCAUUUUUCUUUUUAACAUGUAAAAACAAGCCAUUUAUCUCUAGAAGCUUAUGAAGGUAAAAGUAGAAGCACAAAUUUUUAAAAAAUCGACAAUGUUAACAUAUUCCUUCUUAUUAAACUUAAAUUAAGAUUUUUAAAACAAGAAGAAAAAAAAUAGAGCAAUGAAAUAAAUUAAUAAAACACAACAGUAAAUUAACUACAAGUUGUGAAUCUAAAAAUCGGUAUUUUCUUUAAGUUUAUUAAAUACAUAUUAAGAGUAAGAUUUAUAAUACAUUCAAUGGUGCAAAAGUGAAAUUGGCAGAAUACUAAAUCAAGACAUUUGAUCACAAAUUUACACAAUCAAAGUGGAUUUCAAGAUUCUAAAAAACACUUAAAAAGGAAAAGUGUGUAUAUAUAUAUAUAUAUACACAAUGGUGGGUUGGGUACUCAAAAGUGAACAACCUCUCUACAGUUACAUUGACUUCAGUCAGUUAACAAAUGAAGUCAAGUCGAACACUUAGAUAAUAACAAUAAAAAAGGUUAUGUCUUCUAAGAAAUAAGUCAUAUCAACUACAAGACAUCUCAUCUCUAGAGCCCCUGUUCUACAUUUACUCUAUACAUGCAAAAACCGACGAGAACUUAAUCAAACAGGAUAAUUUGAAUUUUAGUAGUAGUCUGCUCAAAGCCAUCGUUACUCUAUUGCCAUUAUUAACUUGCUUCUAACUGCCCUGUGCUAAAGUACCAAACGUGUGAGAUAAUGCUAAGUGUAAGGAGACGAUUGAGGAGAGAUCUAAAAUGGAAAGAAGCAAAGAUACUUUUUCUGAAUCUUCUUCAUUCUCCCAACUGCCUUCUUCUUUUUCUUCUUACCUCCAUCCACAGCUGUUUCUUGACCGCUUGAGACCAUCUUCUUGUUGUGGGAACUUGAUGCUCCUUGCAAUUUGUAGCAUUUUUUCUCACUUUGGCUUGGAAGUUUCAACUCUGGUUCUAGGCGCCCUGAACUGGACUCUGUAGAAUCGGUUUUGAGAUUUUCUGUUGUUGGCGAGUGGCUUGAUCUUUUGAUGCUCACGAGAGAUUCUGUGUACAAGAAGACUAGUUUAAAAGCAGGAUAUAAAUACAGCAUGAGGCGAAGUCGUGUAAACAUCGUGAGCACACAUUUUGUAAUAGUGAAUCUAUGGUUGAAACUAUCGGCAGAUUUAGCAUAGGCUUGAGGGCCCGAUACCCCUCAACUUUAAGCUUUUUAUAUUGUAUACAUAUAAAAAGCUGAAAUUGAAACAUAGCAGAAUCUUUUGUUCUGCCUUCAAAUUCAAACUAGAUUAUUCUUGAUUCAUAGGAGUGCAUUCAAUGGAAGGAUAAAUAAAUUGACAAACCUGAAGCCCCCUGAUGCGCCACCUCCUUCUUUAUUCUGAAGGGUGCAGAAGAACGGAUGCAGGCAGCAUGUCUUUGUGCCCUAUCAUGGUUAAUGUCAUGUUCUGCAUCACAUAGUACAUCCAUCACAUCAAAGUCUUCAUCCGAUGACAUGGUCAAGCAACUAGAAUUUGGAGAACUCGAUGAAGAAGAUGAAGGGACAUCAUUUAGUAAAUCCAGCAACUCCAAGUAGUCGCCUUCAGAGAUUGCAUCCCUCUCAGGAUGCACGUCUUCUAAAUGAAGAUCCACAGGUUUUCCUGAAACUGCCAAUUCUACCAUCUUGUCAUCUUCACUCAUCUACAAAAUAUUAUUUGUCAUUAACUGAAAAUAAAGACACCAUUUGCAGCUCUGUACCAAGUAAGAAGGAAAUAAGAAAUAGAUGGGAGAGAUCGGUUUCCAGUCACAGUAAAAACAGGUAAAAAAGAGAGCACCAAAUGGAUAUACAAAUCCAGUCUCAUAUCAACUUUUAGGAAGAGAAGCAUGAUUAUCAGCAUAUAUCAAAAUACAGGGGGUAUAAUGACAACUACCUCAGACUUGCUUGUGGACCCAUUUGCCAUAUUAUUCGAAGUCGAACCAUCUGAAACAACCAACUGAUGAUUUAAGUUGGGUUCUGAAUUGAGAGUAAUAGAUAAGUCGAUUUUCAGAGUGUUUUCAUGGUUUUGAAAUUGUUCAUCUCCAAGAAAGAUUUUGCAAAGUGAGAUGGUUUCCUGCAUGUUGCCCAACCAAACAAGCAAUUGACUGACAGGUUGGGUAGAAAAAAAUUUGAUGGGAAAUGUCAGCUUUUAAACUUUCUGGCAAAUAGAUUGCAGGAUAUACCUUUUGCUUGCUAUUUUCACUUAGGUCUGUCUGACUCAUCCAGUACUUUUGCAUAAUCCAGGCUGUUUUACACUCGUAAGGUGCUUGGCCUUCAUAAUAUUCAUAAGUUGUUCUCCAGCCGGUGAAAGAAGAAUCUGAAAACAGCUUCCAAGCUCCACUCUUCAGCUUCCAGGGACUAAAACUUGAGUCGGCAUUCCCAUGGGACACAACGUAAAACCAAACUCCAUCUGGACAUAAAAAGCACCUUAAGCUUCAUUGAAAUUAAAACAAGCUCAACUUACAUUACAAAUUUAUACUUGUCUGCUAUAACACUGUUUCUUGUUCCAAAAAAGAUUCUUUACUUUGACACAAUGAUUUGUGAAAGGACCCAAUUUGGAAAAAAGAAGGAAUUAAAAUUGAAGUUGUCAUAUGAUAUAAACCAAAAAUUACAAAGUUUAACCCAAAGUACUUCAAGAGGCAUAGACUCUUGAAUAACAGCAUCAUAUCCAAUCAUCUCAAAGCUGUAUUUCUCAAGAUAGCUCAUGAAUCUAAAAACAUGAAUUCUUGUAAGUUGAGACAAGGAAAACAUAAUAAGUACCUGGUAACAUUUUAGGGUUACACCCGUAAGGAUUUAUAUCUAAAACAUUUGCUGGUAAAGGGCCCCCCCUCGAUAUUCUCUUUAAUUCUAAAAAUGUCUCCUCGUCAGACGAAAAUAAGUCAAGCAUAUGCAUAGCCAGAGAGGGGACUGGUGAAGGACUCAUGGUAACCGAUACCAAGGAGAUGACAAAAAUCUGGUCUAAUUUUGUCUAGAGCUGCUCCAGAAGACUAUCAUAAAGAGAAACAAAAGUAAACUUCGAAGCAAAUUAAUCCAAUAUUGAAUUGAAUAUGAGUUUACACAAAAAAAAAAUAACCAAAUGAUGAUGCACAAAUGAUCAAGACACUGGUAUGCAACUCCAUACAAGUUUGGCACAUCUAUUCAUGAAAAAAACGUGAUUUAAAUCAUAGACAAAAAUGGAAAAUUAGGAAAGAAAAGAGAAUGAUCUAAAUAGAAACAUAGAAGCUUUUUAGCAACAUUAAGUCACUGAACUGAUACUAAGUAUUAGGAACACUGAAUUUCACUCUCCAAAUUCAAAUCCAAAAGACAUAUAUUGACUCCUCAAUAAAGAAAUAAAUAAAAGAAAGAGAAACAAAAUCCAAAUAUCACUCUGUCAAUUUUACAAAACCGCUGCAAUAAGCUCCAAGAUGAGAAAAAUAACACAUAACUGAUAUCAACGUUCCUAUCCAAGAUCCAACACUUGAUGAAGGUGGAUGACGACAUGAAGACCAACGCCUUCAUGCCACAACUCAGUAUAACAGAAAAUUUCACAAGAAAACCAGAAAAACCCAACACCCUUCGUACUGGAUAAUUCAAUCCCGUAUUAACCAACCGGAAAACCAGGAUAUGGUAACAGUUCAUACAUAAAACCCAAAUCAAGUAUCGUUCAAAACUCAUCAACGAAUUAGCCGAUCAAUGAUAUCAUCCACAUAAACAUUACAUAAUCUCGAUCAUACAGGCAGAAAGGAAACAAACCCAUCAUUCAACUACAAGAAAUAAACUCUUCCUUUCACUCAAUCGUUAAAAAAUCAUCAGCAAAUUACUCAAUCAACGAUCUCACCCACAUAAACAUAUCGUAAUUUCGAUCUUAAAGGCAGAAAAAAAAAAAAAAAACAAUCCCAUCACUCAACUACAAGAAAUAAACUCUUACGUUCACUCCAUCGUUCAAGAAUCAUCAGCAAAUUACUCGAUCGACGAUCUCACCCACACAACCAUUACGUAAUUUCGGUCUUACAGGUAAAAAGAAAACAAACCCCCCACUCAUCUACGAGAAAUAAACUCUUCCUUUCCCCCGAUCCUUCAAUCAUCACCAUCCAAACACGAAAUGCAACGAAAAAUCAAGCAAUAUCAGAAGACCAAGUAAAGAAUCCAGAGAAUAGUAGGCAAUAAUACAAUCAUCCAUUAAAUGGGUGCGGAUCAGAAAACUCUAACCGUGAAGAUCGUCGACCAGAGAGCAGAAGAGGCGAGUCGCAGAAAGUCUUCCGUUUUCCUUUGCUUGAUCGCAACCUGUAAUCCGAAAAGCAGGGGUGAGUGGUAUUUAUAGCCAAAGCAGUGGCUGUGGAACCCAACCAUGGUUAUGCUUAUCACCGUCCAUUAAGCACACAGUUAAGAUUUCUUUUGAGUGAAUUUAGUAAUAUGAUGGUCAAAGUGUAGGAGUUGAUUCAAGGUGGGCUUCGUCGUCGCCCUUAGCUCAGUCGCUGUACAGAGUUGCUCUCCGGUUGGUGGACCCUUCGCCAGUCCUGCCCACUUUAGUAAUUUCCACUUUGCAUUGUAUAGUCCUCUUCUUCUCUUCCCGCCCGUUCCUGAGGAAGAGAAAAACCAUCACGUCUCUCUCUCUCUCCUCACCCUAUUUGCUUUUUACUUCUCAUCUACUCAAUUUAUCUUAAACACUUUUGUUUUUAAAAAACUGUUUUUUGUUUUCAAUUUAUUCUUGAAAUGUUUCUUUACAAAAAUUAAAUGAAAAAUCUAUUCAUAUUUUGCAAUUUUUAUUUAUUUAGUUGAAAUAUAAUAAUUAAAAUAUUUACCGUUACAAUGAAAUUUUAAAUUCUAUCAAUCAAAUUUGACGUAGAUCGUAAAUAUUUUGUAAAACCUACUAUUUUUAAAAAUUUCCUUUUAAUGUUUACGUACUUGUUUUAAAAUCGAAAUUCUAGACAAUAACUAUUAUCAUGACACGAGAAAAUUAAGACGUGUAUAUUUGUACUAAAAUUUUAUAGGCUAUUUAAAUAAAACUAUAUAAGAUUACAUUAAAAUACUAUUUUGCAGCCCACACUUAAUUAUAAUUAACAUUGUUUAAAUUUUUUACUUAAUACAGUUUUUACUAUUUUUUAUUUAUUACUACGUUUUUUUAUUUUAUUAUAAACUAAAAUUAGUUUACACCUUACAAAUUUAAUAUUAUAAUUAAAAUUAAAAUAAUCUACCAUCAAAUACAAACUAUUGUAAUUAUAUUAAUAAACUAAUAUAAGGAGUCCUUCCAAAAAUAACAAACAAAUUCAGGAGCACUUGCAAAAAUGGUAAAACAAGUUAUAAUAACUAAGUCCACAUACUUUAUUAUUUGUGAAAAUAAUAUAAACAAAACUCAACUCACACAUAAUAAGUAAAAUGUCACAAAUGUCAUCGUUAAUAAUACCCAUUUGAUACAUCUAAUACCCAUUGAUAUACUUGAUACUUCGUGCUGAUACACUUUAUACAAUUGAUAGAUACACUCGAUACACGUGAUACUCUUUAAUAUACUCAAUAACUUUUGAUACACUUUAGGCUUUGAUACACUUGAUACGUCGCCAUUAAACUUGUUAUACUUCAUUGGUACACUCAACUAGUUUUAUACAUUUGAUGUACACGAUAUAUUUGAUACACCUGAUGCAAUGUACAAAUACAUUUAUUUUAGUAUUAUUCACUUAUACAUUUGAUUAAUUAAAUACAUUUGAUAUGCUUGAAGUCUUACUUGUACACUUAAUAUACACUUGUAAACUUAAUUCACAUAAUUGAUAAUAAUUCACUUUGCUACUAUAUUAUUUAACAAUAUAUUGUUGAUGUAAUUGUCAAUAAUACACUGAGUUAUAUAAUUCAUGUACUUACUAAUAGUUGAAUCACUCUUAUACAAUUUUAAAAGAAUGAAAACUGCGUAGUAAGUAUAUAAACUACCCAAUAUAUAUAAUAUAAGUAUAUCACAACAUUGGUAUACAAAACUGAGACAAAGUAAAACUGAAAAAAACCAAUAUAAAGAAAAAAAACAAAAUCAUAUUAAAUCAUAUUCAACUCAAAAUACACAUAGAAAAAAAUUAAAAAAAACCAUAAAUGAAGUUGAAUCACUCUUAUUAACAACACAAUUAUAUUUUAUAUAGCAAUUAUUGUACUAAUGAUAUCCAAAAUUAAGAUUAAGACAAAAGAACAAAUAAUUUUUAUCGUAUAAUAAUAAAUAAAUAAGUAAGGUCUUAAAAGGUGAAAUAAUAAAUAAACAAUGAAUAGGACAUUAAAAAGACAAAGAUAAAUAAAUUACUAAACGGUAGUUUAAGAAUAAUAAUAAAUUUAAGAUGAAAAGUUUUCUAUAAGUGAAAAUUUGUCCAUAUUUACAAAAUUUCAAAACAGUGUACUAUAUUAUUAUAUUUGGUGUAUUAUAUUCUUAAAAUGCUAUCAUAUGCAAUUUUAAAAAAAUAUAUGAUAACAAGACUUAUAUCACUAUAUUUUCUAAAUUGCAUAAGUAGCAAAUUUAAAAAGAUUAUCGUCUAAUAGCCCUUCGUCAUUUGAUUAUAGUACGAUAUUAGUAAUUUUGCUAUAAUCGUGCAGAUACCAUAAGCGAUUUUUUUUAAAAUGUUUUUGUACAAUUUUUGAUAAUAUAACUUAGAUUAAGUUAACUAACAAACUAUAUGUCAAAUAGAUUUAAAAGAGAACAAAUGAUGUUAACAUGUCUUUCCAUCUCACAACAAACUAUCUUUUUAACCAAUUUUCAUAUCAAUAAAAUCUCUCAAUUAAUAUGAAGCGAUUGUCCAUUUCUUUUUUUGUAAGGAAAAAUACGAAUUUUCAAUGCAAGAAAAGAAGAAAUCGUUAAUCCACGCGGCCAAGGGUAAAAUCGUAAAUUAGAGUUUAAGGCAUUGCCUCGACGCAAAACUCAAACCCAAACAAAAGUACCAAAAUAACCACCGGAAAACCCUCACGAUAUUUGGUCACCACUGACCGACAACCGGCUAUAUCCGUUCCUUUUCCAAAUAAUUAAAAAUUAACUUUAAAACGCAAAAACUCAUGAUGACGUGUCCUCCAUGGCCCGGUAUAUCCUUGAACAAUUCCAGGUCAUUCCAGAACGUUCCCAUUCCCGUUCCGUACACUAUGAGGAUCCGGUUGGACCAUGCGAGGUCGCCUUACCGUUCGACCGACUAUUUCGUCCGGUUCGGUUCGGUUCCUUGACGGUGGGUACGCCCAUACAGCGGGAAAACUCUCUUGAGGGAUUGUGAAAAUGGAGGAUCGCUGCUUAGCGAGGGAUGAACUCUCUGUAUUCCUGGAGUCUGGAAUAUAUCGGUUCGUGGAUUCGAGAUUCAUUUUUGUAGAUCCAGUUCGUGUUUUGAAUCGUUCGUACUCACGGUUUAGGGUUUCUCCCGCUGGUUACUACUCACGAUUCUUCGACUAUGAAAGGAAGGGCUUAGAGAACAAGGAUUGUUUGUCGUAUGGAAAGAAGAGAAAGAGGAAGGAGAAGAAACUUCGAUGUUUAAAUGAGAAGGAAUGUGCUGCUGAUCAACGCCACCAGGUUUCUAUGUUUGUAACUUGAUUUAAUUACACUGAAUCGCUGUUGGUGCUGACUGCGGGAUUGAAAGUAGAUUGUAUGAAGACGAUCAUCAAUGUUUCUGCAUUGGUAAAUGUUUUGUGCUGUUCACUUGCUGCAGGUGGCGAAGCCUCUGUUACUUAAGGCGUACGAGUUGUUGUUGCAAGCUACUGAUCUGUUGAGUGUAACGAGAAGUUUGAACCGUGAGUCUGGUUCUUCAGAGGGAAGGAAUUUGCCCAGUGAUCAUCAGUUAUUGAUUGAACAUGGACGGAUUUGGCAAGCGCCUUUAUACGAGAUAACUCUGAAACUCCCUGAGCAUGAUCAGUCGAGUGAAGUUGGAGGUUGGUCAAUUAAUGGGAAGGGAUUUUACAUUCAUAUAAUUUUCUUUCUUACAUUUGGCAUUACACUUUUUGUUAGGAAACAAAUUUUUUCAACUACUUCUAACACAUAGCUUAGCUUAGCUACUCUUCUUCUUCAUGUGCGUCAUUUUCUUUUGGUUCUUGCUUUGUUAGAUCAGUCCUCACUUACCUGGUAAUCUUAGUUAUUUUUAUGUUUUGAUCAGUCUUCAUUUACGUUGGACGUGUGGCCAAAAGUUUAUUGUAAGGGAGAAAAUGACUUUGAUAAACUAAUCUUUCACUGUUUUUGGCUUCACCCACUUCCUUCUUUAGUGGUGUUUCUAAAUCUCCGACAAUUUAUUGCUUCCCUUCUUCAGGAUCUUCUUUCAAGGACAGAGUGGUUCCUUUAUUCAAUAAUCUGGUUGUCAAUGAGACAUCCGAUGAGGUGGAAGCUGAAUUUCUUGAUCAUCAAUAUAUAUUGCCUCGUGAAAGUUGCUUCUACAUGGUAUGGUGGUGACAUUGUCGACAUUUUUCUAUUUUUGAUUUUCGGGGCCAUUUAUUAAUGGAUGCUUUCCAUUUUCCUUUUGGUGUUCUUGAGAACUGUUACUGGUUAUCCAAACUAUAUUGUUGCUGUUUUUUGUUUGUUAGUGUUGCAAGUUGAUCUGACCUUCUCUUCCAAUCAAACUAAUCAUUUUUUUUCAUAAAGAAUCUCCGAAUGUUUCAAGAUGUCAAAUAAGCACUGUUUUGUACUUCUGUCCUUUGGGAUAAUUUCAGAUGCUUUUAUUCUAAGAUUUUUUAUGUUUAGUUCUAAGUUUGUCUUACAUGAAACUGUUUCUAUUGUUUCCAUGUGCAAGUCUGAUUUGAGGCAGGUUCACAACCUUAUUCCUGGUAAGGUCCGCACGUCUUCAUGUUUUAGAAUUAUAGUUUCAUGUCUAAUUUCCAAAUGAUUAAGCAUUUCAUUUAUGCAAUUUAUUGUAGUAAGAGUAUUAGCUUUUUCACUUAGUUGAGUAAAUCUUAUUAAAAAAAGUUACUUAGUUGACAGUAAAUUAAAAAGAGAGAAAAAAAAAAAAAUCAGUUGAUCUUUAGUUAACUUACGAUCACAGGUUUAUUUAAAAAGAAAAUAAAUAAGAAACCAUUGAGAUAAUGAAAGAAUAAGGAGUGCAUAAAAAAAGGUCCAGUAAAAGGGGAGUGGUUGAGAUCCUGUUUUAAACUCGUGGUUUUUGUCACCUAAAUCUUCUGUCUCUUUUUCUAUUACGUUAGCAUCGCUCUCUCCCAUUUUUUUCAUUAGAUAUCAUCCUUUUCCCAUUUUAAAUUUAGGAUUUAUGUAGAGGAACUACAUGUGCUGCUUAAGGUUUAGGAAUAAUAGUUAUGUACACACACACUCAUUGAACUCUGUGUUAUCUUCUCAUUAGAAAUGUCUGAUUGUAUUUUUGGUUGCUGUUUCAGCUAAAGCUAGCUCUGGCUUCAGUCUUAUUCUGAUUGAUCCACCAUGGGAAAAUGGAAGCGCUCAACAAAAAUCAAAGUAUGCUAUAGCUUAUUCAUCUGCAUAUUAUUUUAAAGUCACCCAGCAUUUUUCAAAUGAUUUAAAGCUUCAAAUGCAUUUAACGUUUUGAAGUUUAAAGAUGCACUUGGUGAUGAUUUCAGAUGUACUGAUGUGGAAGGAUAUUGCCUGUGGGUUCUUGAGUUUGUUAGUUUGUUGUUGUUGUUUUCUUUCUUUCUUUAUUAUUUAUAUAUAUAUAUAUAUAUAAUUUUAUAAAAAAUUAUGUAUAUAUUUUUAUAUAAUUUAAAUUUAGAAAAUUAUUGUUGCUAUUAUUUUGGGAUGAAAGGAUCCUCAAGGAAAGAUCAUGGCAAGUUGGUUUACUAUAAACCUAGAUGCCGUAAUUCAAUUAUUAAGAAUUUGUGAAGAUUUGAUUUCUAAAUGUCAAAGUCAAACCAGUUAAAUAUGGUUCUUCAAUCAGCAAAUCCUCAUUGUUGUUGACAAAUUACUGACAAUAAUGGUCAUAUUUUUUUUAUAACUUUUUACUCACUGCCUACUGGAUUGGCCUUGUGAUAAUAAAUCACACGCUGAUCUUGAGAGUAUAAAAAACGUUUGCUAUUUUAGUAAAUAUAUAAGACGUAAUAUUUUUAUUCUUGAGCAAUUUUUAGUAGAAUCUUCAUUCUGUCCAGAUGUUGAAAUAUGAUGUAACUGAUUAUAUAUGCCGAAUUCCUAGCGUCGUUGAAGUUUAUAAUCUCUAUUUAGUAUCUGAUUAAAACUAUUGGGAUUUUGUCAAUUGUCAAUAGUGCUGGAAUCUCUAAUUGGAUAACUAAAUUUAGUGUUCUUUCACUUUUCUUAUAUGGUUGUUGUUACAACCACGUUAUUGUCAUCAUCGGUUUUGCUGUGCCUUUUUGCACUAUUGUUUAAUAUGUGUGUCCGUUUGGACAAUUAAUGCCAUUCCUAUUUAAUCAUAAUAGGUAUCCUACAUUGCCUAACCGAUAUUUCUUAGCUCUGCCUAUUAAGAAACUGUCUCAUGGCAAAGGGGCACUGGUCGCCUUGUGGGUGACAAACAGAGAAAAGUUCCAUCGUUUUAUUGAUUUGGAAUUGUUUCCUGCAUGGGGAGUCGUACAUAUUUCCACUUAUUACUGGUUGAAGGUCCGUUUUUCUCUUAUUUGCCUCUCUCUCUCUCUCCUUCCCCAUCUCUCCUCCAAGUUGUUCCAACCUUUACAUACCUGCAUAUUACAGGUCAAGGCAGAUGGUUCAUUGAUAAGUGAUCUAGAUCUCUUUCAUCACAGGCCGUAUGAAUGCCUUCUCUUGGGCUAUUGUUAUGGUGAGGUAUCAAGUCAAUGGCUGAUUUAAAAAAAUCUACAAAUUUGAAUUGAUUAAGGAAAUAACUUAACCUAGGAAGCAUGUGCUGCUAUGCCCACCAAUAGAAGAAAAAGAAUGUAAUUUACGUACUUUCAUUGAACUUUAAAUGGAUUUAUUCUCUAGAUUUUAAGUAGUUUAAUGUGAACUAUCGAUCACACUUUUUACUUAGUCGUGAAUAGAAGGCUAAUGUAAAUUAAAUACCUGUUAGUUUGCCUGCUCGUUUUUUAAGUAGCACCAGUUCAGCCAAAAUCUGCCUGAUGAACAUGCCAUGCCAUAUUUCUAACUCAAAUACAAUACGACUAAAAUAUUUGUUUUGUGGUCCAGUGAUUAAUGCCAUUGGAUUCGAACUGUUCAACACUGUUAAACUUUUACUUAAUGUCGACUUCUUUAAAUUACUUGGGAGUAUAGGAUGUUCAAGAUGUGAAAAUUCUGGACCAAACCUUACCUAAAGAUCGGGUCAUCAUUAGCAUUCCUGGUGAUUACUCGAGGAAGCCACCAAUUGCAGGUAUCACUAGGAACGAUACUUUUUUCCCUUUCUCUAUAAUUCCUCUAAAUCUAUUAGAUCAAUAUCCUUUAUAUCUGUUCCACCAUUUUGCUUUCCAUCCAGAGCUUCUGCAAGAGUAUGUUCCGGGGCCCAAACCUGGUCGCUGUAUCGAACUGUUUGCUCGAGAAAUGAAUCCUGGAUGGCUCUCUUGGGGGAACGAACCCCUUCACUUCCAGGAAUCACAAUACUUCACUCGGACAUAGGCAUGCUAUACUUUCAAUGUAAGCUCUGCAACUCUCCCUCCCUCUGCUGAGAUCUUUUUGAGUACUUUAUCAUUUUCCAAAGUCAUAAGGUGCGGCCACAUACUUUGAUCCUUUGCUAGAUUAUUGUUGAUUGGCAUGAGCCUGAACGAAUAUACACUUAGAGGGAUCCCCCUCACUAGCCCCACUUCCCCAUCUUAACUUGUGAACAGCUCAUUGUAGUGAAGUUUUUACACCGGUUUUUCCUUCACGUCUUUGCAUGUAGUUCUAGUUUCGCACAUGGGUUCUGAAUAAAAAAAAAAAAUCUGAAUCCAUCAUUUCCUCAUCAGAAAACGUUGCUCUCUCUUUCGUGUUGUGACUUAUGGGUUUGAUUCUUUAUGCGGCCGAACUAUCAACAUUCACUUCGGAUAAAACGUAUACACUUCGAAUUGACACAUGAAUUGAUUUAAUAUUAUGGUUUACGCGUUUUUGUAGUUAUUAUUAUCAUUACCAUUGUUUUUAAAUGUAUAGAUUAUUCCACAAACAAUAAAUUAUUGAAUAAUAAAGAGGGUGUUUAGACUUUAUUUGCUAUUUUGUAAAUUGGGUUGCCUUGUUCUAUUUUUCAAAGAUGACUAUUAUAAUUGAGUUCUAACACAAGUUAACUUGUCACCUAAAUAUUGUAGGGAUAUUGUAGGGUUGGGAUGUGAGGUAAAGAUUAGUCAAGAUGUGCGUAAGUUAUUUUGGAUAUUUACGGAUAUAAUUUUUUUUUUAUUAUAAUUGCAUAAAUGGUUCAAAACUAUCUCUACCACAAUUUGAGAUGGAAAUUUAAGCUAUUAUGAACGAUGUUUUCACUUCUAAUAACUUCUUGAAAUUGUAAUUGAUGAAAAAAUCCUCGACUUUUAUAGAAAAUACACACAAAAUUUUGGAGUAUUAAUAGAGAAUCGAACUUGGUAACAAAAUCAAUUUACACUUAUAGUCUCACUAUAAUGAAGAUUAUAUACUAAUUUUACUAGGAGUUUUGAUAUUUUUAUAUUGCAAGGUUAUAGAAUUCUAGUUAGCUAUGCCAUCAGUUUAUUUACUAUAUCAUAUUUUAGUUGCCUUUGCUAAGAUGAAAUUAAUAUGGUAUACUUUGAAAUAGAAAAACAUAUUUAUAUUUAGGUAAUCUAUUUUAAAUGAAAAACUGCUAGAAAUAUCUUGAGAAAAAAUACAUCAAAAUGUAAUCUUUCAUGAAAUCCUCCUAGCACAUUUAAGGUUUUUGCUUUGUUAAAAGUACAUGAAGCUAUACAUCUUUUUAGAACAAUAGAAAAAAUGGUAAGAAUUUCUAAAAUUCAACUUGCAAGACAAACUAAAGAAAAAUGAAAUUAUUCCUGUUUUUCUAAAAUUUUUACCAUUUUUCUUAAAUCACUCAUUUUUUAAUUAAUUCAAUAUCAACACUAUACGUAAAAAAUAAGUACUUAAUGAUAAGUUUAGGCAUUCAAUUUUAAUAAUUUUUUUUUUCUUUUUGUACAAAUGUUCCAUUUUUGUAAAAUUUAUCUUUCUACUUACGAUGUAGCAAGAAUAUUCAAGUCCAUUGUAUUUCUAAUGCAAUGAUCAAAGUACUUCUCACAAUAGUGAAAAUAUGGAGAAAACACAAAACAUUUUAUAACAUAUUGUAAUCUUUAUUUUUUUCUAAAAAAAUGCAACAUACUGUGAAAAAAGUUGAAAACAGAAUAAAGUUUUGAUAGGAAUGAUUUGGAUCGGAUAAUACAUCCAAAGAGUUGAAGCUUAUAGAGUAAAUUAUCAAUCAAAAAUAAAAAAGAAAAAAAAUCUCAAAUGUAAAAUUGUCAUAUUUUAAAGUCAUAAACUAACUCGAAACCGAAUUUAAAAAACAUAAUUUCCCCUCAAAAUUAUAAUAGAACCAAACUAUCUAAAAAGGUUUGGAGCAAUUCAGGUGAAGGAGUAAAAAUGGGAGAAAGCGAAGUUAAAAUUGAGGGUGUAAAUGAGUUUUUGAACCCAUGGAGUAGUACUUAUUUGGUGCCAAUGCCAAUGCCAAUGGCAUUGCGAUUGCCACUCCCUUGCUUUCCCCUCUCUUUGGGGCUUUGAUUUGAGCCCACGAAUAAUUACUUAUUCACUUUGUUUGAUCAAAUCACUUUUUUCUGUUCCGUUCAUAUCUUCUACUACGAUAAGGAUUAGAAGGUUUAAUCUCCUUCCUUACUCUAAAUUGUACUAAAAAAUAGUGUUUUAAGUACAAACAACUUUUAAUUCAAUGACAAAAUUAGUGAACUGUAUGGGAAAAUACGAAUCUCUACUUAUAAAUUUCGAAAACUUCUAAAUUGUUAUACAAUUUAUUAAGCAGAGGACUAAAUACUAAAUGUGUAAUCAAGUGGGUAUAAAAUUGGUUUAAGAAAGAAGUGACGAGGCGUGUUAGUGGGGGUGUAACGUGCAGUCAUAAUCACCGUCGGAUCGGAGGCCCCACCGAUUUCAAUCUGGCGGGCCCCGAAGUCAAAGAACAAAACACAAUCAAACCGUAGUCCUCGUCGUCUUCUUAUUUAUCUUCCCUUUUCCACUCUCGAAAAGUGAAAUUUCUCCAUUUCUUCUUCCCUCUACUUUUAACACCCAAACCCCCUUCUCUCGCCGGAAUAUGACCUCCGACGGCGCCACUUCUGCCUCCAAUUGUCGCCGUAAGCCUUCUUGGAGGGAGCGGGAGAAUAAUCGGACCAGAGAGCGCCGGAGAAGAGCCAUCGCUGCUAAGAUUUACUCCGGCCUUAGAGCUCAGGGUAACUUCAAUUUGCCUAAACACUGUGACAAUAACGAGGUCCUUAAAGCCCUCUGUGCUGAAGCUGGUUGGACUGUCGAAGAUGACGGAACCACUUAUCGGAAGGUCUGUCUUCGCUUUCGCUCUUUUCAAUUGAUUUUCCUUACUCGUUACUGUAAUGUUGAAUUUCAAAUGGCGUAGUAGAUCUGAAUGCGGUGAUUAAUGUACUGGUUGUUUUGCUGUUGGGUUUAAAUUUGAUCUGUGGAUCCAUCUGAAAAGUCGAUCGACUCAUUUCAUUUUGUAAUUGACUUGAUUUUAGUUGAAAAUUUGUGAAAUAAAUUGAGCUGAUGAGCUUAAUGUAGUAAUCUUUGAUCAAAUCUGCUUUGGUUGUGCCCUAGAAAGAAAUGAUAUAUGCUUUUGUGCUUUGUUUCUUACAGGGAUGCAAGCCACCUCCCAUUGAUAUUGUUGGCACUUCAACCAAAAUCACCCCUUAUUCUUCCCAAAAUCCAAGCCCAUUGUCUUCUUCUUUCCCCAGUCCUAUGGGAUCCUACCAAGUAAGUCCCUCCUCCUCCUCCUUCCCGAGCCCGUCCCGUUACGAUGCCAAUAAUCCGUCCAAUCUCAUUCCUUAUCUUCGCCAAGCGAUUCCCAUUUCGCUUCCUCCUCUUAGAAUCUCAAACAGUGCUCCUGUGACCCCUCCCCUUUCAUCCCCAGCCUCAAGGACUCCGCAGCCAUUCCCCAAUUGGGAAGUCAAUGCUAAAGAAUCCUUGUCCUCUUUGAAUUACCCUUUCUUUGCAGUAUCUGCUCCAGCUAGCCCGACCCGCCCUCAGCUCCAUACUCCCGCCCCGAUCCACAAAUGUGAUGAAUCUGAAUCAUCUACCAAUGAUUCCAAUCAAUGGGCACUUUUCCGUGCCUAUGCGCCUUCUGCAUCGACAAUGCCAACAUCUCCCACUUUCAACCUUGUGAAACCUGCUGAUCAGCAUGUUCUGCAUGGUGGUUUCAUCCAAGAAAAUGGAAGAAGAAACGAAUUCGAGUUCUUGGGGUACAAGGUUAAGCCUUGGGAAGGGGAGAAAAUCCACGACGUUGGAUUGGAGGAUUUAGAGCUCACACUUGGUAGCAGUAAGGCUCGAAGCUAAACGGAAGAAGAAAUGAUCUACAAACAUAACACAAGUAAGAAACCCUCUUUCAAUUGAUUCAUGGUCUAUCUGGAAAUGUCAUGGCAUGGCUCGUUCCAUUCCAUAUUAUAAGUUAAAAACUUUACUUUAUACAGUGUCUGUCUUUGAGGGAGGGAGCUUUAUUCACUUCAUUUCAGGCAAUGAUUUUUCCUAGUUUGUUAUAUUACAUUACAAGGCAUGAUUUUAGGGAGUCCCAAGUUUAUAAAAUGUUUCAAGUCAGCAAUUACUAUGUAGAUAGAUGUAAUAUAUGAUGAGAAGGGAUUGGACAGUGAAAUGAACACAUAUUGCUCUGUUUUUCCUUAUCCAAAUUCUGUUUCAAUUCAAUUCAAUUCUUCAAUUUGCUUGCAUUUUGCCAUUAGACGGAACUGAAAAUGGAUUAGGAUUGGAAUUGUGGCGGGGUGGGGUGCCAUGAGAGCUGGUUGGUUGUGUUAAUGGCAGAGCCCGACAAGCUCCAUGUUCAACCACACGCUUUUAAUAAAUGCAUUUGGCAAUCUAAUAAAAGACAAGAAAACUUUGUCUUUGCAUCUCUUGGCUAUUGAUUCAAGCUGAAUGGCUUGUCUUCUUGAACAUUAUUUUUUCUAGCUUGCAGACCACACAUUUUUUUCUCACGUGGGAAGGUUGACGAACAGUUUGAACAUGUUUAUGUUCAAAUUAAAUUCAAAUUUUAGUCUCCUCUAUUUCGUGGUUAAAAUAUUCCAAGUGUGCAACUUAGUUUUGAAUUCUGAUUAUUGGCUAUAUGUUUCUUAACCCGAGUUUAGGUUACAUCAUUUUCAUCCAUACCUUUCAAUCGCAAAGGGGUUAAUUUUUUUUUAAAAAGGAAAAAUUUAUCUCAUGAUGAUUUGUGAUUGACACUUAGGAUGUCACCCUAGUAUUUUUAGUUGAUUUGUAUUGACCUAAAAUAGCGACAUAUCAACUUUUCUUUUUGUCGACAAUACACAUUUUAUGACAGAUAAGUGAUAUUGACUUCGACAAAUUAAGCGUUAACAUGAACAUUGUCAUUUGGCUUAUAAUUAUAUCAUCAUCCAAAAUUUACUUUGAUAGUGUGGAAAUUGUACUUAGAUAUGUAAAAAUAUUAAGAACAGGUUUUUUAGAGUUGGUGUAAACCAUUCAAUUGAGGUUUGUUUGUACAUUUAUUAAGUAACUUUGCUUUUUCUUGCAAUUUUACAUCGUGACAUAAAAUUUUCUUGUACUGUGUGAGUAAAAUUUGUUUUCAUAAAUUUUUGUAGAACUUUAAUUUUGUAAAUUCAUUUUUGACAUAUGUUUUAAUUUAAAAUAUUUUAGGGGAAUAGUUGUUUUAUUUAAUUAAAAUUUUGAAAAUUCUCUUGUUAUUUUUAGUGUUUUUAUUUAUCUCUUUACUUAAUACUUCGUCCCGUCAUCUUGUGGCACUCAUAACUAUACCAAAUUCACGAACUCCAAAACGUUGUCGUUUACGUAACAAUAUUCGCUUUUAUGUCACGCUCACAUCCCUCUUUGUCAAACUAAUUAAUCUCAAGUCUCCGGUCUAUUUGGGAGAAACUGAAAUUUCCCCGCCUUCCUCUCUCUCCGUCGCUACCAUCGCCAUGGCUUCCAAACCUCCACCCUCGUCCACCGAGAAACAAAGAGAUUUCUUCAAUCAUCUCGAAGCUUAUCUCGCAAAGAGAGACGGCGUCGACAAGCUCUUGAAAAUCUCCAGGUACACCACCAAGAUCAUCCUCUCCUCUUCCGCUAUCUCUGAAUCCCAUCCUCUGACUCAACGUCUCAAGAGCUUUGAGUCCAGCGUCGGCGUCAGCCGCAAAGCCUUUCGUCUUGGAAAGUUUAUCCAGGAUCUCAACGCCUUAAGAAAUUCGCAUUUCGAAUCUAACCAAGAAUUUCUGCUCGCUCUCCUUGCGUAUGGCGGAGAAGGGUUUUAUUACUUUGUCGAACAAUUCAUUUGGUUAGCUAAAUCUGGUUUGAUUGACAAACGACACUCGAGUCGGUUGCAGAAGAUCAGUGCUUGGGCGGAAUUAAUCGGGUAUAUUGGGAGCAUUUCUUUGAAAUUUAGGGAUUUGAAUCGGAUUCUUGAAGAUGAGGCGUGUUUGAAAGCGAGUAUUGAGAUUGCUGUCAAUAGAGGAAUUGGGCAUCGGGAAGAAGAAGAGAAGAUGAAGAAGUUGCGUGCGAAGAGGUUGAUGAAGAAGCUUUCGAUUGUUCAAGAUUUUGCCGAUGGAUUCAUGGCGGUGGCGGACGUUCGUGAUGGGAACGGCCGGUUUUCAGGUCCUCUUCUAAUUUCUUUUGCUGGGCUUCUCUCGGCAUUGAUUAGCACUCAUAAGAAUUGGAUAUCAUGCUGAAAUUGCUUUCAACUUUACGAGGCUAAAUUUUCUGUUAGUUUCAAAACAUUCAUAGCGAAGUUGCACACUAAGCAUCUCAAAGAAUGCAUAACAUAGGAGUUUUGAUCUUGAACUAUCAAUGUACAAUAAUGACUAUUGUUAGUCACCUCCCACGUUUGAAAGAAUAAACAACACAAUUUUUUUUUUAGCCCUGCUAAGAAGGAACUUCAACAAUGGGAAAUAGAGUAUAGGAUCGUUAUGAAUGAGCUUCAAUAUCGAAUCCUAGAAGCUUAGAGAAAAACAUGAAAUUUAAUCAGUGACCAACCACACUUCAGAAAGAUCCCUUUCCAACCCUCUAAUCACCCACUUACCCCACAAAAUACUGCAAACCCCAGCGAGCCAUAAAAUCCACCCUUCUUGUGAAAGGAUAGAUGAAAGAGGAACUUCCCGAUUGCAUCACCGAUAUUCUUAUGACAUGCUAGCAAAAAAACCAAAAGUCUAAAAGAACUUUCUCUGCAUAGCUUCGCAAACUCGCAUAAAUACAAAGAAUAUGAUGUAAGUCUUUCGACAAAGAAUAAUACAACAAAACAGACCAAGUAACAAUGUCAUUUUUUUCACCAGGCUGUCCAAAGUUUUAGUUCUUCAAAAGGAUCUAUAAGCCUAAAAAAAAUCGUGGCAUAAGAAUCCCUCCAAAGGGUCGAGGCUCCACGCCCUAAAAUCCUUUCUCCCUUGUCAAUGUUGGUUUUCUCCCACAUUAUUAGCUUGAAGCUUACUAUAGUUCAGUUCAAUGGUUUCACAACCAUUGCCAUUACAAUCCUUGACCAUAGGUUCCUAUUCUCUUCAAUUUAUUGCAAUUAUAGCUGCUAAUUUUAAUCAGUGUAGACUCUCUGAUGAGAUUAUGUUAUUUCCCUGUGCAAAAAGUAUUCUGAUCUAUGGCACCUACCGGAGUGUUCAUGUUUAGAUUGAGUUAAAAGGAUUUGUUUGAAUCUACUUCAAUGGUUCCAUUUAUCAAUUUCUUUGAAUCAAAUUAUUCUUUUUAGAUAAUGGAUUAGUUCUGUACAAGUCCAAAUCAAUUUAAGAGAUUAUAUUCAUCCUAAUCCAACCUAAACCCAACAACUUUUACUAUUCAGCCCACUCGAUAUGCUUCAAUUCGAUUGAUAGAAAGUGUUGUGCCAUUGGGUUUUCUUAACACGAACAACUUCACUGGCAUCCAUGGACUUUUCUUAGCCAAAAGAUCAGAGGAGUGUGUAACAAAACAAUUCUUUCCAUGAUCUUUCCUCGUCAUUUUUUAAAUUUUGCUGAAAUUUGAGCAUUAAUGGGAUUGGGAAUUCCCUCCUCUCGGUUUUUGAUCAUUUUCAACUUCUUACAGGGGAUAUUCUGGUGAGAUUUUCAGUUUUCCAAUCAAUUCUAUACUGUCACAAACACCAAACUACUAGUAGACAGAAAUAUGCAUUGGGGUGGUGUUUUGCAAAAUAGAUAUCUUUUUUUUCUUUUAGUCCGUUUUCAUGAAUGGGGUUGGAUUUAGCUUUCUACUUACCUUUCUAUCCUUAUUUAGGAGUUGUUUUGAAAUUAUUUAAAUCUACUUUGGCAUUUCAAAACCACUCUUUUGCUGUUUACACUUUGAAAUGUGGUUCUUAAAAUUAGUUUUGAAAACCUUACCUAUGCCACCAAACUUAUGGAGCAAGUGAAAAAACCCAUAAUUUUCUAGCUCUAGCUCGUCUUUCAAAACUUAGCAAAAUGUAGAUGAUAGUUUUAUAAAUUAUAGUCCUCGUUUGGAAAGCAUCUUUUUAAUAACCAUUGGAUAUAUAAUUUAGAAAUUUACAAUAUCUAGACAGGUAUAAGGUACUUUUUUCAUGUACUAGUCGUCCAAUGUUUAAAACUGUUAGUCACAUAGUUAUUUCGAAUAAAAUGUCAAAUUUGAGCGUUCUCCUUAUUAAAAAUAUCUUUAUAUUUUUAGAAACAGUAAAAAAAAAAAAGCAGAGUGACAUUGUUCAAGGGAGUCUUUCUAUUUUAAACUGUUUCAUAAAUAUUAAAAUCUCAAAUUUUAUAGAAAGCAGAGUGAUAUUGACAUUCAAAAAUAAAUUAUUUAACGAGUAGCCAUCUUUUACACUUGUAAAUUACUUGUAUUUUCUCGAUCCUUUCUAAUGAAAUAAUGAUAAUGUAGAAUAUCAUUGACAAAAAUACAAAAUUGAUCAGCACAAGUAUAAUUAAAUUUUAAAGAAAAUGAUUGUAAAACACUCUUUUAAAUUUAUAUUCUAUUAACACUAUAAAACUAUUUGUUUCUAUCCAUAUAAUAAACAGAAACCGAUAAAAAGUAAAUUACGAAUCACAAUCUAUUUAUAAAAUAUAACUUUUUUUUAUAUUUUAUAAAUAUUUUGAUAGGUUUUACUUUAUUUAAAAAUAUUUUCAUCAAAACAAUUCAACGUGGAGGGGACAUGUUGAUAUAAAAUUUAAUACCCCAAUUUUGAAGGCAUUAUUCUCUGUUAGCACAAAGAUUAAUAAUAUUGAGAUAAUUAGUAACUAAUCUGACAUUGUAUUUGAAGGUUGAUUAUUUGAACCUUUAAAAAAUGAAACUCUCCAAUUUGCUAUUGGCACGUGAUUUUGAGUAAGAUCGCGAUUCACAGUUCCUCGCUUUGUAGUUACAUACCGUUCAUUCCUUCUAAUUUAUAAUUAAUUAUAAAUACUCUUUUGGUUUCACAAUUUGGAUAUUUAAUUUCAUAUCUAUUUAAUCGUUUACUUUAUUUCAAACUUUUGAAAUUAGACUACUUGAUUCUAUAUCAAUUUAAAUCUUAUGAUUAUAAAUUUUCAAUUAUUAAUAAAUUAAAAAAAAACUAUUAAAUAAGUCAACCAUGGAAACUCAAGAUUUUACUAAAUUAAUACAAAAUAUCUAAGUUUAUAAUACACAUAAAAGUUCAACAGCAAUUGUAUCAUUCAAAUUAACUUAACCUUUAAAAAAGAUGGGAUAAAAUUUUCUUAAAUUAAAAAAAAAUAUAUUAGUCAGAUUUAAAUUAUACCCAUAGCAUCUAAUUCUGGUCCUUUUCCCACCAAAAAACACAUCUGAUUUUUUAAAAAAUUUAAAAUAUGUUGAAAAUAUUUUAUUUGAGAAUUUAAUUUUUAUUUUAACUAUAAAGAUAUAGAUAAAAUUAAAUAUGAGUUUUUAAAAUUGAAAUAAGUUUGUUAUUUAAUGAGAUAAACAACACAUCGCAAUCAAAAGCAAAGAUUAAUAUAGUAAUUGAAGUUAAAAAUACGCAAAUCUAAUCUAAUAUUUUUUUCCCUUCAAAUCUUGUUUUUUUUUUUUUUCUUCUAAUAAAUAUAUAUAUAAAAAAAUAGAGUGAGGAAAAAGAAAAUUGUCGUGAUCGUGACAACGCGAUCUUAGUCUGGAAGCUCGGGAGGAGCUUUAGCAAAGCAAAGAAAAGCUUUAUCGAUUCGAUUUUGGCGUUCCUGGAGGAAGAAAGGGAGGGAAAUGGCGUCUGAGCUCCAGCAAUUGAGGUUUAACCCGCCCCAAUCUAACGCAUCCGACGAAUCCUCUGCCAAAGACGAUCACCCACUCUUGAACUCCGACUCUCCCGCCGUCGCCGACCAGGAUUCCGACGAUCUUCACCAGAAUUAUGCUGCCUUUGUCCGAAGAGACGUUUACGGCACCAUGGGCCGAGGAGAGCUUCCGUGGAUGGAGAAACUGCUGCUCGCAUUGGCCCUGCUUACAAUCGUUCCUAUACGGGUGGUUAUUGGGAUGAGUUUGCUGGUUCUCUAUUAUACAAUUUGCAGAGUUUGUACGUUAUUUCACGAUCCGAAUAGGGAGACAGAUGAGCAGGAGGAUUACGCGCAUAUGGUUGGAUGGAGGAGGUCUGUGAUUGUUUGGACCGGAAGAUUUCUGUCUAGAGCCGUGUUAUUCGUGUUAGGGUUUUAUUGGAUUUCGGAAGUUUAUCGAAUCCCGCCUAAUGGGGACAAGUCAACUGACGAGGUGCGCUUUAAUUUCUGCUAUCUGUUACAAGUUCGGACUCGGCCGUUGUUCUGUUCUGCUUUCUUGUAUAUUUUAGUUCAUAGGUAUCUUAAUCUCUUCGUCUUUGAGUUUGUUCUUGUGUUCAUUAAUAUUUUCUAUUCUCUUGUUUGAUGUCUAGAACGAAGGGCAAGAGAAGUCUCAAGAGUCUGAAAGACCUGGGGCUAUUAUCAGCAACCAUGUAUCAUAUUUGGAUAUUUUGUAUCAUAUGUCUUCUUCCUUCCCAAGCUUUGUUGCUAAGGUUUGUUCAAACACAAGUUGUCAUAAUUAUACGGACAAUGUGUGAUAGAUUUUGGUCUGGGCCAAUAUGAAUUUACGUUAUAGUUCAUCUUUAGGUUUGACUUUUCUGAUCCUCGAUUUUUCAUCUUCUUGUUUUGGCUGAAGAGAUCAGUGGCUAAACUUCCUCUAGUUGGUAUUAUCAGGUUGGUUCAUUUUGAAUGGAUUUAAUAUUAUGAUUAUCUUUUCCAUAAGCCAAACUUUUAUUUAAGGUUUAUUUUAAAUUCUUGCGGGAAAACUAAUUUUUAUCCCUGAACCUGUUUCAUGUCCUAUAUUUCUUAAGGUUUAGCUGUUGUUUUUCUUUUGUCCCAGCAAGUGCCUUGGCUGUGUCUAUGUUCAAAGGGAGUCAAAGACAUCUGAAUCUAAGGGUGUUUCAGGUACUUCAUGCUUCCAUCUCUCAAUCAUCCUAAAAAUUUAUGCUCAUAUGAUUGGCAUUCUAGUCAUAGAUUUGAGUGGGUGAAGCGUUUUAGGAUAAUGUAGGUAUCCUUAACCAUAAUUGUUCACACAAUCAUACUGCAAACUUGCUAUACUGUAUGAUUCUUGCAUAAUAGUUCAUUCUAGGACAUUAUUCCCAUGAAAUGGCUCUUAAAUAAUGUUCAUCUGUAGUUAUGCAUCUGGGCUCGUAUUAAUCACAGUGUUGCUUGUAGGUGUUGUGAGUGAAAGAAUUCGAGAAGCUGUGAAGAAUAGCUCUGCUCCCAUGAUGAUGCUUUUUCCAGGUCUCUUAAUGUGCUCUAAGUACAUUGUCUAUUAUUGUUUUUCUUCUCGAUUACUGCGUCCCCCUUUAACUUAAGAGAAUCACAGUGCUUAAAUUUAUUUCACAUAGUUGAGGACGCUGACUUUCUUGUUAUUUAAGCCACGUAUAAACUAAUAACUAUAAAAAAAAUGAUAAAAAUUUAACAAUUAAUUUAUAUGUAGAAAUAGUUUUUUUUUUCUUUUUUAAUAUUAAGCCCAGUAAAGUACUCUUUCUUUAUUAUUAUUUUUUGAACAAUAUGAGGCAAUUUAAUUGGCUUAAUUACACAGAACAACCAGGGGAGAGCCCUCCUUAGGUAAGGUCCAAAAAUUCUUCCUAAGUGUGAAGAAUAUAAAUAGAGAAGCUACCGAAGGAAUCCUCGGUAAACUCUACCAUUUCUACAGUCACAUGGAUCACAAAGAAACUUUGAUGAAAUUGAGUCACAAAAUCUUGGUUUCCUUUUUCAAUGGACACCAUUCCAUAAUAAAGGUGGUUGAUGUCAUUCUACAGCAGAGUAGACCAUUCCAAAGAUAACUUUCCAGAAGUUUCAAGCUUUGAGAAAAGUGAAAAAGAGGUGGUGAGAGAUUUCACAUCUUUGAUUAGUGGAGAGUUGGACAUCUUUCUUUGAAUAUUUUCUUGAUUGUUUGUGCUACUCAGAGAGAGCUCUCAAACAAACUCCAUCAGCUUUUGGGCAAACACCUUUUCAAAUAGCUUUGGAGUUAUUUGGGCUGAGUAUGCUGGGAUCCUUAUCAAACUGUGAUAGACAAGAUCAUGCUCCAAAAAGCUUUGAAGAGGUUGUCAUUUAGAGGAAAGCCAUGAUGGGAAUUGGGCCACUCCAUGCAAGUACCAGUGCAACUAGACAUGCGGGCAAGGGUUUCUUUGGAAGAAUUUGACAAAUUGUGCCAGCGAGCUUUGUUUUAGAGAGGAUUUUGUAUAGACCACUAGCCUCCUAAAAUGUGUCAUCAGCCAAUUGGAAAUGAGUCUUCACAGCAGUAUACUAUAUUGAAGCAACAACAAAAGGAGGGCAGAUAUGGUAUACCUCUUGAAGGAAGAAUGUUGGCUCUUGGUUUUCCUUUGAUGGUGAUAGAUAAUUUGCCCAAGGGAUGCACCCACGAAUUUAUUUCCUAGAACCUUUUGACCUCCAAAAUUGAGAAGUUCAAUAAACUCUGUGAAGGUUGAGUUCGAAAACAAGGACCUUAUUUAUUCUUAACGUGACCAUGUGUAGCCCGAUAGCCACUAAACAAGAAUCAUUGGUUUCUCUUUCUUUCAUAGAAGAAUUUGGUAAGAAAAAAUGAAGGGGAAAACUUUUUUGAGCUUUUCAGCCAAAGGUUUGGCUAUGAUUGUUGUGCUUGUCAGAAGAGGAUAAGAAUGCUGGAAUAAGAAACCUCCCUUAACAAUAUUAGAGUUGGGGACUAAUUUUUAGAUUUAUUGAUAGUAUAGGGAAUGGACAAUGGAACAUAAAGUUUUGGUACCACUUUGGUACUUUAACCUAAAAAUUUUCGAGUUUUAUUUAGCAACAAAAAAGUUAUGAUCAUUGGUAAAUUUAUUGGUGAGAAUGACUAAUGAGAUAAUCUGAGGAGUAAUUAGGAAUUUGUGCUUAUGUUUGUUUAUUGUCCAAGUUUUUUAAUGUGUUAUUAUUUUCUUUUACAGAGGGAACAACUACCAAUGGGGAGUAUCUCCUGCCAUUCAAAACGGGUGCCUUUUUGUCGAAAGCUCCCGUUCUUCCGUAUAUUUUAAGAUAUCCGUAUCAGAGAUUUAGUUUGGCCUGGGAAUCAAUAACAGGGGUAAGACUUUCUGCUUUAUUGUAAGCCCUUCUAAGAUUUCUUCUUCAAAUUUUGUUAAGGAGAAUUUGCAAAAUAGAAGUUGACAUUAUCCAAUGGGGCGGUGCAGUACUAUUUUCUUAAAUGCUGUAAUUCAGUUCGAGUAUGUGUUAAAUAUUCUGAUUAUGAAGUUUCUCAUAUGGCCUUCAUUCUGACGAUUGUUUCUUAUGAGCCAAGGCCUACUACCAGCCUUUGAUGUAAUGGUGUAAGAAGUUAAUGAGUUUAAACUGUCGUGGAUACAUAAACUUCAAGAGGUGAACAAGGACGAAAUUUACUUCAAUGAAUUUUUUAGUAGUGAAUUAUUGCACGUUCAAUUGGUAAUUGGGAACUUCCUUCCUUCUUUUUUUGGGAUAACCACGUGUGUUAAGUCUAGCUUACUACUUAACUAAUCCCACAAGAUAACUACUCAAUAUGAUUACUUUCGUUAUUAGACUUUCUAAUAUUGAACUAUAUAAUUUGAAAUUGAAACCAUAGCCUUGUGUUAGUUGGUUACUUCUACCUCAAAUUGCUGAACCAACUCAUUUGUGGCUACCACCUUUGAUAUUGUAAAGGUUUCAGGAUCCUAGCAUAAGAUAUAUUUGAAUUCUUAUUGGCAGGGCCGUCAUUUUCUACUUCUUCUCUGUCAAUUUGUAAAUCACAUGGAGGUAAUAAGAUUGCCUGUCUACGUCCCAUCACCAGAAGAAAAGGAUGAUCCGAAGCUUUAUGCUAACAAUAUCAGAAGGUUGAUGGCAAAAGAGGUAUUUCUUCUCCUUCGUUGCACUAUAUUAUAUUCAUUUAGGAGAGUGAGCAGAAAUCUCAAACAUGCCUCUCAAAAGGCAACAAGGACCAUGACAAAAACAUUGAGACCUUUCUGGUUGAUUAUUCUUUCAAGAUAUUUUCCUAUACAAUCACAAUUUUCAUAGCUGCGAACUAAACUGAAUCCCUUUUACUCUCUAUUUGAGUGUGUUAUUCUAGAUAAGUUAUGGCUAUUGUUUUUAUCUGCAGGGAAAUAUGAUGCUUUCGGAUAUUGGGCUCCCAGAGAAGCGUGUUUAUCUUGCUGCUCUGAAUGGUAAUAAUAACAUCCGUAGUGUUUUGCAUCAGAAAGACGACUGAAUUAACUAGUUCGAGUCUAGUUUUAGUUUAUCCAGGUUUAUGCACUGUUACGAUGGGGGGAAGUUAUGGUACCCACCCAUCUAAUACUACUAGAUACUACUAAGAGUGCGUUUCUUGGCCUGUACUUUAUAUAACAAACAUAAUAUUUGAGUAGAGUUUUUACUUAUUAGUGUGGUGGCGAGUUUCUGUUUAUCAGAGCAUGAUGUAACAUGUUGAUGCCUCGACUAAAAAUUUUAUAUUGGUAAUGAAAUUGAAAGAGUUGAGAAAAUUGCCUUGCCUUGAGAAAGGAAAAGCCUAAACAGCCUAUUAAUUUAAAUUCUGAGGUGUCUCUUUGGUGUUCCUGCAGGUAUACCACGCCAAUGCUAAUUUGGGAUGUCAUCUUCUGUAAAUUCUUGUAGAUGAUAAAUAUAUGGAAAACACCAUCACCACCACCAUGUGCAACAACCAUUCAUUUAACUAAUAUCGUCUCAAAUAAACUUGUUUGUAUGAUUCUUUUCGAGAAACACUUCAAUUUUGGUGAUAGCUUGUGUGCAUAUACGUGUGAGUCUCAUCAAAUUUAGGGUUUCUAGUUUUGAAGCUGAGGUUUCAGUUCACUUGUGAAUCUCACCAUAAUUUGCUUGAGAGUCAUUACAUAAUCCUGCAGGCUGGGCUUCUAUCACAAGAUGAUGAGGGUGGUUUUAUGUUCAUGAAAUGCUGCUGCCUGUGCGAAAUAUCGUCCUCGGGUUUUGACCCUUUACUUCAUUAGAGAUAUCGUGUUUGAUUCAGUUAAAGUUUACUAUAUAAACAUUCUCUAUCAUGAAUUUUAUGUUGUUAUUUACCAAAAAGUAGUGAUAGUAAAGGAAAUCAUAGGUUGAAAAUCACCAAGUUUACCUUGUCAAGAUCUCUCCCUUCCCCUUGUCUCAUUCCAAUUUCCUCUCCCAGUUUGUUUCGUUUUACAUUAGAAAUAAUAGAAAUUCAGACUAUACUUGGAGAUGGGGAAGAUGCGUCUAAAUCACUAAGCUAAACUAUGCUCGAGUUGGUUAAAUUGAUUAUCCAUGAGAUUCGAUUUUAUAACAUAGCUCCAAUGUUAUUAAAUGUCUUGUCUCUAUAAUUUGUCUUGCAACUGAAAAGGAGUAGACAGAUGGACAAAGAGCAGAGUUGCCUUGGAUUUUUCUCACCUUUGCCUUGGGAUGCUUGUGACCUUCUGCUUUCUACCAAAUUGGCAGAGCAAAAUAUACUGCGAACAUGUGAUUUCUUUUCCCUUUUUAACUUCGUGAGCAAAAUAACCAUUCAUAUAUUCAAGCUUUAAAAGUUGUAUCGGUUAUAUUUUCUUAUAAAUUUUAUGUGUCACAACUUAUGAUUUGUAUCAAUUUAGAUCCUUCUUUAUACAUGGUUCUAUAUUUUGUAAAUAUUUUAGUUUAGUUUUAGUUUACUACUUUUUAAAAUAUAAACUAUCCAAAAUAUCCAUGGUGUUCAUUCAAUAUUAAAAUUUGUUUAAUAAAAUAUUCAAAUUACACUCUAAAAUUUAAAUUAGAAUUGUUAUAUAACAGACCAAUCAAGUAGAAUGAUGACUAUGAUAAGUGAACUAAACAAAUAAUUGUAGAAUAUUAGUAGACAAAUGAGAAAAAAAGGAAGAGGACAACUUAACAAACAAAAUAACACCAAACAUAUGGAAUCCUUAUGCCAUUCUAUUAUGUUUAGUUGUCCGUUCUCCUCUAUCAUUUGUCUAUCAUACUACAAUGUACCAAAUUAGCCAACUAACCAUUCAUUAUUUAUCGACAUCUUCGACAAUAAUAUAGAAUCACAUUUGGACCCCCAAAUGAUAAAAACCGAACCUUUCGAACUUGUAGGGGUAUUUUUGCCAUUUGUGCUUGGUUUUUAUUACUAUCAUGGUUAAUAUUUUUGUUAGUUAGGGGGUGUUGAAAUGGGAGGAGACCAGCAUGGUAACGGACCAUUGAUUAAUACGAUCCAGAAAUAGACAUUACAUUUACACUGGGAAGGCUAGUGGGUUUGUCAUCUAACAGAGAAAUUGCUUGCAUCUACUCAUAGCAAGCAACUCCCAAACAAAUUAUGUGAAAUAGAAAAAGGAUAAACUCCCUUCUCUUUCCAAAUAAAAGAUAUCUAGAACAAACAAAUUUUCUCACCUAUCAUUUGAUUUGAGGCAUGAGGAAGGUUCAGUGUUGGGUUUUUUCAGCUCCCACCCUUUCGAUGGUGACUGUAGAUAUAAUGAACUGGAAGACAGCUGCUUCUGCCGCGACGAUAUGGAAGACAAGCAACUGAAUGCAUUCCUCAGCUUCGUCUUCUCAGUCUCGAAUGGCGUGGGAUCGUGUCUUACAGCAGAUAUUCUAAGGGACUCAGGAAGUAUGCAAUUACAGACGGAACCUGUAAUGUUGAUCCCUUUCUGUUAAUCUUUUAGUGAAUAUGAAAAACCACUCUUCUACAUUUAAUUUAAUUUAAACCCAAAUGUCACUAUACCACAAUGGAUUGAAAAGCAAGCAUAGGUAGCUGAAACUUUCUUUUUUGGGGGAGAAUAAAAUCAAUAGAUUUAGCAUUCACACCAUCAGAUCUGAGAGGGAAAAUCGCUUCUAAAAGGGAAUGAGAUAGAAAGGUACCUAUUUUAGCCAGUCGAUUUACCCAUUUUGGAAUUGAUUUUCCAGUCAACUGAUGACAGACGUCCCUGCAGAAAUGAUUGCAGUUCUUGACAAUUAGGUGAUAUGUAUCUCCAUAGUAGCUUGAAGAGCACUGCUCCAUGAACUCUCUUACUUCAUGAGGGUCGAGGCAGGUUGUGCCAAUUAAUAUUGACCUCCUAAACUUGAAGCCCGGGCAUUGUCGAGGCUCGACUUCAAAAACGCCACUGGUUGGAUAGUCAUGAGCUCCAAAUGCAUAUUCUACACCAUGGACUGCAAAAUGCAUACAUUUCACUCUCAGAACGGAAUGAGAUCGCACUAACUUUCUAAUUUCAGAUCACAAUUGGAUUUUGUAGUGGCAAAAGAAAGGUUUGUGACAUUACCUUCUACACCAGAGUGAAAGAUACCAAGGCCUGCCCAAUAGACAUAACCAUUCACAGGGGUUAAAUCAUACACGUUUAGAUAAACUGGCGUUGUGCCUGGACCAUAGUUAACCGACUUAGAUUUGGAAAAUAGACAAAAAGAGGGAGAUGGUGAUUUUCCUUUCAACCGAGGGGCAAUUGAUUUCCAUUUCUUGGAUCCAAGCUUCAGUUUCAUUUUUUUUUACAAAGAAAAAAAUCACACUUCGGUUGAUGCCCCUCUCCAAUCUGUUACAGGGACAAGCAGAAUAAAUCACCAAUAUGGGGAAAGUACAAAGACAAGACAGAUUCAUGCUAUUAUCAUCAGAAUAAAUAACUUUCUAAUCAAUUUUCCCAAUCAAAGUUUUACCCCUCAUCAGGUGAUGAUAAAGAACUCUCCAAUCCAAAUUAUCCUAUACCAUACAAGAAUCUUAAGCCUGAAUUGUGCUAACUUAUAAGAUAUAGCCCAGACCAACAGAUACAUGUGGUUCAGAAAUGACCAUAUGGGUUCAAACCUAAGCUUUGGGAGAGUAAAAGCUAUGCAAAAUUCAACUUUAUAUGAUUAUUCUCGGCCUUACCCAAUAUGCCAUGGCAUGAAUGUGAACCCAAAAACUUAUAAGUUUAUUUAGCCUGCAGAAUAUGAGGUCUAUUUGAGUAGUCAAUAGAUAAAAGAAGUGCAGUAAAGGGUCACAAACUUAAACAAGCUAGCAGGAGAGGAGGUGAUUGGAAUUGUCUGAUAUACAAAUCAAAAGAAAAGUUGAGAAUCCAUUUCUGCAGCAAAUUUGUAGCGAAAACACUAAUGAUUGGAAGGUGAGUUUAAAAACAUUCUCUUUAUUCCUUAUAAUAACAUUUAAACGAUGAUGUUAGCCUGAUUUUGAAAAGAGACAAAAGCUGUUUUUCAGAUAAUCGCAGACUUGUACUUAAUAAUUACACUAAGUAAUCUUAUCGCUACUCCCAAUUUAAGAAAAUAAUUAUGAUAUAAAUAGAAAUUAAAGAAAAAGAAAAAGAGUAAAGCCAGGUAGCCCCUCCGUCAUCAUGACAUCCUCAUUCAUGUAGUAUUUUUAAUCCUUUACCAUAUUAAGAAGAUAUCCUAGUUCUCUUCUCCCAUUAAAUUAGAGAAGGCUAAUAACUUGAACAAUCAAGGGUUUUCAUUUCAGUAUCCAAAAUCUAAAUAGAUCUGAACAGAAGCAACUUUCGAGCCUGGAACUUUUAAUUCAAGAAUUAUAUAUUGGAAAUAGAAAAUAAAGUUGCACUACAUUUAUUAAGAGCCAGCUAAGUUCUCCAACAGAACAUUAAGCAUCAAACCUUUUAUUAAAAGCACUCCUAAAAGCUAGGAUUCUCUUUCUUUCUUUUUUUAAGCUAUCAAUGAAACACAUUGUGUCUCAAGAUUUUCAAAAUCAAACUGAUAAUAGAAUUGUUUACUUUCAAAUCAACUCGUGUACAAGUUACUUUCAAUAAUGGAAUUGGACAGUAACGGUUAUUGAUUGAAGGAGGAAAAGAAAAAUUGGUAAAAUUAAAUUCAGAUCUGAAUGACAAUUAAAUUAACUAACGAAGACAAGGGCACUCCAAAGUGGCCAGCAUUAACAGUCAAGUCUAUUAUCAAAGAUCAACAAAACAGGAAACCAUGCUUUCUGCUAAGGCGUUACAGACCCCAAACAUUACAAAUCAAGACAAAAACAACAAGGGGAGGAAAAUUCACAGAUUCAGAAACAAAAACACAAAACAAACAAUCAAACGCUCUCGAUGCCAGCUUAUGAAGGAAACCCCACAAGUUCAUAAUCAUUAAAAACCCAACAAUUCAACAACCACACAAAAAAAUAAAUCGAACCCAUGUCACAAAACGAACUCACAGAUUCAAGAAGAUCCAAAAUGGGGCAUCGAAAUGAGGCAGCAGGAUGAAGGAGGGAGCACAAAAAAGCAAACCCAGAUAAGUAAAAGACAGAGAGAGGAAGAAAAAGAAGAAGAAUGAGAGGGACCAGAAACAAGGGUUACAAUCCUCGUUUGGCCGCCUCUCGCUCUCUCUUUCUCUGUGUAUCUCUCAAAGGUUUGUGCUAGAUGAAUAAUAAUGGAAGUGGGAAAGGCAACGAAAGUGGCAUAAACCAAAAGGAAAGAAGACCAGAUUGAUUAAUGUGGGUGAGCCUAAGAGGCACAGCCACAGCCACAGCCUCAGCCAAGCCACAGUUUGAGAGAGAAAGAUGAUACAGUGAAAGUUGUCUCAUUAUUUUACCCUUUCCCAUACCCUUCUCUUCCCACCACGUGCUUUGCUUUUCUCCAAAUUCUCCAUCUUUUUAGCCCAUCUUUCAUUUCUUCUUCUUCUUCUUCUUCAUUUCAUUUCAAUUAUAAUGCCCCAUACUUCUCUAAUGACCUUUCAAUCUUUCUUUGUUAAUGCACAACACCAUUUAAACUUUUAUAUUGUGAUUUAUAGAAUUUGAGCUUUCUCUUCUAUUUAACUAAACUAAUUUUGACAUACAUUCGAGUUGGUAUUUCUCAAAUAAAUAAAGUUCGAGGUGAAAAAUUCAAAUAUGUAGUUUUGUGAAUAUUAGUCAAUAAAAUAAUUUUAAAAUUAAGUAUAUAAUAACAUUUUUAAAAAUAUUUAUUAAUUUUAUCGUGGUAGAUUUAUAUGGCUCGAUCAAUUUUGUCAUAUUUGUAUUUUUUAAAAAUUUAUGUCAUAGUGUGAAUAUAAUUGUUAUGUAUAGUAUUAUAAGAAUAAUACAAACAAAUUGAAUACAUUAUUAAGUCAAUCAUCCUAUUGUCUGGAAGUGGAAGACUUAACUUUAUUCUCCACCAGAUAUUUUCUUUUUAUAUUUUGAUUUACUAAUAAUAUGAUUAAGUUGAAAGUAAAUUAAAAUAUAGAAACUGCUCUCCAAAAAGAAAUAUUAAAAAAUAGAUAGAAGAUACAACUUUAUUGUUUUCUUUCUAAAAAAAAAUAAUUGUUAGAAUUGAUUGCCUUUAGCUUGCAGCAUUGAUGUUGCCAUGAGUACAAUAAUAAGUGAAUUCUAGUCAAUAUGACUUAAUAAUGUGACAAUCAUCUUAUGUGUCUCUACGUAUGAAUAUAUAAUAUUUAGACUUUAGUUUCUAACAUGUCGGUUGAUUUUUCAAUCUCAUCAAACCAUAUUUUAAGUAUUGGUGAUUUUAUGUUUUACAAUGCUUAUAUGCGAGUAAAUCAUUAGUUUUAUUAUUAUAUUGAGUUAGCUAUUAUGUGCACACAAGAGUCAAGAUAAACAUGUGUUGAAAGGUCUAUGCAGUAAUGAGAAGGUGGUUAGAUGUUUUGAGAUGUCCGUAUUUGAAUCGACCACCUAAGCAAUUGGAAUUGAACCUGUAAAUCUCCAGGGGAUGUUGAUGAUGAUAUGAGUCGUCAUAGUGGUCUAUACGUGGGAAUGGUUUUAUGUCCUGGCGAAAGAAAUAAGUAGAUGCCAAUGUGAUAUUUAAUGUUUUUAGCACAUGAUGAGAUGUUGUGAAAUUGAUCUUGCAAAAUGAAUUUAAAGAUGUUAUUUGUAUUCUCAAAGGUUUUUCUAAAACGUUACUCAUCGAAUGUCAGACUUACGAUUUAAGUUUUUUUCUCUCAAGUAAGAGUUGCAUGGUGAAGAUAAGCUGGUAUAUAUAUUUGGACUAGGCAAUAAGAGUUGUUGGAAUUUAAGUUUAGACGUUUUAAGUUGUACAUGAGUUUUCCUAGUUUGACACUUUUCUUUUAACGAACAUAUAUAUAAGAUCGAUCAUGAUUAAUAAAGUGCCUAAUAAGUAUUUAAAAACAAAUAGAACAUUAAAUAUUGUAAUAUCUAAUUCAAAAGAUUAGUUUUCAUAAAUAUAUUUUGCUUUAGAAGAAAAAUCUUCAGGUAACAAAAUACAUUUUAGUACCAAAUGCAAUUCAAAAUUUUAUAAAUAGAAACAAAAACCCGUACGUUGGCAAAUGGGCCGGAUCUUCUUCUUUAUGGGCCCAGUUUUCUAAUUUGAAUAAUGUUUUUUAGGAAAUGUUUAGAUAAUUAUUUUUAACUUCAACUUAGCAACAAAAUUCCAAAAUUCUAAGCAAUAAUUUUUUUUUACCAUCGAUCCCUUCACUAAUAGAAUGUGUUCUCAGCUUCUCAUUAAUGCUUCAUUUUCUUUUAAAUUACCACUAGAAACACUACAACAAUUGAAGACACAAAAGAAAAGAAAAUCAAUCAUUAUGCAUCCUAUCUAAUGUUGAUCUCAUCCAGUUAAAUUGCUACCACUACCACUUGUUUAUUCUCCCACUUUGGGGAAAUUUGUAGUGAUUUAUGAGUUCACAAGAAUGAAAUAAUAAUUCACAAAUAGAAAGAGAGUUUGACACCUUCUACAUAUGCUAAGAGUUGAGAAAUGUUUUGAGGAAUAUAGUGUUUAGAGAAAUGCAUGCUCUUACACAGUGGUUGAUACAAACAAAAUUCUCCCUAAACUUUUAAACACUGUAUCCUAUUUUCAUACAAUCAAAAUCGUUUCCACAAUUCAAUCAAUGAAAAUUGUUUAAUUAUGAUUGAAUUAUGAUAUAAACACGAGAAAGAAAAAGGGAAUGUCUAGUGCUCUAUGACUAAGAAAAGUAACAUGAAAAUGGAGAUGAACUCUUGUUUUCUUAAAAUGCAUGAAUCGGACUCCGAUUCAUUAAUCUCAUACGAACGACGGUUUCUAAAAGAGAAAAAAGAAUCAAAAGAAUAAUUCUCUUGAGGAAUAUAUACAUAAAAACCAUCUAAUUAUUUUUUUAUUUUUCAUUUCUAGUUAAUAAACUUCAAAAAACAAUUAAAACAUUAAAUUGAAAUAUCAAUAUGUAUUUCAUUUCUUAAUACCUAAAAUAAUUUCCAUGUUAAAAUUUGAUGUCUUUUUCAAAGAAAAGAUAAUAAUAAUAAUAAUAAAAAAAAAAGAAUUCCUAUGUAAUAUUGCAAAUUUUAAGAAGAUGAAUAUAUCUGAGAUAAUUUUUUUAAGAAUUCUUCAGAAAAAAUAAAAUAGAAUAAAAGGAAUGGAACGUAACUAAUAUAUAUACACACAGAUUCAGCUCGAUCAAUAAUUAACAAUCAUAGUGGAAAAUGAAUUUAAUAAAAACUCCUGAAGUAGAACUGAAAGCAUUAAUUGAAAAUAAACAAAGCAAAAAUUUGGAAUUAUAAUAACAUCAUUAAAAAAAGAGAGGGAGAGAGAGAAAAAUUGUACAAAAGAAAAGAAAAGAGAAAAAAAAAAUUGUACAAUCUAUUCGCUGUUGCAAAAUGUUGACCCACGUGGUAACCAAGAACCUGCAUGCAUCCGUUUCCUAUACACAUACCUUACCGGAAUCCGAUGCAGAACCUGGCUGAGCCCAUGGUCAAAUUUCAUAACCCAUUACUCCCGCCGCCGCCGUAAGGCGAGGCAGCUUCAACGUCACAACCAUCAAACGACGAGAAAAGAGCAGAAAUACCACUGCCGGAAACCCCACCACCUCCUCCUCCUCCUCCGCCCAUGCCCAGUCCUAGGAGAUCCCGCGUGGUGGGUUCAUUGCCGAAUCCAAGUCCGAGCCCAGCCGUCAUGGAGAUGGCGGGGCCAGGAGACUGCGACAACGAUAACCCAGAGGCACGAAGCAAAGAGGAGGCGGUGGAGCUGGUGACGCCCAUUUGGGCAGCCUUCUGCAGCAAGGCAGUGGCGGACAUCGCGGCGGGCUGAGGCGACAGAGAGUAAUGUGGAGUAUGGUCUUGAAAAAUGGAAGAGGCUGAGGUUGAGCCCGAUGAGGCUGAGGCUCUACAUGAGAGGAAGAGGGACGUUGAGAGAGAGAGCGAUGUGGGCUCAAUGGCGGUGGUCGAGGGAUCAUUGCCACCGUCUGGUCGGUUGACGCCGGUGGUGAGUUGAUGGGGCGGAUUAGGGGGAGCACUUGUAACAGUGGGAGGAGAAGAAGAAAAUACACCAGCGAAAACGCUUGCUCCACCGCCAUUUGUUUGGCAGGUUUUGUUAACGGUGGAGGCCACGGCUGAGGUUAAGCUUGUCGCUGCUGGUGUUAAUGGCGGAGGCCCCAUGGGAAUGUCCGGUGGUUCUGCACCCAAAACAUCCAUGAAAGGAAAAGGUUGAGGAAAGUCUAAAGCUACAUCUUUAGAUUAAACUUGGUAGCUUUUUAAGUUACCAAUUUCAAAACUUGCCGGAGUAAAAAUUACGGCUGUUUGAAAAGUAAACACUUUUUCAUAACUAAAUACAAAGUUACUAACUUCAACCUAUAAACUCAAGUCAAGACAGCGAGCCAAACGCCCUCAAUUGGUCUAACUUGACAAGACUUCAAAAUUAAAAAAGUCGAGAGUAAAAUUGAUGAAAUGAACGAACACAGUUAUCCAAUCAUUAGUCGUAUCAAGUAAGAGAGAAUAUUGAUGAAAUUUCAACUUUAUAAUUAGUAUUUUUCAACCUUAGUUAAUAGGAAGAUAUAUCUAGAAACAGCAAGUAGCAAUAUUAAUCAAUUAGAGAGUAAGUAACCACCAAAACAGCACUAAAUUAUUUGGAGCGAUGAGAUAACAAGACAACAAGAUUUUAAAUUCAAAUAAUAACAAUAAUAAUAGACAAUUAAUUUUGGACUUCCAAGACUUCUUAAAUUUAAAUAAGAUCAAAUAAAUCAAGUGAGCUCAAUUAACAAAAAAAGCUUAUCAACAAAACUAAAAAGAAAACAAUAAAUUUGCUUAAAAAGUAGAUCCUAGCUAGAGCAGCAUUAGAAACAUUUUAUUUGGUGCGACAUACCAAAUUAUUCAACUAUACACAUGUUAAAUUUUUUUUUAUUUUUUCGGAAUGCAAUAAAUACAUUAUUUAUGAUGUAAUAUUAAAUUUACAUUUUUUCUUUUUUUUUUUUGUUUAUGGUACUACUCCAAAUUAUUACUACUAAAAAAGUUGUCCAUGUUGUGAUAAAUCACCCCUAUUAAAUUAAUAUAUGGGUGAAAUGAAAUCCAAAAUUUAUGAUGACUAAUAAGCUUUCAAACCAAGCAGUAAUUAUAAUUUUCUAGAAUUUAAAAAUAUGUUUCUACAAAUGUUAUAAAAAUUGUUUAUAAAAACUAAACCUUUUGGAAAAUCAAUUCAAAGGACAAAAGUCCCUUGAUUAACAAGGACAACAAUGAAUCACAUCAAGACAGCAAGCUUUUCUCUAGGUUUUUCUUCCACAAUAUAUACAAAAUUUUACCUAUCCAACUUUAAUUUCUUUGCCAGUAUUAAUUACCUUUUCUAAAUCAAGCAAUCAACCAAGAAACACAAAAUUAAUUUUUCCAUAAUCAUAGAACGAACGAGAUCAAGUGAGCAUUUAUUUUUACCUGAGCUUUGAAUUGACAAACCAGGAGACACCGGCAUGGUGGCCAAUGGCGAAGAAGCAACCGCUGCUGUGACGGCGGCAGCGGCGGCAAUAACAUUGGAAUCCGAGCUUGCGAACGCUAAAGCAUCGCAAAAAGCCCGAUGCGUAAUGAAACUAUCCCUCCUUUGAAAAAAAAGAAAACAAAGAAGUUCAAGAAAUUUGAGGAGAUAAAAUGAAUAACGUGAAUUAAUUGAAGAUUUGAUUAGUGAAUUUUACCUAGAAAACAAAGUUCCACAAUCGCAUUUAUAUUCUCUAGUCCCACAGGUUUUCAUAUGCGCUUUCCAAUCCGAUUGAACGGCGUAUUUCUUGGAGCACCGCUCGCACUUCCACUUCUUCUCGCAGUGCUUUCUAGAGAAGUGCUUUUUAAUGCCGGUUAGAUCACCCAGUGCCCUAGCCGGAUUAUGAUGCACGCAAGAAGGUUCUGGACAGACGUAGACUCGUUUUCGAAUUUCAUUGCUCGUCCUUUGCCGGAGCUUCCAAGGUAAGUUGUGGCCGCGCCUGUGAAGUUGCAGGUUCUGGUCUCGCUGGAAUCCUUUGUUGCAGAUCUCGCACACGAAUCGGUUUGUUGCUAGAAGCGAUUUUGGCGAGAGAGCUAUAACCUCCGCAGUUGGAUCUGGCAUCCCUGGGAGAUUCCGCUUCUUCUUUGCUGGAGUCACGGUGUCGAUUGUCUCGAUUUCAACUGCUGACGGGGAAGAUGCAGCAACCGUCGCUGUUGGAGAAUUAUUCUCUGCCGAUACCAUUGGUGAUGAUUUCGAGCCCUAACUUAAUUGGAUUUAGAAAAUUAUUGCUGGAGAAGAAAUGAAAAUCGGAGUAGUUAGAAAUGUAUACAGAGCAUUAUCUGGUUUGAGUUUUACGUAAUUAAAUUGAGAUGAACUGGGUCAUCGGAUUUGUGGCCGGGAAUUCGUGGUCCUUGGAGGCGGCGGCCACUUCACAGUUCACACUUGAGAGGAACAAGAGAGAGGAGGCGAAGGGAGAGAGGUUGAAGAAAGAGACAGAAAUUUAAAUUUUUGUGGGUUUUUUUUUCACUUUUUUUUUUUUUUUUUGAGUCAAGGAAAAAAAUCAAAAGAUUAAAGCGGCGCGCUAACCAUGGUUAAGAAUUUGGAACUAUGGUUUAGGGGGAGGUCUGGGGCCCACGGGAAGUCUGAUCUUUUUGUCUGCUCAUGCGUUGCGCCACGUGUCUGGAUCUGCGGGUCUAUGAUUUUUGUCGGGCCAAGUCGGACUACUCCAGCCGGUGCUUGUCGUCUAGUCCAAUUAUUUAUUCCAUUUUUCAAACUCCAUUUGCGAUAAGACAAUUAUACCCCUCCUCCUAUUCUCCCAUUCUUAGCUCCCCUAAUUUUAAAUUUUAUAUUAUUAUUAUCUUACUAUUUUUCAUUUAUCUUUCAAUAAUCUACCCUUUAAAUAUAAAUUAUUAUAAUUCAACUAUUCUAUCCCUAAAAUGUUAAAUGUCAAGGGUAUUAAAUUGUAUUUCGUAACUUAUAACUAGUGUGUUAAUAUAAUUACAGAUUUAGUAUUUAAAUAAAUAUAAAAAUUGGAGACGCUACUAAAUUUAUGCCAUACAAUUAUUGAUGAGUGAGUAUGAUUUUUUUCAAAUGAAUAGUAUAAUUUUUUAAACGUUGAUUGACAUUUUCUCUUUAAAUUGAAUAAAUUCACGUAAAGUGGUGUUUACAUCUUCCAACGCAAUAAAAUUGUAAGAUACAUUUAAAAAUAUUAAAAUAUAUAUUUAAGUAACUAAUUAAACUAAACAAAUCAUAUGGUAGUUAGUAUUUAACUUUUUCAACCAUGACAAAACUAAAAAGACAUUGAUUAUAAUAGUACUUGACAUAUACUUCUAAAAUAUAAAUAUGAUGUAACUAAUUUAAUUAACUGUUUUGACGUUAUAUAUAAUUUAUUAUAUGAGAAUUGUGGUUAUUUCUUAACUGUGAAGAAGGUUUUCAAACUAUUGGACGCAUUAACUGGACUUCAAGAGAAGAGAAAAAACAAUAUCAUUAGUUUUAUAUCAUAAUUCAAUUAUCUUUUGUUGGUUGGUCUAGUGAUUUAUUUAUUUAUUAAAACAAAUGUUUAUGUGUAUGUUUUUCUAUGCAUAUACUUUUUAAUUAUCAAUAAUAUAUACAAAUUAAAUUUAUAAACUAUUUUUAGAUAUAGAAACAACUCAUUGUUUUUAUUAACUAUCGAUGUUACUUUGGAAUAUUUAUUUAUGAAUACCAAAUAACUCUGUUAUCAUACAUAUAAUAUAUAUAUAAAAGAUAAACCAAAUGUGGAUAAAAAAUAUUAUCAACUAUUGGAUUAUUAACAAGUAAUUUUUUAUAACGAGCAGUUUCAAUCUUCAUUUAAAAACCAAUUUACGCAAUAAAGUUUUUAUUUGAAUAUAUUUAAUUUAAAGCCAUUUAUUUUAUUUCAAAUUAGAAAAAGAAUAUAAAUGUAGUUAAUUAAAAUAUAGAAGGGCAAAUCCGUCUUAAAAAGUUUAUUUUAGAUUAUAGCUUUUUAUAUAUCAUAGGUUAUAGAUAUGCUAUUACAGAAUAGUAGUUGAAGUACAAAGCUAUAAAAAAUUGUAUUUUGAUACAAAUUAUUUUAGUUUGAUGGACAAAGUUUGUAAUUUAAAAACUAAUGGUAAACUAUAAUAAUUGAAAGUGUGAGUAUUAUUAUAAUUAUAUUGGAACAUCAAACAGAAACUCAAUAGUUGAUAUGGAAUUUAAUUAAAUGAAAACUUUAACAUUUCCGUCUCACUUGUAGUCUAAUAAAAUCCGUAGAGUGAAUGAUCAUAUGAUUAUACAUACAUUAAGGAAAUGGGAAGUUUGAGAGGAUAGGUAUGUGUUACGAAUGGGGAUAUGAAAUGAUAAGAAAAGGCGGAGGAGUCACGGGGCGGGGGAAAUGAGGGGGAAAUGAUUUGUACGUUAGAGUACAAAAAGGAAGUAAAGGUGUGGAGAGGGGAGGUGGCGAGGUGGCGAGGUGGCGAGGUGGCGAGGUGGGAGAGGAAAAGGCAGAAAAUGAGGGAUUUAUUUGAUUUAGAAAGGAAAAAAAGAGAAAGAAAAGGUUGUAGAUGGGAAAAUGUAGGAAUGGUUGCAUAUAAUAGAAACUGAGUGAUAAAAAGGUAAAUAUACUUUUUUGUCCGUUUUAGGGGUAGGGACUUUCUCUGGAUUUGGGAGUGAGGACAGCUACGGAAAAAUAGACAUCACCUAAUUUUCAAAAGUUACAAUCAUAAUCCUUCUUUUCUUUCUUUUUUUUAAAUAAUAUAAGGGGACUUAAGAGGGAGGGGCUCUUUCGACAUUUCCAUUAUUGGAAGAAAUGAUGGCUAACCAAUUUCAACACGUCUGCAAGAUUCCCUUACACAUAUGAUAUCACAUUUAUUAGAUGCAUUUUUUUUUUUUACUAUUAUGUUAUCUUAUGUUAUACCUCCAAUUCUAACCAUUUCCUAAAUAAAUCAUAUAGUAACUCAUACUAAACUUGUAUAUCGUAGUAAUAUUGCCCGUUUUUUUCAAAACUAUAACAAAUCCAUCCAAUAUAAAUAUCAAAAUUAUACUCUUUUAAACAUACAAUAAAAUCGACCAAAAUCGUAAGGAGAUAUCGUUGUGGAUCCGUGUUAGAAAGAAAGUAAAAGCUUAAACGAUAUCAUUAACAGAUGUUUACGUCGAAAAUGAUUGAUUAAUAAUUUAAUUAAACAACUUCUUGGAUUUAGAGUAUAAAUUAAGAUGAUUUUAGAGUUAAAUUAUGGUGUUUGUAACUUUGUAGAAAGAUUUUUGACCUUUUAAUUUAAUGUUUAUUGGAAAAUGGAACUGAAAAGGUGGAAAGUAGUGGACCUUGUGUACGUGGUUAAUAAUAAUAACUUCAUCCUCUUCUGGGUAAUAAUUUUUGCAUCUGCUCGUUUUGAAUGGCGGGGCAGUCCCUGAUUCGCUCAUAGCCUGCACCACGUGGGACUUCAAAUAUACCCAACAAAGAAACAAAACAGGACAAUUUCUUUAGAUUGCAUCUUUCAUUCAUAUAUAAAUUGUUAUAAUUUACAUAAUACAGAGAAAAAAAUUAUAUUACUUUUGUAUUUCAUAAUUAUUAAGAUAUGUAUCAGAGGCUUCAUUGAUGUUUUUUCAUCCAAUUGGCAUUACGUUUUGUAUUAAUAUCUUCUAUUUCACUUAUAAAAUAGUGUAGACAAAAGUUUCGAGGGAAAAAAUUAGAACUAAAAAAGACAUGUCUAUGUAUACAUUCAAUGAUUCAAGACAAUUUAAUUUACUGUCUAAAAAUCCACAUGUAGAUACUCUACUUUCUUUACUCUCAGAUAUUUUUCCUCUUUUUUUCGAACUAUCGUUUUCUUUAAAAACAUAUUGAGUAGCAAGUAAUUAUAAGGAAAAAACGAAGUGAAAAUCAAGAUUUAGAACGUGUAGAGACGUUUUGUAACGUCAGUUUGUGAUCAUACAGUCAAAAUGCUGCAAAACUUGGGUUUUCAAGAGUGAGCCAAUUUUUAUUUGGGGGAUGUUGAGUGUGUGUGGUUCCUAUAAUAAUUUUCUCAAACGUGAUGAAUUUGAAGUGGAAGGAAAAGUAAGAAACCACACAAUCAUCCAACUAAAAGAUUGAGAAAUUACAGAAAAAGUAAUUAAAAAAAAAAGGUAGUACAAUGCAUGGUGUGGAGAAUUUUCACAGGGAUAAAAAGGAGAGACUGACAGGUAAUCAUAGCAAUUUUGAUUCAACUUUUUGAGUUGCUUUUUGAUCUCUCUCUUUCUUUCUUUUUCUUUUUUGCUGAUUGCAAAAACCUAGUGUCUUCAACUUCGAGAUGAAAGGAACCCAAUUGCCUUUUUUCUGCUGUUUGCAAUAAUGCUAUUCAUAUGCGCUUUGGGUCUCCCAUACUAGGCUUUGACCUUUGAAUUAUUGCUUUUAAUCCUUACAAAAAUCAUGCUAAAUCAAAACUAAAUCGGUGAACUCAAUCUAAAUUGACCUAAACAAGUCGGACUGAGAUAGUUUGGUUGGUGACUGAACAAGAACAUAAUAACGAUGAAAUAAGUUGUCCAUACUAAAUAUCAACAAUUUGCUAGCUAGGAGAUCAGUAUGAACUAAACUAACCCAAAUAAGCAAGAACCCCACUGUACCAAGAAUUUAUUUCAAGAUAAGUUACCUGCUAGGAAAUCAACAUACAAGCAAAAAAAAAAAAAGUAAAUGGUAGAGAAUCAACAAAGAGAUUUAUCUACGUUCACGCCUCAUGGACAGAGGGAGAGACUCCUGUUCUAACAUUGCCUGUGAUAACUUGUGGUUCUCUAUUUCUACAUGAUAUACAAUUACAUGUCACUUAAAGAAGUUGGAUGUAACUUAAGACUCAGAGCUUUGAUGGUAAGAUUUUGGAGGCAUGAUCAAAUCCUUUUGCAAGUACUAAGAAAACUAGUAGUUAGAGUCACAAAGGGAAACAUCAGUUUCAAAAUAAAAUUGCAUUAUUUCACUAUAUUUUAGCUUUCUUUUGCAUGCAGCUACAAAAAAGAGAUAGAUAUAUUGCGAGAUCAAACAUGUUCAUAUCUACCAGCAAACAAGCAGUCGGGAAUUGGAUAAAUAAAAAAAGAAGUAAAUAGGAUUGAGGAAUUUUGAAACUCUUUGAAGCAAAGAUUUCUAGUUGAUAAUCACCUCUCUUUUAGCUGCUAUCGUCCACCACUUGAUUAACCACUUGAUUGUUUGCAAAUAGAGGCUCUCGUCGUUUAGGAAAUCCUGGAGGUUCCAAAGGUGAGCCCCUGAAUUUUAGCUCUGAAGCUGCUCUAUAAUUUGGAUCAACUGCAGCCGGUCUCGAGCUAUGGUCGUUUGUCGUAGCUGGCCUAAAGGAACUUGUUGCGCCAGCUGGAUACCCUGUGGGAGAACCAUAACGCCGUGGUGGACCUCUUAGGCCACCAGCACUUCUGAGAUCCAUCACAUCAGUGCUUCUCGAAGGAGUGUCUAUGAAAGAGGCUCGCUCGCUGGAUCCAGUUCCCAUUGGAGCUCCAGUAGUUGGUGAAGUGGCAGUAAAAGGGUCAUCCGGUCCCCAUGAAGUGAGUGCCUCCUUCUUCUUGGCAAAGAAAUGCCAAGCUCCAAAGAGAAAGAGUAUGAAAAACAGAACAGGGCUUGUCCAGACCAUUGUAUUGAACUCCCCUUUAAAAAUUGGAAGAUUAGAGCGAUACAUUCCUACAUAUCCACCCCCGAGUCCAAGAACCACAAGUUUUUCAUGAUCACUAGAUAUUAAGGGUAUAAAGUUUGCUUCGGAUACUAAAUCCGAAUUCUGGUAAUUUAGAAAGGAUGAUUUGAUUUCAUCCAAACCAGCCGAAAAUAGAAGCCUUGGUGCACCCACUCGAACAUAAUGCUGAGAGGACACAUUGAAAACAUGAACCUUCUCAUUGCUAGUCACAAGCAAAUAACCCUUGAUUGUCUGAAAAGCAAGCGGUUCAUCAAGCUCAAACUUUCGUUUAGAUCUGACCCUGCAUUUAAAGUUCAUUAUAUCUCCCAACAACAAAACAUGGAUUAAAUCACCAUCUGAUGUGACACCAUAGGCUUUAGAUCGCUCCAUGGCAUCAAACACGUAGUUCCGGGCAAGAGAAUGAUUCAAUCCCUCACAUUCGGACUCCCUAAGUUUCAUGCUUCUCAAAUCCAAUGAGCCAGCACCACUUUCUGUCAAGAACAAAAGCCUCUGCUUCAAGAAUGCUAUUGGCCUACUCGUUGGCAUGACAGAACCAUAAACGGUACCAUCUUCUCUGAAAACCUUGAUUUUUCCCCCGAAAUCUGAAGACAGAAUGUACCUAGUCCUCCCAACAUGAUGCAAUUCCAAUAGAGAAAUCUGUGACUCGUCCUCCCGACUGUUGGUGGCCACAAAUUCCACAACAUGUUCCAUGAAAAUCAAAUUCAAAUCCUCCCCAUUGGAUCCCUCCCAAAUCCGAUGCAUCAAGAUCGCCCCAUUCUUGUGCCCAGUAACCAAAAGGGUCUCGUUCUUAUAAAUUGACAUAUACGAGAGCAUUGCAGUAACGGGCGAUCCAGGCACAGUAGGAAGCUCAAUUGCAACAUCUCCAUUUCUCACAAACACAUAAAUUCUCCCUCUCUCAUCUCCAACCGCAACAUACUUACUAUGCCCCUCAAAAUCCCUGAGAGGCAAGACAUUGAUACAAGUAGCAUCAGCCUCCAGUUUCACAGCAGACAAAAAGUGAAACCUUUCAGACCAAAAUGAACUAUAUUUGGUCACUGACACAGCUCUCGUCCUACCCCCAUCUUGAAUUUUAUGGUCUAAACCACCAUCUCCACCAUCAUUCAGACCCUCUUCUUUCCCUUUCCUUUUCUCUUUCCCCACCUCAGGCACUACCCGUCUGAAAGCAUCGGUAUUCAGUUUCUCUCUAUUCACCGCCGUGGGAAUAUCAGAUAACCUCAGCUCCAACUUAGAAACUACAUCGCUAAGGUUUCUCACUAACUCCUCGAGAUUUUUCAGUAAAUCAUACUGUUUAAUUUCAAAAGGGACUUCAAUUUCAGAUUGAUUCUGCUCAAGGGAGCUGGAACUACAUACAAAAACCCUAGAAACAUGGGGAAAAGCAAAAAUGAAAAGAAAAAAAAUGAAAAAGAACCUGCCUUUUCGCUCAAUCGCCAUUCAAGAAGGUGGGAAGAAGCUCUUCAAUGGGUUUCCAUUCAAAGUGAAGUUAAAUCAAGAUCUCUGAUUCCUUUUUGGAUCUGGGAACAGGAAAGUUUCGCCCAAAACUUACUUGGGUUGGUUUUCUUUUUUGUUCUUUUGAGGAAUCCGUGAGAAGUUAUUGGAGAUUGAGAUUGUGAAAAGUGUAAUAAAAUAAAAACAGAGGUGGAGAGUAUGGCAAUAUCAGGAAGUAGCUGUUUUGAAAAGGGCGGGUCGUGAUCUCAGGUGAAAUAGUGUCAAAAUGCUUCCGACCAUUUGGUUGAAGAAGAGAAAGAAAGGGUUUUUACUUUGGUCAAGUUUCAGUCAACUUUAUUAUCGUCGCGCACUCCACCAUCUCUUCCUAAAUUCUAUCCUACUUUCUAUUACAAUUUUCAUCUUUUUCUCUUUUCCCGUAACCCAUAUGUGGAACUCUUGGUUUUCUUUUCCUUGCUACAGUUCAAGGAUUCAGCACUUUUUUAACCACAAAUUUUAUGACUACUAAUUAAUAAGUUUUACUUCAGCUAAACGAUUGUUUUAUUGUAUCUACACGAUAGCUGAUGGUAUCGUCAAAUUGCACACCUUUUCAACCAAAUAAAUGUUCUAAAUUGUACACUUAACUUACUCCAACCAGUAGCACGAGUUCUAAUAAUCUAACCCCUAUUUUAAAUUAACAAUGUUUGAUGAAUUUACACGUAGAUUUAGUAGUGAUGUAUGAUAUUGUACAUGUUGUUAAAAAAAAAGAAACGACAGUAGUUAUGAGCAGAUAGAAGACUUUUUUUUCCCUCAGCAUUCUUUUUAUAACUAAAUUGACUAAGAAACUUAAAUUGCUAGUUUUCAUAACUUAUCGAAUGAUCAAUACGUGGUAAUCAAUACUAAAUGAGAAUAAGACCCUAACGUAGUAUAUAAAGUUUAACUCAAAAUAUUUCACUCUCCUACCAUAUCAAAAUCAUUAAACAACCCAAUAAUUUUGGCUAGUGACAUUAAAGUAUUGAUAUAAAUAACGUUUGAAGAAUAGCGAGAGCAUAUAAUGAAAUCAAUAACUUCAACAUCCAAACUCUUAUAGACUUUUAACAUGACCGAUCACGGUGCAUUAAAAAUCAAAACGAUCUUUGGUUAGAAAUCCACUAAUCUUAAAGCCAGGAUGCUACUUGAUUAGUUGAAACUCCUAUUUACUUUUGCUGUUCUUACUACUGUUUAAACUACUUUUGUACCAAUUAAAGAGAUUGACACGUUGGUUGUCUUAAUGUUCCAUGACACUUGUGGCAUCAAUUUGUACUGCCACUUAUUGUUUGUCACUGCAAGUGUCCAAUUCACAGGACAUGCCAAAUGCCAACUAAUUUUGAACUUUUGCUGUUCCAUGACAUUGUAGCUUAAUAGCUAUAAUUCCACAGCCACAACUUAGCUUAUAACUUAUCUGUUGAAGCCUGUUAGACCAACAUCACAUUAAUGUCUACACACAUAUAUAAAUUUAGUCCAGUUCGAGAUACAACUUUCGAUUUAAGAACGAGAAACAUCUGUUAGUAACUAAAGAGUUAAGUUUAUUUUAACUAUUUAGUGUUAAUGUUAUAGAUAGGCAGGUGCCGUAUGAAACAAAUAUUAUUUAAAACUAUAAUAAUCACGCUAUCUCUGGCAAUAAAUAUUAUUUAAAAGUUUCUAAUUAGUUAUACUAACAUUAUCAAAGAACUAUCAAUUUGCUACAAUUUUUACUAUUUGAUUUUCAUUCAUUUUUUAUUACUUGUUACCGUGUUUACUAUAUUUUUUAUCAAAUCAAAAUAGUUUACGCAAAAAUACCUAAUAUCGCCGACUUGUACUAGAAAAAAAAGUGAAGAAAAGGACGCAUGGAGUCAAUGAGUCAAAGGCGCACCUCUCUAUUUUUCGGUCAACAAAAUCAACGGUCAGAUUUGGAGUAACGAAUCUUUAGAGAAUGGGCCAGAUCUAGGGCACGAUAUAAAAGGGGAUUUCGCUCCGCAGUUUCAUUCACUCUCUCGAUUUCCCGCCAGACGAAUUGGCGCGAAACUCAACUCUCUCUCUAAUCUUCUUCUUGGUAGAACUAGCCCUAGAUCUCCCUUCCCGCCUUUUUCUACCACUGGAGUGACCUGCUUCUUUCCGCCCUUUGAUCGCUCUACUUCUCCGUCGUUUCUCAACCUUGCCGCUGCCGAUCCAGAGAAUCUCAUCACUGGUUAGUCCAUCUCUGCUCUUGCUUAUCUGCAUAUCUGGUACUGCUGUUCAAUCGACGGAGAUCGAUUCGUUUACCAGAUUUGCGUAUAUUUCCCUUUUUUUCAUCUUUGACUGAAUUAGCGCAUUUAUUUUAUAAGCUUAAUUUCGGAUCCAUGCUUUUGAAUGAAACCCUGGGUGUUAGCUCUGUUCAUUAUUAUCGUAUCUAGAUUCAGGCGUUUUGUUUGAUCGGAAUGUUUUUUCUAACGUCUAUAGUUCUGUAAUGUCCAGGGUUAAGUCGAGUAAUGUUCAUACCGAUAUCUUGAUUUAGCAAUUUUAUGUUUGAAAGUUCGAAGUAAAUUAUGAAUGUAUUAUGUGGAGGAUUUACUUGCGAUGUUUGAUAGUUUUAUGAACUGUCAUCUUCCUUUAACGGUCUGCUUAGUGUUUUUCACGCACUUGUUAGUUUCGUGGUUACUGAAUUUUCUUGCUGCACGAACGUGCCGAUUCUUCUGUUCAUCAAUAAUUUGAGUGAUGAAUCAGGAGGUCAAAAGGUUUUCAACUAUAUGAAACUUCAUUGCAACAAUGUUCUCAGUUUGUAGCAGUUUUAUUGAAAUUUUCUUGAAUCUGAAGAUCGAAAAGAUUUUUGGGGGGUGAACUUACAUUAUUUUGUUUCUCAAUUUUCCCUUCGUUGUUCGGAAUCAUGCUAUCUCGUCAAACUUAUUUUUACCAUUACUUAAUAAGUAUUUUUCACCGCAGGGAAGUAUUAUCCUGAUUUUAUUAGAGGAAUAAUCCAAUGGAGUUGCGAAGUUUCUGCCAUUUGCAUUCUAUCAAUGCCAUUAAAGGCGGCGUAGUAAAUAAAGUUUUGAACAUCAACCGUGGAAAGCCUGCAGUCGUAUUUAAGAAGCUUACUGACAUAUAUGGAUCUAUAGAUGACAAAGCCCAAGAACCACUCCCAACACGAGGGUCAAGAGUAGGUCUGGAAGUAAACACUCCUCAUAGAUCUGAGUUUAAGGUGGAUUCCCAAGUCUUUUACGCGGAAAGAAAACUAUGCAAUGAUGAGCCCAAGAUUUCUGAUUCUGACAGUAAAGGUGAUAGUGACGGGCAAAAGAGUGAUUUAGAAGUUGAUAGCAUGACUUUAAAACAGAUGAUGGAAGGUUGCAAGAAAAGAAAGCUGAGCCAGUCAAGAUCGGUUGACUCAAGUAAGGAAAAGAUGAAGACAUGUGUCAAACGAGAACUUGAUCAUUCAUUCAUGUUAACCGAGGAGGAUGAUAGUGAUCUUAAUCUAGCGCUUAGCAUCUGGAAAUCCAAACUUUCAAAACGCAGAAAAUUGAAAAUCAAAUGUGAAGAAAGCAGAAUAUCUACCAGUUCACAGUGCGACCAAACAAUUGGAAGUUCCGACCCAACCAAUAGUGAUGAAGAUCUGCUUCCUUCUGGUUCAAAUCUACCCCUAGCAGUAGACGUUAAAGUUGAAACUCCUGAAAUCGAUGUGACAGAAAUCCAGAACACAAACUACGCAAUUAAUGAGUGUUCUCUAUUUUGUGAUGAAAAUAUAAACUUUUGUCUCAAUGGUCCUGUUGGACCUGGUGGUUUAAAUUUAGAUAUAGGGUUGACAGCAUCUGAGAAAGAAACUGAAUAUUGUGUUACAAACAGUGCAUGUCAUGAAUAUUUUGAAGGCUAUGAACCCGGAACUUUUCAAAUGGUAGGGGAAUCCAGCACCAAGUGGAUGAAUGAAGAUAAACUGUAUCAUUCAGAUUUUUCUGCAUCAGAGAGCAUGAAGGGACAACAUACCCCAAGUUUUAUAUCCAAUUCUAGUAUAUUAGAAGCUAUUCCCCUGACUAAGGAACAAUGCUCUGGCACUUGCAUUUCCCCAGAUAAUUCUAUUACAAACGUGGCCAUCUGUCAGAAUAGCAGCAAAGAUAUAUCAGAAGCAAUUUCUCUGACCGAGGAACAGUGCUGUGACACUUAUAUUUCAGAAGGCAAACCUUUUACACACGAGGCCACAUGCCUGAAUGAUGGUGAAGGCUCCACUCAUUUGCAUGCAUUGACCAAUCGGAAUAGCUUGGAAGCUCCAGAGAUGAGUCAUGGAGCUGAAGUAUGUUUAACUGAGAAUAGUUAUAAAGAUGAGUUGGUAGUUGAUGAUGAAAGAAGUAUUCCAACAGAAUCUACCUGUGAUAGUAACUUAAGCCCUGACCAUGGAAAAUGUAUUUCAACAAAUCCUAUCAGUGAUCGUAACUCAGGUUCUGAUCAGCACUUGGUAUCUGAUGACGAAUGUCCAGCUAAGGAGAGACAACCACAAAUGUCUGAUUGUUUCGAUUCAGAAAGAAAUACUUCACCAAACUCUCAUCUCGAUGGUUCUGUGGACAAAUUUAAUCAAUUUGAAGAACCUAAACGCCAUCCAACAAGGCUGUUAUCAACAAGAACAGUAAGUUGCAUCUAAUUGAUUUAAUAUUUGGUUUAAAACCAUCCGGAGGUUGCUAAUAUUAUUUUGUUUUCACUUUCAGACCAUUUCCCCAACAUCUCAGGAAAGAUUGUCCAAGGCUAUGAAGUCUAUGCGAUUACAUGACAAAGAAUACAAAAGUAAGUUCCUGAAGUUAAACGUUAGUUAGUAGGGAACGUGGCUUUGAUAUUAUCCCAUUUUGAUCCUUCUUUUUUAUAAUAAUUUAUUAUGAUUAUUUGUAAUUAUGAUUAAAAAAAAGUUGUUUUUACUGCCUUAAUAUGCAAGUUAUUUACCUCAUAAAUAGAAUGUAAAAACAUUUUCCUGACCAGAAAAUGCCAAGGCUAGCAGUCCUUAGAAAGGGUAAAGUACGAACUACUUAAAAGCUUUGCAAGUCUAAACACUCUCCCUUUUGGAAUACAACACUUGUUUUACCAAGCGAGCCUUGGCACUGAUACGUGUAUAUAAAUUGUGGAUUCAUUUGGUAGUUAUUUUAUUUUGACUUAUUUUGUUUUAUAAGCAUAUUUGAAUCCUUAGAAAUUCUAGGAAUACAAUUAUGAUAAGUUCUGAUAGCUUGGUAAUAGUUUCUUUACUUCCCAUUUUUUAUUUUCCUAAUUGUUUUCUCAUUCCAUUUUAGCAUAUGGUGUCAAACCAUACUUGAAGCAAACCAAGUACAGGGUUGGCGCAGCUGAAGAGUGUGACCAGACAAAACAAGUGCAUUCUGAUAUAUAUCAAGAGAAAAAUAUAAGGAAAUCAAAGAAGAGAAGUUUCCAUUCAUCGAGCACCACCAAAGUUCCUCAAGCUACGGUCCAAAAUUGUUCAGAGAGUGCAAUUGCAUUCACACAAAGGCAAAUGCAGGACAUAGAAUGUCUUGCUCUAAAACUUACCACUCAGUUAAAGUCAAUGAAAGCAAUUGUAGAAGACAGACUUCAUGUUGAAGGCAACAAAUCUACAAGUUUCAAGUUUAACGCUGAUGAGGUAACUAAACAUAUAUGGAAACAUAACUUAACUGACAGCUUGAUUACUGUUACCUUAUUGCAGAUGUCCCUCACAUUUAUUGUACUUGUCCCAGCUUGCUUUAGCUUUCCUAGAAUGUUGAGAAACUGAAUUUUCCAUGUUCCCUUGCACUUUUCGUUAGCAUAUAGGAAUUUGUUUUGUAAAGCUUUUAAUCUUGACGAUAGUCUUUUGGACGAUAACUUAGUGAAUGAUAAAUGUGCUUUGUUGGAAUAAAAGGAUUAAUUGGGCUUGUGCUUAUGUCAAUUAGGACAUUGUUCAUUCCUAUAAAAACUUAUUACAUAUUGGUGUUUAGGUUUUGGUAUAUCAACAAUUAGCACCUGAACUUCCAUGAAACUUGUAAUCAGUAUAAAUAUUUGAUAGUUAGACUUAAGGUAACCUAUUAUGCUGCUGUCCCCUCAUGUACUAUUUUGAUUCUUUGGCAGGUGAGAACAGCCAUUGCUGAUGCCACAAAAGCGGAAACAAGUGCUAAAAAAUGGAUUUCAAUCAUGUCAAGGGAUUGCAACCGCUUUUGUAAAAUAAUGGUUUGUUCCUCACUAAAAUCUUGUAAAGAGAAACAGUUGAAAAACACUAUAAUAUUUCUUUCCCUAAACGUUGAAUAAAUAUUUGCAGAAUACGGCAGAGCACAAUUCAAAUGUUUCGCCAGUUGCAACCCAGAAGGCGAAGAGGAAGGUUACUUUUGCUGAUGAAGCUGGUGGAAAGCUUUGUGAAGUUAGGCUAUUCGAGGACGAUGUCAAUGUUGCGUCUUUUGCCAAAAUGAGUCCAGAAAAUUGUGAAACAGCCCAGUAACUUUCGGAAUUGUACCUACUUGUAUACUAAUUCAUAACGUAUACUGACUCAUCGUUCUCUUUCGUUGUAAAUUCCCAUGUCUAGUUUAAAAGAGUUCAGCUGUAGGAUUCUAAUGAGGAAGUGAUAAUUCCUUAUCCUUCCUUUUACCUCAUAUUGAAAGCCAAAUCAAGAAAUUUAAAUUAAUAUAUUGAAAUGCAUCAAAUCUGUUAUGUACUACAUAUGCCUUGCUUUUAUAAUUCCGUUCCUAUUUUGGGUCUAUUUUGUCUAAGGUUUAAGAGAUGUCAUGUGACAUACAUAAGCUCUUUGAUCUUUGCUUCUCGUCAUGUAUAGAUUCCGCUAAUUUGUGCAUCGAUUUUUUCUCAUUACUUGUUGCAAUUCGCAAAUCUAAUUAUGGAGAGCUGUCUCAUUACUGUUAGAAAUUAUGUUAUUCAUAAUAAUCAUUGAAUAUAAAAUGGACUCUCUUAUACAUCGUUAUAUAAGAAGAUUAUGUCAGUCACGUUGAACAGCCUUGUUCAAGUGGGAAUCAUAGAACAGAAACUCCCAAACUUCAGAAAAAGCUCCGACGAUUAUUCGAUGAUACUCCGGCGAGUUCAAUGUCAAAUAACAUUGCAAAAGCUCUUCCAACCCCUUUAUUUCAAAAAUCUCCUUCUCCAAUAUCAUCUGUGCCAUCGACCUCUUGAAAUCUUCUUGUGGUUCCUUCGAUCUCUUCACCUGCACAAAGCUCUUCCCCAUUUUCCCUUCCAAUUUCCUCAGGUACAACGCUCUUUUACUUCUCUUCACUGGUGAUACAUCGUCGGAGAAACUUAUCGAAGAGUUCACCAACGCAUCUGUUUCUUCGCUUUCCUUUUCCCCGUAGCCAUUCGCCUUCAAUGGCUUGCUUCUAAGCCCCGUUUUCUUUAACUUCUUCUUAAUUUUUGAUGCCUUUCUAGUUAUCCAAGAAAAUGGAGUAGAACGCUGAUUCUCUUCGCUGCUAAUUUCAUGCUCUGUUUCGGCUCUGCUUUCUUUCCCUUGCAGUAGUCCGUUUUUUCGAGCGUAUGAUUUCAAUUUGCAACUACUGCAGAUUGAUGUGGACUUUUCUUUGGAAGGGUCGGCAAAGAAAUCCACCGGCGUUGAUGGCGGUGGUGAAGGUGGAUUAGGGUAACAGCUAUAGCAGGAUUCGGGGUUUGCCGGAAUUUGCUUCCUGUAAGGGGAGUUUUCCGGCGAAGAGGUUUUGGGGAAUGUUAAAGCAUUUAGGUAUUUGGGGCGGCAGAAUCGGAAAAAGGAGAUGAAGAGACGGACUUUAAGCUUGAAGCUUCUGGCCAUGGAGAGAAGGGAGGAUGAUGGCCGGGGAAUUGCUCCGUUCCUCUGUGUAUAAAUAAUUGUGAUAAGAGAGAGUAGCCGGCCGGCCGCGAAGUUGACCAAAUCCCAAGUGAGGACGAGAGACUAAUUGAUGUUUAAUUAUGAGAUUCUUUUGGUAUAAGUGUAGUUGUCCGAUAAAUAAUUGAAUAAUUUGUGAAAAUUUCGUUUUGAUAAUUGAAUUGUGAUGUGGAGAGAAAUGAUACACUACAUUUCAAAUUGGUGGUUUCUAUGAUCUUUAAUGUCAAAAUUACCUAAACAUAAUAGCAUGAUCGACUCCUCUGUCUUCUCUUGGUUUUUUCAUUUACACUCACUUGUUCCUCUCCCUCACUCACUCUCAAUAUACUCUCUUUUGCACUUUCUUACUCUUUCACUCCAUUGCAUUUAAGCAACAUAAAUGAUACUUUAAAAACCAUUUUGAAGUUUGAGAUUGGAUCCAUUGUACAAUAAUCACCCAUUGAAGAUUCAAGCAUCAUGUCGAGUGCCGCAAGCUUAUGAACUUUAAAACAAUUGUCAACUAAGUAUAAAUCCCCGAUCAAAAUUAGCAGCUCAUUUUUUCAAUUUACACAUUUUUGGAAAAUAAUUUGCAUGAAUUUUUAGCCAUGUUUAUCCUAUAUCGAUUUUUCUUAGACUUCCAAUUUGAAUUUCAACCGAAUAAUAUUCCUUGAGACAGAGGUGUUCCUUGAUGCAAUUUUGAAGAGCUUCCGAAACUGCUAAGAUGAAAGCAUCAUUUUCUUUAAAAUUAGUAUGAAUUAUGAUUUCUUUCUUGAUUGAUUGUUUGAAGAUAUUAGUUUGUUCGACUAAUUAGUUGAGGGUUAAAUUAAAUUUAAAUGUAUUCUUUAUUCAAUGAAAGAAAAAUUGCCACCCAUUUCCAUUUUUAUCAAUUGAUGAGAAUUACCUUCUUUGAUGUACUAAUUACUAUCUUGAAAAAUCACAAAAAAAAAGAGAGAUAUAGAUAUUGCAUUAUUUCACUAUUUUUUUUCUUUUCCUUUUAGGACUAGAGAUUCUGAGAUCAAAAGUGACCAACAGAAAAAUUUACUACCAUUCACGAACUUGGAGCUCUUUAAACAAAAAUUUAACAUUCAUCCACCACCUGACUGACCACUUGAUUGUUUGCAAAUAGAGGCUCCCGUCGUUUUGGAAAUCCUGGAGGUUCUAAAGGUGAACCCCUAAAUUUAAGCUCUGAAGCUGCCCUAUAGUUUGGAUCAAUUGCAGAUCUGGAGCUGCUAUGGUUGUUUGUCGUAGCUGGUCUAAAUGAAGUUGUUGCCCCAACUGGAUAUCGUGUGGGAGAACCAUAACGCCGUGGUGGUCCUCUUAGACCACCACCACCUCUGAUAUCCAUCAUAUCGGUACUUCUCGAAGGGGUGUCUGUGAAAGACGAUCGGUUGUUGGAUACCGUUCCCAUUGGAGCUACACUAGUAGGUGAAGUAGCACUAAAAGGUUCAUCGGGUCCCCAUGAAGUGAAGGCCUCCUUCUUCUUGGAAAAGAAAUGCCAAGCUCCAAAGAGGAAGAGUGUGAAAAACAGAACAGGGCUUGUCCAAACAGUUGAAUUGAACUCCCCUCUAAAAAUUGGCAGAUUAGAGUGAUACAUUCCUACGUAUCCUUCUCCGAGUCCAAGAACCACAAGCUUUUCACGAUCACUAGAUAUUAAGGGCAUAAAAUUUGACUCUAAAUCCAAAUUUUGGUAAUUAAGGAAAGAUGAUUUGAUCUCAUCUAGAGCAGCAGAAAAUAGAAGCCUUGGUGCACCAACUCGAACAUAAUGCUGAGACGACACAUUGAAAACAUGAACCUUCUCAUUGCUGCUCACAAGCAAAUAACCCUUAAUUGUUUGAAACAUAAGGGGUUUAUUAAGCUCAAGCUUCCGUUUAGAUCUGACCCUGCAUUUAAAGUUCAUUAUAUCUCCCAACAACAAAACAUGGAUUAAAUCACCAUCUGAUGUGAAACCAUAGGCUUUAGAUCGCUCUGUGGCAUCAAACACGUAGCUGAGAGCAAGGGAAUGAUUCAAUCCCUCACAUUCUGACUCCCUAAGUUUCAUGCUUCUCAAAUCCAAUGAGCCAGCACCACUUUCUGUCAAGAACAAAAGCCUCUGCUUCAAGAAUGCUAUCGGCCUACUUGUUGGCAUGACGGAACCAUAAACCGUACCAUCUUCUUUGAAAACCUUGAUCUUUCCCCUGAAAUCCGAAGACAGAAUGUACCUAGUCCUCCCAACAUAAUGCAAUUCCAAUAGAGAAAUCUGUGACUCGUCCUCUCGACUGUCAGUGGCCACAAAUUCUACAACAUGUUCCAUGAAAAUCAAAUUCAAAUCCUCCCCAUUGGAUCCCUCCCAAAUCCGAUGCAUCAAGAUCCCCCCAUUCUUGUGCCCAGUAACCAAAAUAGUCUCGUUCUUAUAAAUUGACAUAUAGGACAACAUUGCGGUAACGGGCGAUCCAGGCACCGUAGGGAGCUCAAUCGCAACAUCUCCAUUUAUCACAAACACAUAAAUUCUCCCUCUCUCAUCUCCAACUGCAACAUACUUACUAUGCCCCUCAAAAUCCCUAAGAGGCAAGACAUUGAUACAAGUAGCAUCAGACUCCAGUUUCACUGCAGACAAAAAGUGAAACCUCUCAGACCAAAAUAAACUAUAUUUGGUUACUGAAACAGCUCUCAUCCUACCCUCAGCUUGAAUGCUAUUAUCCAAACCGUCAUCUCCACCAUCAGUAUUCAAUUUCUCCCUAUUCACCACCGCGGGUAUAUCAGAUAACAUCAACUCCAAUUUAGAAACUACAUCGCUAAGGUUUCUAACUAACUCUUCAAGAUUUUUCAGUAAAUCAUACUGUCUAAUUUCAAAAGGUACUUCAGUUUCAGAUUGGUUUUGCUCAAAGGAGCUGGAACUAUAUACAAAAACCCUAGAACAAUGGGGAAAAACAAAAACGAAUAGACAAUAGAUGAAAAAGAACUUUCCUUUCCGCGGAUUCGCCAUUCAAGAAGCUGGGGAGGAGCUCUUCAAUGGGUUUCCAUUCAAAGUGAAGUUAAAUAGAAGAUUUCUGAUUGCGUUUGGAUUUGGGAAGGGAACAAGAGAGUUUCGUCCAAAACUCACCUGGGUUCUUGUUAUUUUUCAGCUUUUUUGAGGAAUCCGUGAGAAGUUAUACAAGAUUAAGAAAAAGGAAAGAGUAUUGGAGGAUGAGAAUGUAGGGAAUUUGAAAAGGGUGGGUCGUGAUCUCUGGCGAAACAGUGUCAAAAUGUUGCUGUCAAGUUGUUUGUUUCAAGAAAGGAGUUUUACUUUGGUCAAACUUUAAUCUCUUAUUUUGUUAAAUUAAUUUCUUACAUCUAACUAUAACUAUAGUAAUUAAGAUAUAUAUAGAAUCCUCUCAUUUCAUAUCUAACAAUCAAAUUAAAAUAUUUUUUUUGCAUGGGGAGGAAUGUGUGUGUAUAAUAUGCACACAAAAGAGUAAAAUGUCAAUGGGUUUAGGCUUUUUGUUACUUCUUGUGCCAAACUCUAUAUGAAUGUAUAUUAAUGUUAGAAAUAUGAUGAAAGUAUAAAAGAACAUAACAAUCCUCAAUGGUUAAUACCAAUAACUUCUUUAUCAAUUUCUAAUUAAUUAGUGAUCUUUUAACCCACAAAACUAAACUUGGUGUAAAUAGAAAAAAGUAGACACUAAAUAAUAGUGAGCUAAUGGUUAAUUUUUUGAAACCCACAUGGUUAAGUCUAAGGAACAAUAAGUUGAAGAAGACAAUGUUAUUAUACUUUCAACUAAGUGGGUCCCACUUCCCCCUUGCGUCGGCAAAAUAUUGCAGAAGAAGCUCUGUCCAUGGCGUUGGCCCCAUUCAUCACACACUCACCAUUCAUAAAUUCCCAUUAUAAACUUCAAACCCAUUCCCAUUUUUACAUAAAUCCCCCCCUCCCCCACCUACGACAAAAAUCCUCCAUUCAUUUCUCUCUCAGUUUCUCCCCCAAAUAUGAAAUCCGAGCUUUCACCCACUAUGGCCGCCCUCAAGAAGGACACCUCAUCAGACUCUGCCUUCUCCUUCUUCCUCUCAAAAAAAGCUCGCUACAAGUUCUGGGCCUUAGCCGUCAUUCUCCUCCUCGCCUUCUGGUCCAUGUUCACCGGCUCUGUUUCUCUUAAAUGGUCCGCCGGAACCUUUGCCAGAUUCUAUGACGGUCCUCUCAAGCCGAUCUUCGACGAUCUCGACAUUCUGGUGAACCUUUUUAGCCAUUUCCAUGGUGGGUUCUUGUUUUUUGUUUACUGUUACCUGUUUUAGGGUUUUUUUUUCUUUCUUUCUUUUUUUGGGUGAAAUUUAGGAAGUUGAAGAGCGGGAGAGGGAUGUUCGGCACAUGUGGAAUUUGUACACACACGGCGGCGGUGGGCGGUUGCCGCGAUUCUGGUCCGAUGCAUUUGAAGCAGCGUAUGAGGAUUUGAUCGGCGAUGUUCCCGGCGCUCGAGAUGCUGCACUUUUGGAGAUCGCUAGAAUGUCUUUGCAAUCUGUUCAUGUUGAUUUUGACCCAAUUCCGAUGAAAUCAAAGGUUAGUAAGUUAGUCAUCGUAGCUGUGACUCAAAUUUCUUGCUCAUCGAUGUUUCGUUUCAUAUUAUAAUUGUUGAGAUUUAUUCUUCUUCUUUAGGAUAAUGGGAUUGAGAAUAAGAUCUACGCGGUUUUCUCUCCCAUCACUUUUUUUUAAGAAGAAUUAUUGUCUUUUUCGUUCUAUUAUUUGCAUAAUUUUAUAGUGGAAAAUACUCUUUAAUCCCUAACUUUUGGUUGCUUCCCUUUUUUCGUUUCUGUCUAUUAAAUAAUUUAAGGAUUAUCAUUUAUUACUUUUCAUCGUUUUCACCAUUAAAUUUAGAACUUUACUUUAAUGUUAUUUUCAAAUCCAUUUUCUAUCGUGAUAAUAAAGUUAGGGGUUAUAGACUCAGAAUAUUUUGAAAGAAAUCAACUGCGAUUUAAAAAUAAAAAAUUUGAAAAAUACAUGUACUAAAAUGAAUGAAAGGAAAUGAAAGGAAAAAAAUUGUAUUUAACGGUCACGUUGGUUGUGAUAUGCAAUAUGCAGGGUGAGAGCAAAUUGAAGAGCAGCUCAAAGCAAAAGCAAAUGGUUUAGCAGGCGUAGCAACCCAAGAAGUUUAAAGCAAAUGCAAUGUGCUAAGCCCCAAGGGCUUGUGUUUUUUUGAGGGAAUCUUUCAACUUUGUUUAGUUUAAUUUCUACACUACAUUGAGAACAAUGGAAUGUACAAAAUUGACCACCAAUCGAAAAGUAAAGUUUCAAAAAUAGGUUCGUAUGAAAGUCUUGAAGAAAAAAACCAUUUAGUACUGUUAAACUCGAGAUUAGAAAUCAGAGAAUUGAGUGUCCACUCACAUGAUUUAUUAUCAAAAUAAUGAUAGUCUUUUCGUAUUCUUCUGUCUCAUGUGCAUUCAAAGUUGCAACUACUUUUUUUGGCCACAUGUAAACAUUUAAUUUUUUGCAUUCAUAAUUCUGAAUUUAUCCGAACCAGUAUUUGUCCUGUUCUUCAACUUUCAGAUCUUGUAUUGCUUAUGACCAAAUCUCAUGAAGAUAGUCAACAUUAAGAUUAAGAAAUGAACAAUAUUUGUGCCUAAUAAAACCAAUAGUGAUAUAGUGAAGUAGACCCCAAAGUUUGGACUUUUCAAGUUCACAUUCACACUCCUUUUAUUAUUUUGUUAUAUAUCGAUCCUCAAAUCCACCUAUAAAUUUGUUUGAUCUAUUUGACUAAAAUCAUGUGUAUUAUACUGAAAAUAAGAUGUACAACCUAGGAGCUAGGAGUUAGGAGUUAAGGAAACCUCGAUAAUAAGAUGAAAAUAAUUUUGAAACAGUUAGAGCCACACUUCGAAACACAAUUAUAAUCCCUUUUGAAUGAUUAGGAACAUCUUAGAAGUGUUCCAAAUAUGACAAACGUGAUAUUCUAGAAUUACUCCCAAACAAUUCAAAUCUGCGACAGGCUCUGGAUGCCCUUUUCCUACACUAAGAAAGGCUCUUUACGAAACUUAGAAAACUCACAUGUGACCUUUUUCUUUAAUAACAGGUAGAAUUAGGCAGUCCCCUACACAACAAACAACAUCAACUACGGCCUUUUUGCUAACAGCCCCAUGGGACACCAUUUCUAACUCUACUGUUAUUGACCCAAUUAACAGAACACUACAAACGGGCAUCUAAUGAUGCCAGUCAAUAAAAUGAAGCAGCACCAGCCAAGCUCACAAAUUAAACAAUAAACUAAAACGUUGAAGAAUUGAACCUGCAUGCUGAAACAUCAAGAGCUCAACAUCAUCAUUUUUGCAGUUGUUGAUAGCUCGUGGGGCCAGUAAGGCAUGAGAAAACUAUACUGCGAAAUGCCGAUGAAUUCCCAUCUCCAGAAAGAAGACCAAAAACAAAAGGAAGUGAAACACAAGAAUAAAUUACCUCGGUUAGGUUAAAUCCAGCUCAAAAAUGUUUGUAACAGACCCAAUAACAACAAACCUAGGAAGACAGGACAGUUAAUUGUCAAAAUCGUCCAGCAGACAGACAAAAAUAGUCACUGCUGCUGCAUCUCUGUGAUGUUCUUUUGGGGUGUUUGAGGUACAAAAAAAUCCAUUUACAAAAAAGUUGGAUGUCACGUAUUUACAUUUGGCUCCAAAGCCGCUCUCUUUCCUAAUCUUCAACAGUCUGAAUCUCGCCCAUCAUGAUUCGGUUACUAACUACAUUGAAACCCAAAACUGAUGGAUUAACCUUCUUCCCUUUCUUUCCUUUCUUCUUUCCUCCACUCUUUGCAGACCCAUCCCGGCCAACAGGGACAUCAGGGUCCAGAUCACCACCAGCAUUGCCUGAAUUUACUUCUCGAGAAGCAACAGCCGAUACCUUCCUGUCGUUGCGACUUUGAAAUGCAAUUUCAAGAACAUCUGCUGGGAGCAAAUCCUUGUAAUUUAGGAAUUGAUCGAUGAAGUCGUGGUCAGGAUCAUAUGAUCCAAGGUUCUCUAUUAAAUAAAGCUCUGCCUCAGAUCUCGACUGCUUCAAGCAGAAUUCCAAGAAACUUGUGUCUAUAACAGGCAAAAAGAUCGCACUCCAUUAAUAAAAGAUAGUAAUAGGACAGUUUUUAAUAACCCCAAAAUAUUUAUGUAUAAAAUUUAAAGAGGCCAAUCUAAAUUAUUUUCUUGUUUAAACAUAAAUUGGAGACAAAUAAUUUCAGAAAAAAUAGACAUCGGACCAAUGAAGACAUAUUAAACUAAAUAUAUUUAAAUAUUUCCAGAUUUUAACACGAUCAAGUAUUUAUAUGCUCAAAAGGUGCAAUUUUAAUCAUUCACUUAUAUAUAAUAAGAAGAAUGACAGUUCAACCGAAGUUAUCUAACACUUCAGAGUAAGAAAAUUGCAUAUAUGUCAAAUAUCGAAAACAUUGUGCAAACUAUAACCAUCCACACAACAUAGGACAUUUACAUUUUUUCAAAGCUACGAAACAAUCAAGCAUUCACAUUGGACUUGCAUCCACGAGCAAAAUGUCUCUUCAACCAAGAAAAAGAUACCUUUUAUCCCAAUGAGCCUUUCACAUUCACUCUCACACCAAUCUCGGAAGCCCAUAGCUUCUACAAGGUGAGGAAAAACUUAAUUAGUACAUGAGCCAAAGAGGCUUUUGGCAAGAAAAAGUAAAUAGGAAAAUAUCCAAACCCUUCCAAGGAAAUAAGGACCCUAAAAAGCUAACCUGAAUGCUUGGUAACUGGAUCUUGUUUGCCUUUCUGAGAUGACUGUGCCGGCGAGGAUGAAAGAUAGUCAGCUUUGCCACCAGAUGAUUUUUGGCGACUUAACACCCCAGUUGAAGCUGCUUUUGCAGGAGCAUUCCUAUUUCCCCAGUUGUUGCUCACGAGACGAACAUCAACCCUGAAAACAAAAACAUGGAUUUGUUCCCCUUGAUUACCAAGAUUAUAUUGCAGCAAUGGCAGUUACAAAAGACAAAAAUCCACAGUGCUACCAAAUAUACACAAAUUAUAACCGACCCAGAAGAGGUGGGAAACAAAAGGGGAGUUCAAACUGCAUGGACUACAAUAUUAAAAGGAAAAGUAGCAAUAAUAUGCCAUUGACCCAUUAGUAGCAUGGACGCUGAUAAAGUAAAGGUGGGUUAAUCAAGAAAAACCGUACUGCUGAUUUUCUUUCUUUGACUCAAUGGGGCCCCAAAAUAAGUCAUCGUCUCCUCCAUGAUUUGACUGAGUAGGAACAUUCUGAAGGGGGGAUGAUGCAGCCUUUGAUGGAGAAGAAGCAGAGAGAGCCCAGGAAGGAGUACUAGUGCUGCUGCUGCGACCAACCUGACUAGGUUGUCCCUUUUGGGGAGUGGGGAUUUGAUGAGAAUGCUGAGCAGCAGAGGUUUUUCUUCCCUGCUCCUUCUGGAUAUCCCUCAAAGAAGUGGGUUUGGGGACCUUCCCAGAGUCACUGGAGGACCAUGCUGGAGAUGGGGCCACGUUAGCAACUUCUCCCUUCCAGAGGACAAAGUCACCAAAAGAAGGCCCAGAAGGAAUGGCUGGCAUUGCUUCCUUCUCCUGCUGGGUUUGGCGGGAGAUUUUCCCUUUCUCAUUAGGACUUGAACCAACAGGCACAUCGCCAGAAGGGACUGGAGCGGAGGGCUUGGAACCAACACCCUUAGCCUUGGCAGACUUCUUGCGGCUCUUUUUGGUGUCUUUUGCCUCAAUAAAAUUGUCAUCCAUGGGUUCUGCCUGUGUGGCCAAAACACGAGGAGAAGAAGCAAUCUGUACAGAGUCAGAAACACGAACAUCACUUGCACCAGACUUUUCCAUAUUGUCUUCUGCCAGUAGAUCAUGCAAUUGGCUCCUUCUAAUCUUUGAAAUCAAUAAAUUUUCAUGUUUCUCACUUGAUUCUGAAAUCACAGAAUCUUUAUGAAUUUCUUUGGAAGCUUUAGGGUCUGAACUGCUCACAAUCCCAGCCCAAGGAGUUGAUAAACUCAUAGAGGUGAUAGAAGUGGAAAUCUCUGAUACAGCCGUUUCUGUAUGUGCCCUUUUCUGCUCUUCCUCCUGAAUUUCCAAUAACGACUUUGGCUUGAAACUCGAAGCAACUUUCCAAGCUCUUUGGGCAGAUUGAGUCUGUGAGUUAAGGACAGAAUCGGACCCAACUAGUCUGGCAUCAUCCUUUACUUGAACAGUAUCACCAUCGCUCCAGGUAUUCAUAGCAGAGGCAGAGCUUUGAAUUGGCUGAUGGUCUACAACGGAAAUUUUGCCAUCAUCCCCAUCUCUGAUUUUCCGAGGAGAGGAAGCCAGAUCACUUGAUUUUCCCAUGAUAUUAUCUGCCUUCAAUUUCAAAUCAUUUUCUGAUUUCCCACUUUUUGAUUGCUUUGACUGCUGAAUAGCAGAAUUCUUAGAGUCCUUGGCCUGGUCUGAGGAAAGUGACUUAGAAGAUUUUUGCUUCUUGGUUUUUUUAUCAGAAGGCUUUUUAGGUUCCUGUACUUCAAUAUUUUUCAGUUCUGUCUCCAAGGUGGUAUCAUCUUUGCAUCCACCCCUUUCAAGUUUUUGCACAGGCAUACUAGCUUCUUGAACCUUCAGAACAGGUACACUAUCGGGAAUGGAAACUUCAAUAUCAUGAACUUCUGCUGGUUGUAGAGCAACUGAUAUAUCAGCAGUCUUGAGAGGAAGAGGUUCUACCAUGACAUCAGAUGCAAGAGAUGUGGCAGUUGCAUCCAACCUUGGUACAUCCUCUCCUAUCUGCUCCAAAGCUUGAAUAGUGUGGCUAUCAGAUGACUUCUGUACAUGACUCACAUCCUCGCUUGGUUUGCUAGUCAGCCCAGGAAAAAGUGAGACCUCACCAACUAUAGAUCCAGGUAACAUAUCUUUUGAACGAGUAUCAGUAAGCUGCUCUGGGAGACCAGGAGUCCAACCCUUCUGCUGAACAUUUCCAAACAUUUGAUGUGGAAGAGCAAGGGAAGGAUCUUCAGAAUUAACGUUGUAACUGGCUCCCUGGGUGACUUGCAAAGCCAUAUUUCCAAAGGGAAUCGCACGAUCCGUUACGACAUUUAAGGGCUUCUGUGAACCAAUUUGAAAUUUCUCUCGUGGUUGCUGAACUUGAGAUGGAUCAGCAGAUGCAUUUCCAAUAGGUAUAGGAGCACCUUGUAACUGUCCAAAAGAUGGAUCGAUAAGAUGCUGACGUGACUGAUGCUCUGAUAGAACCUGCGAGAGCAACUGUUGUUGCUGUAAUAACUGUUGUUGCUCUUCUUGUUUCUGCUGCUGCUUAAGUAAUAAAAGUUUGUCUAACAAUGACAUUUGCUGUGCAGAGAAAGGCACUUGAGAAUGCAACUGUAACAAAUGCUGCUGUUGCAAUUUACUUAUCAGUUGUGGAUCUUGAGAUAAGCUGGACGGAAGAAACUUAUCUGGAGUUAAGGUAGGAUUAUCAGUAGCUUGGGCAAGUAAAUUUGUCAAGGACGGCUGUGGUUGCAAUCUCUGUUGUUGGAAACCAAAAGGUGCCUGCGAAGGUAAGUUAAGAUCAUGGUGCAAGUCAAGUUUACUUUGGAGAGGGUCGGGAGCAUGAGAAAAUUUUGACCACCCUGCAACCUCAUUAAUGCCAGGAGGUGCUUUGUCAGAUAAGCCUUGUAGAAUGGCUGACAUGUCUGGACUUUGAGAAUGAGAAGUUUGACGAGAAUGGUCUAUGAUUGAAGACAAGAGUUUGGCCUGCUGAAUUGGAUCAUCUAGGCCUAUAUCCGGCUUAGAUACCUUGGAUGUAGCAUCUAUUCCAGGCCAAAAUGCAUAAGGGUUGGACAAAGACCUUUGCCGUUCAAGUUCCAUUCUUUUGGCCAACAGGAAAAGGUUAUUUCCAUUGUCUAUUCCCAAGGAAGACAGACUAUUAGGAUUAUUUCCAAAAUAUCCUGGCACACCUACACAAUAAGCAUCGGUAUCAAUUUAGAUAUAACUGUAAUAGUAUAACAAGAAUUUUAACAAUGCAAAAAAACUUUAAAGGAAAAAGAGAACAAUUUUCCAAUUCACAAAUAAAAACAAACCUUCAGAAAAGGCACUCUUCUCGAGAGGUGAAGAACCUAUAUUUCCAGACAUAAGUGACUCCAAAAAUCUGUUUUCAGCUUCCACCGUUGAGCCAUGUUUAUGCCUUGUCUCAUUCCUCAAAGUAUCUAUUUCAUUCAACCCAGUAUGAAGCUUCCCCAAGCUACCAAAACUAGGGUUACCUAAUGAAUCUGCAAAUUCAUUCUGCUUCGGUCCACUAAAUCCUGGUGGUGGCUUGGCUUUAGAUCGUAAAUGAGGCAUAACAUCACCAAGUGCUGAAAAUGGCAAGUCACUUGGUGCAUUUGUCGGACGGACAGGUAAAUCCAAGCCAAAAUACCCACCCUCAAACCAUUGAAUAAUGUCAGCCCCACCAAAUGGGCCCUGAAUUGCCCCAGAAGGAUCAAUAUAAUGAAGUUGCAAAUCCUCUGCAGCAGGUUGAACUGUUUUCCGCGAUAGUUGUUCCUUGUCUAAAAUCCCUGAAAGCUGCCUUCUAAGGAUAGAUUCCUCCGCGGUCUGCCAUUUAGAAUUAUCCUUCGCAUAAGAUGGAUUAGUUGCGUUACUUCCCCAUCCAUCAUUAAGAUUCUUUGAAGACUGCACCCAACCCUUGUCGGGAGUUCCUGAGCUAAUGAUAUUAUUAGGAUUGUCUCUCCAAUCAGGUAAGGAUGUAUUCAGGGGUUGCUCAAGUGAUGAGGCAUCCCACGUGCUGCUAGGAUGAAUAUUGGUACCCCCCUUAACACUCGAUUCCCUAUUGCCGGGCACCUCAUCUGUUUUUCUCAGAGCAUUGUCAUCUUCUCUGAAAGCUGCAUACAUACAGCCGCAGUAGACAUCUUCAGAGAUAAAAGAGCAAACAGUCCAUGCAAAAAAUUGAAUUUGAAAAACAAGGAUAACAAUCCAUGACUGAAACAAAUGUAUCAGGAAAAACCUACAAAUUUGAAGAAAAAAAACAAAGGCAAGACAGAGCAUUUAAAAGUUAAAUGUCACAAAUUUUCCAGCCAUUUCUUAUAUUUUAUCUUCUUUUUCUUUUCUCUUCUUUUCUUAAGAUCUAUCCUACUGUGGAUCUAAAACAAUAUGAUAAAUUAGAACUUCAACUCUAAAAUCACCGAAAAGCUUUAAUUGACGGGUGAAGGUAAAUUUAAUAUUAUUUUAUCUAACACUUAUACACUUGUAAGCUUGAAACAUGUAGAAGGCCCAACAAGUGGAAAUCAAUAUUAAUUGGAGGUGCAUAUAUUGUAGGAGUUCGAACCCAACAACUUCAGACCCUCUUCUAAUACCGUCUUAAAUAACCAGUUGACCCAAACGCUUAAUUUGACGGAUUAAGGUAAAUUUAAUAUUAUAUGAUCUAACAUUAACUAAGAGAAUUAAAAGAAUACUAAAAGCAUUUCUGCCCACAUCAAUCAAAAAAUAGGUAGCAAAUAGCAAGAGUAAACUUCUGAACUUUAUUUACCCUCCAGUUAAGGUGUAACUUACCUUCAGAUUUGAAUGUGCCACUAGUAUGUCCCAUCUGCUCCUGAAUGGCUUCAUUUUUUGACUGUGGCCUGUGAUAAGGCACCUGCCUCUCAGUAGAGACCUCUGAAUAGUUUGUGUGACCAAGUUUAGUGGUGCUGUCAUCUUUAUCAUCGUUGUAGUCGUCAAACCCAUGGGGUAAAUCUUCUCUACUGCCUGCUCACAAAACAGGGUCCAAAGUAGUGAAUUCCCCUCUAAUCUUUUUUUAUUCAUACACCAAGCACCAAAAUCAAACAACUAAAGGAAAGCAUUUCAAACCUAGGGAAGGUGAAACACCAAGUUUUGUUCGCCUUGCUUGCAUAAAUUCUGAUGAGUUUCGCCCAUCCUUUGACACCUGAGGUGCACCACUACUAACAAUUUCCCCUUUAUCAAUCCCCUUCAGAAAAGUCUAAAACAGAAAAAGGAAAACAUAGUCAUUUAAACAACUAAAAUGCAAACAUAACAUGACAGUAGAUAAUGGUAUUUUACCAUUUCUUCCGUAGUGGGAGCACAAAGAGCAAGAGGCUCCAAAGGUUCAUCCAGUGUAAGAGUAGGCACAGGCACAAAUACAUCUUUUAAAGUUUGCUGUGAUGUCAAAUUGGUAGUCCUGAAAACAUCAAGCAACUUUGUCCUGCUAUAUUUGUAGUAGUAAGGCUCUCUUCCAGAUUUCUCGGAAGAAGCUCCAAGAUAAUUGGGAGAUGAAUAUAUACUAUUGGUAGGAUUUACACCAGAACUGAUGAUUCCACGACCUAAAGAGAAGGUAGGAGGCGUGUUGUCUGCACGUCCACGAUGGGAAAAUGCAGGGACUUGUUUGCUUGGAGUUUGGGUUUGAUGAUGAGGCAGCUCUCCCUUACCUCGAC
rnacentral:lncRNA from 1 species